CAAAUGAAGGGGAAUUCGCUCGACUCAAGUGCUUGUUGAUUCAUGAGUGUGAGUUGGAGAUUUGGGAAUCAGACAAUACACAUUUCCCAUGUCUUGAGCAAAUACAUCUCGGAAUCGUGAGACUGAAUGAGUUCCCUUCAGAUUUUGCUGAAAUAUUACCGCUUCAAGUGAUCGACUUACACCGCUGCGAAAAUUCCCUUUUGACAUCGGCACAGGAAGUAUCAGAGCAACGAGAGAACCUAGGAUACGAUGCUCUUCAAAUUCGAGCUUUAAUGCCUGGACUGCUCAAAAUUUAUGUGCAGAGAGGUAUCAAUCUUGCUGGUCGCAAUCACCCCAAGAGAAAUCCUUAUGUUGCUGUCAGAAUAUCCAAACAGGUUUUGUGUUUUUACUAAAGAUAUUUGGUGUUCUUUCUCGUAUGGGUUUUCGAUCUUUUAUGCUUUCCUUUUUUACAAAAACGAAUUGCAAUUUACUAUAUAUAAAUGAUUGCGCUGCAGAUUCUGAAGACUUGUGUUGUCAGAAAGACUGUUAAUCCCGAAUGGCAUGACGAUUUGACAGUUGCUGUUUUAGAUCCUAGUCAAACAAUUUAUGUGGUCAGAGCCUCUUUCAUUAACAUAAUAAAUGAUGUCACUUAAUAUGAGGGAUUUGUUUUCUUAUUUCUAGAAAUAACUACUAUAUAACACAAUAUAUUGUUUGGGGUAUUUAUGUCUAUUUACUUAAUAUUUUUAUUAACUAAUAUUAUGUUUUUUGGUUAAGGGACCUACAACUAUAAUCAUCUAAUAAAUUGGACUUCCACCUAUAUAGUUGGGAUGAGGGGAGUCUAACUAAUUAUCCCAUAAAAGUAAGGCCCUAGGAAGUUUUUUCCUCUUAUUUGAUAGUUAAAUUGUAAUUUAUUUAAUUAAUUAUUAUUUUUUUAUUUUAUAUCAUCAAGUUUAAUAAUCCAUUAAUUAUCCAGAUUUUUUGUUCCCAAAUCUACGUAUUUUUCCCACUAAAAUUAUUAUUUUACUUAAUAUUAUUUUUAUGGAAAUAUUAUUUAAUAAUUUAGAAAAUAUUUAGUUCUUAUCUUAUAGUAUUAAUAAAAAUAAGGGUUAACGGGUUAUAACCCCCUCAUUAGCAAAAAUAUUAGAACUAGGUACCAAGAUUUCUUUUAAUAUGGUGCAACCCCCUCCAUUUUACGUAUCCCAAUACUAUCCGUACAUUUUUCUUUUGAACUAGACCCCCCUCCCUUUAAAUAAGACCGGUCAACUAAUUCUCUCUCUCUCUCUCUCUCUCUCUCUCUCUCUCUCUCUCUCUCUCUCUCUCUCUCUCUCUCUCUCUCUCUCUUCUUUAAUUAUUUUAAUCCUUUUAAAUAUAUUUCGAUCUUUUUUUACUUUUACCUUUUUUUUUUGGAAAGAUCUACGAAAUAUUAGUAAACAACUAAAUUAAUGAAUUUAACUACAGACUUUAGUAGUCAACUAUAAUAUUCUACUAGUUUGCUAUAAAAUUGUGUCGGUCAACUACAAAAUAGUGAAAGUUAACUAUGAAAGUUUAAUAGUUAGUUAUAUAUUGUGAUAGUUAACUACUAAAUUAUAGUAGUCAAUAAUCAUUUAUAUACCAUAAUUUUAAGACCAAAACUCAUCACCCUCAAAUUAUUCAACCAUCGACAAGUAAUUCCAACACUUUCACAAUUACGUCCAAAGUCCCAAACGAUCUCAACUAUAUUAUUCUUCUAGUUUGCUAUAAAAUUGUGUCAGUCAACUACAAAAUAGUGAAAGUUAACUAUGAAAUUUUAAUAGUUAGCUAUAAAUUGUGAUAGUUAACUACUAAUUUAUAGUAGUCAGUGGUCAUUUCUGUACCAUAAUUUUAUGACCAAAAUUCACCACCGUAAAAUUAUUUAUCCAUCGGUAAGUAAUUCCAACACUUUCACAAUUACGCCUAAAGUCCCAAAUAAUCUCAAUAGUCUGCAGCAUAUGGAUACCUCCUAAAAAACAAAUUUCCACAAUACAAUUAUCACUAGCCGUAAUUUUCGUUGAAAAUUAGAACUGAGCCAAUGAAAUGAGCAUAAGGAUCCAAGACAAUAAUGCAAGACUCUAGUGGCGGAGAUUUUUGAGUUAGAAAAUCAGUGACGGGGGUGCGUUAAGAAAGAGCGGCGGCAGAUGCUGCUUCGUCAGAAAACAGAUCUGAAUGUUUCAUUGUUACUAGACUGGGUGAAACAAUGGUAGCCAUGAAGAUGCGUCGGCUAUGGAUCCGUCAAUUUUGGUAGAGAAGAUAUAUAAGUCGAUUUUAGUAGAGAAGAGAGAAAGAGCGAAUGAUUCGAGAGAAAGAAAAGAAAAGAGAAAUAGAAAGAGACGUAUCAGGGAAGAGAGAGAGGGAGAGAGAAAGUGAAUGAGAGAAAGAGGAAAAAAAAGAAACGUAAAAAAUAUAAAAAGAGGGGGGAGGAGAGAGAAAGAAAGGGACAGUUGAGAAGAGAGAGAAAUAGUAGGAGAAGAGAGAACAAAAUUGGAAUAAUAAACACAUGAGUGGGUCUCACAAUUCCUACUGUUGAUUUUAGAUUUCUCUACAAAUAGUGAAUAUUAUAAUGGGCAUGGACUCUAUUAUUUUGUGUAUUGAGGGGGUUAUUCCUCAUUUUCCCUAAAAAUAAUGUUGCUCCUGGUAAGUCCUAGGAAAUUCUUCCAGCUCAUUUGAUAGUUACAAUUGCCAUUUAUUUAUUUAGUUUUGGUUUAUUUCAUUUAUAUAAUCAAGUGUAAUAUAUCCGUUAAGUACCUCAUGUUUUGGCCUUACUAUUAGAGUAGGUGACCAACAAGCCAACUUGUGGCUGUGGUCUUUCCAUUUAUUCUUCUAAUAAAUAAUCAUUUUUUGUAUUAAUGAUAAAACACUUUGGCAUUCUAUAUCUUUGUCCUUUGUUCAAACAUAGAUAUAUUCCUUACAGUUAUUACAAGCACUUGUAAUUGAUCUUUUAGGAUCGUGAGAUAUUUACUUAAGUAUUAUAACUGUUAAAUGUGUUCCUAGUCGAAGGGUUACGCCACCAAUGAGGAUAUCGGCAUUUCCCAUUAAGAGACUAGCACUUACUGUAUGUGUAUUGUGUCUCAUCAGUAAACGGUAUUGUGAUAUCGGCAUGCAUAAGUGGGUGCUCGUAAGUUGACGAGUUCACUGAAUUCCCUCACCCUAGAAAUAUCUAAGUGGUUCUCAAUAAUCGAGUAGAGAUAUCUAUGGUAUAGUUGUACACCAUUAGUCCUUAAGACCUAGACAUCACCUUGACUUCACUAGAGGACCAGCUGUAUCGUGACCUGUCCCUGAGUUCCAUCAAGGACCGCCCCAAGGGCCAGUGUUCGUGUAGUCCGAAAUCUAGUGGAAGUUUUCAUCUUUCUUGUUGACUUUCUAGGUAGCCAGUCUUUACAACACUCGACCUAAGCUUGAUUUAGCUCAAGCAAUGCCCAAAAACUCCCAUGCCUUUCUUGGUUGGACCAAGGCCAUUUCCGACAAGUCUUUCUUCAUUUUUAGAGGAAGAAGCGGAACUACAAGAAAGCUUUCUUUAUCUUUUCUUUAUGGAUAACCAAUUCAUUUUCAAAUAUAGUUGGGAGAUUUUACCCAAGAAAUGGGUCCAAAAAAUGGAAAGAUCGGAACAUGGGAAUAGAUCUGAUACCAAUACGGACUACCCAUUUCAAUUGUUGUGCUUUCUGAAAUUGCAUACCUAUACAAGGGUUCAAGUUUCGAUCGAUAUUUGCGGAGUUGAUUAUCCCUCUCGAAAACGAAGAUCUGAAGUGGUCUAUAAUUUACUGAGUACUCGGUAUAACUCACGCAUUCGUGUACAAACGAGUGCAGACGAAGUAACACGAAUAUCUCCGGUAGUCAGUCCAUUUCCAUCAGCCGGCCGGUGGGAGCGAGAAGUUUGGGAUAUGUUUGGUGUUUCUUCCAUCAAUCAUCCGGAUCUACGCCGUAUAUCAACAGAUUAUGGUUUCGAGGGUCAUCCAUUACGAAAAGACCUUCCUCUGAGUGGAUAUGUGGAAGUACGCUAUGAUGAUCCAGAGAAACAUGUGGUUUCUGAACCCAUUGAGAUGACCCAAGAAUUUCGCUAUUUCGAUUUUGCUAGUCCUUGGGAACAGCGUAGCGACGGCUAAUUUAAAAUAAGACAAAGAAUAGGUCCAGCCCAGGAGACAAAUCAAUAGGAAAUGCUAUUUUUUUCAUAAGAAUAAGAAUUCACUUCUAUGAAAUGAAAGAGUUUCACGGGAAUUGUCUUGAUCGUCGGAUAUCAUGAGAAAGAAAUAGGAAUAAGUGUUAUCGAACGAUUUCCUGCAAUUCUUUCCAGUAUGUAUGGAAUGAGUAAAGAAUCAAGCUACAAGUGUCUCGAUCUAUACGAAAGGCACUGGUUUUUUUGUCUUUCUUUCGGUUUCAUUGAUAGCAGAAAAAUGGACUCUAUUCUAUAGGGGCGCUAGCGCUUGACUAAUAAGAUAAGAAAAAAAGCAAAAAAAUGGCAACAGAAAUUGGAUAUCGAUAGAGGAAAUAACGAUGUGGAGGAAAAGAGGGCAGGGAUUCUCUACAAUGACACUGUAGACCAAUUGAAAGGGAUGUAGCGCAGCUUGGUAGCGCCUUUGUUUGAGGGUCAAAAAUGUCACGGGUUCCAAUCCUGUCAUCCCUACCUAUUCUUCUCCUCUGGGCAGUAACGAGGGAUCCAUUGAGAUCGAUUCAAAUUGGAUAUAUUUUCACUAUAUACAUGCAAGAUGUGUAUUGGGGGUACAAAAAGAAUCCUUUUUCUUUACAGUCGUAUCUACCGUGAUAAGAAAGCGGUGGCGUAUGCAAACAAGAAACUGCAUCAUCUAAAAUGCAAAACACUAACUGCAAAAUGAAAAACAUUAUACAUACCAUGCAAAUGCAAACAACAAACAAAAGAAAAACAUAAAUCUACUCUUCCAAACAAAAAAAAAUCAAAAAGAGAAAAGGAUAUGUAACAUAAAAUUGCCAAAUGCAAAAUGCAUAAUGAAAACAACUAAAAGAAGAAGAAAAAAAAACAGAUUAAUCAAAAAUACACUAAAUUUUUGAAUGAAAGAUUAAUGUGCAACAUGAAAUUGCAAAUUGCAAACACAAAACAAAAAAAAAAAAAGAAAAAAAAUAUUACCUUGAAUAAUACAGGUAAUUGCAAAAUGCAACAAUAAACAACAUCUCACAAAUCGAGUGCCGCCAGCCCUAGCUCUGCCACAAACCCUAGAGUCGUCGACGCCGCUGUAAUGAACCCAAUCAAUCGAGUGAAGAGGUGCAUCAAAUCUGGUGGGUCGCUUGUCGUAGAACCACUACUCAAGAGUGGGGCGAUAAUUUUUUGAAUUUCCUUCCACUGUAUCAAUCUUCACCGCCUUCAACCUCUCAUACAUUGCUCACCUUCUUCUCCCUCCACCCUCAAUUAUUUUCUCUGCAUUUUUUUUAUAAGUAAUAAAUGAUGUCACUUAAUAUGAGGGAUUUGUUUUCUUAUUUCCAGAAAUAACUACUAUAUAACACAAUAUAUUGUUUGGGGUAUUUAUGUCUAUUUACUUAGUAUUUUUAUUAACUAAUAUUAUGUUUUUUUGGUUAAGGGACCUAUAGCUAUAAUCAUCUAAUAAAUUGGACUCCCACCUAUAUAGUUGGGGAUGAGGGGAGUCUAACUAAUUAUCCCAUAAAAGUAAGGUUGCUCCUGAUAAACCCUAGGAAGUUUUUUCCUCUCAUUUGAUAGUUAAAUUGUAAUUUAUUUAAUUAAUUAUUAUUUUUUUUUAUUUUAUAUCAUCAAGUUUAAUAAUCCAUUAAUUAUCCAGAUUUUUUGUUCCCAAAUCUACGUAUUUUUUCCCACUAAAAUUAUCAUUUUACUUAAUAUUAUUUUUAUGGAAAUAUUAUUUAAUAAUUUAGAAAAUAUUUAGUUCUUAUCUUAUAGUAUUAAUAAAAAUAAGGGUUAAUGGGGCGUAACACCCUCAUUAGCAAAAAUAUUAGAACUAGGUACCAAGAUUUUUUUUAAUAUGGUGCAACCCCCUCCAUUUUACGUAUCCCAAUACUAUCCCUACAUUUUUCUUUUGAACUAGACCCCCCUCCCUUUAAAUAAGACCGGUCAACUAAUUCUCUCUCUCUCUCUCUCUCUCUCUCUCUCUCUCUCUCUCUCUCUCUCUCUCUCUCUCUCUCUCUCUCUCUCUCUCUCUCUCUCUCUCUCUCGUCUUUAAUUAUUUUAAUCCUUUUAAAUAUAUUUCGAUCUUUUUAUACUUUUACCUUUUUUUUUUGGAAAGAUCUACGAAAUAUUAGUAAACAACUAAAUUAAUGAAUUUAACUACAGACUUUAGUAGUCAACUAUAAUAUUCUACUAGUUUGCUAUAAAAUUGUGUCGGUCAAUACAAAAUAGUGAAAGUUAACUAUGAAAGUUUAAUAGUUAGUUAUAUAUUGUGAUAGUUAACUACUAAAUUAUAGUAGUCAAUAAUCAUUUAUAUACCAUAAUUUUAAGACCAAAACUCAUCACCCUCAAAUUAUUCAACCAUCGACAAGUAAUUCCAACACUUUCACAAUUACGUCCAAAGUCCCAAACGAUCUCAACUAUAUUAUUCUUCUAGUUUGCUAUAAAUUUGUGUCAGUCAACUACAAAAUAGUGAAAGUUAACUAUGAAAUUUUAAUAGUUAGCUAUAAAUUGUGAUAGUUAACUACUAAUUUAUAGUAGUCAGUGGUCAUUUCUGUACCAUAAUUUUAUGACCAAAAUUCACCACCGUAAAAUUAUUUAUCCAUCGGUAAGUAAUUCCAACACUUUCACAAUUACGCCCAAAGUCCCAAAUAAUCUCAAUAGUCUGAAGCAUAUGGAUACCUCCUAAAAAACAAAUUUCCACAAUACAAUUAUCACUAGCCGUAAUUUUCGUUGAAAAUUAGAACUGAGCCAAUGAAAUGAGCAUAAGGAUCCAAGACAAUAAUGCAAGACUCUAGUGGCAGAGAUUUUUGAGUUAGAAAAUCAGUGACGGGGGUGCGUUAAGAAAGAGCGGUGGCAAAUGCUGCUUCGUCAGAAAACAGAUCUGAAUAUUUCAUUGUUACUAGACUGGGUGAAACAAUGGUAGCCAUGAAGAUGCGUCGGCUAUGGAUCCGUCAAUUUUGGUAGAGAAGAUAUAUAAGUCGAUUUUAGUAGAGAAGAGAGAAAGAGCGAAUGAUUCGAGAGAAAGAAAAGAAAAGAGAAUAGAAAGAGACGUAUCAGGGAAGAGAGAGAGGGAGAGAGAAAGUGAAUGAGAGAAAGAGGAAAAAAUAGAAACGUAAAAAAUAUAAAAAGAGGGGGGAGGAGAGAGAAAGAAAUGGACAGUUGAGAAGAGAGAGAAAGAGUAGGAGAAGAGAGAACAAAAUUGGAAUAAUAAACACAUGAGGGGGGUCUCACAAUUCCUACUGUUAAUUUUAGAUUUCUCUACAAAUAGUGAAUAUUAUAAUGGGCAUGUACUCUAUUAUUUUGUGUAUUGAGUGUGUUAUUCCUCAUUUUCCCUAAAAAUAAUGUUGCUCCUGGUAAGUCCUAGGAAAUUCUUCCUGCUCAUUUGAUAGUUACAAUUGCCAUUUAUUUAUUUAGUUAAGGUUUAUUUCAUUUAUAUAAUCAAGUGUAAUAUAUCCGUUAAGUACCUCAUGUUUUGGCCUUACUAUUAGAGUAGGUGACCAACAAGCCAACUUGUGGCUGUGGUCUUUCCAUUUAUUCUUCUAAUAAAUAAUCAUUUUUUGUAUUAAUGAUAAAACACCUUGGCAUUUUAUAUCUUUGUCCUUUGGUCAAACAUAGAUGUAUUCCUUACAGUUAUUACAAGCACUUGUAAUUGAUCUUUUAGGAUCGUGACAUAUUUACUUAAGUAUUAUAACUGUUAAAUGUGUUCCUAGUUGAAGGGUUACGCCACCAAUGAAGAUAUCGACAUUUCCCAUUAAGAGACUAGCACUUAGUGUAUGUGUAUUGCGUCUCAUCAGUAAACGGUAUUGUGAUAUCGGCAUGCAUAAGUGGGUGCUCGUAAGUUGCCGAGUUCACUGAAUUCCCUCACCCUAGAAAUAUCUAUGUGGUUCUCAAUAAUCGAGUAGAGAUAUCUAUGGUAUAGUUGUACACCAUUAGUCCUUAAGACCUAGACAUCACCUUGACUUCACUAGAGGACCAGCUGUAUCGUGACCUGGCCCUGAGUUUCAUCAAGGACCGCCCCAAGGGCCAGUGUUCGUGCAGUCCGAAAUCUAGUGGGAGGUCUGUGCAUUGUAUUCGGGGAUUCGAUCGCUAGAAUAGUCUUGGAUGUCCUUUGUGUUCUCAUAGUUUGUAAUCUUUAAGUCUCUGGCCAGAGCUGACUAAGUGAUGAUUAGGGAAUUCGAUUCCCUAAGUCAUGCACGUACCGAUUACAACACUUAGAACGAUCGCACAGUUAUUGAACUACUAAGGAGGUCUCGAUGAACCAAUUCCUCUAGUCAAUCGGGACAUAUGAAUCGAAGGGAUCGUAAUAUAUGUUAACUAUAUCAAAAGGUUCUUGCAGGCACUUCAUUUGUAUCAAGGGAAUCAUGACGCGUAGUUGCUAGACGCCAAUCUUGAUUCGUUGGGUGAUUAAGUUUAAACUAGCUUCAUCUUAAUCGUAAUUCUAGGGAUGAGUUUGAACCACAAAGGAUUGUGGACCCACGGCUAGCUUACAACUGAACCAUCGAGGGUCACACUGCUCGUGUACUCGAGUUCUUUGAAUAAACGGUCAAAGAUAAAAAUGUUUAAUCAUUGCAUGAUUGGAAGUCAAUGUGAUUGAGUCCAACAUUCGUAAUUUGGAAUUAUGAGUGAGAAUAAGAAAAGGAAAAGAACUAGGCGAACAUCUUAGUGAACUUUCUAAAUUGGGAAGUUUCCAAAUUUAAAAGGUCCACUGAAUUAGGGUUUCCACUUUUGGAAAUUGGAAAUCUUGAAUUUGCACUCGUAAUGACGAGGACGUUUCAAUGAUUCUGAAAAUGUAAUCGUUAUAAUUUUCUGAUCAUUGAGUUGUGAGAAACGAGUGAGUAAAGACUAACGAACUUAAGCUGUUGGGCCCGGUUCAACUUAAGCUCGUUAGGGCUUUUAGGCAAGACACUAUAAAUACAUGAUUUAUAGGUCUUGCACAAAACACAACACACAAUAUAAAACCCUAGCCGCUCUCUCACAACCCUCAGCCGAUUCUCCACCUCCGCCGUUGUCGUCGUCGUCGCCGCAAUGGGCCUCACGCGCCAAUUACUAUUGGUAGUUUCUUUCCUAUGUCUUUUUCUUCUGUAUAUUCUCACUUUUGCGUGUCUAGUGCCACGUACCUAGUAGAUCUGAGUAUACGAGGUGAAAUCCGAGAGGAGGAAGACCAAGGAGUCGAAUUACCGAGAAGCCAUCACCGAAGCACCGCCGCACGCGCCCCCACGCGUCGCCUGAAGACCGCGCGUGGAUCUCACGCGCCGCCGUCGUUGAGCGUGUCCGUCGCCGCUGUACUGCCGUUGCUCCUCCCGACUGAACGGAUUGGUUUCCAUGGCAGUUUGCUUCAAUCCGAGAGUUUGCCUCACGCUUCAAGAGGUAUUUUUCGGAUCCGUUUUAAUUAGGUAUUAAUUUAAUUAGAUUAAAUUAUACGUUUAUAUUCGCAGUUGAAUUUUCGUGGAUUGCUAUAUGUAAUUGUUUGUAUGAAUUCAUGAUUUACUGCGAGCAUGCUAUAUGAUUUACUAUCGAAUUAAUUAUACGCAUGUUGUUCUUAAAUUUCGCUGGAAGCGUUAAGGUACGUAAUUAAUUGCUUAAUAUGAGUCGAGCAUGUGUUUAUGUGAAUUAAAUUAUUUAUUUCAUAUAAAAUUUUUGUUUUCCGCUGCGUACACGUGCCUGAUUCCCAACACUUACAUCUACGUAUCUUUUCCCACUAAAAUUAUCGUUUUACUUAAUAAUAAUUUUAUGGGAACUUUUUUUUUAAUUAUUUAUAAAAAUAUUUGGUUCUUAUAUUAUAUUAUUAAAUUGCUCCUGGUAAACCCUUGCGAUUUAAUGGUAUCAUUGAUUUACAGUUUACUGAGGCUUACUAUGGGUGAUAAAGAAGAAAAUUCGUCAGUCUUCUACCUUAACUGAAAUAAGAUAAAUAUACAGUCCUAUUAUAUCAAAAACAUAAAGUUAAAUUAAUAAGUAUGGCAAAAACAGUUUAUGGAUGAAGGAUUAACAUCAGUACACAUAACAAACAUCAAAAUAAACUGAAAACUCAAUUUUGUUGUUUAAAUUGAACUUUACUUUGUAUUAAUUUUACACAAAUCUUGUGUGUAUUAUAAAUAAAGGAAAAAUUAAUGUAUAUGAUACAAUUACUCCUACCUUUAAACCCAAUUCCUAAUUGCAACCCUAAUUAAAUUUCAAUUUAAAUUUUGACCACAAAAAUCCAAUUUUGACUUUUCUUUUUUAACUUUUUGUUUCUGAAAUAUUUUUUUUUGCAGCCGGUCUCCGGCGUUGACUUUUUUUUUCUUUUUUUUUUUUUCUCUUUUUCUAUAUACUUUUUCCGCCGCCGGUUUCUGGCGUUCAAUUUUAUUGGGAUUUUUUUUCCCCUAAAACUUUUAUCCGUUUUUUUACGUCCGCCGCUGAACGUUGACUGUAAUCGUACGGGCAUUAAUAAUAAUUAUACUAUCGUUGACAGUACAUUUACGUAAUUGUACUGUCUUUGACGGUACAAUUACGGCCAACCACAACAACAUUGUUAUUUUUUGGUCUUUUUUACAUUGUUUGAUUUAUUGAUAAGUCAACAUAAUUAUAUUACUGUCGUUAAAGGUAUAAUUACUAUAACCACAAUAAUAUUACUGUUAACCACAUCAAUAUUAAUUUUUUUUGCCUUUAUUGUUUUGUUUGAUUUGUUGACCGAUUAAAGUAUCACAAUAAUAUUAUUGUGGUUGACUGUAAUAUUAUUGUUGUUACAGUAAUAUUACUCUCAACCACAUCAAUAUUACUUCUUUUAUUUUUUUAUUAUGUUUGACUUUGUUGAACGGUCAACAUAUUAAUAUUACUAAAAACUAUUACAAAAUAAUAGUGAUUUUUUUGGUGUUAAUAUUACUUUGCUAGAGAGUAAUAUAUCAAUAUUACUGUUUUAAACUGUAGUAUAGGUAAUAUUACUGUGUUAAACAGUAAUAUAGUUAAUACGAAUGUCAACCACAACAAUAUUAAUGUUUAAACGGGGCAACAGGAUGUUAAAGAAAAACAAAAUCAACGUCGGAGAGCGGUUGAAAAAUCAGGAGAAAAGAAAAAAAGUUAAAAAAGUCAACGCCCAUCCGGCGGGAAAAUAAGGAGAAAAGAAAAAAAAUACGGUCAACGGCGGCGAUGGGAGAAACUCAAAAUUGAGUUUUGGGUCAAAAUUGAGUUUUUGGUCAAGAUUGAAUAAUUUGUGAAUUUUUUGGUCAAACUGAGGUUAAAUUAAAUUAAAUGAUGAAAUUGAAGCAUAUUAAAAUGAGAGGGGGUAUUUUAGUCAUUUAAUACAUCUCUGGACAAUGUGUGGAUUUUUUUGUAAAAAAAGUUUUUUGUAUGAACUCCUUUAUGAAUGAGUAUGCCAUGAUAAGCUUAUUUGUAAUCAACCCAAUAAUAUAAUCAUUUUUAUUUGCACUUUAUGCAUGUUAGGGAAAUUGUAAAAAAAACCCUGAAGUAAGGCCUAAUUAUGAAAAUACACCCCAUGUUUGGGUAAUUACGAAAAGGGUAAAUUACAUCCACACCCCCGAGGUAUGCUUAAAUAACUUUAAGGUCACUGUGGUAUCGAUAAUUACACUCACCCCCUAAAACAUAGUUAGAAGAUCUAAUGAGAUAAUGCAUUGGAUAUGUUAUUCCGAUAGAAUUCUAAUGGACUAUUAGUUUCAGGAAGUGAUGGAGACAACAAAGAGCCAUGUCACCCCCUAACUCCAUGUUGUCUCCACCACUAGCUAAAAGUAAUAGUCCGUUAGAACUCUAACGGAAUAACGUAUCCAAUACAUUAUCCCAUUAGAGUUUCUAAUUAUGUUUCCGGGGUAAGUGUAAUUAUCGAUAGCACAGGGACCUUAAAAUUAUUUAAGCAUACCUCAUGGGUGUGGGUGUAAUUUACCCUUACGAAAAACCACAUGAGAUACGUUGUUGUCCUAGACAGUCCCCCAUACGACAUUAAUCUUGAUGGAAUCUUUUUGGUUCCAUGAAAUAUCCCUCCGAUACUACUACUUAAGGACCAAAUCACCCGCAUUGGUCAUUGUAAGAAUAUUAUUUACUUACGGUAUAAAUUGUAAAAACAUAUAUUGUAACAUUGAAAGUUAUUAAUUGUUUUGUUAAUUUUUUCGCUUACAUUUUUAAAAUUUUUUAGACGAUAAAAUCGAUUUUGCAAAAAUUAUAUAUCAAAUAUAUAAACCAUUGAAACUUCAUUUCCGAGAUAUAAAAUAAUUUAUGUGGAAUAUUCGUACUUUACUAAUUAAGUUAAUCAUGCUAAAAAUUUACAUAUAUUCAUAUAUGAUGUUAGGUGGUGAGCUUGAAAAGGAGAAGUUCAGGUUGGGGCUGCGAGGAAAGAAGGGAAACUGGAGAUGACGAAGAUGGUGAUAAGGAUGAAUAUGAGUGGUGGUAAAAAAGGAGAAAAAAAUGAUUUGACAAUUUUGCCCCUGUAAAAUCACGUGCUCCAAAUAAUGGUGUUUGGGGGGCAACAUGCAACUUUUUUUAGUUUGGGGGUAAUGUGCAAAACGAGUCGAAGUUCAGGGGGAAAAUGCCACUAACCCUAAUUUAAUUAACAAAUAUUGUAGCAUUUCACCAUGGUUAUAACAGUAAAUUAAAUUAUUCAGAUAUUACUGAUCUCAUUUGGUAAACUACCAAAUGAGCUUAAUGGUUCAUCAUUCACUAUUCAUCAUUCAGGGAUUAUUCGUAUCAAACAUAGCUUAAAUUGGUAGUUUCUUCAGAUUAUAUUUUCUUAUGGAUGUUUGUCCAACUCGAGAGUGCAUUAGAGCUCAACAUGGAGAAUCGACUUAAAACUGACUUCGUACUCGUACAAUUUGAAUAAGGAUGAGUACUUCAAAUAUUUAUAAUGAGAUCAUAACUGUGUAACACAAUCAGUGGCGAGGCCAGAAAUAGUUGUGAGGGGGGCUUAAACAUAUCGGGGGUUCGCUAUCAAAGAAAUUUAAGAUAAAAAUUUGAUAUGGAAUUUUUUUCCUUCAUUUUCAGAAGAUAAUACGAAAGCGAAUCGCGAAAGUUAAAUUGCUAUAAAAAUCUAAAAACAUGAAUAUCAAGUCGAUUAUGAAAUUUACCAAAUGGACUUUUAAUUAAUCUUCAUUAUGAAAAUUAAGAUGAAAGAAAAGAUGCCAAACGUUAAUUGAUCGCCGGUAUGAGUUCGAUCGGCAGUGGGUAGCAAUUUAACCGCCAUUAGUGCAACUAUGCAAUAGAACAAAGUUUUUUUUAUAGUGAGGUCAUAACUGUGUAACACAAUAUGCGAUCAAAUAUAAAGUAGUUUAGAAUGAUUGUAUCUAAAACAAUCAGACCACUCGAGUUGAAGUUUGAUUUCCCCACAAUCGAUAUUAUUCGGUCUCAGGCGUAUAUCCUGCAUUACUGCCUCGUCUUUCCAAACAACGGAUCUCUCUUCACAAUAUGAGAAACCGUGGUCCCCUAAGUUCUCUUUUGGGUUUUAAGAGCUUAAUCAUUAAAUAGCUUUCUUGUGUUGCUGAUAUUAAGUUCUCGUGUUGUGAUGAAAGAUAUUAAUCCUGAAUGGGAUAAGAAACUCAGAAUUCGUGUUACAAAUUGUAGUCAUUCAAUUUCUCUAGUGAGGUUCUUUAAUUUACAAUAUAUAAAAGAAAAUCUGAUUAUAACAUGUUCUACAAUAUAUUUCUUUGAGUUAAAAAUGUGAAAUUCAGUGUACAAUGAGUUCAAUGUGCAUUUAUUAUUAUAGAUUGGAAAUUUUUAGGCCCAAUGUAUGCUGAUUCAUAGUGUAUCUAUGGUUGUAGCAUUGCAUAACCACACCAAUUAAUGGAUACUAGACCGUUUGUAGAAGCCGUGAAAUUGAAUCCAAAUGGCCUUCCAAAUUGUUCAGUAAGCACACGAGUAGUGUCUUCGAUAUCCAAUUGCCUUACCAAAGAGAGUUCCGUUUUCUGGGAAAACGGGACAGUAAAACAGGACAUGUGCCUGAGAGUGAAAAAUGUUGAAUGUGGAGAAAUCGAACUUCAACUCGAGUGGAUUAAUAAAUUUAAACAAUGGCGGACUCGAAAUACAACUCGGGCGGUGGAUUGAAGUUCGUGCUUACACUAAUUUACGGGUGUGAUUGGAUCAAGGAAAACGAAAACAGUGAAUGCUAUGUAAAAUACUUAUUUAUGGGAAAAUUGCACACCACCCCCUUAUAUUUCUAAUUUUUGCACUUUACCCCUUCAAUUUUUUUGAACCUCCUUCAAAAUGUUAUUCUUAUUGCACAUUGCCUCGAUAGCGAAAUUCCGAUCGAUUAAUCAUCGGAAUUGAUUGUUGCACGUUGUCCCUAUGUUAUUUUUGUUGCACGACCCCCUGUAAAAUGUUAUUUAUGUUGCACAGUGCGCUCAAAAAAAUGGCUUAUGGGACAAAGUGCAACCAAAAUAAUAUUUCAAAUGGGGAUUAUCCCUUUCCUGAAUUUUUAGGGCAGAAAGUGUGAAAAUGGGAAGUUUAUAGGGGUCGAAGUGCAUUUUAUCCUCUAUAUAUUUAACAAAUGGGUAAUUUGCAUCCACAUCCCUCAAACUUUGGUCUUUUGACAAGUACAUCCCAAACGUUUAACCUUUUGGCAUAAUAAUAAGGGUAAAUAGCACUUAACCCUCUUGUGGUUUUGACAUUUUGCACAUGACCCCCAUAUGGUAUGAAAUUAGGCACAUAACCCCCUUAUGGUUUUGACAUUUUGCACAGACCCCCUUAUGGUAUGAAAUUAGGCACAUAACCCCCUUGUGGUUUUGGAAUUUUGCACAUGACCCCCUUAUGGUAUGAAAUUAGCACAUAACCCCUUGAAUAGAAAACUGAAAAAGACUAAAUUACCCCUAUCAAGUCAAAAAUUCUUGUUUUAAUUUAAAAAUAAUUAUUCUAUAAAAUGAAAAGCUUAAUGUAUUUUUUUGUAAGAUGAGAAAUAUAAUAUAUUAUUGUGUUUUUUUAAUUUUACAGCACAAAAGUUAUAUAAUUCUAGUUAUUGUACGAUUGACAAUUUAUUCGAUUUUAAAUUUCAGUUUGAAAAUCUUUAACAUUAUCAUUAAUUAUGAUAAUUGUAUUACUAUUUUCUAUAUAAUAUAUUAUAAUAUAGUUGUUAUCGAACUUUAAAAUUUUUAAGAAACAAAGUUUUUAUUUAUUUUUUAUUCUUUUGGAAAAAUCUAAAAAAACAUUUCUCUAAAGUUGAAAUGAAAAUUAAAUAUAUAUAUAUAUAUAUAUAUAUAUUGUAGCACCCCCCUUCUAGUCGGACGAUAAAUCGAACCGGUUUAUCGGAAUAUUUAUUAAACUAGCGGAAGCAAAGGAUCUCUUUGUAAUUUUUAAAACUUUGAAGAUGGGACCAAAAUGCAAAUAUUAAAACUUUGCAUUUUUUCGAAAACUUUCUUAUAAGGUGACUUUAGCCGAAUAAAGGUUUCGUUUGGAAAUAAGUUUCGAGGGGAGGUUUUUCGUUCGAGUGCUACAGUAUCACUAUCGGUUUUCGGUUCGAGAAGAAAUCAGAGUUUGGAAAGGUUAUUUUGGUGAGUAGUUCGGAAAUUACUAAUGGAGGCAUGAAAAUAGCAAAAAUUACGAAACGAACUAUUUUAUAAUAGGAGUUAAGUAUGAUUCAUACCGGUAACGAGUUUAGAAGGUACGAAAAGGAAAUAGUUAGGUUUAAUAUUACACUACCAAAAAGAAAAUAACCAAAAGACUUUAGCAUCGUUCAUAGGUCCUCGUACAACUUCCAACAAAAACCCGGGCAAGACCUCGAUCCGCUACUCGACCCAUCCCGGUUGAGGAUUACUAGCACUACUACCUGCAAUUAAAAGACAUCUAUAUGAGCUAUAAAGCUCAGUAAGAAAUCCGAUGAAAUAUCGAACUUUGAAAAUACAUUAUACAUAAUAUAUAAUAUUAUAUACCCAUUCUUACCCACGUUCCAUACAACAACACAAGACAAUCGAUAAAAUCACAUAACUCACGAAAACACAUCAUUCACACAAAAUCACGUACUUAUGCAAAAUGACUAAAAUGCCCUUUUUAUGAAAAUCAUGAAUAACACAUUCUUCGUUUUAUCGGAUCCGUGAAAGAUUAAUUUAUGUACCUAAGUAAUAAACCUGUUACGAGCCCGUUUUCACUAAGUGGAAUCAAACCACAACACACAUCAUCCUAGUUGGAUACCGGCCCUCUAUAUCCGAGUUGUUUAUUACUCGAUAUUCCAUAAAUCUUUCAAUUUGAAAACCAUUUAACGCAAUUUUUUGAAAUCAUGCGUAUGACCCACACAUAACAUCACAAAUAUCAAUCAAGUGCCACCAAAUCACACAAAUAUCACAAUUCACCACAUAUUUAUAAUUUGGGCAAAAAUCCCCAAAUUCACACAUAUAAACACACAACCACACACGGCACACACCACAUGCACAAUCAGCACACACACACUCACACAUAUUCAGCACACACACAUGCAGCCAACACAUUAAACAUCACCAUUUAACAUUAAACCAUGCUUGAAAAGCAAGCACCCUUUUUCACCUUUCAUUUAAUGAACUUAUUACCACAUCUAGGUAAUAAUCCAUUCCAAUAAAUUCCAGCUGUAAUAAACACAUCCAUGCAGCCAUUUAAGGUACAAAACCCCAAAUCUCAUCACUCAUAGUCAUUAAAUCAAAGACAUAAACAUAAAAGCACAAAACAUAAUAAAUGACAUGCAAAUUGUCCUAAUUUCGAAAUAAUAGCAAACUAAUUCCAAAAAUUCCCAAAUUAAAUCCUAGAACUCCUAACUGAUCCAAAAUGCAGAUUCUGAAAUUAUUUUAAAUUUUCACAAAGUCUCGAAUUUUCUUGAAAUUAAAAACUAGAAAAAACCCCUUUUUAAUUUAAAAAUCCAAAACUCUAAUAUAACUCUAAUUAUUUUGAAAACCUUUGUAAAGAAAACUUUUCCCCAUUUAAUACUUGCUGGAAAACAGAUUCAAACUUAAGAAAUGAGAGAUUUUUCGGAAAUUGCAGUUUUGACCCCAAAGUUCCAAGAUUUACACAUGCAACCACACUAAAAGUUCAAAAUCCACUUUUUCAUGAAAAAACUCCUAACCAUCUGAAAUUUUACUUUAAUAGAUGCAGAAAACCAAGUUAAAAAGUUACUUUAUGCAGAAAUUUCGAAAUUUCAUAUUUUACCCCAAAAUCUCUAGAUCUAUACAUGCAAGACCACUAGAAGUUCAAAAAUCACUUUUUUUCUUGCAAAACUUCUUGAAAUCCGAAAUUUUUAUUCAAUAAAUGCUGGAAAACAGUUUUGAAAACACAUUUAGGACUGACUUCUCAAAAAUUACAGAUUUGACCCAAACUUCUUAAGAUCUACACAUGCAACCCCAUAAAAGUUCAAUAAUUCAUUUUUCUUGAAACCCCUUUUUGAAAUCCGAAAUUUUCAAAGCUUUUGACCAAUAAAACUUGUAUCUACCCACUACCAACAUGGAUGAUGCAUGCAAGAACAAGAAAUCAACAUUAAACACCUCUUUUCCAUUUUUCCCCAAAAAGCCCUAAAUUUUCGAACUCACUCCCAAUCUUUUAGAAAAUUUUGAAAACCAUUUUAGUACUAUUGAUGCCAUUUAAUUGCAGCAAGAAAUCGGAAUUUCUUACCUUAAAAUCGAAGAGAAGAAAAAAACCGAAGGAAGAGAGGCUUCAAGCACCAAAAUCUAACCAAGCUACUUUGAUUGUGAAUGAAAUGGUGUGAGCUUCAAGGAGGGAUGAGUUAUUAUCUCCCGUAAGGAGGCAAGUAGUUUUAAUGGUGUUUUUGGAGUAAUCUAUAGCAAGGGUUAAAUAGGGGACCUUCAUUUUUAUUUUUGAUUUUCUUGAAAAUAUGGAGGUGAGGUGGAAGAAGGAGAAGGCCGAUGGUGGUGGUGAUGGCUUCGGUGGAGAGAGGAGGAGGAGACAAGUAAAUGGCUAGGUGUUGGAAGGAAAAAGAUGAAGGGUGUCUCUUCAUCUUACUAAGUAGGGUGGAGUGUAGGAUUAGUGAAAAUGAUUAGCAUUUUGCCAAGUGUAAAGGCAUGCACAAUUUAUCACUAAUUUAUUUAUUUAAAAUAAACACAACUUGCAUAACAACACACACACACCAUCCGGACACACACACACACACACAUAUAUAUAUAUAUACCAUGUAAAUAUACUCAAAUAUAAAAUGCAAGUAUUAGUAUAUAUGUAUGUAUACGCACGUAUGAAAAUGUAUAUACGUAUGCAUGUAGCUAUGUAUGCAUGUAUGUAUGUGUAUGUAUGUACGUAUAUAUAAUCACAAUAUAAUUCACAUAAGUCACGUAAUUCACGAAAUUCCUAGAAUUUCAAUUUAUGGGAAUUUAAAUCAUAUAAAUCACACACACACACACACACACACACACAUAUAUAUAUAUAUAUAUAUAUUCCCGAAAAUAAAUAUCACGAAAUCACCAUAUUAAAUAGCGCAUGUAAUUAUUCACGUAAGUCACGUAAUAUCAUGUAAUAAUAUUACCUACGGAUUCUCGAGAUAGGAAUAUUAUUCUCGGGUUUUAGGGUUUUCGGGUUUUGGAAAGGUGGGGUGUUAUAUAUAUAUAUAUAUAUAUGUGUGUGUGUGUGUGUGUGUGUGUGUGUGUGUGUGUGUGUGUGUGUGUGUGUGCGCGCGCGCGCUGUAAAAUAGAAAAAACACAAUAAUAUAUUAUAUUUUGUUGUAAAUAAUAUGGUUGUGGGGUUUCCUAACAUAACCACCCAACUCCCCACUAGAUCACUACCCUACCCCAUGUCUUUUCAUUUGUGUUAAUGGUAGAAUAACUUCCUUUGUAACUUCUCUUGUAACUCCCGGUGGUUUUUCACCUAUAUAAUGGAAUUCUCCCUCCCCCAAUAACACACGCUUAUUAAUCUCUCUACGAAUUUUUUCUUUGUAUUCUCUCUCUAUAUUAUAUUAUUGUUGUCAUACUUUAUUUUCCACAAAUCAUCAAACCGAAGAGCAAUACCAUUAGGGCGAUUUACAACACGUUAUCUGCACGAAUUGCUCGCAGUGAUCGUGGAAGAACAAUUGUCGUGGGGCUAGAAUACUUCGAGAAAUUGUGAGCGUGGUUCGUUUGUGAGACGGUGACCUACUUUCGUAGAACGUAUAAUCUUCUCUGUAGUAUCUGAAUUUUAUCAAUUUUCAAGUAAGCCUUAACCCCUUGAAAUUCUUUAUUAUAUGAAUGCAUGCUAGAUAAAUUCGAAUUUGCAUGAGAAGUUGUGUAGCAUAUUUAUUUGAUGUCAUUUGAUAUUUGUUUGAAAAUCUCGGUUGAUGUUUCGAGUACUUUAUGAUUCAUGAAUAGAUUGUUGUAUGAGUUGUACUUUGUUGGUGAAUGAAGAUAAGAAGUUUAUGAAUUAAUCUAUUUGUCAAGAUGAGUAAUAUGUAAUAUUCUUGUAGAAUGAUUUCACUAUGAAUAUUUUGCGUACAUGUUUGGACAUUUAAUGAUGUGCUUUUUUUGUCACUAAUAUCCCCAACCCAAUCAGAAUCACUAAAACCUAUCAAAUUAGUAUUAGUGUCUUUGAAAAACUGAAUACCUAAGUCUACUGUACCUGCAACAUACCUAAUAAUCCUCUUCACAACUUUUAGAUGAGUGACUUUGGGAUUAGCUUGGUACCUGGCACACACACAAACACUAAACAUAAUGUCAGGUCUGCUUGCAGUUAGAUACAGAAGGCUUCCAAUCAUGCUUCUGUAUAGGGUGCUGUCAACAUCCUCAGCAACAUCGUCCUUGGAGAGUUUUUGACCUGAUCCCAUUGGAGUUUUCAUGUGCUUGGCUGACUCCAACUCAAACCUCUUGACCAGAUUGAGAGCAUACUUCUUUUGAUUUACAAAAAUUCCUUCACCUGUCUGUUUAAUUUGGAGUCCUAGGAAGUAAUUCAACUCUCCUAACAUGCUCAUUUCAAAAGUGCAAGACAUAUAAUCUACAAAAGACUGUAAAAGGUUAGCACAAGUAGAACCAAAAACAAUAUCAUCAACAUAUAUCUGUACAAUAAUGAUAUGGUUAUUUGUUCUUUUAACAAAUAGAGUUCGGUCUGCCUCUCCUCUGGUAAACUGUAUCUCAAGUAAGAAGUCAGUUAGUCUUUGAUACCAAGCUCUAGGAGCUUGUUUAAGACCAUACAAAGCCUUCUUAUGUUUGAACACAUGAUUAGGCUUGGCAGAAUCUUCAAAACCCUUGGGCUGCUCUACAUAUGCUUCUUCAUUUAAGACACCAUUUAGAAAUGCACUUUUGAUAUCCAUUUGAUACAGUUUGAUUUUAAGAAAACAGGCUAUAGCAAGAAGUAACCUAAUAGAUUCAAUUCUAGCUACUGGAGCAAAUGUCUCAUCAAAAUCUAUACCUUCUAUCUGAGUGUAACCUUGUGCUACUAACCUAGCCUUAUUUCUAACAACUGUAGCUUUUUCAUCAGUUUUGUUCUUGAAGAUCCACUUAGUUCCUAUCACAUUAACAUGACUUGGUCUAGGAACUAAGUACAAAGCAUCAUUCCUGAUGAACUGAUUCAGUUCUUCAUGCAUUGCAUUGAUCCAAAACUUAUACUUCAGUGCUUCUGCAAUAUUCUUUGGUUCAACCGGAGAUACAAAACAAGUAGGUCCAGUUAGUGCACAUUCAGAAGAUAAAUUUGCAAAUCUUACCAUAUCUCUGUAAUUCACCCUCUCUUUUCUUCUGGUCCUUAUCCCAUCAAAGAUAUCUCCCACAACUUGAGUAGAGGGGUGAUUUUUCUGGAUUCUACUGGAUGGUUCCUUUCUGCAGACAUCAUGAGUUGGUUGUGUUUCAGCUUCUGUGUUCUCCGUAGGAAGUAUUGACUCAGAUGUGGUAACACUUGGCUCAACACCCUCUUCUCUUGACACUGGAAUGUGUAUAUCUGGAGCACCUGUGGCAGUAGUGUCUCCUCCGGCUGUUUCUUCUUCAGCAAUCAGGUCAUCAACUUCAUCUUCAGCUGUUUUACUGCGGAGAUCAGCAAAAUCAUCAAAUACCACAUUUACAGAUUCAAUAAUGGUUCGAGUUCUUAAGUUAUAUACUCUAUAUGCAUGACUGUUAUUAGAGUAUCCCACAAAUAAACUCAAAUCACUUUUUGAAUCAAAUUUAGCUAGAUGAUCUCCGUCAUUUAGGACAUAGCAAACACAUCCAAACACAUUCAUGUAUUCUAGAUUAGGUUUCUUACCAUAAAGAAUUUCAUAUGAAGUCAUCAUAGACCCUAAUCUUAGAUACACACGAUUUGAGAUGUGACAGGCUGUAUUGACAGCCUCAGCCCAAAACAUUUUAGACAUAUUUUUUGCACUUAUCAUUACCCUAGCCAUCUCCUGGAUAGUUCUGUUAUUUCUUUCAGCAAUACCAUUUUGCUGAGGAGUUUUUGGAGCAGAAAAUUCAUGCUUUAUGCCAUUUUUAUUACAAAAAGUAUAAAAUAAAGCAUUUUCAAAUUAUUUUCCAUGAUCAGACCUUAUUCUUCGAAUAGAAACUUGAAAUUGAGUUCUAACAAACCUGUACAAAUUUCUGAAAACUUCAAAAGUAUCAGAUUUUUCUCUUAAGAAAUACACCCAAGUAUAUCUCGAAAAAUCAUCAACACACACAAAUACAUAUUUUUUACCACCUAGACUUUCUACCUCUAUAGGACCCAUAAGGUCCAUAUGUACAAGUUCAAAACAAAUGGUGGUCCCAACGUGUUGUAACACUUUGUGUGGUACUCUAGUUUGCUUUCCCUUCUGGCACAUUCCGCAUAUAGGGACGUCCUUGAUCUUGAGAUCUGGAAUUCCUCUUAUGGCAUUGUACUUGUUGAGCAGCUUCAGAUUUUUGAAGUUUGUGUGCCCUAGUUUCUGGUGCCACAGCUCUACUUCACUUACUCUUGAGCUCUUGCAUGAGAUGGUGUCACCUGUUUGAUAACAAUUGUCCAUAGACCUGGAACCUGUUAGUACACAAUGAUUUUGAUUAUCAAACACAGAACAUCAGUACUUAUCAAAUUGAACACGUAGAUCAUCAUCACACAAUUGACUAAUACUGGUGAGAUUUGAUCCCAAUCCUUCAACAUGUAAGACAUUUGAAAGUUUUGGAAGUCCCUCAAUGUUGAGUGUUCCACGUCCAACCACUUUGCCUUAGCUCCUCCUCCAUAGGUUACACGUCCACCAUUGAGUGUAUGGUAGUUUGAUAGAAACUCUUUAGUUCUAGUCAUGUGCCUAGAGCAUCCACUAUAAAAGUACCAUGAACCUGAAAUGUUAGCAUUUAAAGACGUGUAUACUGCUUUGCACAUAAGUUUACAUUUGGGAGUCCAUAUUCUACACUCAUUUUUGGUAAACUCUACCUUUUUCUUGGAGGUGUUCCCUGGAGUGAUGUGACUCAUUCUGUACAACACUUUGUCACUACUUAGUUUUUCACAAAAUGGACGGAUAUGUCUGUUGGGUUUCGGACACGUGUACGCAGCGGAAAACAAAAAAAAUAUGCGAUUUAAACAACUUUAAAGCACAUAAGCACAUGCCCGAUAAAUUAAAUCAAUUAAUUGCGUACCUUUGCGCUUCUAGCGAAAUUAAAAACAACAUACAUGCUAAAUUACUUAAUCGAAAUUAAAUCAACUAGCAUGCUCGCGUUUAAAUCAAAUAACAUGCUCGCAAUAAAAUUAUGAUUUCACAUAAUCACAUAAAAUCAUACGAAAGCAAACAUGAAUACUUAGUUUAAACGUAAACGAAUCGAAACAUGAGAUUCGUGUGUUUACCUCUUGAAGCGUGAGGUAGGAGUGCUCAGCAAGUCGAGAUUGCUACGGAAACCAAUCCGUACAAUCCGGGGCAGCAGCGGUAUGGCGGCAGCAGCGGCGAGACGGCCACGGCGGCGCUUGUAACUCACGCGCGGUCUUCGGGCGGCGCGUGGGGUUGCGUGCGGCUUCGGCUCGUGUGCUGCUCCUCGAUUCUUCGAUCUACGAUCUUCCUCCUCUCGGAUUUCACCUCGUAUACUUUGAUCUACUAAACACGUGGCACUAGACACGUAAUAGUUAGAAAAACGGAAGAAAAAGAGAAGGAAAGAAACUACCAAAGCAAUCGGCCGAUUAACGGCCGAUUCCGGCGAGGUUCCGGCGACGGCGCCGGUGAUGGCCGCGGGAGAGAGGCCGAGAGAGAGAGGUGAGCAGCUAGGGUUUUGAUUAGGUCUUGUGUCUUUGUGCAAGGCCUAUAAAUCAAGUAUUUAUAGUCCCCUGCAUAAAACCCUAACGGGCUUAAGUUGGACCGGGCCCAACAGCUUAAGCUCGUUAGUUCCUUUACUUACUCGUUUCUCUCAAUUCAAUGAUCGGAAAAUUGCUACGAUUACAAUUUCGGAAUCAUUAUAAUAUCCUCGUCAUUACGAGUGCCAACUCUCAAUUUCCAACUUUCCAAAAGUGGAAACCCUAGUUCAGUGCACUUUCUAAAUUUGGAAACUUCCCGAUUUAGAAAGUUCACUAAUACGUUCGCCUAUUCGUUUCCUUUUCUUAUUCUCAUUCAUAAUUCCAAAUCACGAAUGUUGGAUCCAAUCAUAUUGACUUCCAAUCAUGCAAAGAUAAACUAUUUUAUCUCUGACCGUUUAUUCAAAGAUCUCAUGUGCACGAGCAGUGUGACCCUCGAUGGUUCAUGUGUAAGCUAGCCGUGGGCCCACAACCCUUUGUGGUAAAAACUUGUCCCUUAGAGUUACGAUUAAGAUGAAGCUCGUUUCACCUUAAUCACCCAACGAAUCAAGAUUGGCGUCUAGCAACUACGCGUCAUGAUUCCCUAGAUACAAAUGAAGUGCCUGCAAGAACCUUCAGAUAUAGUUAACGUACAGUACGGUCCCUUCGAUACAUAUGUCCCGAUCGAACUAGAGGCAUUGGUUCAUCGAGACCUCUUUAUAUGUUCGAUGACGGUGCGAUCGUUCCAAGUGUUGUAAUCGUCACGUGCAUGACUUAGAGAAUCGAAUUCUCUAAUCAUCACUUAGUCAGCUCUGGCCAGAGACUUAGAAUGAUUACAAACUUUCAGAACACACAGGACAUCCAAGACUAUUCUAGCGAUCGAAUGCCCGACUACAAUGCACAGACCUCCCACUAGAUUUCGGACUGCACGAACACUGGCCCUUGGGAUGGUCCUCGGUGGAACUCAGGGACAGGUCACGAUACAGCUGGUCCUCUAGUGAAGUCACGAUGAUGUCUAGGUCAUAAGGACUAAUGGUGUACAACUAUACCAUAGAUAUCUCUACUCGAUUAUUGGGAACCACUUAGAGAUUUCUAGGGUGAGGGAGUUCAGUGAACUCGUCAAAUUACGAGCACCCACUUAUGCAUGCCGAUAUCACAAUACCGUUUACUGAUGAGAUGCAGUACACAUACACUAAGUGCUAGUCUUAAUGGGAAAGGCCGAUAUCCUCAUUAGUGGCGUAACCCUUCGACUAGGAACACGUUUAACAGUUAUAAUACUUGAGUAAAUAUCUCACGAUCCUAACGAUCAAUUACUAGUACUUGUAAUAACUGUAAGGACUAUAUCUAUGCUUGUGACAAAGGGACAAAGAUAUAGAAUGCCAAGGUGUUUUAUCAUUAAUACGAAUAAAGGUUCGUUUAUUACAAUAAUAAAUACGAAAGAACACAGCCACAUGUUGGCUUGUUGGUCACCUACUCUAACAAUCUCCCACUUGACCUAAAGCCAACUACCCAUAAAUCGCAAUCCCAUCGACUCUCGAUGUUUCUCAUGGACCGAUCUCGGUAAAGGCUUCGUGAAGUGGUCUGCAACGUUCUCUUCCGAGGCGACUCGUUCAACCUUAACUUCACCUCUAUCAAUGAUCUCUUGGAUCACUUGAUACUUCAUCAGAAUAUGCUUCGACUUCUGAUGAGAUUGUGGCUCCUUAGCUUGCGCCACGGCUCCGGUGUUAUCACAGUACAACGGUACUGGAUCACUAGCAUCAGGAAUGACACCCAACUCUUGGAUGAAUUUCCUUAUCCAAGUCCCUUCUUUCGCCGCUUCGGACGCUGCAAUGUAUUCCGCUUCGGUAGUGGAAUCGGCCGUCGUGCUUUGCUUGGAACUCUUCCAACACACGGCACCACCAUUAAGCAUGAAUAUAAAUCCAGAAUUCGACUUUAAGUCGUCCACAUCCGAUUGAAAACUAGAGUCAGUAAAACCCUCUAAUUUCAACUCGGCACCCCCAUAGACCAAAAAUAUAUCCUUAGUUCUUCGCAAGUACUUGAGGAUAUCUUUCACGGAUUUCCAGUGAGCCGGGCCGGGGUUAGACUGAUAUCUGCUUGUGACACUCACAGCAUACGCAAUAUCGGGUCUCGUACAUAGCAUGCCAUACAUUAUGCUUCCUAUGGCAGAAGCAUAAGGCGUCCUUUUCAUCUCCUCGAUUUCACUAGGUGUUUGCGGACACAUAGAUUUCGAGAGACGAACCCCAUGGGACAUUGGCAAGAAUCCCUUCUUGGAUUCUUCCAUGCUAAACCGUUUCAUAAUGGUGUCUAUGUACAGGCUUUGGGAUAAGCCAAGCAUCUUUCUUGCUCUAUAUCUAUAGAUGCGUAUUCCUAAUACAUAAGAUGCUUCUCCCAAAUCCUUCAUUGAGAAACGUGUGGACAACCAUGCUUUCGUUUGUUGCAGCAUUCCUACGUCAUUCCCAAUGAGUAGAAUGUCAUCAACGUAAAGCACUAAAAAUAUCACUGCCCUCCCACUAACCUUCUUGUAUACACAAGGUUCCUCCGGAUUCUUCUCAAAAUCAAACUCUUUGAUAGUUGAGUCGAACCUAAUGUUCCAACUUCGGGAUGCUUGUUUCAAUCCAUAAAUGGAUCGCUGGAGUUUGCAAACCUUUUGCUCACUUCCAGAAGAUAUGAAGCCUUCCGGCUGCGCCAUGUAAAUUUCUUCCUCAAUAUCUCCAUUAAGGAAGGCGGUCUUCACAUCCAUUUGCCAUAUCUCGUAGUCGUACCACGCAGCUAUGGCCAGCAAAAUCCUAAUGGACUUCAGCAUCGCGACUGGCGAAAAGGUUUCCUCAUAGUCAACGCCUUGCCUUUGAGUGUAUCCUUUCGCUACCAAUCUAGCUUUAUAGGUCGAUACCUUUCCAUCAACUCCAAUUUUCUUCUUAUAGAUCCACUUGCAGCCUAUAGGAACAAUUCCUUUGGGUGGAUCUACCAAGGUCCACACCUUGUUAGAGUACAUGGAGUCCAUCUCGGAUUUCAUGGCAGUUAGCCAAUGUCCCAUAUCCGCAUCCGAUACGGCCUCAUUGUAUGUUCUUGGAUCUUGUCCAAGAUCAACAUGAUCUUCAUCAUUUUCGAGGAGGAAUAACCUAUCCGGCAUUUUCCGAACUCUUUCGGAUCUACGUACGGUAGGUUCAGGAGGUGUAUUAGUGGAUUGUUGUAUUGGUUUGAUUACUUGUUCUUGCGCUUGAACUUCACUUUGUGGUUUUUGAACUACUUCAAGUUCUAUCAUGCUGCCCUUUCUAUCGGAUAGAAACUCCCUUUCCAAAAAGGUGGCAUUUCUCGAAACAAACAUCUUUCCUUAUUUGACAUAGAAGAACUCGUAUCCCAUCGAGUCUUCGGGAUACCCCACAAAAUAGCAUAAGUCGGAUUUACUAUCCAACUUAUCUCCCACUAAUCGCUUCACAUAAGCGGGACAACCCCAUAUCCUAAUAUGUUUGUAGUUGGGUUUCCGGGAAUGCCAAAGUUCAUAAGGUGUGGAUUUAACUGCUUUGGUGUUAACUCUAUUCAGCAAAUACGCGGCAGUACGAAGUGCAUGACCCCACAAGUAUGCCGGUAAGUUCGUGAACCCCAUCAUUGAUCGAACCAUAUCUAAUAAAGUUCGAUUCCGACGUUCGGAGACUCCAUUAAGUUGAGGAGUUCCCGGUGGAGUCCAUUGGGAUUGUAUCCCAUUCUCUUUUAGAUAGUCAAUGAACUCGAUGCUCAAGUAUUCUCCACCACGAUCGGAUCGCAGCUUCUUAAUACUUCGUCCGAGUUGUUUUUCCACUUCGUGUCUAAAAUCUUUGAACCUUUCAAAUGUUUCAGACUUGUACUUCAUCAAGUACACAUACCCAUACCUAGAAUAAUCGUCGGUAAAGGUAGCGAAGUAGUUAUAUCCACCCUUCGCACUAACACUUAGUGGACCACAUACAUCUGUAUGGAUCAAAUCCAAAAGACCCUCGGCUCGUUCCAUUUUCCCUUUGUAGGGUGACUUGGUCAUUUUCCCUUUAAGGCAAGAUUCACAAGUUUGUAGUGAUUUCACGUCCUCCAAAGAGAACAAUCCUUCACUGACAAAAUCGUUCAUCCUUCUCAAAGAGACAUGACCUAAUCUAGCGUGCCAAAGUUGUGCGGGGUUUUGAUCUAUCUCCUUACGUUUUGCUGAUAUAACAUUAAUAGGUAUUUCAUUUGGAUUUAGUUCAUACAAGUUGUUUAAUAGUCGUCCUUUGCAAAUCAAAUUCUCAUUCUUUUGUAUAAUGCAAAUCGAAUUACCAAAAACAAAAGUAAAACCUUCAAUAUCUAAUACAUAAAUAAAAAUAAGGUUUCUAAUGAGGGACGGAACAAAUAAACAAUCGUUCAAAACAAUAGGAAAACUAGAAUCCAAAACAUUUAAGUAAAUUGUGCCAAUGGCUUCAGCAGCAACUCUUGCUCCAUUCCCCAUCCUUAGGUAGGUCUCACCCGCUCUAAGCCUUCGACUUCUUGUUAUUAGCUGCAAAUCAUUGCACAAAUGUGAGCCACAGCCCGUAUCCAAUACCCAAGAAGAAGAGUUGACAGAUAAAUUUACGUCAAUGAAAUACGUACCCUUUUCAGAACCUUUCUGCUUUAGGUAAGCCUUGCAGUUGCGGCGCCAAUGUCCUUUCUUUCCACAGUGAUGGCAAGCAUCAUCAACUUGCUUGCCAACCUUUGCUUUGGGGCCCCCACUACCUUCACCCACUUCGAACUUGUUGUUUGGGAAGGGAACUCUUUCCUUUCUCUUCUUUCUGAAAGAACUCUUCUUUCCAGAAGUAGCAGCAACGAGAACAGACUUCUCUUUCUUAAUGGUGGACUCGAAGCUGACCAACAUGUUCAUUAACUCAUCCAAGGGAGGAUCUAGUUUGUUCAUGUUGAAGUUCACUAUGAACGAUUCAUAGGAACUAGGGAGAGAUAACAGGAUCAAAUCCAACGAGAGCUCGGCCGGGAGGGUGACAUCAAGAUUCACUAGCUUUUCAAGGAGAGUGAUCAUUUUGAGACAGUGCUCGUGGACCGAAGUCCCUUCGCGCAGUCUCGCCGUGAUCAACUCCUUUGUAGCAGCGUACCUCGAUGCCCUAAUAUUCUCACUAUACAUGCUAUCGAGAUCAGCCUUUAUAUCGAAAGCAUGCAUGUGAGACUCAUAUUUCCUCGCAAGCGCGGGCUCCAUGGCGGCUAUCAUAUAGCACCUAGCAUGAGUGUCAUCUUUCUUCCAAACUUCAUAAGUUUCCUUUUCAGCAUCAGUCGCUGUGGCAGGUCUAGUGGCGGGAAGUCUCUCGUUCAAAACAUAGAGACGCCCCUCAACGGUUAGCACAAGCUUAAGACUGCGCAACCAAUCUAGGUAAUUAGGGCCAUUGAGUUUAUUGUCGAGGAUUGACUUUAUGGGAUUCUUAGACAUGAUUAUCUGAGACAUAUAGAGAAGAGGAUUAUUAGAGAUUCGCGUUAAAUGAUUGUUACAAUUAAAUGUUUGGACUUAUGUGAUUUAAUUGUUCUCCCACUAAUUUUAUCGAGUUCCACUUCCCUCUAGUAGACAAACGAGAAAACUGAUUUUUCUUAAUGGGCUUUAGGUCCAAUAGACAAAUAUAACCCGUAGUUAAUCUAGCCCGAUUAUAUUUGCCCAAAGGUAGAUCACAAUCAAUCAUAUCCACAAUAUGACCCUAAAUUAAUUUUCCUCACACUUGAUAAUGACCUAAGUUAAUCUCGCGAAUAUCAAAAUCGUCGUGUGUCAAGUCUAACCUACCAAUCAAAGAUGCUCAUAGAACUUGAUUAUGCCAAACUAAUGUAGUCCCUAGUUAAUCUAGCCGACCACGUUAAUCCAACAUAACCCUUUUCUAUGGCUACCUUCAUCGCUAUGUCAAUUGAAUUACAGCUUACUCUACCAUAGCACUCCCCGCUAACACGGCUUACUGCACUACAGUAAAGGGCUACACAUAAUCCAACCGUUGGCAGAAGGAAAGAAAUAACUCAACAGAUUGGGUUUUUCUUUAUAGCUUGAAAUGAUUCUUAAUUAGAUUAAGAAUGAGGGGUUUUAUUAAAAAGUUUUUAUCUCAUCAGAAGGUUCGGAUUGGUCUAUGUGAUUCCUACAUCUAUGUUCUCUAAAGGUAUAUGGAAACGCAUAUUGUCCUAAGAGGAACAUACGACCUAAUUUCAUAAUUAAUUACAUUAAUUAAUUAUCGGGUUUUUCAAAAUAAUUAUAGAACCUCAACUAGCAUAAAUCAUUCAAAUAAUGUUGAGGUACUACUAAUUAAGUUGAACUAUAAUCAAUGUUAUAUAUGGGUUCUAUUAAUUGAAAUCAAUUUAACAAUUUAAAUUAAUUAAUUAAUCUAACACCUAUUUACUAAAAUAGAUGAUUGUCGAUCCAAUUAUCUAAUUGGGAUUAAUUGAAAAUAAUUUUCCAAAAAUUAAAAUCAAUUUGUUUUAAAUUUAAUUUUAGAAAUCUGAAAUAAAAAUAUAUUUUUUUUUUUUUCAGUGAACCGGUUCGGCCCAACCGGUCUGACCGGUUCGGACCGAAGCGGUCCGGUUCUGCCCGGUCCAGUUGACCCAAAUCGGUGGGCCGGGUCAGUCGGACCGAGAACCGGUCUGACCGACCCGAAUCCACGUGGAUUCGGUCAACUAGAUCGCACACAACCAUCGAACCGGCCGGUUCGACCGGUUCGAUCCGAACAAUUAAAAAACCGACGUUUUAAAAAUAAUUUCAGCUCCGAUUUUCCAAUUUUAAACAAUUUUAAAGCUGGAAAAAUUCUAAACAAUAUUUCAAAAAUAUUUUAAACUUACGAAAACUCCCAAUUACAUAAUACAACAAUCACUACUUUAAUAAAUCGAACAUGCAUAAAAUCAUAGCAUAUUAAAACGAACGCAAUUAAUUGCGCAACGAGCUCUGAUACCACUGUUGGGUUUCGGACACGUGUACGCAGCGGAAAACAAAUAUUUUAUGCGAUUUAAACAACUUUAAAGCACAUAAGCACAUGCCCGAUAAAUUAAAUCAAUUAAUUGCGUACCUUUGCGCUUCCAGCGAAAUUAAAAACAACAUACAUGCUAAAUUACUUAAUCGAAAUUAAAUCAACUAGCAUGCUCGCGUUUAAAUCAAAUAACAUGCUCGCAAUAAAAUUAUGAUUUCACAUAAUCACAUAAAAUCAUACGAAAGCAAACAUGAAUACUUAGUUUAAACGUAAACGAAUCGAAACAUGAGAUUCGUGUGUUUACCUCUUGAAGCGUGAGGUAGGAGUGCUCAGCAAGUCGAGAUUGCUACGGAAACCAAUCCGUACAAUCCGGGGCAGCAACGGUGCGGCGGCAGCAGCGGCGAGACGGCCACGGCGGCGCGUGUAACUCACGCGCGGUCUUCGGGCGGCGCGUGGGGUUGCGUGCGGCUUCGGCUCGUGUGCUGCUCCUCGAUUCUUCGAUCUACGAUCUUCCUCCUCUCAGAUUUCACCUCGUAUACUUUGAUCUACUAAACACGUGGCACUAGACACGUAAUAGUUAGAAAAACGGAAGAAAAAAGAGAAGGAAAGAAACUACCAAAGCAAUCGGCCGAUUAACGGCCGAUUCCGGCGAGGUUCCGGCGACGGCGCCGGUGAUGGCCGCGGGAGAGAGGCCGAGAGAGAGGUGAGCGGCUAUGGUUUUGAUUAGGUCUUGUGUCUUUGUGCAAGGCCUAUAAAUCAAGUAUUUAUAGUCCCUUGCAUAAAACCCUAACGGGCUUAAGUUGGACCGGGCCCAACAGCUUAAGCUCGUUAGUUCCUUUACUUGCUCGUUUCUCUCAAUUCAAUGAUCGGAAAAUUGCAACGAUUACAAUUUCGGAAUCAUUAUAAUAUCCUCGUCAUUACGAGUGCCAACAUUCAAUUUCCAACUUUCCAAAAGUGGAAACCCUAGUUCAGUGCACUUUCUAAAUUUGGAAACUUCCCGAUUUAGAAAGUUCACUAAUACGUUCGUCUAUUCGUUUCCUUUUCUUAUUCUCAUUCAUAAUUCCAAAUCACGAAUGUUGGAUCCAAUCAUAUUGACUUCCAAUCAUGCAAAGAUAAACUAUUUUAUCUCUGACCGUUUAUUCAAAGAUCUCAUGUGCACGAGCAGUGUGACCCUCGAUGGUUCAGGUGUAAGCUAGCCGUGGGCCCACAACCCUUUGUGGUCAAAACUCGUCCCUUAGAGUUACGAUUAAGAUGAAGCUCGUUUCACCUUAAUCACCCAACGUAUCAAGAUUGGCGUCUAGCAACUACGCAUCAUGAUUCCCUAGAUACAAAUGAAGUGCCUGCAAGAACCUUCAGAUAUAGUUAACGUACAGUACGGUCCCUUCGAUACAUAUGUCCCGAUCGAACUAGAGGCAUUGGUUCAUCGAGACCUCUUUAUAUGUUCGAUGACGGUGCGAUCGUUCCAAGUGUUGUAAUCGUCACGUGCAUGACUUAGAGAAUCGAAUUCUCUAAUCAUCACUUAGUCAGCUCUGGCCAGAGACUUAGAAUGAUUACAAACUUUCAGAACACACAGGACAUCCAAGACUAUUCUAGCGAUCGAAUGCCCGACUACAAUGCACAGACCUCCCACUAGAUUUCGGACUGCACGAACACUGGCCCUUGGGAUGGUCCUCGGUGGAACUCAGGGACAGGUCACGAUACAGCUGGUCCUCUAGUGAAGUCACGGUGAUGUCUAGGUCAUAAGGACUAAUGGUGUACAACUAUACCAUAGUUAUCUCUACUCGAUUAUUGGGAACCACUUAGAAAUUUCUAGGGUGAGGGAGUUCAGUGAACUCGUCAACUUACGAGCACCCACUUAUGCAUGCCGAUAUCACAAUACCGUUUACUGAUGAGAUGCAGUACACAUACACUAAGUGCUAGUCUUAAUGGGAAAGGCGGAUAUCCUCAUUAGUGGCGUAACCCUUCGACUAGGAACACGUUUAACAGUAAUAAUACUUGAGUAAAUAUCUCACGAUCCUAACGAUCAAUUACUAGUACUUGUAAUAACUGUAAGGACUAUAUCUAUGCUUGUGACAAAGGGACAAAGAUAUAGAAUGCCAAGGUGUUUUAUCAUUAAUACGAAUAAAGGUUCGUUUAUUACAAUAAUAAAUACGAAAGACCACAGCCACAUGUUGGCUUGUUGGUCACCUACUCUAACAAUGUCCUGGUGAGAAACAGUAAUGACAAAUGUAUCUCCUUAUUCUGAAAUCUGGAGUGGUGAUUGUGGAAUUUCUGCAUUCUUUUCCAUUUGAACCCUUCUCUUUUACAAAGACAAUUUCCUUCUUCUUUACUGGCUUGUGUUUCUUCACUUGUUUUUUGAACCCUAGACCUUCAUUUUUGGUGUACUUCUCCAGUGACACAAUCUCUUCGAGUUUAGUUGUGCCGGUAUUUAUCCUCUUGAUUGCUAGAGUUUAUUCUUUGAGUUCAUCUUUCACCUUUGCCGAUUCAAGAUCCUUCUUGGUGAUUCCAACCUCCAAAUGAGUGAUUUGUUUCUUUAAGGUAAGAAUUUUCCUUGUUGGCUGCAUCUAGAGCAUGAGUCUUAUUCUCCAAGUCGCUGAACAAUUUCUUAUACAUUUCUUCCUCAUCUCCCACUGCUUCUUUACUGUAUUCUGCAGCAUUCAAAGAAAUAGAGUUCAAACAUGUAUAAUGACUAUUAUCUAACUCAGAAAUUUCAGUUACUGAAAGUGUUUCAGAAAGUGUUGCAGCAUCUAGAGAAACUCCCUAUGAUUCUGUUUCAGGACAAUUUUCAAUGAAAUAUCUGACAGAAAGAGCCUGUUUUGUGGGUUGCUGCUCCUCUGUCUGUUCAGGUUGCUCUUCCUUCUCAUCACUGACAGCACAAAUCAGGCUCAUUCCUCUUCUUCUCAAGGUAUUUGCACAUUCAUUAGCAUAAUGUCCAAAUCCUGAGCAAGCCCUGCAUUUAAUAUGAUCCAAGUUAGGUGGUUCAUAAUUUGAACGAAUAAAUGGAGAAUUUUUUAAAGUGUUUUGAGAAGAUGUUUGAGGAAAUGUUCUCUGUGGAAUAGAUCUGUUCCGGGGCUGAGUUUGUCGAUUUUGUGGAGAGCCAUCUGGAAAUAACUGUCUGGGCUUGAUUCCACUUCGUCUGUAUGCCCUAUUGAAUUUCUGAAUCUGAAAUGCCACAUUGUUGACACAUUCCUCUGCAUCAUCAUCAUACUCCGGAGCAACUUCUUUCUUUUCUAAUUCUGCCUGGAGUGAAUUUGAGAUGGCCUUACCUUUCUCGUUUCUCUGAUCUUCAAAGUUCAUCUCUCUAGACUUUAAGCUACCAAUUAAUUUUUCCAGACGUAGAGAUGAUGUGUCUUUGGCCUCCUCAAUUGCAGUAACUGUCAUGCUGAAUCUUUCUGGAAGAGUUCUCAGUACCUUAUUCACCAGUGUCUCAUUGCUCAAGGGACCACCUAAGGAUUGAAAUUCAUUAGCUAAAUCGAUCAAUUUCUCAUUGUAUUGAGAAAUUGUUUCAGUUUCUUCCAUCCUGAGUCUCUCAAAUUUGGAAGUGAGUAAUCUGAGCUUAGUUCUUCUAACACUGUCUGAUCUUUCACAAUGUAACUGAAGAACCUCCCAUGCAUCCUUCGCAGAAGUGCACACUGAGAUCAGUUUAAACAUUGUUAAAUCUACUGAAUUAAAGAUUGCAUUUAACGCCUUUGAGUUUUGAUUGGCAUUUGAUAAAUCGUCUGCUGUCCACCGUUUUCUGGUGUUGGAAAUACAUCCCCAUCCGCAUCUGUUAUAGUUGGUAGCUUCCAUCCAGUAACAAUAGAUCUCCAGGCUCUCUCGUCAAUGGCUUUGAUGUACGCCCUCAUCUUGACUUUCCAGUAGGUGUAGUUUGUGCCAUCAAGUACAGGAGAUCGCAUAGAAGCAGUCAUCUGAGUAUCCAUCACGAAUUCGUUUCUGAAAAAGAAAUAGGAACAAACACUUAGUAUACGUCAAGUGUUGGCUCUUGAUGCCAAUUGAAAGAAUUUAUGGUCCCGAAUUCGUUUAAUACAGAGGUGUUAUAUUAAGUGUUAUGACACUUGUAUAAACAUGCAGCGGAAAUAUAAAAACAAUACUCAGAUUAAAAAUGUUCACAAGUAAAAACUUGUGAACUUGCCCUUUAAAUGACGUAAAAACUUAUUUUAAAAACAGUAUUACAAGAAUACAAAGAGAAGAAGUACAAAAACUUCUUCCUUAUGAAUGAAUCACUAGCUUGAUCAUUCUUACAACCAAAUCUAGAAACAAAAAGAUAAAUACUAAAAAUUCUAGAUUUCAAAGAAUGUACUCGUGAGGAGUACGUACAACAGAGAUUCUAGAAACACACUAAAACUCUCAUGUAUUCUUUUCAGCUCUCGGUUUUUUGUUUCUUCGAAUCCUUAAAAAUUCCUUGAGUCUUGAAGUCGGUAUUUAUAGACAUUCCAAGCUUCCACUCCUCAGCCCAUGAUCUGCAAGAAAACCAACUACAAGAGCACUCAAGAACAUGGGUUAGUGGGUUAGUUUAGUAGUUAAAAUAAUAUCCACAAUUUAACCCCACUAAUAAGCACUACUUAGCCCACUAAGUAAUAUACUUAGCCCACUAAGCCAUAACUAAAAUUUAGUUUGAAAGUAGGAGAGUUAAAAACACAUUGUGGAAAUUCACGUGUUUCAAGAUGUUUUAUUGCUUUAGUCGUUUUAUUAAAAAAGAAUAAAAAAAUUGCUUGAGUCGAAUACAUCGAUGAGUUGUGAUGAUGAGAUAUGACCAAUUUGAUGAUGAAAUUGCUUAUUUUGUUGUGAUAAAAACUAGAUGUUCGGUUAUCUUCCGAUUCAAUUUAACUUGGAAGCGAACUACUGUUAGGAAUCACAGUUUGUGCAUUACUUUUGUUGAACGUUUUUUUAUUUUAAAUUGGGAAUUAAUUUGUGCUAGAUUAAGCUAUUUUCGGUUUUAGAGCCCACCUUAGGAAAUUUAUGAUAAGAUGUGUUGAGUAAUGAGUGAUUUGAGAUAUGAUUUGGCCUUCUUUGAACCGUUUCAGCCUUUGAAGCCGACAUUUUAUCAAAAUUAACCUUGAUUUGAGCCUUGGAGAAACGGUGUUCUUUCUUUUAGCCAAUACUUUAUAAGGUAGAAUAGAUGAAAAUUCUUGAAAUAAAUUAUAUAUAUAUAUAUAUAUAUAUAUAUAUAUAUAUAUAUAUAUAUAUAUAUAUAUAUAUACCUAAAUUCUAAAACCCGAGAUUUAUAUUCCUUACUCGGAAACCUUUAGGAAAUAUUAUUAUGUGAUUAUNNNNNNNNNNNNNNNNNNNNNNNNNNNNNNNNNNNNNNNNNNNNNNNNNNNNNNNNNNNNNNNNNNNNNNNNNNNNNNNNNNNNNNNNNNNNNNNNNNNNNNNNNNNNNNNNNNNNNNNNNNNNNNNNNNNNNNNNNCGUAUUUUAUUUAUACUCGUACAUACACGCAUGCAUAGGUAUACAUACAUAUAUAGUGUCUAUAUACAUAUAUAUAUAUAUAUAUAUAUAUAUAUAUAUAUAUAUAUAUAUAUAUAUAUAUAUAUAUAUAUAUAUAUAUAUAUAUAUAUAUAUGUCCGAAAUUGUGUGUGUGUUCGGGAUAUGUGUGUGUGUGUGUUAAGAUGCAAGUUGUAAUUUAAAUUAAAUAAAUAAAUUAUAUGUAAUUAGGCAUGCAUUACACUUGGCAAAACACUCAUCAUUUUCCCUAAUCCUACACUCCACCCUCAUUAGUAAGAUGAAGAGACACCUUCAUCUUUUUCCUUCCAACACAUCUACACUUACUUGUCUCUCUCCCCUCUCUCCACCGAAACCAUCACCACCAUCAUCGGCUCCUCCUCUCUCCACCUCACUUCACAUUUUAAAGAAAUUCCCAAAACUUAAAAUGAGAGUUCCUUAUUUAACACUUGCCUUGGACUACUCCAAGAACACCAUCAAGACCACUUGCCUUCUUUCGGGAGAUCACAACUCCUCCCUCCUUGAAGCUCACACCAUUUCCUUCACAAUCAAGGUGGCUUGGUUGAACUUCGGUGCUUGAAAGCUUUCAUCCCUUUCGGUUAUUUUUCUUUCUUCGAUAUUAAGGUAAGAAUUGCCGAUUCUUGCUGCAAUUAAAUGGCAUCAAUAGUAUAAAAAAAAAAGGGUUUUCAAAAUUUUCUAAAAGAUUGGGAGUGAUUUCGAAAAUUUAGGGGUUUUUGAAGAAAAAUGAAAAAUGAGUGUUUCUUGUUAAAUUCUUGUUCUUGCAUGCAUCAUCUAUGUUAAUAGUGGUUAGAUACAACAUUUAUUGGCCAAAGGCCUUAAAAAUUUCAGAUUUCAAAAAGGGGUUUUCAAGAAAAUGAAAGUUUUAACUUUUUGUGGUUGCAUGUGUAGAUCUUCGAAUGUUUGGGCCAAAUCUGUAAUUUUUGUAAAGUCUGUCCGGAAAAUGUUUUCAAAACUGAUUUCUAGCAUUUAUUGAACUAAAAUUUCGGAUUUAAAGAAUUUUUGUAAGAAAAAGUUGAUUUGGAUAUUCUAUUAAGCUUGCAUGUGUAGAUCUAGAUAUUUUGGGGUAAAAUAUGCAAUUUCCGAAAUUUCUGCACAAAGAGAUUUUCCAACUUCAUUUUUCUGCAUCUAAUAAAGUAGAAUUUCAGAUUUAUUAGGGGUUUUUAUGAAAAAGUUGAUUUUGAACUUCUAGUGUGGUUGCAUGUACAAAUUUCGAAACUUUUGGGUCAAAACUGCAAUUUCCGAAAAAUCUCUCAUUUUUAAAGUUUGGAUCUGUUUUACAGUAAGUAUUAGAUAAGAAAAAGUUUUAUUUAACAAGUUUUUUAUUUAAUUAGAAUUAUGUUAGAGUUUUGAAUUUUUAAAUUGAAAAAGGGAUUUUCCAAGUUUUUAUUUCAAGAAAAUUUCGAAACUUUGUAAAAACUUAAAAUAAUUUCAGAACCUGGAAUUUGAGUCAUUUAUGAGUUCUAGGAUUUAAUUUGGGAAUUUUUGAGAUUAGUUGGCUAAUAUUUCGAAAAUUAGGAUAAUUGCAUGUCAUUUGCAUAUGUUGUGUGCCUUAAGUGUUCAUGUUUUGAUUUAAUGGUUAUGAAUUAUAAAUUUUAGUAUUUUGGUACUUUAAUUACUGCUGGAUGUGUUUAAUGGUUGUGAGAAAUUGAUUGGAAUGGAUUAUUACCUAGAUGUGGUAAUAAGUCCAUUAAAUGAAAGGUAAAAAGGAGUAUUCGUUCUUAAGCUUGCUUUGAUGAAUAAUUAGUGAGGUUAAUGUGUUGAUUGUGCGUGUGUGUAUGCUGAAAUUGUGUGAAUGUGUGGGUGCUGAUUGUGCAUGGUGUGUGUGCCGUGUGUGGUUGUGUGUUUAUGUGUGUGAAAUUGGGAUUUUUGCUCAAAAUAUAAUUAUGUGGUAAAUUGUGAUAUUUGUGUAAUUUGUGGCACUUGAUUGAUAUUUGUGAUGUCAUGUGUGGGUUAUAGCAUUAUUUCGAAAAGUUGAAAAAAAAAUGAUUUUUACUUGAAAGGUUAAUGGAAUAUCAGGUAAUAAACAACUCGGAUAUAGUGGGCCGGUAUCCAACUAGGAUGAUGUGGUAGAGGUUUGAUUCCACUUAGUGAAAACGGGCUCGUAACAGGUUUAUUAUCCGGUACAGAAAUUAAUCUUUCACGGAUCCGAUAAACCGAAAAAUGUGUUUUUCAUGAUUUUCACAAAAAGGGCAUUUUAGUCAUUUUGCAUAAUUACGUGAUCUUAUUAAAUGAUGUGUUUUCGUGAGAUAUGUGAUUUGACCGAUUGCCUUGUGUUGUUGUGCGAAACGUGGGUAAGAACGGGUAUACAAUAUUAUAUAUUAUGUAUAACGUAUUUCCAAAGUUCGAUAAUACUCGGAUUUCUUACUGAGCUUUAUAGCUCAUAUAGAUGUCUUUUAAUUGCAGGUAGUAGUAAUCCUCAGCCGGGAUGGAUCGAGUAGUGGAUCGAGGUCUUGCCCGGGAUUUUGGAAGAAGUACGAGGACCUAUGAACGUUGCUAGAACUUUUGGUUAUUUUCUUUUGGUGGUGUAACCCUAAAACCGUAACAUUUCUCUUUUCGUACUUUUGAACUCGUUUUUCAUUAUGAAUCGCACUUAUUUCCUACCUUAAUAUGUUGAGUUUCGUGAUUUGCCAUUUUCAUGUCUUCGCUAGAAAACUUCGAAUUAUUCACCAAAAUAACCUUUUCGAACUCUGAUUUAUUCUCGAACCAAAAACCGAUCGUGAUAUUGUAGCACUCGAACGAAGAACCUCCUUUCGAAACUUAUUCCAAAAAAACGAAAUCUUUGUUCGGCUAAAGUAACCCAAGAAAAGUUAUUCGUGAAAGUGCAAGUUUUCAUUACCCAAAGGAGUAAAUUUUUGAUAAUUGCAUUUUCGCCCCAUUUCAAUGUUUCAAUAUUUACAAAGAGAUCCUUUGCUUCCGCAAGUUUAAUAAAUAUUCCGAUAAACCGGUUCGAUUUAUCGCCCGACUAGAAGGGGGGUGCUACAUAUAUAUAUAUAUAUAUAUAUAUAUAUAUAUAUAUAUAUAUAUAUAUAUAUAUAUAUAUAUAUAUAUAUAUAUAUAUAUAUAUAUAUAUAUAUAUAUAUAUAUAUAGAUAUAUAUAUAUAUAUAGAUAUAUAUAUAUAUAUAGAUAUAUAUAUAGAUAUAUAUAAAAUAAAAGGAUGAGAAGAAGAAGAAAAUAGUAGAAGGGAGAAAAAAGGAGUAGGAGUUGAAUUAUUUUGAAAGCUCGAUCUAUUUGCUCAAGAGCAAGAGUAAACAACUUUUGUAAUCUUGAGAAUCCAGUUUAUUAAGUCCUUAGACGUGAAUUCAUUGUUUCAAUCGCCUAUCUUUAAAAUUUUGGAGUAAUCACCUCAAUUCAAGAAGUUUAGCCACUUAUACCCAUAUUUCCUACCUUGAACAAAAACACCUAACGAUUGAAAGCCAAAAAUCCCCAAUGAUCCCAAUAGCUUGAUAUUCGGUAUUAGUAGAGUAUAAGAAUUUGAUGAGAAUUUGGAGUCAAACAUAUGAUGGGAAAAUUACAGUUUAUGUCCCUAAACUUUACCACUAAAACGAUUUAUGUCCUCAAACAUUUCAAUCCACGAAAUAUGUCCUCAAACUUAUAACUUUUGAUCACUUUAUGUUCUGCCGUUAACGUCGGGAGCUAACUUCGACGGAAAUAGCACGUCACGUGAUGUGGAGACAUUUCCGGAGUUAGCACGUCACGUGACCUGUUUUUUUCCGGAGUUAGCUCACGUCACCUGUUAAUGUCGACCUGUACAACACCCAGUGCCUACUUGGUCGACGAAACGUGAUGUGGAGCGACACGUCAUUCUCCUCCCCUAUUUAUAUUCUAAAAUCCCUAAUUCUCCAUAUCCCCAAUGAACCCGUAAAUCCAAUGCCUAAAACCCCAUUUCGAAUCCUUCAAUUGAGGUGAAAUUCGAAAAUAGCAGAAUCGUCUGUGAAUCCAUGGCCCUUUUUUGUGGUGUUUUACCAGCAAAAUAGCCCAAUAUACAAAUGCCGAAUGUUUCCUCGAUUUCACUUUCAUCUUCGGGCUGAAAUAUCAUGUCUUCUUCCACUUCGUUGGGGAAGUCGGGUAGCUGGAAUCCGUUGUUGGGCACUCUAUUCUUGGCGAAAAAAGAAUUAUAUGCAGCUUUGACAGGUGCUGCAUGUUUUUUUUUUUCCGGAAUUGGUUCAGACAUUUCGUCGAACACCUUCUGGGCAGGUUCUGAAUUUGCUGAGUUGGGUAGAAUUUGUGCCAUCUUCACCAUCCUUGUGCUCGCUUCAUUGAGACCACAAGGGGCACAAGCAUCAGCAGGCGAAGAAUCACACGACCCCAACGUUCUAGAGACGGAGUUGGGAGAAGAAUUAAAGCUUCCUCUAAAAUCUUUUUUCAGAACCAGAAGAGGAGUCGCGUUUACCUUCUUCCUCUCGAUUGCAGGCAUGUGUUUGCACGUGAAUCUGUUGUUUUUUGAGAAGGGAAAAACUCUUCAAAUGUGAGAAUAUUUGGAUUUUUUAUGGGUUUAUGACUUCGAUUUUAAUAUGGGUUCGAGCAAGAAUGCAAAUUGGAUUGAAAAUUUGGGAAUGGGUUGAGGUGAUUGAAAUUGUGAAGUGUGGAAAAAUUAUGGUGUAUGGGAAUGAAACGUGAUUUGGGAUUUGGGAUUUGGGAUUUGGGAGAGUGAGUUAGAGGAAAUUAGUAUAUUCUUGUGCCACGUCAACAUUUAAUAUUCAAUAUAUUAUUACACAUCACAUUUAACGGCCACAUAGACGUCACGUGAGCCUCGCGUGCUAUUUCCGUCGAAGUUAGCUGACGACGUUAACGGCAGAACAUAAAGUGAUCAAAAGUGGCAAGUUUGAGGACAUAUUUCGUGGAUUGAAAUGUUUGAGGACAUAAAUCGUUUUAGUGGUAAAGUUUAGGGACAUAAACUGUAAUUUUCCCAACAUAUGUACAUAAGUAUAAUUUUUUUCUAUUUUUAAUUAACAAAUAUUGGAUGCUUGAAGCAACUGUAUGAUUUGUGGUUUUUUGCAAUGGUAAGUGACUAAGUGCUUUUGAAUUGCGAGCUUGCAAGUAUAAUUUUUACUAUAGUUAAAAGUUCUCAAAACGUGAAAUUGGUCAAUGAUCUAUGUGAGGAGAUGCAUUAGUUGAGUUAUUUGCUUAUGAUUAAUUUUUGCUUGAAGACAUGCAAAAAUUCAAGUUUGGAGGUGUGUUAAGUGUAUAUUUGUACACUUAAUAUUUUAAUUGGAGCUUUUGGUGUAUUUUAUUGAUAAUUGAUGCUUAAAUUUUUGAUUUAUUGUCCUUCAGGCACAAAGUGAUGAAUUUGAUAAAUUGAGGGUCAAAACUGUAAUUUAUAAGAAAAUGUAGACAAAAUCGGACAAGUCAAAGCCACUGGACCGGUCAAGAUCUCAGACGGCCGUCCGAGUCAAGAAAAAGGAAAAAUAACUCACGGCAUUUCGGAUGGCUAUCCGAAAUGUAGUUCAAAACACCUAACGGUCGUCCGAGCAGGUGGGGCUGCUAAGGAAUUUCCAAUUGUACAAGGAAAAACUGCCUUUCGCCAACUUUUCCAACUUAUAAAAGGUCAUCUCAAUUCUCAAGCACAAAACCAGGGGUCCUCUUUUUACGCAAUUGUGAGAAUAAAGAAGCAAUAACGAAGACGAAGAAUUUGUAGACAUAUUAGAUCUGCCCAUGGCUGUUGUGAAGAUGUUUGUUUGUGUACCAAGAAGUAGCAGGUUCCAUGAUAUUAUUCUUAGAACAUUUUAUUUGCGAAUGACAUGACUAUGUAUUUAAGAGGGUAAAGAAUAAGAGAAAUUAGAUUGGUUUUUAAUUUUUAGUAGAGGUUAGGAAAAAGCUGGAACAAACAUACAGGCAUAAACAACUGUUUCAUGAAGAACUCUGUACUGAAAAAAAAUGCUGCUAGCUAAUGAAUUCGACUUGCUUUUCUCUGUGAAUUUUGUUCGACUUUACAUAAUAAACACUACUAAAUCUUGAUCUAAAUAGGAGGAAGAAAUCUUGGAAGUUUAUAAACUAAAAUGUUAAAUAGUAAUCAAUGACAUGGAAGAAAUUAGGAAAUAUUUUUAUUCAUAAUUUUUCUUUUAUUAAAAAAUCAAUUAAAAUAUAAUUUUUAUGACAUUUUGUUUUUGUCAAAGUAGAGCUACAACAAAAUUGAUAAAUUAUCAUAGCAACUACAUCACAUAAAAAUAUUAUUUAGGGUAAAUUGCACCCAUACUAGCUAAAGUAAUAGUCCGUUAGAAUCCUAUCGGAGUAAUGUAUCCAAUUUAUUAUCCCAUUAGAGUUUCUAACUAUGUUUCAGGGGUAAGUGUAAUUAUCGAUACCACAAGGACCUUAAAAUUAUUUUAGCAUACCUCAGAAGUAUUGAGUGUAAUUUAUCCUAUUAUUUAAAUGUAAUUAAUUAUUGAAAAGCUAGAAAACCUCAACUCAUAUAUUCGUGCAAGUCAUCAAUCUCUGCAAAUUACAUAUAUUAAUGUUUGACUUUCUUUCGGCUGAUGCAUAUUGGUAGGUGUUUAUGAUGAAGACCUUAUUGUUAUCAAAUGCCAAAUAUAUGCUGACUGAGUAACAACUUAAUUCACAAUCUUUCCAGUUUGAUUAUCCUAUUUUGACUUUGCUCUGAUCUUCUUGUUAGUGUCUAAGAAAUCACAAAUUUUUCAUAAUCUGUUAGUCGAUUAUCCAAAAAAGAUGGCUGCAACAUAUGCGGCUUUAGUUUCUCUCACUCAUACUAUUGACCAGAUCCUCAAUCCACCUCCUCAUCAUCACUUCAAUUUUGAUCGUGAUCAGAUUAAUUGUCUACGACAAAAAGUCGAUUUCUUGAUAGAUUUUCUCGAAAAAAAUCAAUCAAGUACUGGAGGAGAUCACAAAGAGAUCGAAGAUUUGGAGACGAGAAUCAGGGUUGUAGCUGAAGGAGCAGAGUAUAUCAUCGAAGACAAUGUGAUGAACCACAUUCUUGCUGGAUCUGAAGUCGACAGAUCAGUAGAAACCUCAACCUUAUCUGAAGGUGUACAAACAUCAAUACAAGAUUUUGAUUCCAUCGAGGAAGAGUUGGUGAGAAUCGAGAAAGAUCAUGUGCAGCAUAAAAACUCCAUAACAACGGAAGCUAGUUUAUCAUCAUCGUCAUCGAGGCCUCUUCUUCCGAUUGGCAAAAACAUCAUGGUGGGAUUCGACGGCCACGUGAACGAAAUUAUGGGUGCUCUCUCCACCGAUGAAUCUAAUCGUCAAAUUAUCCCUAUUGUUGGAAUGGGAGGCAUAGGUAAGACUACUCUUGCCACUCAUGUCUAUACCAAUCCUUUUAUCGUGCAACACUUUCAUGUUCGUGCUUGGUUUACGGUUUCCCAAGAAUAUACCAAAAAGGAGAUUCUUCUAGGCCUUUUGCAUAAGAUUAAUAAUAAAAAUUCAAAUGAUGCACAUGACAUGAAUGAUGAAGAUGAACUUGGAGAUAAAUUGCACAAAACUCUGUUUGGGAGGAAGUAUUUGAUAGUGAUGGAUGACAUGUGGGAUAUCAAUGCGUGGGAGAUGAUAAAUAUGUUCCUUCCAGAUAACAAUAAUGGAAGUCGAAUCUUGGUAACUACUAGGCUAUUGAGGUUGGCUAUGGAUAUUGGGUCUUGUCGCCCUUAUCAACUAAAUUUCCUAGAUGAAGAACAAAGUUGGGAUCUACUCUCCCAAAAGAUAUAUGCAGACAAAUGUUGCCCCGUUGAACUCGAGGUAAUUGGAAGAAGUAUUGCAAAAAAAUGCAGAGGUCUUCCUUUGGCCCUUGUUGUUAUUGGUGGGGUUCUUGCAAAGUCGAAAACAGAAAAUUGGAAGUACAUUGAAGAAGAUGUAACUUCAGCAGUGCGCAAUCAAGAUGACGAGUUUUACAUGAAGAUAUUAUUGUUGAGUUAUAAUAACAUGCCUAUAUAUCUCAAGCCUUGUUUUCUUUACUUUGCCGUGUUCCCAGAAGAUUAUACCAUCAAAGUUUCCAAGCUAGUCAGUUUGUGGGUUGCUGAAGGAUUCAUAAGGCAAUGUGGGCAUAAAAGCUUAGAAGAAAAUGGAAAUGAGUAUUUGGAAGAUCUUAUAGAUAGGAAUCUCGUUUUGGUUGAUUGGAGAUCAAUUAGUGGAGAAGUGAGGUCCUGCCGCAUUCAUGAUCUUUUAAGUAAUCUAUGUAGGACAGAAGCUCAGAAAGACAAUUUUAUUCUUACUAGAAAACUUUAUAACCCCAAUACUUUAAGUUACCUAAAGAUCACACAACGCCUCAAUAUUAAUGGUGGCAAAUGGAAAGGGAUGAAACUUACGCCCGAUACAUCACCAGUACCUAUACGGUCUUUGUUAUGCUUCUCUCCUGAGGAUUCAAAUGAUUACACUGUUGAUCAGGUUGGGUUACUACGGGUAUUGAAUGGGGUUGAUAGAUAUCCUAUACAUGAAAUUCUACAGCUAAUUAACUUAAGAUAUGUUUCUUGCAUGGGUCCGAUGACUGCGAUGUCGUCUUCUAUAUCCCGACUUUGGAGUCUACAAACUUUAAUUGUUGAUGGAGAGUUGAAUUUACCAAGUGAGAUAUGGCAGAUGCCCCAACUUCGACAUGUUGAGGCCACACGAAUACAUCUGGCUGAUCCUCCUCCAGAUGAUGUCAAGAACAUCAUACUUCUUCAAAAUCUACAAACACUUUCAACAGUCAUAGAUUUGAAAUGCACUGAAGCGGUAAUUAAAAGAAUCCUAAAUAUCAAGAAGUUUGGAAUUAUUUGUCCGACAUUUGGAUCUAUUUUUUUAAGAAAUCUUGGCCAUCUCCAUAAACUUGAAGAACUUUAUUUGCAAUGUACUCCUUGUGGUGGAGAUGUUGUCUUCCCAAAUUCACUUAAACGGUUGAUCUUACGUGGAUGCAAGAUUCCUUGGGAAGAUAUGUCUGUUGUUGGUUCACUACCCAACCUUGAAGCUCUCACGUUGUGGACAAAUGCUGUUGUAGGCCAAAAGUGGAUUUCAAAAGAAGGGGAAUUCACUCGACUCAAGUUCUUGUACAUUUAUGAGUGUGAAUUGGAGAUAUGGGAAGCAGACAAUACACAUUUCCCAUGUCUUGAAAUUCUAAGUCUUGGGUACUUAAACCUCAAGGAGAUCCCGUCUGAAUUUGCCGAAAUAUUAUCACUUCAAGCGAUUAACUUUGAUUGCAAUAGCAACAAUGACCUUUUGCUAUCAGCAAAUGAAAUAUCAGAGCAACGAGAGAACCUAGGAUACAAUGCUCUUCAUGUUCAAAAUUUCACAUGUGGAGUGUUCAGAAUUUGGGUGAAGAGAGGUAUUAAUCUUGUUGUUGUUAAUGACGGCCACAUCGGAGAUCCUUAUGUUGUUAUCACGAGUUCCAAACAGGUUUUGCGUUCUUACUUCUUGAUGUUUUUUUUUUUUUUUUUAAUUUAUUAUUAGUGUUCCAUUUACCCUCACAAAAAUAUUUCUUAAACAAAAAUCAUUACAAAUUAUUAAUAUUCAAGGAUAAUUUUAUCAUACUGCACUCCAAACGUCACACAACCUCCGCUUGCCUACAUUGUUGUGGUUUAAAAAUUCUAAAAUGACCUCUCAUCGCAUGUCGUCUCUUUCACUUUCAUUGUUGACAUAUACCUCCCACCAUUGCUGUUGUAUUUUCUUUCUUAUUAGUUAGAUACAAUCUCAAAGGGAGGUCAUAACAUAAUUUACUGAAUUUGGAAUAAGUUUUUAAUCACAAUCAGAACUCCGGAAAAGUUUGUGUCAGUAUAUAAUUGGACCUUAACUCAAGGGACAGCACAUUAAUUUAUUAUCCUUUGCAUAUGUGCAUAUAUUUGCAUUAAAUAUUUUGCCUUUCGAGUUUUCUAGAACAAAAUUUGCAAUUUAGUAUAAAUCUUUAUGAUGCAGAGUGUGAAGACUCGUGUUGUGACGAAAGAUAUUAAUCCGGAAUGGGACGAGAAACUCGGAAUUCGUGUUGCAAAUCGCAGUCAUUCAAUUUCUCUGGUGAGGUUCUUUAAUUUAUAAUAUAUAAAAGAAAAUCUGAUAGCAAGUGGUACAAUAUUUCUUUGAGUUAAAAAUGUGAAAUUCAAUGUAGAAUGAGUUCAUCCAAAUAAGUUCAACUUAUUAUAGAUUGGAAAUCUUUAGUUUCAAUGUAUGCUGAUUCAUAGUGUAUGUAUGGUUGUAGACAGUGCAUGACCGCACCAAGUUCAAAUUUGAUGACAAGUUGGGAGAAGCGAAUUUGGAUAUUAGACCGUUUUUUGAAGCCGUGAAAUUGAAUCCAAAUGGCCUUCCAAAUGGUUCAAUAAGCGCACGAGUAUUGCCUUCGAUCUCCAAUUGCCUUACCGAAGAGAGUUCCGUUUUCUGGGAAAAUGGGACAGUAAAACAGGACAUGUGCCUGAGAUUGAAAAAUGUCGAAUGUGGAGCAAUCGAACUUCAACUCGAGUGGAUUAAUAAAUUUAAACAACGGCGGGCUCAAAAUACAACUCACGCGGUGGAUUGAAGUUCGUGCUUACACUAAUUUAUGGGUGUGUUUGGAUCAAGUAAAACAAUCAAUAAAACAGUGAAUACUAUGUAAAAUACUAAUUUAUGGGAAAAUUGCAUAUCACCCCUGUAAAUUUCUGAUUUUCGCACUUUACCCCUUCAAUUUGUUUUUGAAAGUCAAUGUACCCUUCAAAAUGUUAUUCUUGUUGCACUUUGCCUCAAUAGCAAAAUUCCGAUGGAUUAAUCAUCGGAAUUGAGUAUUUUUGUUGCACGUUGUCCCUUUAAAUGUUAAUUUUGUUGCACGUUGCCCUUUUAAAUGUUAUUUUUGUUACACGUUGCCCCUUAAAACUCUACUCUUUUGCACGUUCCCCUUAUCAAAUGUUGUUUUUAUUGCACAAUGCCCUCCAAAAAAUGGCUCCUAUGACAAAGUGCAACAAAAUAAUAUUUCAAAAGGAAUUAUCCAUUUAUUGAAUUUCGAAUGGGAGAAACUAUAAAAAUGGGAAAUUUAUAAGGGUUGAAGUGCAUUUUGUCCUUUAUAUAUUUAACAAAAGCACAACUUUACAUGAAAAUUAAUUGCGUUUACGUUUUUUCUUAUUUCAGAAAAUCAGUGUGAUCCAAUAACAGUCCAUAAGUCUUUGAAAUGUGUCAGCAUGAUGAUUUGACACUUUGCACUCUUAAAUUAUAUGCUAUUGACAUUUUGCAUCCUUAAAUUGGAAAAAUAGCAGAAUGCCUUCCAAUUACAUUUUACUUGGCACUUUGCACCCUAAUUUAUUUUUUUUGCUAGAAAAGUGACAUGCUACCUAUUAAAGAGGGGUAGAUUUAUCUUUCUUUAUUGUUCACAAACUUAAAUAUAUUUCAUCUUCUUCAUUUCACAUAUCCAAACCCGACGAUGACAACACAAAGAACAACUAAUGUUCAUUGUUCUCUAUCAAGAGUCUGAGAUACUUUAGUCCAAUUUUUAAUAAAAUUUAUAUUUUAUUUAAUUUAGAAUAAAUACGUAUUCAAUAAAAAACAAGCAUUCAAAAUUAAUGUAUGUUAAUGUGUUACAUUCAGAUAAAGGUCAUGCAAUCUGCAAUUCCAUAAAUUUUCAUCACUUAGAUAUUAUUUUUAAACAUAUAAUAAAAAUAACUUUUUCUUCUUCGUAUAGGCUUAAAAGGAGAAUUAUGUACAUAUUAUGGUUAUUUGUGCAAAAAAAGUGUUUACUUCUACUGUUUUCGUUACAUAAAUUGGUUCAAACAUCAAAUGCCUUGAUGGUUUUAGUACAAUCCAAGAAACGCAUGUAAAGAUUAUGAACAAGAUUUUGAGCUAGACAAGAAAGCACACAUUCUGGUGUGAAUGUGUUAAAAUAUCUGCAAAGUGAGUUCUACUUUUCAGCAAUUACAAGCAUUGCUUUUGCGUUUAGUAGACAUCUUGGUUCUAUUAUGCAUGAUUGCAUUCAAUCUUUUUAUCUUAAUAUUAAGAGACAUCAAAAAGACAAAUGGAAUAAUCAAAACACAUUCACUACAAGAAAUAUUGGUUUUAGUGACGAUUUUGUAUGGUCGCUAAAAGUUAGAAAAUGGUAGCUAAAACUUCUAGCGACCAAAUUAAGUUUGGUCACCGGUGGUCACAACAGGGUAGUUACUAAAAGUACUCAGCGACAAGAAAAUUAAUUGGACGCUAAAAUAUGAGAUUUAGCGGCGAAUUAAUAAUGGUCACUAAAAAUAUAAUUAUUAACGACCAGUUUUUGACUCGCUAAUGUAAAUUUUAUGGUAGCAAUAAUAUUAACGUGGUUGCUAUAGCAACAUAUAUAGUGGCCAUAUAAUUUUGGUCGCUAAAUGAUAUAUACGUAUAGUGACCAUAUUUUAUUGUUGCUAUAGGAUAUAUAUUUGGCCACCACAUUUUUUGGUUGCUACAUAAUAUACAUAUAGUUAGACACGGCCACGGGCCGGUUUUGGGCCCGGAACCGGCCCGAACCGGCCCGUUGACGGCCCAAACCGGCCCGUUGACCAAGUGAACCGGCCCGGGCCCGUGAACCGGCCCGUCCCACCCGGGACGGGCCCGGUUCUGAAAAUUGAUGAACCGUGAACCGCCGGGCCGGCCCGGCGGUUCACCCGGAUUUUAAAAAAAAAAAAAAACAAAAAAAAAUUCGAAAAAAUUCAAAAAAAAGUGAAUAACGGCCGGGUUGAACCGGCCCGAACCGGCCCGGGUGAACCGGCCCGGGUGAACCGGCCGUUAUUCACUUUUUUUUGAAUUUUUUCCCCCCCAAAAUUUCAUAAAAUAAUUCAAAAAAUCAUUUAAAAUUCAAAAUCUUUAAAAUUUUAAAUUUAAAAUUAAUUUCAAGUCUUUUCAUUUAUUUCAUUUUCCUUUUUCUAUUUAAAAGUACUUCUUUUAAUUUACUUAUUCAUAAAAUAUUUCAAAAAAUCAUUUAAAAUUCAAAAUCUUUAAAAUUUUUAAUUUAAAAAAAAAAAAAAAAAAAAAAUCAAAAUUUCCGGGCCGACCCGGAACCGGCCCGGAUAGGCCCGGAACCGGCCCGAACCGGCGGGCCGACCCGGCCCGCUGAACCGCCCAUUCCACGGGCCGGUUCCGGUUCCGGAAAUUGUGAACCGUGAACCGGUUCGAACCGGCCCGGAACCGGCCCGAACCGGCCCGUGGCCGUGUCUACAUAUAGUGACGGUAUAUAUUGGUUUUUAAAUAAUAUAUAUCUGUUGGUUGCUAAAAUAUAUACAUAUAGUGACCAUAUUAUUGGUAGCAAUAGUUUUUACAUGGUUUCAACAAUUAUUAAAUUUACUGACCAAUUCAGACCAAUAAUUAAUUGGUUGCAUUAAUCAUUAAUGUUUAUUUGCAGCAGUAGCUGUAAAAAUAAAAUUAAAAUAAAAUUAAACAUUGCAAAUUUACAUAUUAUCAAUCAAAUGUGAAUAUUAUAAUUUCAAUUUAUCAUAUUAAAUACAAUAAUAAAUCAAUCAUUCCAAAUAAUAAAAAAAGAUUACUAUUAUUAUUUCAUAAUAAAUUCCACUUCAUAAAUUGUUAAGCGACAACAAAUAUGACUUCCACGAUAACGUCCUUUCACUUCAUCAAACAGUCCAACCUGAAAAAGGGGAAAAAAAAUCAAUUAGAAAAUAAAAAAUCAUAUGAAAUUCCAAUUAUGCAAUCAAAGUACAUAAUACUAAGUAUACCUGGAUCCACGAUAAAUAAAUCUCGUAUAAACGUGAGUAACACCCGAUAAUCUAAUAUUAUAUUCUGUGUCAGCUCCAUCUAAAAUAAGAGUAUUAAUUUGUUUAAAUUUAUAUAUGUCAAACAAAAAGCCAGCUUCUUCUAGUAACAAAAGAGAGAACAAAAUAUAUGGUACCAAAGAACAAAAUUGUGACGCCCACUAUCGAAAUACAAUGAUCCUAAAUGGUCCAAGAGUCGGGAAAAGAACGAUUUGCGUUCAAUGAACAAGAAACAAAUCAUUUAGAAUCAUAAUAGAAGAAGUAGUUCCAACUAGUAUACAAGUAAAGAUGUGAAACAAUUCCGAAUUGAUAGAGAAACAAAUUGAAACUGGUUGAAUUAUUCAAGGUAGAUAAAAUAACUCAAUUGAGUAAUCAAGGAAUCGGGAUGAGAAAUUACUCGAAUAAUUCCCGAAUCAAGAUGAGAACUUAUUAAGUUCCAUGAAGAGGAUUUCGAAUCGAUCAUUAUUUUCAACAAUUCAAGAAUCAAAGUAACAUAUAUCACAUUUAAGUGAUCAAGAAGCAAUAAAAUAUCUUAUUCUCAGUGUGCAUUCUAUUUUUCCAAUAAAUAAUAGUGAAGAAAUAGAGAUCCUCACCUGAAAUAAUGCAAGUGCAAUAAAAACACCUUACUCUCGAAUCAUGCUCAAGUCUUGAAUGAGAGCAUAAAUAUACUCAACACCUAUGAAAUAUUAGAAUUAAAUAAGUUAUCGAAUGUUAACAUAAUCGUUUACUAUUCGGUUCUAUUUCAUAUAAACAUCCUAACUUAAAUCUUAUGCCAUAACUGACAAUCGAACAUAAUACACAAUUUCUAUGGAGUUCUAUUUACCAAAUACAACACACUCCAGCAUCAAUUCACAUGGUACGGAGUUGACUCGUGUUUGUUUGACGAGUUCUCGAAACAAAGGUUUAAAACAUUUGUUUCCACAAUUUCUUUGAAAAAUCAAGACAAUUGGUACGAUUAUCCAAAUUGGGAACGUAAUAUGCCAAAUGAAAGCUAACAACUGCAUCUACAUGUUCACUGAAGACUCUGAUCACAAACUAUGAUCCCAGCAUAUUCAAAACAUGCCCAAAAGAUGAUUACAGAAAACUGCCCGAAUUUUGGAUAAAUUCUCUUUUCUGGUACAGUUUAUUGUAAAAUUCAUAACUAUUUGUAAACUUAUCCAAAUUGGCCAAACAAUAUACCAAAUCAAAGCUGACAACUUCAUCUAAAAGUUUACUUACGAUAUAUAUCCCAAAUUAUUAUCCUAAGACGGUAAUAAAACCCAACGAAGAUGAUUCAUCAAAACUGCCCUGUUUUUGGCAGACUCACCGCCGUCAAAUUCUCAUCUCUAAAAGGCUAUAAGAUUUGCUCGAAUUAGAAGCAAUUUAACACUUACACAUAAUUAUCACGGUCCUCAACGAGUUUUGUGAAGAGACUGGUUCGAAAAUCUCACUCCAAACCCUUCGAUUUCGACUGCGAAAACAGGUGCGGCAGAAGGUUUACUAUUUCUCAGAAUUUCGCCAACAUAGCUGUCGGGUUAAAUUUGGUUAUAUAACUUGAAGAAAUAACUAACAAAGUCUUUCUCAAAUAACAAAGUCUUCUCACCUCGAGUUAGCACCAAAAGCAACAUCAUAGACCGAAAUUUUCUUAGGUACACAACCACGAAUGACACACCUGAAAUAAGAAUCCAUUAGUUUCUUAAGCUUCACCUUCGAUCACAUUACUUUAAACUUGUUGCUCAAUGUGCAUAAGACAAAUUUCAAAUAACUAAUGACUCAAAUAACUAAUGACACAGAUAGAUGCUAACUAUGGACAUUAAACUAGAAACCAACGUUAUUUGUUGUCACAUUUUCUUCCAAAAAUCGUAGCAGGCCGUACGCUUAUCCAAAUUGGGAAAACAAUAUACCAAAUAAAAGUUCACAACUUUAUCUACAAUUGUGAUGAUGAUACCAACCCCAAUUACUAAGAUAACACAACAAUAACAGCCCGAAAAGUUGAAUACAGAAAGCUGCCAGAAUUGUUUUGGACAAACUUGUUUGCUGUCACAGUUUAUUUGAAAAAUCAUAACAAUUUGUAGAGUUAUCCAAAUCGACCAAAUAAUAUACCAAAUCAAACCUCACAACUCAAUAUAGAAAACAUCAGAAGACACAUAGCCUAAAUUAUUACUCCAACAUAACAAAAACAGCUCCGUAUGAUGAUUAGGCAAAACUGCCCUGUUUUUUGACAGAUUCGCUGUCGUCUGAUUCCGACCCCUAAAAGGCUAUAACACGUGCUCGAAUUGGAAAUAAUUAAACACUCACUCAUAGUUUUCGAGGUCCUCUACGAGUUUUGAGAAGGAAUGAUUCCCAAAUUCACACUCCAAACCCUUCGAUUUUGGCUCCGAAAACAGAUACGGUAGCAGAUUUUAUUUCCCUUAGAGUUCCGGCGAGCAGGCUGAAUUUCACACCAAAUUUCGGCGACCACCGACGAAUAAAACUGCCGAGCACCACCAUCAAUGGGAAGCUAACUUCUCGAGGUUUGUAACGGUACCUUCUAUCAUCAAUACUCCACCGUUAACACCUCCGUUCAUUUAAUUAUUUGAAGAGCCAAAAGCUGAACUCCAGACUCCGGCCACCAUCGACGACCUCUGCCGGAAAUCACCAACACCCGAGUACAUCCGAACUCACAAUUAUUCCAAAGGUGGGUCCUGAUCGACGAGAUUCAUUCUCGAAGGUCUCCAAACUUUUAUUUUUCCUUAAAACCCAAAUCUGAAAUUAUCUUUUCAAAUCCCCAAUUCUUUUCCUAUAAUCAAUUCAUCCGAAUCCCCUUUAUUGAAUUCAAAAAUUCUCUGAUAGGGGUAGGAAGUAGGGCUUGGAGAAAUUGGGUGAAAUAGGAGAAUACUUUUGGGGAAAACAAAAGAGGUAAGAUAAGAGGGAUUUUGGUGCACACAUAAUGAAGAAAUUAAGAGAGAACUCCAUCUUGAUUUUCUGUGAUAUUAGCCGAGAAUUGGUAGAGAGAGAGAAAGAGAGCGUAAGGAGAGAGUGAACAAUUUUGUGAUGAAGGAACGAAAGAAGGAGAAUUGGGCCAAUUGGCUGUAUUUUUCAUUAUUUGCAUUUUGGCCCUCCAUCUUUCUUUUAUUUUCUUUUCUUUUCAUGAUUUGUUUAAAAACUAAAUUAGUGACCAAAUCUAUUUGAUUUCCGAAAGUAGUUUCAUAGUGACCAAAUUCAAUUGGUUACUAGCAACCCGAUUAGAUGGUUGUUAAUAAUUAAAUUAAAGACUUGUAGCAACCGUAAAAAAAUUUAAUGAUAAAUUGGUCACUAUUGACACUAAGUUAUAGUGACCAUAAAAAUCGUCGGGACAAACUUUAACUUUAGUUGCUACAAGAUGUCUAGCUAUUAGUGACCACUUAUAGCUACCAAAUGUUCGUUCGUCGCAACAAGAUUUAACCCUUCCCACUUUUGCUACAAAAGUACUUUUGGUCACUAAAUGUGAAUAUUCAGUGACCAUUUAGUUAUGGUCGCUGAGAAUUUGGUCACUGAAACUAGUUUUUCUUGUAGUGAUUGUAAUUACUAUCCUAACAAAAUCAAUUUUUAUAUUUAAUCUUACGAAUUAGAUAUUUAACUAAAAAGACGAGAAAAUCUACAAAUGAAUAUUCUAAUGUUUGGUUUCAUCUCCCUGGCACAAAGCGAUGGUUGAAUUAGUUGUAUUGUCGUAAUUGACAUUAAUCUCGUACUCGUUUAAGAAACAAGUUUGUGAGAAAUAAAGAAAGACAAAUUUGCUGCAUGCCCCUGUUCAAAUCUCAAAUAACAGACAACAUGUCACUUUUCUAGCCAAAAAAAUGAAGGAUAAGUAACAUUAAACCACUCAAACUUUGCCCGUUUAUGCGGAUUGCCAUAUCAACAAAAAAAAUAAAAAUUCAAUCCCACCUGAACUCAAUAAGUUGUGCCACGAUACCCUUUUAAUAAUUAGGCGAAAAUGGCCGGAACUAAACUCAUGUGCUUGCACAUGCAAUUUGAAAGGGCAUUUUUGUCUUUUCAAAAUCACAAUCCGUAAUUCUUCGAAUUCUUCUAUUUUUUUCUUCCAUUUUCCUCCGCAUCUUCUUCGCUCUUCUUCCUCAUCCUCUUCUUCAUCUUUUUCGAAAAGGAAAAGCCAAUCAACUCCUUCCACAUCUACAUUCUCCAUCUUGGAUCACAUGCAAAACUUUAUCAGUCAUUGCAGCAAAAGAAAAGUAUGUUAAUGUACAACAUGUUCAUCCAUAUUUCGCAUGCAAUAAAAGGAGAAACUGAUAGCUACUAUAUAGCAGAGUUACCACAAAAAAAUAUCUGUUUUUUGAAAAUUAAAAUACAAGGACGUAACUGAACUUGUUUUUCUUCAUAUAAUCAUAUACUCAACAACUGACAGCUCAGCAAUACAAUUAGAACAGAAACAAUUCGCUUUUAUUAUUUCUAAAUAUUCUUGUUUUCUUUCAUCUAAACAGCAAGUACAUCAAUAAGCCCUUAACUGGCUUCUCCUUUUCGAAAAAAAUGAAGAAGAGGAGGAGGAAGAAGAAGAGCAAAGAAGAAAGUCAAAGAGAAAUAGAAGAAAAAAAUGGAAGAAUUAGGGAUUGUGGUUUUGAAAAGACAAAAAACCCUUCCAAAUCGCAUGUGCAGCACACAUUGGUUUAAUUCCGACAAUUUUCGCCUGAAAGUUCAAAAAAAAAAGGUAACGUGGCACAACAUAUUGAGUUCAGGUGGGAUCGGAUAUUUUUUUUAUUUUUGAGGUAGUAAUCCGCAAAUACGAACAAAGUUUAGGUGGUUUAAUGCUAUUUACCAAAAAAUGAAUUAGGGUGCAAAGUGCCAAGCAAAAUGUAAUUGAAGGGUAAAUUCUGCCGUUUUUCCAAUUUAAGCCGGCAAAGUACCAAUGACAUGUAAUUUAAGGGUGCAAAGUGCCAAGUACCCGAUCUAUCACAAUCGCAAAAAUAAUAUGAUAUUGUCUCUUACCAAUUGUUAAUUGGAUUGUUCGUAACUUUUCUACCUCUCUUUCUUUAAUAUGACAAAAUUGAAGAGCAAUCACUAUAAAAACAAAGUAGAAGAAAUGAAUGUAGGGUUCAAUACACACUCGUUUAAUUAUAGGGUGCGUAACAAUUACUCUCUUCAAGUAUUAAAUGUAACACUUACCUCCUUUUUCCUCUUUAAAUCUUUAACACCAUUAAUAAUAGGGCGAAUUGCAUACAACCCCUGGGAGGAGGACUUAUUUGCACUCCUAUCCACACCAAAAUCAGUCGUAUAUAGACGCCUGAUAAGUGUUCGUUUUGCACGAUUUUUAUUUAUCGAAUCUUUGAGUGUUGGUCUUCGUUCGUCCGAGUUUUCGGCUUUACAUGUACAUAUUAUGCGUUUCUUGUUUUAUUUAUAUUUUAGGUAAAGUGAAGCUAUUUUUGCCGGUUCGAAACGAUUUUGGAAGCGAAGUCGAAAAUCAAACCAAACACGUGCAAAAGUGCAUUCCCACGGGUUGUGACAGUGUUUGGUAUUUCAAGCAUAACUCCCGCAUACGACUUCCGAUUGAGCUGAUUCAAGAAGCAUAAAAAAGUUAACUUCAAGGUCUACAACUAUAGUGAAAUGCAAAAUUGUCAAAUUCAAGCAAUAAAGGGGUCAAAAUAGGGUUUGAAGUUGACGCAGAGGCCAGAUCGCGAUCCACUCUUCCUGUAUCGCGAUCUGAGGUCACUUACUGAACGUUUUUCGAUCAGGACCCAGAUCGCGAUCCAGCUUUCUUGUAUCGCGAUCUGGGGGUCUCACAUAACGUUUUUUGAUCAAGAACCAGAUCGCGAUCCACCAUUCCCGUAACGCGAUCUAGCAGACGGUGCGCAGUUUUCGAGGCUGCCAGAUCGCGAUCCAAGAAGCCCAGAUCGCGAUCUGGGCGUGAUAAGUGUUCGUUUUGCACGAUUUUUGCUUAUCAAAUCUUCGAGUUUUGGUCUUCAUUCGUCCGAGUUUCCUCUUUAUUUGUAUAUAUUAUUGCAUUUCUUGUUUUAUUUCUAUUUCUAGGUUUUAUUAGAUAUUUUUGCCGAGUCGAAGCCAUUUGAAAGCGAAACCGAAUUUUCAAGCCAAUUUUGAGGCCAAGAAGACCCAGAUCGCGAUACAGGAACUCCGUAUCGCGAUCUGGGGGUUGUCACAUAAAGAAAUUAAAAGUAUCAAGACUCAGAUCGCGAUCUGACAUUCUGAAUCGCGAUAUGGGGGUGUUCACAGAAGGCUUUUUACUCAAGAUCCUGAUCGCGAUCCAGCACUCUGUAUCGCGAUCUGGGGGGUCUCACAGUGCAUAAUUGUUGAAGACCCAGAUCGUGAUACACAUAUCCGAAUCGCGAUCUGGCAUGGCGGUGGGCAGUUCCCCGAGGCUGCCAUAUCGCGAUCCAGCCAACCCUGAUCGCGAUCUGGGCGCGACUUUUGAGAAAGAUAUUUAUUUUGCAAAACUUCUUGAGGAAGCUUUGCAUUUGACUAUAAAUAGAAAGACCCUUUCAUUCUUCAUUUCUUCUUCGACUUUUUACGGUUUUCAACAGUUCUUCGCGGGAAUCAUCAACGGGGGUUUCGACUUGGGUUUUUCUUAUGCAAUUUCUUUACGUUUUGUUCUUCAUUUCUUGUGUACAUUCUUUUGAAAUUUUGUUUGUUAUGAACUAAGAACAUUUUCUUCUAGGGUAAUGAAGCCUUGUAUACAUUGAUUUCGAUCGUCAUUUCUGUUAUCUAUUUGUCGUGUUUCGAUUUCGUUUAUGUUUUCCUAUAUUAAAUGCUUCUGAUUGUUUGAUCAGCUCUCGGAUUGAUAUAAAAUAUGAAUGAACUCGAGAGAGGAUUUCUUGUUUGAAUUUAGGAAAACAUAGCUCGGGGUGUGGAAACGGAGACGUGAUGCACUUCGGGUAGCCCUUAAGGACUUGACCUAAAUGUUCUCUUAAUAGAAGGUUCUGAACGGAGACGUCGGACCUGUGGGUAGACUCUAACUACACUGGAGACGGGGGUUAGACAGGCUAGGAGGUUUCGAGUAUUACUGUUUUCUUGGUGGUUAUUCGGGGUACAAUCAAAUUUCAAUCGCCCCGGAAGACCAAGAGAAAACUAUUUUUACUUGCCCCUACGGUACUUUUGCAUUUCGUAGGAUACCUUUCGGUUUGUGUAAUGCACCUGCUAUCUUUCAAUGAUGUAUGAUGUCUAUUUUUCAUGAUAUGGUAGAAGAAUUUCUUGAGCUGUUUAUGGAUAACUUUUUCUGUGUUUGGAUCGUCUUUCGAUCAUUGUGUGCACAAUCUAGAACUUGUUUUGAAAAGAUGUACAUAAACGAACCUUGUUUUAAAUUGGGAAAAAUGUCAUUUUAUGGUUCGUGAAGGUAUUGUUCUAGGUCACAAGGUCUCGAAAAAGGGUCUUGAGGUGGAUAGGGAAAAAAUCGAAACGAUUGAAAAAUUGCCUCCACCGAAGGAUGUCAAGGGGGUUAAAAUUUUUUUAGGGCAUGCUGGGUUUUACCGUAGAUUCAUUAAAGACUUUUCGAAAAUAGUAUAACCAUUAUGUCAUUUGCUUGAGAAGGAAGCCGUCUUUGAUUUUGAUUCUGCUUGUUUGCAGGCUUUCACGUUCCUCAAGGAGAAGCUAACCCAAUCACCGAUUAUGAUUACUCCCAAUUGAGAGGAACCAUUCAAGAUCAUGUGCGAUGCGAGCGACUAUGUUGUAGGUGCAGUAUUGGGACAAAGGAGGGACAAAAUCUUCAAAGCCAUCUACAAUUCCAGUCGUACACUUGACCAGGCACAGAAGAACUAUUCAACGACCGAAAAAGAAAUGCUUGCAAUUGUUUUUGCAGUUGACAAGUUCAGAUCGUAUAUUUUGGGCUCUCAGAUGAUCAUUUACACCGACCACGCAGCUAUUCGAUAUCUGUUCGCAAAGAAAGACGCCAAGCCCCGACUCAUCAGAUGGGUACUACUACUCCAGGAGUUCGACUUGGAAAUCACAGACAAAAGGGGAGCGAGAAUGUGGUAGCAGAUCAUCUUUCCAAACUCAUACUUGACGAAGUUCUAGCCGAAGGAAAUAUUCAGGAAUCAUUCCCUGACGAGCAACUGCUCUCCAUUAGUACUCACACUCCGUGGUAUGCUGAUGUGGCCAACUUCUUGGCUAGUGGAAUCAUUCCUGACGAUCUAUAUUAUCACCAAAAGAAAAAAUUCCUUCACGACAGUCGUUUCUAUCUUUGGGACGAGCUGUUGCUUUUUAGAACUUGCCCCGACCGAUUCAUCCGAAAAUGUGUUCCGGAAACCGAAGUACGUGAGAUUCUCACACAUUGCCACUCUUCACCUUGUGGCGGGCAUCACGGGGAAUCUCGCACAGCCGCCAAGGUUCUGCAGUCAGGCUUCUAUUGGCCAACCCUAUUCCGAGAUAGGUACGAGUUCGUGAAACGGUGUGAUCGAUGCCAACGGACAGGGAACCUAUCCAACAAAAGCCAAAUGCCACUGAACAACAUGCAAGAGGUGGAGCUUUUUGAUGUUUGGGGCAUAGACUUCAUGGGACCAUUCCCUUCUUCGAACGGGAAGUUAUACAUUCUGCUUGCCGUGGACUACGUGUCCAAAUGGGUCGAAGAAAUUUCCACCACUGCCUACGAUGCUCGUACGGUCCUCAAAUUCUUCCACAAGAACAUAUUCUCAAGGUUCGGGACACCUAGGGCGAUCAUUAGCGAUGAAGGAUCUCACUUCUGCAACAAACUGUUCACUAAUCUCACGAAUAAGUUGGGGAUCCGUCAUAAAAUUGCGCUAGAUUAUUAUCCAUAAACAAAUGGCCUUGCUGAGUUGUCAAACCGAGAAAUCAAACAGAUUCUGGAGAAGACCGUGAGCACGAACCGAAAAGAUUGGGCGUUAAAGCUCGAUGAUGCACUUUGGGCCUAUCGAACAGCAUUCAAGACACCGUUUGGGAUGUCUCCGUAUAAACUCGUGUUUGGGAAAGCGUGCCACCUGCUAGUGGAAUUGGAGCACCGAGCUUAUUGGGCAGUCAAAAAGCUCAAUUUCGAUCAAACAGCUACUGGCGAUCGUCGAUUAUUUCAACUAAAUGAAAUGGAGGAGUUCAGAAACGAUGCUUACGAGAAUGCCAAGAUUUACAAAGAAAAGACGAAAAAGUGGCACGACAAAAAAAUUACAAAGCGAGAGUUCCGGGCAGGUGACCAAGUCCUACUUUUCAAUUCUCGGUUACAAUUAUUUCCGGGAAAGCUAAAGUCCUGUUGGUCAGGACCAUUCGUAGUCCAGAGUGCAACCCCACAAGGAGUUAUCGAAAUACGAGGAUGAGACGGUCUGUCGUUCAAAGUGAAUGGGCAACAAGUUAAGCAUUACUACCCGAAUGGUGCUCCCGAGGAAGUGGAUCGUGUCGCACUAAAUUUCUCCCAAUAAAUCCAAACAAAGUCGAGUCGUCGACUGUAAAACAUACGCUAAAUGGGAGGCACCCCAUUGUUGCUCAUUCUCUGUCAUUUUCCUCUUGUUCUUGCUUUUGUUUUCGUUUUAGCCUUUUCUUGCAUUUUUAUAUUUUUUUAGGGUUCAAUAUCUCUAUCUCACCCGUUUAAAUUUCAAAUUAUUUGCAGAUUACUGGGAUCGCGAUCCAGCAUUUCGGAUCGCGAUCUGGGGUGUCUUACAGUAGGAAAAGUGGAGAGGAACCAGAUCGCGAUCCACACAUCCAGAUCGCGAUCUGAGGUGUUAUACAGAAAAAAAAAAUUGAGGAUCCAGAUCGCGGUCCAGCAUUUCAGAUCGCGAUCUGGGGGGUCUUACAGAGAGCAAAAAAGGGUUAAAUCCAGAUCGCGAUCCAGCAUUUCGGAUCGCGAUCUGGGGGGUCUUACAGAAGCUAGAAGUUACGGACCCAAAUUGCGAUCCAGCCAACCCGGAUCGCGAUCAGGGGGGUUUCAUAAUAAGUUAUUAGGGCAGACCCAGAUCUCGAUCCAGCCCUUCUAGAUCACGAUUUGGGGGCGUAAACAAUACUUAUUAAAAAAACCCUUCUAUUUUUCUCACUUCUUUCUUUUUAAAAAAUUCGAAACCCCUUUCCCCCAAAACCCUAGAACUUCAAUUCUCUAUCAAAUUUCCUCUUCAAACUUGCUUAUUUUUAGAUUUUCAUCAACUAUUAAUGAUUAUUGCUUGUUAUUAUUGAGAAUUGUAGACGAAUCUUCAACAAAGGUAUAUUCUUGACCCAUAUUUUUGAGUUUUGCUUGAAUAUUCGAAUUUCUUCCAAUUUUCUUGUUUUGUCCCUUGAUUCUUCAAUUUUUAUUGCCUGUACAUAUAUGUGUACUUGAUUUUGGGAUUUAAAAGCUUGAUUAAUUGGUUGAGCCAAUGUUAAGAUAUAUGAAUUGUCCUAUUAUGCUUAAUUUCGAAAUUUCUUGUGAAUUAUUGAUUGGGUUGAGUUCUAUUAUGUUAAUUUUUGCUCGUUGAUCGUUAUUGAUUGUUGUUGUUGUUGUUGUUGUGUUGAUUGAUGUAGGAGGGUUAGUUUUCAAAAGAAACUAACAUUCAAAGAAUUUCAAAGAACUUGCGCACGCCAAGUGUUCGACGAAUUGUCCGAACCAAUUCUAAGUUUUGUUUUACACCCUCAUUCACACCAUGACUUCACCGGCAAACAAACUCCAAAAAACGAGUGAGAAUUCAAAGAAAGCCCAACCGAAGAGCAAGGGAAAAGCGCCGAAAAAGAAGAAGGGCAAGGCUCAAGGAAAAAGGGGGGGAGAAGGCUCUUCACACUCGCCUUCACAUUCGGAGGGACCAACCGAGCAAGCUAUGCCAAGAACCGGUGACGUGCCACUCAACACGGGCGCCCGUGCCAAUCAACGCACACUCGUGAACGAAGUCACCUUCGACGAGCGCGGCGAAUAAAUCUAUGUGAAUGUCGAAGCCAAGAGCGAGUACAUCGACCGUCUGCCAUGAGCGAUCAUCCCAAAACGUGAAUUGGAUGUCCGCACGAUUGGAUGCCCCUCGGUUGUCAGCAACAUACAAGAAAGACAUUGGAGAAUCCUCGUCGACAAACCAGGCACCUACAACGAAAAUUUGAUCCGACUCUUCUACGCCAAUGCCGGUCAAUACAAGGGCUCGGUGGUUUUCAUCCGGGGCGUGGAAGUUCGCUAUGACGCAGACGCCAUCAAUCGAGUCUACAGGAUAUCCCCAAAUUAUCCGAACAUUCCGACCGAGCCGUUCCAAGCAUCGAAGAUGGAAACGACUUACCAGCACCUCAUUCAGGCCCUGUGCCCCCGAGGAUCUUAUUGGGCACCAGGAGAUAAGUGGUUCUAUCGAGCCGAGCUUUCGAGAGAGGCCAAGAUUUGGAUGUAUUUCAUUUGCUCCCGACUCAUGCCGACAGUUUCCACGGCCCAGACCUAUGCCACUCGUCUCACGUUGAUGUACGCCAUCAUGAAGGGCACCCCUCUGAACGUGGGUGCCAUUAUCAACUGGGAGAUUCGACGGUGCAUGGGGGACACCUCCUUGGGCCCGAUGUUCCCUUCACUCAUCACAGCCUUGUACAAAAAUACCAAUGUGGUGAUGUUUGCCGACGACAAAGUAACAAAGGCUCCGAAGCCGAUCUUCCCUUUCGACAAGCUCCAGUCAGCUUCCGGUCCACAGGGCGAGGGCGAUGGCCCUGAGCCAGAUGCACCAGCAUCCGAGGAUGACCGACCAGCCCGACCCGAACCACGAGGCGGGAAACAACAGCAGACAGCAGCAGCUCCGCCACUUCCACAGUAUAUGGGCGAGUGGAUGGAUGAUAUGGAUGAGAACGUAGGAUGGUUCAAGAAGAUGAUCAAUGUGAUGGCAGCAGCACUCCAGUGCAGGACGGACGACAUCGUCGAGCAACGACCAUUCCUACCACGACCUCGAUUUGACGGAGCAUCUUCCUCCAACGCAACCGCAGAAGAAGCUGCACGAGCGGCAGCCACCACACUUAUGAGGCCCGUCUGGGAAGAGCAUGAGCGUGGACUUCGGGAGGACGAGGGACGAGCUAUCGAGGAGGACCAUGACAUCUAGGGACGUUGUAUUUUCUAUCCCUUUUAUUUUUUAUUCUGAUUUUGAGCAUAGGGACUAUGCUAGAGUUUGAGGGUGGUGUUUGUUGAACCAGUUUGUUUUUGUUUUGUUUUUAUUUCGUUUGUUUGGAUAAGUCGUUGAAUUGAUAUUUCGUUUACGAUGUAUCUUUGCUAGACUUUGAUUUUAUUUUAUUUUAUUUAUCUUAUUUUGAUUUAGUUCUUUGCAUGCAUAUCAUAUAAUUAAGUUUCGUUUAUGUAUUUCGAUUUCCGUAAUUGUGUUAUGUUUGUCACAUGCAUUUCAUUUAGGAUCGAGUGUAAGUUGCAUUUCCGGAUUCUAUUGAAGCAAAAAAAUUAAUGAAUUAGUAGACUGGCUAGUUGAUUUUAAAAUUGAAAUUGUGGAUAACCGGCUAAUAAUAGAUGAACCUUCCGACUGCGUUUUUGCAACUUGUGUGGAUAGCCUUUCGAAUCCUUUCCUAUUAAGCUUGAGCGCACUUUUCUGAGGGGUAUAAUAGUCUGAGGUUUGGGGGGUGAGUUAGAAUUGAAUUGUGUGUUCACGAUUCGAGUUGUUGGCUAAAAGUUCUAUCAAUGGUCUUUACGUUUUUAUUUUAUGUUAUUGUGUCGAUAAAUAAAUGUUUAAAAAAAAAAAAGAGAGAAAAAUAAUAAUAUGUGGUAUUGUUGUGAUUCACGCUCUGAUUUCCCUGCCUUUCUGACUCGAGCUUAACCCGUUGGGUGCACCUCGUCGCCUAAGUCUCUCGAGUUGUCAAGCUUGGGGGUUUCUUGGACUAAAGUUCGAUACAUGGGUCAGGGAGAUAACACAGUGGUGUCGAGCCUUGCACGAGCUACGAUUAUGCCCGUUUCAAAAAAAUGAAAAAAGAAAAAGUUGUGAUGAAAAUCACCAAAAAUAUUGUUGUCAUUUUUUUAUAUUGAAUAAAUAGACCUACUUAUGCCCAACUCGAGUUUUUGAAUAUCAGAAUCAAAACUUACUUUCACCCACAUUUCUACUCAAAACCCUCGAUGAUUGUGUUUAUUGUUUAAUUAUGUGUUCUCGAGUCUAUCUUUCAUUUUGGUGUAGAAACAACUAAUUGCGUCGCUAGGUAUGUUAUCUGAAAACCCUCACGAGACACAACUCGUCCUUUGGCGGUACCCAGGGGUUCAAAGGCUUGUUGCAUACGCUAAAUGCAAUCGUGACUCCCUACGUUAGUGGCCUAGUUUUAGUUUGUUGUUUUAAUUUCCUUUUUGUUGUAGUUUCGUUUUGAUUUACUCGGGACAAGUAAAGUUCUAAGUUUGAGGGUGUGAUAAGUGUUCGUUUUGCACGAUUUUUGCUUAUCAAAUCUUCGAAUUUUGGUCUUCGUUCGUCCGAGUUUCGGCUUUAUUUGUAUAUAUUAUUGCGUUUCUUUUUUUAUUUCUAUUUCUAGGUUUUAUUAUAUAUUCUUGCCGAUUUUGGGGCCAAGAAGACCUAGAUCGCGAUAUAGGAACUCCGUAUUGCGAUCUGGGGGUUGUCACAUAAAGAAAAAGUAUCAAGACCCAGAUCGCGAUCUGACAUUCUGGAUCGCGAUCUGGGGGUGUUCAUAGAAGGCUUUUUACUCAAGAUCCAGAUCGCGAUCCAACGAUCCGUAUCGCGAUCUGAGGGGUCUCACAGUGCGUAAUUGUUGAAGACCCAUAUCGCGAUACGCAUAUCCGGAUCGCGAUUUGACAUGGCGCAGGGCAGUUCCCCGAGCUGCCAGAUCGCAAUCUGGGCGCGACUUUUGAACAAGAUAUUUAUUUUGCAAAACUUCUUGAGGAAGCUUUGCAUUUCACUAUAAAUAGAAAGACCCUUUCAUUCUUCAUUUCUUUUUCCACUUUUUACGGUUUUCGACAGUUCUUCGCGGGAAUCAUCAACGGGGGUUUCUAUUUGGGUUUUUCUUACGCAAUUUAUUUACGUUUUGUUAUUCAUUUCUUGUGUACAUUCUUUUGACAUUAUGUUUGUUAUGAACUAAGAAAAUAUUCUUCUAGGGUAAUGAAGCCUUGUAUAUAUUGAUUUCGAUCGUCAUUUGUUUUAUCUAUUUGUUGUGUUUCGAUUUCGUUUAUGUUUUCCUGUAUUAAAUGCUUUUGAUUGUUUGAUCAGCUCUCAGAUUGAUAUUAAAUAGGAAUGAACUCGGGAGAGGAUUUUAUUGUUUGAAGUUAGGAAAACAUAGCUCGAGGUGUGGAAACGGAGACGUGAUGCACUUCGGGUAGCCCUUAAGGACUUGACCUAAAUGCUCUCUUAAUAGCAGGUUUUGAACGGAGACGUCGGACCUGUGGGUAGACUCUAACUACACUGGAGACAGGGGUUAGAGUACUUUAGCGUCUGGGUUGACGAAUAGGAAUGUGACUUUAGAUAACGGAUUUGUAGAUCGUUGUUGAUUAUACAUAGACGGAUUUGUCCCUAAAAGUCUCUUUUAAACCGAAGCCCUCCCGCGUUGAGUUGUCGCUACUUUGUUUACGUACAUUCUAUAUUUGCAUGUUUACGAUCUUGCAUGCUUUUAAAUUAGGGUUUAUCACCAUUCCAAAUAUUUACGAUCGACUAGAUAAUAUAACGAUAAUACAAUUACACUACUGAGCAUGUGAAUCUACAAGGUCCCGGUGGAUCGAUAUACGGAACCACUGUUCUCCAAAAUGCGAUAUUGUAUACUUGCGGUAAUUUAUACAUGAGAAAAACGCGUAUCAGGGCACAUAAAUCGAGACCAUAUAUUUUUCUUUGUUUUCUUACUAUAAAUAGAAGGUCUCUUUUUCAUUUUUUGAUCUAAUGACCUCUUCUUCGACUUUUUUCGGUUUUCUCAUCGGUUUUCGCCAGUUCUUUGCGGGAAGCUUCGACGAGGGUUUUGACUUGUGUUUUUCAUAAGAUUUUUUUUUUACGUUUAGUUUAUGAUUUCUCGUGUUCGUCAUUUUGAUGCUAUGUUUGUAAUGAACUGAGCAUUUUCUUUUAGGGAAACAAAACCUUGUAUAUAUUGAUUUUAAUUUCUAGAUCUGUGAUCUAUUUGUCGUUUUUUGAUUAUGUUUAUGUUUUCCUGUAUUAAAUGCUUUCGAUUAUUUGUAUAACAGUUGCAUUGAUUGUAAAUGGGAAUGAACUCGAGAGAGGAUUUCUCGUUUGAUUUUAGGAAAAUAUAGCUCGGGUUGUGGAAACGGAGACGUGAUGCACCUCGGGUAGCCCUUAAGGACUUGACCUAAAUGCUCUCUUAAUAUCAGAUUCUGAACGGAGACGUUGGAUAUGUGGGUAGACUCUAACUACACUGGAAACAGGGUUUAGGGUAUUUUGGUGUUUGGGUUAGCGAAUAUAGAAUUGACAUUAGAUUCGGAUUUGUGGAUCCUUAUCGAUAGUACGCUAGGAGCCAUCACAGGUCGGAAUUCCUCGCUUGUCCUGGCGGACCGUUGUUUUUAUUUAUUAUUUCUUUUUAGUUUCAUUUCUCUCAUUCUUUUGUUCGUCUAGAUAAAGUUUAGGAUAGUUUACUUACGGUACUUGAUAUAUUCAAGAACUUAAUUCCCUUUUGGAUCGAUAUCUGGAAUUCAUUAUUCUACAAAACGCGAUACUGUACACUUGCGGUUUUUCAUACGUAGGUUUUACGCGUAUCAACGCCUAUCCCCCAGCCUCCUGCCCAAAAUGCCUCUCACAAUAUAAUUUACAUCAAUCUCAUCCGCAAUGUACCAAUUUGACAAAUAUUGCACAUUGACACCAAAUUAUAACAAUAUAUCAAACUAACCCCUAUUUUCAUAUUUUUUUCUUCAUAAAAUAUUUUUCUUCUCUAAACAUUUUUUUUUCCGGCCACUAACUGACGAUGAUUUUUUUCCCCAUUUUGUUACCCGCCACCAUCGUAGGUGGUCAACGGCUUUGGUUUCUCUUUUCUGAAAUUGUUAUAAUUUUUUUUGAGUUAUUUUAUUUUCACGCGGUUGAUCGGUCUACACAGUAAGAUUACAGUGAAUAAAUUACAUUAAUCUUACUAUCUUACACGAUAAUAUUAAUGUGUUCACAGUAAUAUUAAAUAUUUUUAUCUUCUUUUUUUUUUUUUUUUUUUUUAAAACACCCAACACUGUAAUAUAUUAUUGUGCUAACAGUAAUAUUAUUGUCUGAGACAAUAAUAGUAUUGGCCAAGUCAGUAAUAUUAAUAUUAACACAAAUAUUAAUGUGUUAACAACAAUAUUAUAGUCUGAGACAGUAAUAUUGCAGACCAAUACAGUAAUAUUUGUCUCUUAAUAAUAAUUUUACUAUUUGGGACCGUAAUAUUGCAGGCCGUGACAGUAAUAUUAUUGUGUUAAUAAUAAUUUUAUUGUCUGAGACAGUAAUAGUGCAAACCAACACAGUAAUGUUAUUGAACACAGUAAAAUUAACAAUGAUUUUGUUGUGUUAAUAGUAAUAUUAUUUUAUGUCCGUAAAAAAAUGUAGAACAAAAAAAAAAAUCAACGCCAGAGACCAGCGGCAACAACGGCGACCGGACGGAAAAAAGGUCCAAUAAAAGAAAGUUUCAAAAAAAAAAAUUAACGCCGGAGAAAAUUGGUUAAUUAGUUUUGGGGUGAAAAUUGGUUAAUUAGUGAAAUAGAGUUAACUCAGGGUUUAAAUCAUGAAAUUGGGGUGAAUUACAGUUUCAAAGAGUAAGGGGUGAUUUUGGUUUAUAUGAGAGAAUUUUCUUUAGUUGAAUAUAAGUGUUGAUGGGUGGAUAUAUUUGCAAAAAAAAGAUGUUUUGAAAACCGGAACGGACAUCCACCCGGCCAAGUUACCGGGUCACGGUUGGACUGUUAGAGUAGGUGACCAACAAGCCAACCUGUGGUUGUCUUUUUUUCAUUUAUUAUUGUAAUAAAUAAUCUUUUACGUAUUAAUGAUAAAUUCACUUGGUAUUCUAUAUCUUUGUCCCUUUGUCACAAGCAUAGAUAUAGUCCUUACAGUUAUUACAAGUACUAGUAAUUGAUCGUUAGGAUCGUGAGAUACUUACUUUAGUAUUAUAACUGUUAAAGGUGUUCCUAGUCGAAGGGUUACUGAUACGUGUAAAACCUACGCAUGAAAAACCGCAAGUGUACAAUAUCGCGUUUUGUAGAAUAGUGAAUUCCAUAUAUCGAUCCACAGGAAAUUAAGUUCCUAAAUUUACCAAGUAUCGUAAUUAUACUAUCCUAAACUUUAUCUAGACGAUCGAAAGGGUGGGGGAUGAAACUAAAAAGAAAAAAACAAUAAUAAAAACAACGGUCCGCCAGGACAAACGAAGAAUUUCGACGUGUGAUGGCUUCUAGGGUAAAAUCCACCAGUGCACUAUCAAUAAAGAUCUACAAAUCCGAAUCUAAUGUCAAUUCUAUAUUCGCUAACUCAUACAUUAAAAUACCCUAACCCCCGUCUCCAGUGUAGUUAGAGUCUACCCAAAUGUUCGACGUCUCCGUUCAGAACCUGAUAUUAAGAGAGCAUUUAUGUCAAGUCCUUAAGGGCUACCCGAGGUGCAUCACGUCUCCGUUUCCACAACCCGAACUAUAUUUUUCUAAAAUCAAACGAGAAAUCCUCUCUCGAGUUCAUUCCAAUUUACAAUCAAUUCAACUGUUGGCCAAACAAUCGAAAGCAUUUAAUACAGGAAAACAUAAACAGAAUCAAAGAACGACAAAUAGAUCACAGAUCUGGAAAUCAAAAUCAAUAUAUACAAGGUUUCAUUUCCCCUAAAAGAAAAAGCUUAGUUCAUUACAAACAUAGCAUCCAAAUGAAGAACACGAGAAAUCAUAAACUAAACGUAAAGAAAAAGCUUAUGAAAAACCCGAGUCGAAACCCUCGUCGAAGCUUCCCGCGAAGAACUGGCCAGAACCAAAGAGAAAACCGAAGAAGAAGUCGAAGAGUCGGUCUAAGAAGUUCUCCUUUUUGAAGAGUGAGGCUUGUUGUAUUUAAAGUAAUCUUUGCCUUUUUGGAUAUUUUUUACGCAUCCCAAGGCCCAUAUCGCGAUAUGGGUGACAGUAUCGCGCGAUAUGGCAAAAAUGCAAGCUCUUUGUUUCGUUUCUCCCCAUACCGCGAUACAGGCUGGCAUGUCGCGCGAUAUGGCAAAAAUGCAAGCUCUCUGUUGUUUCUCCCCCAUAUCGCGAUACAGGAUGGCAUAUCGCGCGAUAUGGCAAAAGUGCAAGCUCUCUGUUUCGUUUCUCCCCCAUAUCGCGAUAUGGAAGAUAAUAUCGCGAUAUGGUCGCUGCAAUAACUUCAAAUUCUGUUUUGACCCUUUUUUAGCCCGAAUUUGACAAUUUUGCAUUUCACAAAAGUUGUAGACCUUGAAUUUGGCUUUCUAAAUCCACUUGAAUCAUCUCACUUGAAGUUGGCUUUCUAAAUCCACUUGAAGUUGGCUUUCUAAAUCCACUUGAAUCAUCUCAAACGGAGGUCGUAUGAAGAAGUUAUGCAGGAAAUACCGAACGCUGUCAUCGCCCACUUGAAUGCAAUUUUGCACAUGUUUGGUUUGAUUCUCGGCUUCACUUCCAAAAUCAUUUCGAAUCGGCAAAAAUAGCUAACAAAACAUAAAAAUAUAAAUAAAACAAGAAACGCAAUAAUAUAUACAAAUAUAGCCGAAACUCGGACGAACGAAGACGAAAACUCGAAGAUUCGAUAAGUAAAAGUUGUGCAAAACGAACACUUAUCAGUUACGCCACCAAUGAGGAUAUCGGCCUUUCCCAUUAAGAGACUAGCACUUAGUUUAUGUGUACUGCAUCUCAUCAGUAAACGGUAUUGUGAUAUCGACAUGCAUAAGUGGGUGCUCGUAAGUUGACGAGUUCACUGAACUCCCUCACCCUAGAAAUCUCUAAGUGGUUCUCAAUAAUCGAGUAAAUAUAUUUAUGGUAUAGAUGUACACUAUUAGUCGUUAUGACCUAGACAUCACCGUGACUUCACUAGAGGACCAGUUGUAUCGUGACCUGUCCCUGAGUUCCACCGAGGACCACCCCAAGGGCCAGUGUUAGUGCAGUCCGAAAUCUAGUGGGAGGUUUGUGCAUUGUAGUCGGGGAUUCGAUCGCUAGAAUAGCCUUGGAUGUCCUGUGUGUUCUCAUAGUUUGUAAUCUCUAAGUCUCUGGCCAGAGAUGACUAACUGAUGAUUAGAGAAUUCAAUUCUCUAAGCCAUGCACGUACCGAUUACAACACUUAGAACGAUCGCACAAUCAUUGAACUACUAAGGAGGUCUUGAUGAACCAAUACCUCUAGUUCAAUCGGGACAUAUGAAUCGAAGGGAUCGUACUGUAAGCUAACUAUAUCAAAAGUUUCUUGCAGGCACUAAAUUUGUAUCUAGGGAAUCAUGACGCGUAGUUUCUAGACGCCAAUCCUGAUUCGUUGGGUGAUUAAGGUGAAACGAGCUUCAUCUUAAUCGUAACUCUAAGGGACGAGUUUUGACCACAAAGGGUUGUGGGCCCACGGCUAUCUUACACCUGAACCAUCGAGCGUCACACUACUCGUGCACAUAAGAUCUUUGAAUGAACGGUCAGAGAUAAAAAUGUUUUAUCUUUGCAUGAUUGGAAGUCAAUAUGAUUGAGUCCAACAUUCGUAAUUUGGAAUUAUGAAUGAAAAUAAUAAAAUGAAAAGAAUAGGCGAACAUCUUAGUGGACUUUCUAAAUCGGGAAGUUUCAAAAUUUAGAAAGUGCACUGAAUUAGGGUUUCCACUUUUGGAAAGUUGGAAAUCCAGCAUUGGCACUCGUAAUGACGAGGACAUUAUAAUGAUUCCGAAAAUGUAAUCGUUACAAUUUUCCGAUCAUUGAAUUGAGAGAAACGAGCGAAUGAAGAACUAACGAACUUAAGUUGUUGGGCCCGGUCCAACUUAAGCCCGUUAGGGCUUUUAUGCAAGACAAUAUAAAUACUUGAUUUAUAGGUCUUGCACACAAACACACAACUCAUGAAAAACCCUAGCCGCUCACCUCACGCUUGAAGAGGUAAACUUUCGAGUUAUUUGUUCGAAAUUAAUUUAAUUCGAUUAAAUUAUGCAUUAUCGUGUUUCGUAGUAUGUUUUAUGAAUUUGUAUGUUUUAUGUGAUUACAUGAAAUUCGUAAUUUACUGCGAGCAUGUUAAUUAAUUUAAUGUGAGCAUGCUAAUUGAUUUACUGUCGAUUAAAUAAUUCGCAUGUAUGUUGUUUUUAAUUUCGCCGGAAUCGCAAAGGUACGCAAGAGGUAUAUGAGCGCAUCUGUGAUGAGUACAGUCGAUGUGUCUAUGAGGCCGGCAGGCAAUUACCCCCGCAAUGGACCAUGCCUGACCUUGUUCGGAUGGUUCUUGGGGAUGAAGCUCUUCAGCACGGCUUUCUGACGGAUGCCUACUAAGAUGUAAUGGUAUGUGGUACUCGUAGUUGGGGAUGCGAGGUGCCCCUUCCUUGAACCGGCUUUCUCUCUUCCUUACCGACCUUCCUUAAGCAGGACCCUCACUUCAGUGCGAGAAAAAGCGUUUAGGUUUUACCGAUGACUGAUAGCGUGAGCAAAAUCCAUAAAAUCAUCACAUUUUGAAGUCCUGCAAUUAUCGGGCAUGUGAUUAUGUGAUUUAAAUUUGUUUAAAUUCGCAUAAAAUUUUUGUUUUCCGCUGCGUACACGUAUCUGAUUCCCAACAUGGACUGGUUCAACUGGGGUUCAACCGGAUUGCUUAUUAUUUUUUUUAAUAUAUAAUUAUUUUAUUAAUUUUAUACCUCAAAUAUAAUAUAUUUCCUUCCCACUUUUAUCACUUUACCUACUCCACCUUUUUUAUAAAAGAAUAAUUUAAAAUUAUUAAUUUUGUUCUCUAACAUAGAGGCAAUAGAGUAAUCCGUUGGUAUACUAUAUGUAUUUGUAUCUUAGAACUUCUUCUGACGACUUAUGCAUUCUGCUAUCAUUUUCAAUCGGAUGAUCCAUUAAUACAACUAGUGGAGGAUUAUAAAUGGAUCAUUUUUUUUGAUUUCCACUGGAGAUUAGGAAUAGAUGGAAUCUCUAUAGGACCCAUUUUACUGACGGGAUUCAUAACUACUUUAGCUACUUUAGCGGCUUGGCCAGUUACUCGGGAUUCUCGAUUAUUUAAUUUCCUGAUGUUAGCAAUGUACAGCGGGCAAAUAGGAUUAUUUUCUUCUAGGGACCUUUUACUUUUUUUCCUCAUGUGGGAGUUAGAAUUAAUUCCCGUUUAUCUACUUGUAGCUAUGUGGGGAGGAAAAAAACGUCUGUACUCAGCUACAAAAUUUAUUUUGUACACAGCGGGAGGUUCCAUUUUUCUGUUAAUGGGAGUUCUCUCUUCUUUCCCCCAUCCCCUUCUUUUCUUCCAUCUUCUUUUCUUCUCUUAUUUCUCUGUUUAUUCUUAAUUAUCAUAAUCUCCAUUCACACACAUACUUUAUUUUCUCAACUUAUUUUUGCAUUUUUUUUCUUCAUUUUCACUUUCACCUUCUUCGUUUUCUUUUCCUCUGUGGAAAGUUAUGGCGGCCACAACUUGGAUUGGGUUAGAUACUACCCAGAUCUGUCUAGAUCCAUUCACCAACAACCUUUCUUGUCAAGAUUCAUUUACCUACGAGCACCAUUGAUGUAGAUCCGACAUUGAUAUUUUGUUUUGAGCUGAAAACCGGUUUGAGGACUUGGUUUCGGGUUAAUCUGUUCUUAACGGUCAAACCGGGUUUUUGGGCUUUUUGGGUUUUCACAUUUAACCGGACCGGACAUGGCGGCGGUUCGCGGUUGAACCGGUCGGACCGGCCGGUCCGAUCCGAUUUUCAAAACAUUGCUUUUUAAUACGACCAUUAACCAUAGAAAAUGUACCAAAGUUGUAGUAAAAAAACCUUUUGCUACGCAUUGCCCCAGAGCAUAUAUUGGCGUGAAAAAAACUUUGUUACAGUAAAUGGUUGUAGCAAAUACCUUUUUGCUACGAUAAAUCCUAGCAUUUAUUACGACUCUAAGAUUGUUCCAUACUAAAAGUUACCUUAAAUCCAUGUCAUUGCAAUAUUCCACGUUUCCCACUAAGUAGAAUACUUAAGUGCUAAUUCCUCUGUUCCACAAUAAUUGUCUCUUUUUAAAAAUAUUUUUGUUCCAUAUUAUCUGACACUUUAGAUUUCCAAUACUGCAUUAAAUGCAUUUUUUACUGUUUUAACCUUAUUAAUUCAAUUAUAAGUAUUAACUCUCUCUUACCACAUCAUUAAAUAAUCAAGGUUAUUUUAGUCUUUCUAAUAUAUUUUACCUAAAAUCAAGACACAUUUAUUGAGCUUCUUAAUACUUGUGCAAAGCCAAAAACGACACUCAAUAGGGAACGGAUGGAGUAAUUAGAAGUGCUAAAAGGUACGCAUUUCUAGAGCUAAUAGCAUAGAACCCCCUGUAUUAUUUAUAAUUAACAAAAAAACCCUCGUGUUUAAUAAAUUAGCAAUCUCCCCCCUAUACUGUGUUUGACAUAGCAUACAGCCCCCUAUUUACCAUUUUGUUGUUGACUUAACUAACAUGACUAUUAAACCCCAAAUAAAAAGAAAAAGUAAAAUACCUCCAAAUACCCAAACAAAUUAUCUCUCUCCUCGUGCUCUUAUUUUUUUCUCUACCUCUUUUCAUACUAACCAGACCAUCGGAAAAACUUAACUGCGGUGGACGAAUUUUUGCACAACAGUUUCAAGACUUGAUGGGUAGUUUUUGGGUUGGGCUGAAUUUGGGUGGACGCAAGACGGGCACUUUGUGAACCUGGGUGGCGGCGCUGAUAAUUUCGCAGAGGAUUCGCACUUGGGGAGUGGUGGUGGUGUAUGUAGGGAAACGAAUUGGGAACUGGAGUUGGAUUGCUCAAGUUUCCCGCCGCCUUUUGUGUGUUCUUUCUCACUCUCUCUUCCUUUCAAUGCUUCAACAUUUUUGUAAUUUUGAUUUUUGGUUAUGACGGAGAUUAUUUUAUGUCUGUGGGUGUUGAUUGAUCGACUGAUGAUUUUGAUGUGGCGAAGCUUCGAACAAAAUUAUGAGCGGAGAAGUCCAUGAUUGGGUUUGGGUUGAUUUUGGGAGAGGCUUCAUGAAAAUGUUAGGGAUCCAAUUGAAAAUUUUGAAAAUUUCAUUAUGGGACUCAUUAAAAUUCUAGGGUGAAUCUGUAAUUUUUAUAACUUGUGAUGUAAGGGUAUUUGUGUCUUUUCAAGUUAAAAACACACCCCUAGUUGCAUAAUACGGGCGUGCAACACACGUUAAGUUGUUAGGGACCUUAUUGACUUUGACUAAUUUUCAUAGGGGGGUUGUUGCUAAUAUUUUUAACACAAGAGGUUUUUCGGCAAUUAGAGAUUACAUAGGGGCGGUAUUUGCAAAAAACCCCGCAUUUCUAUUGUAUUCCAAGAUUCUUGCAGAUUUAUAAUACAGUUUUGUUUUUUUACUUUUCAAACGAUUUAAUGUAAAAAUUGCCCUAUUCAUGGGAAAUAUAAUAUAGUUCGAAUUUUACCAGAUUAUUCGAUUUUAUUAUAAUUUUUUUAUAAUAUCUUGUUGAGGAAUGGGGGAACAUCAAAAUAAAUUAAGGAAAAUUUUCCCUAAACCUCUGUGUGUUAUUUUUAUUGUAAAACUCCCUUUUAUUAUAUUUUUGCUUGCAUAAAUUCCCCUUUUUGCCGUUCACAGUGAAGGAAUUUUUCGAUAAAAAAAAGAAAAGAAAAAGAAAACAGCUGAUUUUGUUUCUUAAAAAAAUUAAUCCUGCUAUAACAAGAAUGAUUAAUUAACAAGGUAACAACAACCUUAUAAGUUAUAAAUAAUACCCUCCCUCCCACCCUCUCCCUCCGUGGGUUCACUACUUUUAGUCUCUCUCUCUCUUCAAUUGUUGUUCAAUUAAUAAUCUUUCGUGAUGGGAUAUUCCAACUCCUGCGACAAAACAGUAAACUUAGUAAUGAAUGAGUUUAAAACCCUACGGUCCUCGAUGUAUCAAGAGGCCGUCAUCUUCUUGAAAUUCAGUUUUGUAUCGGCUUACUACGAUUGGAUUCAACGGCCAUAUUGCUCGGUUCCAGAGUUUCUCCAGCGAGUCGAUAAACCCCAAGCGUAUAAAUCAAUCUCCGUCGGCUGCCGCCAAUUAUUCACGUACCCAGACACAGCACGUGAAGUCAUCAGCCAAGGAUUCCAAGGUUGGCCACUAAGCAGCUCCGAGCGCAGCCAAUUGAUCGAAGAUGUGCUGACCAUAGUCAGGGAAAACGUUGACCAAAACUGUACUGUCGACGUUCUGUUAAAACUCCAUGUGUUGGAGAAACACAGACAUGUUUCCGACGAGAUGUCGUCGGAUUCCCACGGCACAUGCUCUGUUUGCCCCACCUAUUAUUCUCUUCGCUAGCUUCUUUCCUUCACUCCUUACCUAUUAGCUUCUUCGACGACUCUACUUAUUAUUAUGCAUAUGCAUGCUAUUGUUACGUACCCUUUUUUAUUACUACUUUAUUCAAACAUUAAAAAUUAUAUUAUGGUUUAUUUUUUAUUUUAUUUUUGGUUUUUUUUUGGUAUUAUGGUAUUUUAAUUAUGCUACUCUAAAUAAUCCAGUACUAGCUAUUUUUAUAUUAAUGUUGGGGGUUCAUAUAGGCUGAGAUACCCCGUAUUAUAAACUCAUAUGAGAUAUGAUCUAAUUAACACUAAUUUUAUAAGAUUAGAUCUCGACUCUAGGAAAAUAUACUGGGUAGUCUUACAAAUAAUGAAUCAUUACCAAGUAGCCUUCGAUUAAUUAUUUUAUUAAACGAAUUUAAAAUAGAUUAACAUCAAAUUGUCUAAUUUACCCCUGACUAUAUUUUAGUGAUAAUUAAUUUAAGGGUAAAUUUUAAUUUCUUCCCUUGUACUUUGGCUCGAUAUCACUUUACCCCCUUCUACACAAUCCUUGUUAUUACACAAUAUAUCAUGAUUGGUACGUAGAGUGAAAUUAUGUUAAUUAUUAUAUAAUCUUGAAACUGUUACGUACUUAAAAUUUCACCGAAACAACAGAGAUGCUCUGUUUUCCCAGACUAUCAUUCUCUUGGCUCUCGUAUUUCGUUAUUGCCUUAGCUUUGUUGCUCUGUUUUCCCAGACUAUCAUUCUCUUGGCUCUCGUAUUUCCCUCUUGCCUUAGCUUUGUUCGCGUCGAACCUCGUAUGGUAUUAUACAAUUAUCGGCACACCCUUAUUAUUGUUUUAUUAAAAUAAAAUAAAAUAAUAAAAACAUAAUAUUAUGGUAUUUUAGGUAUGAUACACUAUAUUCAUGAUUUCUUUUUAUUUUCCAUUGAUGACCCAGAUUGAAGGAGAAUAUUUUCCGAACAUGAAUGAACGAUUAAUUCUCCAAUGUUAAUUAGCAUAGAGUAACUUGUUUCCUUUCAAGAUCAUUUGUACUAUAUAAUUUGGGGUGAGAUAUCCGUGUUCUAAACUCAUAUGAGAUAUGUUCCACUCACCAUUAAUUUUGAAAGAUUAGAUCUGAACCCUAAAAAACUAACACGAAUGGUAUUACAAUCAAUGAGUCAUUUACAAAUGUACCCUUCGAGGAAAAGUUUAUUAUUAAAUAAUAUAAAAUAGAGUACUAUUGAAUUGUCUAAUUUACCCCCACUACAUUUGGGAUUAUUUUAAGAGACCCCCUCAUAUGGAAAAUAUUUGGAACUAAUCACCAAGAGGAUUACAUUGUGGUGGAUACCCCUCAUUUUUAAUAUUAAUUUGACAUAAUCCCUCGCCAAUUUGAAGUACCUAAAAUGUCUUUUUAAAUCAGUUUUAAACUCUAGUCAACUCACAACCGCCUCUCUCUUUCUCUUUGAACUCCCAGAUCAAAAUCCCCUCCCCCCGCCAUAGGUCUCUAACCGGCGAUGUUGCUUUCCGGAGUCAUAACUCUAUCUCCGGUGGUCGGAUUUCGAUGGUUUAACUACUGUUGGAUUCCCCUCGCCGAGUUCAUUCUUUUGGUGGUGAUUUCAUUCGGUCUGGAACUCUGGAACUGUUUUUGCAAUCGUUUUACAGUCCCCGCAUAUUUCAACGACGGUGGGUCUUGCCGGAUGAGUAAUUUGUGUCCCGACAGUCGGAAUUUGAGGGGCUACCAACCUUUGGAUUCCUCUCGUUGAGAUUUUUUUAUGGUAAUUUCAUUCAAUUUUUUAUUGGCAGAUUUGUUUCUGUAAUUUUUUUCAUUGCGAGUGCAGAAACUUAGGUGGUUGGAGGCAACGUGGUUUUGGUAGGAGGCGCUUGGGGUGAAAAGUCAUUGGCGGUUUAGUCUAAAAUUCAUAGUAUUUCGCAGCCAUGGCCUCUCUCUCUCUCUCUCUUAGCGUUUGUUGACUUUUGAGUGUUUUGUUUCUUCAAUUCUUGUUAAUUUGCACUAAAAUAAUAAAAAAAAAAUUAUUUUGAUUUUGCAAAUGCAGCUUAAUGGAAGCCAUUGAUCCUCUUCCUUGAAGGUGUCAAAAAAUUUGGUUGAAGUUACAUCUGCUUCAAGUUAUAUUGUUCUACAGAUUGCAUACAUUAUUGUACAUUACUAGUUACAUAUAGUAACAUAUGCAUAUAAUUUUGUAUUUUUGAUUUAUAUUUGUUGGUUAUGAGUUGAUUUAUAAUAUAAAUAUUGAAAUUUUAAAUUUUUGUUGUUGGGUUUAUGAAUUUCUUUUUUUAUAAGCUAAUAUUCGCGUGUGUAUAUAAUUGGUCGGCUAAAAAUUUGGGGUAAAAAGAAAGAACAUAACUACGAAUUACUAUAGUUUACUAUAGUUACAUGUAGUAAUUUUCAGUACAGUAAACAUAUCGAUUUUUAAAAAAUAUUAAAAAAAAUAAUAAUAAUAAAAUAAACAAACAGGUUUUAAAAAAAAAACAAAAAAAAAAAAAAUAAUACAAAAAAAAAUCAGCAAAAAUGUUAAAUGCAUGACCAGAAUAUUGAAUGAAGUUUGGCCAAAAAUUGCAUAUAUGGGCAAUAUUAUACUUACUGGACAAUUUGGAAGGCCAUUUGGAUUCAAUUUCAGGGCUUCUACAAACGGUCUAGUAUCCAAACAGUCUACUUAAUUGGUGUGGUUAUGCAAUGCUACAACCAUAGAUACACUAUGAAUCAGCAUACAUUGGGCCUAAAAAUUUCCAAUCUAUAAUAAUAAAUGCACAUUGAACUCAUUGUACACUGAAUUUCACAUUUUUAACUCGAGUAAACUGCAAAAAGUACCCCUGUAUAAUCUCUAAAUAGCAAAAACCCCCCUGUGAUAAAUAAACUCGCAAAAACCACCCUGUGAAAUUUAGUCAAAGGCAAAAACCCCCCGGUUGACUUAAGUGUGGCUCACUCGCGGGUUGCGCGAUUGGUAGUAGGUUUUUGGACAUGAAAUGACGAAAUUGUCCCUAAAAAUGUAUUUAUAUGUAUAUAUAUUAUAUGUAUAUAAAUUUUCCUUUUAAUUUGAUUGUUUAGAAAUUAAAAUAUCGUUAAAAAAUAGUAAAUAAUUAAAUUUAAAAAUUAUUAAAAAUUUGUUAAUCAAAUUAAGUAUAGAUUUUUUUAAAUAUAUAAUAACGGAAUUUAAAUUUUCUUUUGAUAUAGCGAUAAUUUAAAAUAUAUACAAAAACUAUGUGAUAAUAUAAACAAAAAUAAAUUAAAGACCCCAUUGUACCUUUAUAAUUAAGAUAUAACAAAAAUAAAAUAAUUAAAAUAUUUAAAAAAUAUAAGAAUUUAUUAAUUGCAAAAUCCCGGGGGUAUUUGGGUCUUUUUAUAUGAAGUCAACACUCAAAUGAUAAAUGGGCCGAAUGUGCUAUUUAAAUAAUUUCAAAGGGGGUUGUUGCUAGUUUAUUUAUCAUAGGGGGGUUUUCGCUAUUUAUAGAUUACACAUGGGUACAUUUUGCAGUUUACUCUUUUUAACUCAGAAAUAUUGUAGAACAUGUUAUAAUCAGAUUUUUUUUUAUAUAUUGUAAAUUAAAGAACCUCACCAGAGAAAUUGAAUUACUACAAUUUGCAACACGAAUUCUGAGUUUCUUAUCCCAUUCAGGAUUAAUAUCUGUCGUCAAAACACGAGAACUUAACAUCAGCAACACAAGAAAGCUAUUUAAUGAUUAAUCUCUUAAGAACAACAAUACGGCCUGCAGACUCCAAUUGCUUAGCCGAAGAGAGUUCCGUUUUUUUUCUGGGAACACCGCAUCAUAAUGCAGGACAUGUGCCUCGGAUCGAAAAUCGAUUCUGGCCAACUCCAACUUCAUAUCAGAUAUUCUUCUAGGGAUUAAUUUAUAUACAUAGAUGCCAAAAUUUUAAAUAUUUGAGGGAGUGGUUGACAAAAGCCAUAUUUCAGGGAUGUAGUUGUCAAAUGGCAAGGUGAGUACAAUUUAUAUAUAUAUAAUUUAGGGGUGCAAACGUAUUGGAAUUAGCCCUUUCGUAAAAAUUCCUAUUUUUUCCGGAAGUCCAAAAUGGAUUGCACAAGUCAAAAUUUUGUCGGACAUAAACGUGAAGUUUUCAUUCCCAGAGAACCUUAAAUACGAAAAACCAAACAAAAGAAAGAAGGAAAGAAAGAAAAAAUAAAACUAUUAAAAAAAAUCCACGAUAGGAAGAGGAAUAUCAAUGCACCGCAGCUGAAGUUUGACUUGGCCGGAUUCGAUAUUUCUCAGUCCGAGGCACAUAUCCUGCAUUAGAUUGCCAUCCUUCCAGAAAAUGAAACUCUCUUCAGACAGGCAAUUGGAGCUUGAAGGCAAUAUUCUUGUGGUUAUUGUACCGUUUGGUAGGCCAUUUGGAUGCAUCUUAAACGCUUGUACAAAUGGUCUAAUAUCAAACUCUGCGUCUCCCAUCUUCUCAUCCGCAAUGAACACGUUUUUGUCGUACACUGUCUACAACCAUACGUACACAUAGAAUCAACAUAUAGGUAUUGCGGUUUCUAAUAAGAAAAUAUAUUUCGGUUCCGUAUGGUUUUUUACCGAAUUAUUCGGUUCGGUACCGGUAAAACCGAAAUAUAUUUUCUUAUUUUAGAAAAGGUAAAAUAACAAUUUAAACGAAAUAAUUCUUGAAUUUGACAUUCAUAUUUCAAUUACCGGCCCUAAAAACAUAACGUGAUUAUCAAUAGAGGCUAAUUUGUAAAUAAUGGAAAACAUUAUCAAUCUACAAGUAUUUUAGAAUAUUUUUAUAACCUGAAAGGAUUUAAAAUAAAAGAAAAAAAUAAAUAUAUAUUAAAUAUUUAGGUAUUCGGUACGGUACGGUAUACCAGACGGUGGACACCAAUACCGUAUACCAUACCGAAUAUCGGAAUUCAAAAAUAACAAUUACCAAAUACCGAACCGAAUUUUCAUUAAGAAAGAGGCAGAAGAUUCAAAUCUUGAGAUCACUAAAACUGCAUUAGUUAAUAUUCAAACUCAAAACAAUUGAAAAACAAAAAUAUCUGAUUUUAGAAAGCUCAAAUUUGUUCUUGAUAUAUCAAACUGAAUUUUCUUUUUUUAAAACGUGUAUCUAGUCUAGAACCAGAAGGAUCAAUAGCACAACCUAAUAAUUUGUUUUAAUUUUAUCGCUAAAGAAAGAGGCUCACCACAGAAACUGGUUGACUAGGAUCUAAAACAGCUACCGUCAAAUCGUCAUGCCAUUCGGGAUUAACAGUCUCUGUAACAACAUGAGUCUUCAAAAUCUGCAUCGCAAUGAUUUAUAGUAAAUUGCAAUUCUGUUUAGAAAAACCUAUAAGAAAACGAACAAGUAAGAACACAAAACCUGUUUGGACAUCCUGACAACAGCAUAAGGAUCUCUGCUGCGGCCAUUGCCAAGAGCAAGAUUGAUACCUCUCUGCACAGAAAUUCUGAGCAGUGCAAACACAGAACUUCGAAUUUGAAGAGCGUCAUAUCCUAGGUUCUCUCUUUCCUCCGAUACUUCCUUUACCGAUGCCAAUAGGGAACUUUUGCAGCGGUACAAGUCAAUCACUUGAAGUGGUAAUAUUUCUGCAAAAUCUGAAGGGAUCUGCUUCAGGCUCACGGUUCCGAGAUGCAUUUGCUCAAGACAUGGGAAAUGUGUAUUGUCUGAUUCCCAAAUCUCCAACUCACACUCAUGAAUCAACAAGUACUUUAGUCGAGCGAAUUCCCCUUCAUUUGAAAUCCACUUUUGCCCUACAGCAGCAUUCGACCGCAGUUUGAGAACUUCAAGAUUCGGUAAGGAACCAACAAUGGACAUAUCUUCCCAUGGAAUCUUGCAUUCACUUAAGACCAAUUUUUUAAGUGAACUUGGAAAGACCAUGUUUCCACGAGGACCACGACCACGCUUACCAACAAAUGCUAGACUUAGUGAUUCAAGUUUAUGGAAAAAUCCAAGAUUGCUUAAACUAUAAGAUCCAAUUGUCGGACAAACAAUUCCCAACUUCUUCAGAUUCGGGAUUUGUUUAGUUACCUCUUUAGUACAUUUGAAAUCUUUGACUAUUGAAAGUGUUUGUAGAUUUUCAAGAACUGUGAUUUUUUCGCCACGUGAAGGAGGAUCAGGUAGAGAAAUUCUCCGCGCCUGAACAUGUCGAAGUUGGGGCAUCUGCCAUAUCUCCCUUGGUAGAGUCAACUCUCCACCAACAACUAAGGUUUGUAGGCACCAAAGUCGGGAUAAUAUAGAAGACGACGACAUAGAGAUCAAACCCGUGCAAGAGACAUAUCUUGAGUUAAUUAGCUGUAGAAUCUCAUCUUUGGGAUAUCUGUCAACCACAUCCAAUACCCGUAGUAACGGAGACCGACAAGCACUAUAAGUAGACAAAUUCAUAGAAAAGAAGGUUAAGAAAGACCGAAUAGAUGCCGUUAGUGUGGCAUCUUUCCAUUGGCCAUUAUUAAUGCUGAGGCGGCGUAUGCUCUCCAUAUCUAACGAAGCUUUGUUGUUAUCCAGCUUUGAGAGGACUAGAAAAUUACCUUUCUGAGCUUCUCUCCUGCAUAGAUCGCUUAAAAGAUCAUGAAUGUGGCAGGUCUUCACUUCUCCACUAAUACCUCUCUUACUAACCAAAAUAAGAUUCCUAUCUAUAAGAUCCUUCAAAUACUCCUCUCCAAUUUCUUCUAAGCUUUUAGGCCCACAUUGUCUAACAAAUCCUUCUGCAACCCACAACCUGACGAGCCUCGACAUUUUGAUAUCAAAAUCUUGUGGAAAUACGGCCAAAUAUAGGAAACAAGGCUUGAGAUAUAUAGGCAAGUGAUUAUAACUCAACGAUAUUACCUUCAUGCAUAACUCGUCAUCUUCAUUGUUCACUGCCGAAGUUACAUCUUCUUCGACGUACUUCCAAUCUUCUGUUUUGGACUUUGCAAGAAGCCCACCAAUGACAACAAGGGCCAAAGGAAGCCCUCUGCAUUUUCUCGCAAUAUUUCUUCCAAUUUCCUCCAAUUCAACAGGGCAACGUCCUUCUGGAAAUACCUUUUCACGAAGUAGAUCCCAACUUUGUGCUUCGUCUAGUAAAUUCAAUUCAUAAGGGGUACAAGAUCCAAGAUCCACAGCCAACUUCAACAGCCUAGUAGUUACCAAGAUUCGACUUCCAUUAUUAUUAUCGGGAAGGAACCUUUUCACAAUCUCCCAAGCCGUGAUAUCCCACAUGUCAUCCAUUACUAUGAAAUAUUUUCUCCCAAACAAAGUUUUGUGCAACUUUUCUCCCAAUACAUCAUCAUCAUUCAUCUCAAGUUCAUUUCGAUUGGUAGGAUUAAUAAUCUGAUGCAAAAGGCCUAGAAGAAUCUCUUUGCCAGUACAUUCUUGGGAUACAACAAACCAAGCACGAAUAUCGAACUUUUCAAUGAUAAAAGGAUUGUUAAAAACAUUAGUGGCAAGGUUAGUCUUACCUAUGCCACCCAUCCCAACAAUAGGGAUAAUCCGGCGGCCCGAUUCGUCGGUAGAGAGAGCGCCCAUUAUUUGAAUCAAGUGAUCCUCGAAUCCCACCAUGGUGUUCUUGCCAAUCCGAAGAGGCAGCGCUGAUGAAGAAGCUUUCCUAGUAGACUGGUUAUCCAUGCCUUCAUUUUUGUCCACCAAAUCCUUCUCGAUGGAGAGGAACUUUUGUAUCAUCAUAUGUAUUUCUCUAUUUUGCUCCAUCUCCACCGACACCAAAUUCUCCUUAGUGGAUUUAGCACAUAUUUGGUUCCUCAAAUUGGAUUCAAUUACAUCCUCUGCUGCGUAAGACGCGUCUACGAUUCGCGAUUCCAAAUCAUCCAUCUCUUUGCUGCUGAGUUUGCAGGAAUAAUGAUUUUCCAGAAAAUCGAGCAAUGAAAGAACCCUAAUUUGAAGAGACUCGAUCUGUUCUCUAACGAAAAUGAAGUGAUGAGCAGGAGGUGGGUGGAGGAGGAUCUGGUCAAGAAUAUUGCUGAGAGAAACUAGAGCUCCGUAAGCAGCCAUCUAUGGCUUCCUUAUCUUUUUCGAUAGAUAAAUUUCAGACGAACAGUAUAGCAUAGUCCAAGCUGUUCAGCUUCAAAGUGGGCAUUGAGUAAGCUUAAAGGUCAUACAUUUGCACCCUUGUAUUAUAACCAAUGUCGUAUUUACUUUCCUGUACUAUGAAAUGGGACGAUAUGGCCGGUUAAAUUUUAUCCGGCAACUACACUUCUACCAUUACCAUGUAAAAUACGAAAUUAGCAGUUGACUUAUAAGAAAUGACUAAAUUAACCCUCGUAUUAUAAUAAUUUAUGUUUCAAUUAUAAAUAAAUAAAAAUGCAAAAUGAAUUUAAUUAGAAAAAAUCCAAAAAGAUAAAAGAAAGAAGGGUAAAUUACAAACACCCCCUAAGGUAUGGUUAAUUUACAAAAAAAACCCCUCUUAUUUGGAUAAUUACAUCUACUCCCCUCAAUUAUGUUUUUUUUUCUUACACAUCCACCCUUAUGGUAUCAAAUUCAACAUAAUCAUCUAGAUUUCGUGGAAUGUGCUCUAGUUUGUACUCGUUUUGUAUAAAAAUACAGUUUAUGAUGCACCAUAAUCUGAUAUAUACAAGUCAAAAAACACAUAUUAUGAUCAUCUUGCUUGCUUCAAAAUGUAGAGUUCGAAUACGGGUACAAAAGUGAUAAUAUUCCAUAUGAUCUCGAAGAUUCCACUAAAUUUGAGGAGUUGAGAGGUGGUUGUAAUUAGCCAAACAAGAGGGGGGUUUUCGUAAUUUGACCAUACCUCAGGGGUGGUUGUAAUUUACCCAAGGAAGAAAAAUAAGAAAACCCACGGCCAUCAUCUCCUCCCCCAACCCAAAAUUCUUCCAUCCGCAUCACCACCACCUCACCACCACGGCCGCACCACCUGCCUUCCCACCCAAAUAAAAUUAUGCUUUAUGUUUGAUGGGUUCUUCCAGAUUUCUUUUGAAUCAAGAUUUUUGGAUCGCCACCCUAUUCUUCUCAUCUCUUCGUCGGCGGUGGGUAUGGAGGCGGCAUCAUCCGGGCCGGAUGAAUCAUCCAUGGCAGAUCGGGCCCUCUCUCUCUCUCUCUCUCUCUCUCUCUCUCUCUCUCUCUCUCUCUCUCUCUCUCUCUCUCUCUCUCUCUCUCUCUCUCUCUCUCUCUCUCUCUCUCUCUCUCAUACACACAAGGUUCCAUCGUGAAGUGCAACUUUUGUUGGUUUUUCUUCUUUUGCAAACGGGUUGUUUAAGAAGAUGAACUGCUUGAUAUUGUUUCGUAGCGAGGAACAGAUCUGAAGAAGGAGACGGAGAAAGAAGAUGAGGUUUUGAGAAAUUAUGAAAAUUGCAAUUUGGUCCUAUGCAAUUUGGAGGGAGGGCUUUUCUGAAAUUAUUAAGGAUUGAAUUGAAAAUUCUGAAAACUUCAUUAUGAAAAAUACUGGAUAAAUUUAUAAAUUUCAAAAAAAAAUGAUUUCAAGGGUAUUUAGUAGGUCUUUCUAGUUCCAAAAUCAGAUGGCCAGUCGCACAAAGCGCGAGUGUAUAACACAUCAAGCUCAUAGGAUCUUUUUUGGCUUUGACUAUUUUUCAUAUUGAAUUUUUUGCUAAUAUUUUUAACAUGAGGGAUUUUUCAGCUAUUCAAGAUUACACAGUGGUGGUUUGUGCAAAAAAUCCCAAAAUUGCACCCAACCCUUUACACCCAAUUCUUAAUUGUAACCCCAAUUUAAUCAAUUUGGACCACAAAAAUCCAAAUUUUUUUUUUCCAAAUAUUUUUUUUCUUCAAAAAGUAUUCUUUUGCCGCCGGUUUCCGGCGUUGACUUUUCGAUUUCUUUUUUUAUGAUCUGUUUUUUCCGACGCCGGAUUCCGGCGUUGACUUUUUUCUAGUGUUUUUUUUUUUAAGUCCGCUGCUAAACGUUGACCGUAAUUAUGUUGUCUUUAACGGUAAUUAUACUGUCACUGACAGUAAAUUAACGUAAUUAUACUGUCACUGACUGUACAUUAACGUAAUUGUACUGCCGUUGACAAUACAUUUAUGUAAUUGUACUGCUGUUGACAGUACAAUUAGAGUCAAUGACAAUAUUAUUAUUAUUUUUUUUUUUGAUUUGUUGACAAGUCAACGUAAUUAUAUUACUGUCGUUGACAAUAAAAUAACUGUAAACACAAUAAUAUUACUGGCAACCACAUCAAUAUAAUUAUUUUUUGGGUUUUUUGUUUUAUUUGAGUUAUUCACGGAGUAACGUAAUGAUAUCACUGUCUAUUAUUGUAAUAUUACUGUAAACACAAUAAUAUUAAUGUGGUUGACGGUAAUAUUACUGUUGUUAUAGUAAUAUUACUGUUAACCACAUCAAUAUUAUUAUUAUUUUUGGGUUUUUUUUGUUUUGUUUGAGUUAUUCACGGAGUAACAUAAUAAUAUUAAUGUCUAUUAUUGUAAUAUUACUGUAAACACAAUAAUAUUACUGUGGUUGACGAUAAUAUUACUGUUGUUAUAGUAACAUUACUGUCAAUCACAGUAAUAUUAUUAUUUUUUGGGGUUGUUUGAGUUAUUCACAAAGUAAUGUAAUAAUAUUACUGUCUAUUAUUGUAAUAUUACUGUAAAUACAAUAAUAUUACUGUGGUUGACAGUAAUAUUACUAUUGUUAUAGUAAUAUUACUGUCACUCACAGUAAUAUUAAUUCUUUUGGGUUUUAUUAUGUUUACCUUUGUUGAGCGGUCAACAUAUUAAUAUUACUCUAUUACACAAUAAUAAUGAGUUUUGCUGUGUUAAUAUUAUUGUGCUAGAGAUUAAUAUAGCAAUAUUACUGUGUUAAACUGCAAUAUAGUUAAUUUUACUGUGUUUAACAGUAAUAUAGUUAAUAUUACUGGCAAUCACAACAAUAUUAUUCUUUAAACGGGAGGGGGGAAAAGAUGUUAAAGAAAAAAAAAAUCGAAAAAGUCAACGUCAGACCAACGUUGACCGCCAGUCAACGCCCGAAACCAGUGGCGGAAAAAUCAGGGGAAAAAAUGAAAAAAGAAAAUCAACGCCGGAGACCGGCAUUGACCGCCGGCCAACGCUGAAAACCGGCGCAAAAAUCAGGAAGAAGAAAAUUUCAGCCACGUAAAUAUAACAAAUAAAUACCUCCAAAUAAUUAUUAUUUGCUAGCAACGUAAAUCCCUUCUCAAUCAACCACAAAUUACAUUUCACCUAAUUAUAACAAUCAAAACACAACAAAUUUUAAAUUUCAGCCAUUAUUUAAAAAAAAAAGAAAAAAAAAAGAUGAAAAUAUGUUAAAUUAUUAAAACAUGGGAUCAAAAGUGAAACUGAUGUAAACUUGAGGGGCUAAAGUGUAAUUUUACCAUUUUCAUAAAUUGAAAAGAAAAAAAUAAGAAUUUUAAAGUCAUUGAUAUUGAAUUUUGACUAAAUAUCCAUAAAUUCAAAUAGUUUGCAAUCAUGAAUUUGAAAUAUAAACCCUAAUCAUGGUAAAAGAGACGAUUUAUGGUCAUAAAUUAAUGGUACUAAGAAAAUGGCACACAACAUUUACAGUGAUUACUAGCACCAAUAACAUCAAUAAUUUGAACAGAUAAAAACACAAUAAAAUUCGUCUCUUUAAAAUUAUAAAAUAUGGAAGAAGUAAACAAACUUGUCUACGGUUCGAAAAUUCUAAAAUUCUACAAAAACUCUGGUUGAAAAAGAGACAAUAAACGAACAAAACCACAUAAUAGUUCAUAAGGUAAGAUUUUAACCUAAGUUCCAAUGUUGGUAGCCUUGUUGAGGAUAACACCUAUUCUAAUGCCAUGACUAAUUCUACCAAUUUAUCCACUAACUCACUAAUAAUUAAUUAAUUUAUCCUACUAAUUAUUCUACUCGUAUCAUAUUUAAACCAUUAAAAAAAUUUAAAUUUCAGAAAUUAUUUAAACACAAUCAAACAUUCCUUCUUAAAUCCACCACAAGUAAAAGUUUAACAUAAAAAUAACAAGUAAAAAAAACAUUAAAAAUUUGAAUUUCAUAAUAAAUUAUAUAUAUUUUAACAAUACAAGAAAUAAUUUAUCUCCAAAUUAAUUGAUAAUUUACUAGAUCGAAAUUCCAUUAAUCCACCAUUAAUAAAAAUUUAACAAAAUUAUAUUAAUAAUUAAAAUCCUAUUUAACUAUAAUAAUAAUUGAAAGAGUGAAAAAAUUUACCUCAAUAAGUACCCUGCUGAAAUUAAUUAAAAUUACCUACAUUAAUUAAAAUAUAAAUUAGCAAAAUACCAAUUAAACAAUAAUAAAUAAUAAUUAACAAAAAAAAAGGAGAGAGAAAAAGAACUCACGUUGGUUGGUGUUAUAGGGGUUAAUUUAUAAUCGAAAAUUUUUCCACCGUACGGUUUGAUUUACGCACUAAAUCAGUCAGCCCACUCAACGAUUCUUCGCACAAACGUAUUGCACCAUUGUUGUAUCAAAUAAAUAGCAACAAUAACAAGUAUGCAGCGGAAAUCGAACAACACAAGCAAUUUACGAGCAACGCUCAACCUUUAUUGAUUCACUCACGAAUAAUACAAGGAAAGCCCUUGGUGCACACAACGAAUCCUCACAACAGAUGCUAACAAUUGCAAUCUGAGUCCCUCUAUCUCAAUGGGUCGGACUUGUGCACUCAAGGGCCUAUAAAUAGAAGGCACAAUGCAGUUUACCCACUAAAAUACCAAGGGACACAUGGCGGCACGCAGGCCAGCCACUAAUACAACAUAAAAGGGACGGUUUUCUAAGUCAUUGCUGAUGCCAAUCGCUCCGCAACUGCCUUCCGUAACUUCCUAAGUCAAUUAGCUGCCCGGCUUGCCCAAUCGGCGCGCGCGCGCCCAAGGAUCGAUUAUGCCCGCACGCAUGCUAUCCAGCCCGCCUGCCAUGCCCACACUUGCCAUGCCUUUCUCGGCCAAGCAUCUCAAUGCUUGCCAAUCAAUCGAAAUCCUUGCCUUGUAAUUCUCGGCCAAGCACCUCAAUACUUGCCCAUCUCUCGGCCACCGUUUGGCCCAUGUGUAGCAUGCCUUGUGCCAACACUUCUUGGCACCACUUCAACUAUAACUCGGCCACACUUGAGUUAUAGUCGAUGUCUCCGUCUAAGGGGGUAACAGACCUCCCCCACCAACGGUGUUCGACGCCCUCGUCGAACUGUUCACUCGCUUCAGAUUUUUCCAAUACAUUGCCAACUCGUCUUCAAACUGCCACAGAUUCACUUCCUUCUCCCAAGUAGCAUCGGCCACCUCUGAAUUUUUCCAAUGUAUUAAAAAUUCAGUCCGCCGGUUCUUCUUGCUUUGACCUUGGGUCUUGUGGUCCAGAAUUUGCUGAAUUUCUCUCUCAAAUUCCUUUCGGACCACUGGUGGGGCUCUCUUCGUUUGCUUCCGACUUUCAUCAAGUAAAUCUUGGUUGAACUUCUACAAAAAACUCACAUGAAACGUAGGAUGCACUUUCAAUCUGUCCGGCAACUUCAAACGAUAAGCAACUCGACCAACUUUUGACACCACUUCAAAAGGACCGUCAUACUUUGUCACCAACCCACGGUGCACUGAUUUGGAACUAAUCUUCUUCCAAAUUUGAGGCGUUAAUUUCAGCAACACCUGAUCACCAACUUGAAACUCCACGUCUCUUCGAUGAGCAUCAACAUACUUCUUCAUCCUCGCUUGUGCUUUCAUCAAACUAUGAUUUGCCUCGUCUAGCAAUUCUUGUCUAGCACGAGCAAAGCGAUAUGCAGCACGACACUUCCCUCCGGUACGCUGCAAUGCCACCUCAUGCGGCACCAUUGGUUGCUGCCCGUACACCAACUCAAACGGGCUCAUCCCAGUAGCUGAAGACUUGUGAAGAUUGUAGCAAAAUUGGGCUGUAUCAAGCAAACCGACCCAAUCCUUCUGGCUAGCGCUAACAUAAUGCCGAAGAUAAUCUUCCAACACGGCAUUCACCCGCUUCGUCUGUCCAUCCGUCUGUGGAUGAUUUGCCAUAGAAAACUUCAACUCAGUCCCCCAACAUGUUGAAGAGCGCUGUCUAGAAACGGCCCGUAAACCGAGUAUCCCGAUCGCUGAUAAUGUCUUCGGGAAUUCCAAAAUACUUCACAGCGUUCUUCAAAAAUAACUCAACAGCUACAUCAGCCGGACAAGCCAUUGGUGCAGCAAUAAAAAUCCCAUACUUUGAGAAACAGUCAAUGAUCACAAAGGUAGAAGCGUUGCCGUUCACUUUCGGAAAUCCCGACACAAAGUCCAUCGAAACCGAUUGCCAAGGCCUCUCCGGAAUGGGCAGAGGCUGCAAUAGACCGGCCUCCUUCUUCUUGUCGGUUUUGUCUAGUUGACAAACUAGACAAGUCUUGACGUAUGCCUCAACGUCAAACUCCAUCUUUGGCCAAUUAUACGAUCGUGCUAGAAGGGCCAACAUCCUGUCAAUUUCGGGAUGACCAGCCCACGUCGGAUCAUGUGUUUCCCGCAAUAGUUCACGCCUAAGGGAGCUGCUUGGCACAUAAGCACGACCACCCUUAGCAAACAACAGCCCAUCCUCUAGCCAAUAUUUCCGAAUUUGUCCAGCCCGUACUUGCUCAGCCAUCUUUUGGUAGACCAAAUCAGUCUUGACUACCUCUCGAACCCGUUCAAGAAAAUCAGACUCCACACGAGUCAAGGCACUAACGUAGGAUUCAACGACUUUCCUACUCAGUGCAUCAGCCACGUCGUUAUGCUUUCCCGGUCGAUGUACCCACUCGAAAUCAAAUUCACCCAAGAAUUCUUGCCAUCUUGCUUGUUUCGGCGACAAUUUCUUUUGAGCCUUGAAGUAUGUGUUUGCCACAUUGUCGGUGACAACCACAAACUUCGUAGCCAACAAGUAAUGUUUCCAAGCAUCCAAACAAUGCACCACUGCCGUCAUUUCCUUCUCAUGAGUAUUGUACCGCAUCUCAGCAUCUUUCAGCUUUCUACUUUCAAAGGCAACGGGAUGCUUGUCUUGCACCAACACACCUCCAAUAGCACGGUCAGAAGCAUCCGUUUGCAACUCAAACGGUUUGUCGAACUCGGGCAACUUCAGUACUAGUUCCGAAGAUAUAGCACCCUUCAAUUUUUCAAACGAACCAUCACAAUCUGAAGUCCAUUCCCACUUCUGAUCCUUCUUCAAAAGAUCCGUCAAAGGAUUCACGAUCUUUGAAUACCUAUUGAUAAACCUUCGAUAGUAGUUUGCCAAACCUAAAAACGAAUGCAACUCAACCACUUUCGAAGGAGCGGGCCAAUCAGUCACAGCCCGUACCUUCUUCAUAUCCAUCUUGAUCUUUCCUUGGAUAAUGAUGUGGCCAAGGAAUGAGAUUUCUUCCCGACAUAAAUCACACUUCUCCUUCUUGGCAUACAACUUGUACUCCCUCAACUUCAAGAAUACAACCCGCAUAUGCCCAACAUGCUCGCCCAACGAUUCAGAAUAAACCACGAUAUCAUCAAGAUAUACCACCACAAAACGAUCAAGAAACUCGUACAACACAUCAUUCAUGAGGUUGCAAAAAGUUGCGGGAGCAUCGGUUAAGCCGAAAGGCAUAACCAAGAACUCGUACGAUCCAUAUCUCGUCACACAAGUUGUCUUUGCCUCAUCACCUUGUGCCACACGAACUUUCCAAUAUCCAGCCCGAAGAUCUAUCUUUGUGUAAAACCGUGCCCUUGUGAUAUGAUCCAGCCAUGCAUCGAGGUUAAUGCCGAGCUGACCAAAGUGCAUACUCUCAGUGUGAAUGUUGAUGAGAUGGCGGUGCCUAGAGAGAUGCUUCAUCCAUUCUCUAUACAGAGGUUGGACGCAUUGGGAAUUCGAGCUACAAAGUAUCCAUGUCCGUACACAUUUCAAUGGCUGCAAGAUGGUGUGUUCUGCGAUGUGGUGCAGAGAUGUGUAAGUUUGCUACCGAACAGAGAGAUCGAUUAUGAGAUCGAUUUUGUUUAUACUCCUUGUGAUAUUUGUCCGGAUUCGAGGACGAAUCCUUUUAAAGAGGGGGAGUAUGAUACGAUCCACACAAGCUCAAAGAUGAAGAAUUGGAAGAAGAGAAAGCGAGUGAGAUUAAUGGAGCUGUUCGUGUUGGAGUUGAAGAGUAAAGGCUUGAAUCAGGCCUUUGAAGAGUCGUUGUUGAGGAAUUUGAAGAAAAAGGAAGAGGAAAAUUCGUUUGACAAGUCGAAUUCCAUGCAUCCGAGAUUCUCGCCUAUUCUGGCAGAGUUUACCAUUCGAGUUAUAACUCUCGCAUCUGAAGUCCAUUUAAGCUGAUUCAAAAUGAUUCGGAAAGCUAACUGAAAGAUCUACAACUUUUAUGUUUUGAGAUAAGAGAUAUUCGAAGUGUAACAGUGUCGAAAUUGAACUUUAAUUGCACUUAUAAAUAGGUUCCAUACAUCCGAGAUUCUCGCCUAUUCUGGCAGAGUUUACCAUUCGCGGAAGCAAGAUCGAAAUCAUCCGAGUUGGUAACUGAUACGAACCCCGUAGAACUUGUUACGAGACCCAAUACCUUACGCGGAAGCAAGAUCGAAAUCAUCCAAAAACAAAGAUUCAAGUUUGGCAGAAGCAAGGAAUAAUGACGCCAUAGAUAUAAAGAGCUAGAAACCAUUAUUAUCAAGGUGAAUUAUAAUAUCGACCCCGUGGUUAUAAAGAACCAGAAACCAAUAUUAUGGCGCUAAGAAAAUUACAAGAAUCCACUUGUAAAAUCCCGAAGAUUGCUGUAGAACAGCGAAGGAGAAUUAACCUCACCAAAUACUCAAAAUAUCAUUAAAUUUCGGCCAUUAAAAUAAGCCAAAUUGGCAACCUAUUUAUAAGUGCUAAAAAGACUCAUUUUUCACAAGGAAAAUGACUCCUACCUAAACUAUAAUAAAGAAACUUGUAAAUAAGCAAAUCCUAACCAUAAAAGACUCUAAAAUAAUAAAAACAUAAUAAAACCUAAAUUAAAAAACGUCCAUAAUUAUAUUAGAUAACUUGAUCUUCAAGUCGACUUCUCGAUCACCCUUCUUAACUCGCGACAUUGGGCUGUGCACGUGCAUGCAAUUAAAGUUCAAUUUCGACACUGUUACACUUCGAAUAUCUCUUCUCUCAAAACAUAAAAGUUGUAGAUCUUUCAGUUAGCUUUCUGAAUCAUUUUGAAUCAGCUUAAAUGGACUUCAGAUGCGAGAGUUAUAACUCGAAUGGUAAACUCUGCCAGAAUAGGCGAGAAUCUCGGAUGCAUGGAAUUCGACUUGUCCAACGAAUUUUCCUCUUCCUUUUUUUCCAAUUCCUCAACAACGACUCUUCAAAGGUCUGAUUCAAGCAUUUACUCUUCAACUCCAACACGAACAGCUCCAUUAAUCUCACUCGCUUUCUCUUCUUCCAAUUCUUCAUCUUUGAGCUUGUGUGGAUCGUAUCAUACUCCCCCUCUUUAAAAGGAUUCGUCCUCGAAUCCGGACAAAUAUCACAAGGAGUAUAAACAAAAUCGAUCUCAUAAUCGAUCUCUCUGUUCGGUAGCAAACUUACACAUCUCUGCACCACAUCGCAGAACACACCAUCUUGCAGCCAUUGAAAUGUGUACGAACAUGGAUAUUUUGUAGCUCAAAUUCCCAAUGCGUCCAACCUCUGUAUAGAGAAUGGAUGAAGCAUCUCUUUAGGCACCGCCAUCUCAUCAAUAUUCACACUGAGAGUCUGCACUUUGGUCAGCUCGGCAUUAACCUCGAUGCAUGGCUGGAUCAUAUCACCUUGCCAACUGGUCGAAAAGAUCCAGCGCAUUAGGAAUAUGAUACUCAUUUUUUAUAGUAACCUUAUUCAGUGCCCGAUAGUCUACACACAUCCUCAUUGAACCGUCGUGCUUCUUCUGCAACAGAACCGGCAAACCAUAAGGAGCUUUGGAAGGUUGCACGAGACCCGCACUCAGCAAAUCGUCCAGCUGCCUUCUAAGCUCAGCCAACUCCAAAGGACACAUCCGGUACGGUGCUUGUGCUGGCGGCUUGGCCCCCAGUUCCAACUCAAUCUUAUGGUCAAUGGCUCGCCGAGGCGGCAACUCUCUCGGUAAUUCAGGAGGCAUCACAUCGUCGAAUUCAACCUGCAAUUCAGCAACUGCAUCCGGCACUUCUUGGUACACAUCCGGCUUGAUUUCGACCAGUGCAGCCAGGCAGGUUGGCUCACCAUGUCUUAGACCUGCCUUUAGUUGCAAUGCCGACAAUAAGCCCUCAGAUUUCUUCUCUUUGACCUUCUUCACGAACGUUCCCUUCACGAAACAUGGACAACUAGGAUCCAUGAACAACAAUCCACUCAGGAAAGGUAUGACACCAACACGGGCCGACAAUAGAAAGUCUUGCCCCAAAAUAACGUCAAAAUCGUCUAGUGGUACGGCAGUAAAUGAGCACUGCCCACGCCAAGGACUAAUGCACAACUCUACAUUGGUCAAACCCCUCACCGGCUUGGCUUCUGAAUUUACGGCUUUAAUUCUACUUGCAUGUUGUGAGAGAUUCAGAUCCAUCUUUCCAAUCUCUCGAACGGCAACAAAGUUGUACGUUGCACCCGAAUCCACCAUGGCCAUCACUUUCAUACCGUUCAGCAAAGUUUCGACAUACAUCAAACCUUUGGGGUUGCUAGGUACCUUCUCGACCGUCAAGGCAUUCAACAACUGGAUGGGGUUGACUUGCUUAGGGUCAUCACCAUCUCCAUCCGAUUGCAGCAUCAAAGCAUUCAAUUUGCUUCGUUUAGGGCCAUCCCUCAUUCGAUGGUCACUGUUACACAAGAAACAGCCUUUGUUUUCCUUGUUAACGGACAAUUGCCCCGCGGGUUUGGCCGUUCCCGUGGGCUUCUCAAAAUUCUUCUUGGCCUUGAAUUUCCCAUCUCGGCCAAACUUUCCACCCGAUUUCUUGGUCUUGCCCUUAUCCUUCGCGGAUUCUUUAUUUUCAGCAUCCUUGGCACCAACCGUCUUGUAAUCAACAAGGCGAUCUGCAGCGGCAAUUGCUCCCGGCAGAUCCUUCACGCCUUGACUCCGCAACUCAGAUUGUGCCCAAGGUUGCAAACCAGCCAUAAAGUUAAAUAUCUUUUCCUCCUCUGACAUAUCCCUAAUGUCAAGCACCAAGGAACUGAAGUCCUUCACGUACUCACGAACGGACCUCUUAUGCUUCAAUUGACGUAGGGAUUUCCUUGCCAACCAACUCGUGUUGCAAGGGAGGAAUUGUUCUUUCAAAUCCUUUUUCAACGUUUCCCAGGUUUCAAUUUUGUCCCUAUUGGCACUAGCAUCGUCGGAAAGACGUGCUCGCCACCACAUUUUCGCAUCACCCGACAAGUACAUGCUUGUAAUGGUCACCUUCUCUUGGUCAGACACAUUUGCUUCCUUUAAAUAGUUCUCCAUGUCCCAAAGGAAGUUUUCUAACUCCUUUGCGCUACGUGCACCACCAAACGUAGCGGGUUCAGGCACCCGUACCUUGGACGACGAUGAUCUGCCCUCAACAGCACUCGAUGUCCCCUCAUGAAUCGCCCGCUUCACCACAUCCAAAUCCGUCAAUAACGUCUCAAACUUGGCUUCAACCGCAUCACUUAGUAACCUGAGAUCUUCGGCAUCACUUGCCAUCCUAGUCUCCACAAACUCUGGUAGACCGGCUAUAGAUUUGGAUAGCCGUUCGAAUGCUUGUUGCCCAUCAACAAGUUGUUGGAGAAUAGGGGCUGCUCUCAGAUCAGCGGGCGGCCCAACAAGAGUCUCAAGAGGUUGAAAUCUCGCUUCCAAAUCGAGCAACGCUGUGCGCGUAGGAUUCAUCAUUGAGGAAGAACCCGAAUCUUCCAUGUCAGAGAACACCGUUCAGAACCCGAGAACCUGGCUCUGAUACCAACUGUUACAGGGGUUAAUUAAUAAUCAAAAAUUUUCCCACCAUACGGCCUGAUUUACGCACUAAAUCAGUCAGCCCACUCAACGAUUCUUCACACAAACGUAUUGCACUAUUGUUGUAUCAAAUAAAUAGCAACAAUAACAAGUAUGCAGCGGAAAUCGAACAAUACAAGCAAUUUACGAGCAACGCUCAACCUUUAUUGAUUCACUCACGAAUAAUACAAGGAAAGCCAUUGGUGCACACAAUGAAUCCUCACAAUAGAUGCUAACAAUUGCAAUCUGAGUCCCUCUAUCUGAAUGGAUCGGAUUUGUGCACUCAAGGGCUUAUAAAUACAAGGUACAAUGCAGUUUACCCACUAAACUGCCAAGGGGAACAUGGCGGCACGCAGGCCUGCCACUUGGCUUACUAAUACAACAUAAAAGGGACGGUUUUGUAAGUCAUUGCUGAUGCCAACCACUCCGCAACUGCCUUCCGUAACUUCCCAAGUCAAUUAGCUACCCAGCUUGCCCAAUCGGCGCGCGCGCACGCCCAAGGAUCGAUUAUGCCCGUACGCUUGCUAUCCAGCCCGAUUGCCUUGCCCACACUUGCCAUGCCUUUCUCGGCCAAGCAUCUCAAUGCUUGCCAAUCACUCGAAACCCUUGCCUUGUAAUUCUCGGCCAAGCACCUCAAUACUUGCCCAUCUCUCGGCCACCGUUUGGCCCAUGUGUAGCAUGCAUUGUGCCAAUAAUUCUUGGCACCACUUCAACUAUAACUCGGCCACACUCGAGUUAUAGUGGAUGUCUCCAUCUAAGGGGGUAACAAUUGGGAAGAAGGGAGCAAAUGGAGCAAAUGUGGGUGAGUUCUAAUUGUUUAAGGGAUAUAUAUAUAUAUAUAUAUAUAUAUAUAUAUAUAUUCAGCCGAAAUCACGGUUGUUGGAUCAAGAAGAAUUGGACGGCCCUUAAAACGCGCGAUUUGAACUGACGUGUUCAACCAUCUGACAGGUCAAAGCGCGUCGUUCAAAACGACGCGUUUUAAGGGCCAUCAGAUCUUUUAAUCAAUCCCUGAACGUCCGAUUAAGAGGACAAAAUUGGAGAGCAUGGCCGUUGAUCCUAGCUCAAUCCGACGGUCCUUAAAGAGCGUCAUUUCAAUUGACGCUUUAUUGUAUUUAUGAAAUCAAUUAUAAAAUCACCACAAUUUUGAAAAAAAAACCCGAAAUAUUGUAAAAAAAAAAUGCCCCGUUAAGGAUUAGACCUAGCCAAUUUGUGAAAUUUUUUUUUGAAGCCACCGUUCAAAAGAGCACGAACACUUGAAGAAACUUCAAGUAUCCAUGCUCUGUAGAACGGUGGAUUCAAGUUUUUUGAACUUCACGUUCUGCAGAGCACGGAAACUUGAACUUUCUUCAAGUUUUCGUGCACUGUUGAACGGGAAGCUCAAAAAACUUUUUAAACUUUAUUUUCGGAAAAAAAAUUAAAAUAUGAAUCCCCCGUGCUGAAGAACACGAGAACUUGAAUAAUCUUCAUGUUCCCGUGCUCUGCAGAGCGGAGGACUCAAAAACAUGAAGUUCCCGUUCUGCAGAACAUGCGAACUUGAAGCUUCAAGUUCCCGUGUUCUGCAGAACAGGAACUUCAUGUUUUAUUUAUUUAUUUUUAUUUUUUUAUUUUUUUUAAUAUUUUUUUUUAAUUAAAUAAUUAAUAUGUUUAUUUUUUACAUAUGGCACGUCAGGACAAGGGGAAAGGGAUUAUGGGUGCUUCUUCGAGUUCGGAAAAAGUCCCGAAGAUUAAAUUUCGAUGUGGCGGGGGAGGCGGGGAAGCUGGGGCUUUUUUUUUAAUAUAUUUUUUUAAUUUAAAUAUCAAAUUUUGUAAUUAUUUAAGGAACAUGAUAACACAUAUUGGGAUUAUUGUACACGUUUGCAUAUUCAUCGUCAAAGAAAGUCAAAAUCACAUCAUCACCCUACCAAAGGAAUAAAGUAAACAAAAAAAAAAGAAAAAGAAAGAAAAAAAAAACUAAAACCUAGAUUCCCGUGCUCUAGGGGAUGGGUACUUCAACAUUUUUCUUUCCUUUUUAUACCCCACGUGCUGCACAGCACGAUCCCUCCCUUCAUUUUUUUUUCUUCGUUUUUACCAUGUAAAAGUAACGUGGAUCGGUCAUAAGAAAAAAUGUUGUUUGGUUUCGAAUUUGUCGAACGACCUUCAUAUUCUAAGUUUUCGACUUUUUUUAGUUGAGUGAGUUUCGAUUUUUUAGAAAGUUAGAAAAUUGACAAAUGAGACUACCGCUGCAAAUAAGCCAAGUUUCAGUAAAAGUUUCGCUGCAAUUAGCAUUUCAUAUUAUUAAAGGCCCCAGUAUGUUUUUUAGGUAAAUUUUGAGAAUUUACUUUUACUUCUUUUUUUUUUUGGUUUUUUCUUUGCUGUUUCUAAGAAGAAGAUUGCAGUCUGAAGGAAUAUAAUAUAAUAUUAUAAUUUAUGCAUAAAUAAGGCAUAUCAGAGAAAAGGAAAAAAAAAAGGCAUAUGAGCUUGCCGACAAACCUAGUUAGACAUGUCAUGGGCCGGUUUUCAGCCCGGAACCGGCCCGAACCGGCCCGUUGACCGGUAAACCAGUCCUGAAACUGUGAACCGGCCCGUGUCCCUCGGGCCGGGCCCGGUUCUAGAAAUAGGUUCACCCAAAUUUAAAAAGAAAAAAAAAUUAAAAAAAAAAGCCUGAACCGUCCCAGUGAACCGGCCGUUAUUUGUUAUUUUUUGAAUCCCCCCCCCAAUGUUUACCGAUAAAUACUCUCACACCCCAUUAUUUCUAUAAAAUUAAGUUUAACUCAUUUUAUUUAUUUUCUUUUGUUUUUUUUCCUAUUUAAAAGUAAUUCUUUUAAUUUCUGGGCCGGCCUAGAACUGGCCUGGAUAAGCCCGGAAUCAGAGUGAACCGGCGGACCGGCCCGACCUGCCGAACCAUGCGUAGUACGGGCCGGUUCCGAUUCCGGAAAAAGUAAACUGUGAACCGACCCCUGGCCGUGUCUAAACCAAGUCAAUUAAUAUUGAGUCAUUGACUUGCAGUGAUAAAGAUGUGGUGAUGAUAGCGAACACGUAAGAGCCACAUAUCCCACAAUAAAUAAAUAAAUUUAGGGCUUAUUUUAGACGGAAAAUAUGAAAUAUACAACUCAAAUGGAAAAUAUUUUGAUGUAAAUUCAAUAGACUUUUAAAAAAAAUCCUACACCCAAAUUUCGUUCUUAAUUAGUGAGACCCCUCUCUACUAGUGUGAGAAGACAAAUAUACCCUCAACUACUAUAACCUUAAUUAUUUGCCCACCUCUAUCACUUUCAUCUUCUCCACCUCUUCCUCAACUCUCUCCGAAAAUUCCAACCUUCCCCCUCCGUCGUUGCCGUCGCCGCGCCAUCGCCGCUCAUUGCCGUCGCCGCUCAUUGCCGUCGCCGCUUUCUCUAUUCGUCUCCACAUAAAUAUGUUUCUCUCUUGUUCGUUAUCUCUUUCGAUUUCUCUCUCUCUUUACACCAACAUCGUCUUCACAUAGAUCUCUACACCACCACCGUCGCCGCUCGUUGCCGCCGCCACGCCCUUCGUCUCCAGGUAAGGUUUUUUCUCUCUUUUUUCUACACCACCUCCAUCGUCUUCACAUAGAUCUUUUUUUUUUGUCCACCACCACUACCGUUGCCAACGCCGUUGUCGUCGACUCCCACUCCCUCUCUUUCGUUAUUUUUCUAUCUCUAUUUUUGUAUUUUUCGAUUUCUCUCUCUCUCUCUCUCUCUUUUUUUAAUCUCCAGAUCUAAACUAGCAGCAUUAAAAUGACUAGUCAUAUUCGAAAUUUUUUUCCUUCUCCAGAUCUAAACUUUCUAUCUCUAUUUAUGUACUUUUAGAUUUCUCUCUCUCUUUUUUUUCCUCCAGAUCUAAAUUACCAGUAGCAGCAUUAAAAUGACUAUAAUCAUAUUCGCAUAUUUUUUUCUUCUCCAAAUCUAAACUAGCAGCAGUAACAUGGCUAUAAUCAUAUUCAAAUACGACUAUUGUUUGAAUAUGACUGUAGUCAUAUUCGAAUAUGAAUUUAGUUGAAUAUGACUAUAGUCAUAUUCAAAUAUGUUCUAUCUUUUUCGUUUUCAAGGUUAACUUGUAAUUAUAACAUUCAAAUUGUGAUUUUUUAUGUGGAUGUUGAUUGGAAUGUUUUCGUAAGCAAUAGGCAAUUUUUGUUGUUUUAUAUAAUUUGGUAAACAUGCAUGUACCAUAUUAUACAAUCGAAUUUCUAAAUUGAAAAUGUAAAAAACUGCAAUAAAGAAAGAAUAUGACUACAGUUGAUGUGGUCACAUAUAGGCAACUAUAGUCAUAUUCGGCGUAGUAAACAAGUCGAGAAAAAAAAUUCAAUUUUUUGUUUAAAAAAAAACGAAAUAAAUCCGAAAUAAUAAAAAUUAAAAAUUAAAAAUUUCAUUUUUUUUUAUUUGAUAGCAAAUUUUUAGGAAUUUGGAAGAAGCUUUUUAGGAAUUACAUUGUUGUUAUGGAAAGAGAAAAAGGAAAGGAAUAAUUGGGACAAAUUAUGCUAAUUGACAUAAUAAAGGUAGUACUGGGAAUACAAUUUCUAGGGGUUAUAACAAAGAAAGAUUUAAGGGUGGACAUAUCACCAUUUCUUAGCUAUAUGAGGGGUUUAUUGCUAAUGACCCCUAUUUUAUAUACCCCUAGAGACCAAAAAAAUUAGGGAUAAACCCAAGCCGAAUUCAUACUUUGACAUACCCCUGGAGAGGCAAAAGUACUAUACUACCCUUAUAUGCAAUUUUCAGCCAAACUGCAUUCAGCAUUUCUGGUCCAGCAUUGAGCAUUUUGGCUGAUUUAGUUAUUUAUUAUUAUUAUUAUUAUUAUUAUUAUUAUUAUGAUUAUUAUUAUUAUUAUUAUUAUUAUGCACAAAAAAAAGGUUUUUGAAAAAAGGUUUUUGAAAAAAAAAAGGUUUUUGACGGCAAAAAAAUGGUUUUUGAAAAAAAAAUGUUUUAUGCACAAAAUUGAAUUUUUGUGGUCAAAAUUGGAUUUUUGUGGACAAAAUUGAUUAAAUUGGGGUUACAAUUAAGAAUUGGGUAUAAAGGGUUGGAGGUAAUAUUGGCAUAUACAUGAAUGUUUCCUUUAUUUAUAAUGAAUACUAAAGGGAUGAGCUUAUUGGUGAAAGAUAUAUAACCAAUAAACCUAAAAUAAUAAAGAUGCUUGAUUCGAAACUUAUGCACAAAAACCCUACUAUUAAUCUUACCUCAAUUAAUGAUUUAAUUUUAAAAUUAGUUAGAGAAUAACAAACAAUUGUCUUAUGCGGGUAAAUUAUAUUCGUUAAUUGUUUUUUUUUUUCUUUUUUUUCAUUAUCUAGUGAACUGUUUGGGCAAUAGUUUAAUACGUAAAAGCCAUAGUGUUAAAUCUUUACAUUAGAAAAACAAUAUUAUUAAGAAUUUAACAUUCAUUUAAAUUGUGUGUUUAUUCUUAAUUAUUAUUUUGGGUGUGUGAAUUCUUUAUUAUAAUUUAUUAUUCUCGUAUAUGAUAUUUUAUUCGGGUUUAUUAAAAAAAAAUCCAAAAUAAACAUAUUCCAAAAGGGUUUCUAGGAACAUACUCCUGGUAAAGAACACCAGGUGCCUCUCCUAUUAACACGUGUGGGGUUUAGUAAAUUAACCUUAGGGUUUAAUAAUUUAACUUAGGGUUUUUAAAAAAAUAAAAUAAUAGAAUUUGAAAAUUAAAACGCAAAUGCCACGUGGUAAUAGAAGAGUUAUCGGAUAUUUAUCACCAGGAGUAGGAUCAUAUGAACCUUCCGAAUAAUUAUGUGUUAAAACGAAAAGAAAAAUUGUUUUUUAGAAAAAAAAAGAAAAAAUAAUGGAAAAAAGUUUAUGGGCCUACAUAUAAGGAAGUUGCAUGCGCUUGCAAUUCUUAACUAAGAGCAACUCCAAUGGGUUAUCAAAUAUGGUAUUCAAACCAUUAACCACUAUUUAUACACCAAAAAAUAGAAAUUUUCAACUCCAAUGGGGUUAUCAAAUUAGGGUUCUAUUUUGAUAAUUCAACUUUUGAAAUGUAAAAAUACUUGCUGGAAAUUGAGUUAUCAAAAGUGUAACUAUCUAAACAUCCAAUCAAAAGUGGAUAUGUGGCAAGUACAAAUAAAAUUACCCAUAAACUUCCAAUUGAUAAUUAAUUUGAUAACUAUGGUUUGAGUAGAUGGAUUUUAAUCAAUAUUAAAAUAUUAUCUCAAAUAUCAAAUGAAUAUUUGAUAAUUCAAUUUUGGUAUUUAGCAUUGGAGUUGCUCUAAGGAGUUUUUAAUUUAAAAUACCUAUAAAUUAAGAAACAUAAAUAAUCAUAUUUCUUAAUUAAAUGUCCACGUGUCACUCAAUGGGUGGAAUCCGUUUUUCUUAUAUAAAUGGGGGAUCCGUUCCAAAUUUGCUCCCAUAAAAUAAAGAUUAGGGUUUUAGCUAAUCAAUACAACAUUGAAAUAGUUUUGGCAAAAAGAAUCUAACAUUAAUAUGGAAAUAAUUAGUACAAAAUUUAGAGGUGACGACGUUAAAGAUGGAAGACGGCUUAUGCUAAUUACUCUAUAUGGAAGACGUUAAAGAUGGUAAAUUGGUAAUUACUCUAUGCUUAUUAACAUUCAUGUUCCAAAAAUAUUCUCCUUCAAUCUGGAUUGUGGUGGAAAUCAAUAUUAUUUAGAAACUAGUAUUUCACCCGUGCGUUGCACGGAUGUGAGUUUAAAAAUGACAAAAGUAAACUUAUGUAAACGACUAUUUCUUUAUAACAAUACCAAUUCAAGUAAAACAAAAUAGAAGGAAAUAAAAAAUAUAAAUUUUAUCUCUUAAUUUAGGAUUGUAACAUAUGAAAUUAAGUUAAACAUUACAAAUAAGAAAACAUGAAAGCGCGCAAAACACGAUAUCAAGAUUAAGUGAAAUCAUUUAAAACAUAUGGUAUAACUCUAUUUCUUAGAUUGCAAUCUACUACACCAUGUGAAUCUUCUGCAAAAUAACUAAGGUAACAACAAAUAUGGUAGCAGAGAAGUAACACAAUAGAUAUUCAAAUAACAUGCAAGUUUAUCACUAAUGGCGUUCAAUUAGUGAUGCACAUUACUCAAACAACAAUAAAACUUAUAAAUAUUGCAAAAGAGAUAUGAUGUAUACGCCACUACCAGUACUGAUACCAAUACCGAUACCAAUACUAAUACCAAUAUUAUUACCAAUAGUGAUACUAAUUCGAUUAAUACUAAUAAUAAUAGUAAUACUAAUACUAAUACUAAUGUUAAUACUAAUAGUGAUACUAAUGUUAAUAUUGGUACUAAUAUUGGUACUAAUACUAAUACUAAUAAUAAUACUAAUACUAAUACUAAUACUACCACUAAUACUAAUACUUAUACAAAUAAUAAAACUAAUAUUAAUACUAAUAUUCAUAUUGAUACUAAUACUAAUAAUAAUAUUGGUACUUACAUUGAUAAUUAUAGUUAUAUUGAUACUAAUACUAAUACUAAUACUAAUACUAAUACUAAUACUGAUAUUAAUACUAAUAUCGGUACUAAUACUAAUACUGACACUAAUACUAAUACUAAUACCGAUACUAAUACUAAUAAUAAUACUAAUACUGAUACUAAUAAUAAUACUUAUACUAAUACUAAUAUUAAUUCUCAUACUAAUACUCAUACUCAUAUUCAUACCAAUACUAAUACUAAUACUAAUAAUAAUACUAAUAUUUAUAUUAAUAUUCAUAUUGAUACUAAUACUAAUACUAAUACUAAGAAUAAUACUAAUAUUGAUACUAAUACUGAUACUUACAUUGAUAAUGAUAGUUAUAUUGAUACUAAUACUUAUACUAAUACUAAUACUAAUACUAAUACUAAUACUAAUACUAAUACUAAUACUAAUACUAAUACUAAUACUAAUACUAAUACUAAUACUAAUACUAAUACUAAUACUAAUAAUAAGACUACUGAUACUAAUACUAAUAAUAAUAGUGAUACUUAUAGUGAUACUAAUAGUGAUAUUGAUACUAAUAUUAAUACUAAUAGUAAUACUAAUACUAAUACUAAGACUAUUACUGAUACUAAUAACAAUAAUAAUUCUGAUAUUGAUACUAAUACUUAUACUCAUACUGAUACUCAUAGUAAUAUUAUAUUAAUAUUAAUGUUAAUACUGAUACUGAUAUUGACACUAAUACUGAUACUCAUAGCAAUAUUAAUAUUAAUACUAAUACUAAUAUUGAUAUUGAUACUCAUACUAAUACUGAUACUCAUAGUAAUACUAAUACUAAUAUUGAUACUCAUACUCAUAUUGAUACUCACAAUCAUAUUGAUACUCAUAUUAAUACUGAUAUUAAUAUUAAUAUUGAUACGGGUACUAAUACUGAUAUUGAUAGUGAUACUAAUAUCGAUAUUGAUGCUGAUACUGAUACUCAUACUGAUACUCAUAUUGAUACAAAUGUUGAUACUGAUACGGGUACGAAUACUGAAACUGAAACUGAUAUUGAUAUUGAUAUUGAUAAUGAUACUGAUAUUGGUAUUGAUACUUAUACCGAUACCGAUACCGAUACCGAUGUCGAUACCGAUGUCGAUACCGAUAUUGAUGUCGAUACCGAUACUGAUAUUGAUAAUGAUACUGAUAUUUAAACUAAUAUUAAUAUUAAUAUUAAUACUAAUAGUACUAUUACUAAUACUAUUACUAAUCUUACUAUUAAUACUAAUACUAAUAUUAAUAUUAAUUUUAUUACUAAUACUAAUAUGUUAAUAUUAAUUUUAUUACUAAUACUAAUAUGUUAAUAUUGUUAAUGUUAAUGCUAAUGUACAUAUUCUAAUGCUAAUACUAAUUUUAAUGUUAAUGUUAAUCUGGAUAUGCUUAUGCUGAUUAUAAUUGUAAUACUAAUAUUAUCCAAAUCCUUAUCCUAUUCCUAAUCCUAUUCAUAACACUAAUCAUAAUUCUAAUCCUAAACCUAUUUCUAACAUUAAUUAUAAUCUAUAUAAUUUUAUUACUAAUAAUACUUGUGCCAUGCUAAUAUCAGUGUUCUAAAAAUCGUCCGAGGCAGCCGAUUAAUCGGUCUCCGAGGCGGAGGCGGUAAAAACGCCUUUACGAUUUUAGUGUAAAGGUUUGAAAAAUCGGUUUUUUGCCUGUGAGGCGGUUUUAGGCGGUUUGAGGCGGUCAAACCUUUAUGGCGGGUCAAACUUCGGUGACAAAAUUCGGCCAAAAAUCGGUCAAAAAUCGGUUUUUUUUUUCAUAAUUCAAAAUAAAAGUUGGGAUUUUAAUAAACAAAAUAUGAGCUUAUGUUUUAUUUUGUUUAUGUUAAUUGUUAUUGUUAAAUAACUAAUGAUAUAUGUUAGGAAUGUUCAAGAAUAAAUGUAAAUUAAAAUAAAAUUAUUUAUAUUUUAUUAUUUUAUAAGGAUAUUUAUGUAUUAUAAUCUUAUUAUUAUUAAACUUUUAUUAUUUUGUUAAGAUAUAUACCUGAUGGAGAUAUAACUAUGUUUAAAUAUCUUUUUAUAUAUGUUUUUAAUAUUUAUAAAUAAUAUUUAUAAAAAUAUAUUGUAUUAAAUUUUAAAAAUCGAUUUCUUUCCGAUUUAUCACCACCGUCGCACCGAUUAAUCGUUAGUUGGUCCCUGACCACCUCCGACACGAUAACCGCUUUUUACAACCUUAGCUAAUGUUAAUUCUAAUUAUAAUUCUAACCAUAAUCCUAAUCAUAAUGCUAAUCAUAAUCAUAAUACUAAUGCAUGUCACUAAUUGUAGUACGAAUCAAUAAUCAUAAUCUUAAUUAUAAUUCUAAUACUAACAUUAAUCAUAAUCAUAAUCCUAAUAUUAAUUAUAAUACUAUAUUAAGACGAAUCCUAAUCCUAGUAUUAAUACUAAUACUAAUUCAAAGAAUAUUAAUUAUAAUUCUAAUUCUAAUACUACAACUAAUCUCAAUCCUAAUUAUGAUUUUGCAUCAAUGUUUUUGCAAUUAUCUAUUAUUUUGUAUAAAAAAAAAAUUAUAUUCCUAAUCCUAGUAUUAAUACUAAUACUAAUUCAAAGAAUAUUAAUUAUAAUUCUAAUUCUAAUACUACAACUAAUCACAAUCCUAAUUAUGAUUUUGCAUCAAUGUUUUUGCAAUUAUCUAUUAUUUUGUAUAAAAAAAAAAAUCUAUUCAAUCUCGCAACUUUUAUAUUAAAUUCCUUAUGUGUGGUACCUGAAACAUCAAGAAACACAUAUUAAAUAUUAUAAAUUAAUAUUUAAUUAUAUUAUCAAACUGACAUUAAAAUUAUUUAAAAUAAUAUAAGGGUAUAAGCAAACGUUAAGACGUGAAAAUAACGAUAAUCGUUAUUAAUAGGAUAAAUUACGAAAAUCCUCAUGAACUUAGACUAAAUUACGGAAAUCACCCCCACUUAUCGGUAAUUACCAAAAUCCCCCAGAUGUUUGUUUAUGUCUUACACGACCCCCUUAUGGUGUGAUUUUUUACGGAAUCUUUUUUAUUCCAUGUAAUAUCCCAAAAAUUGUGGAUUCUACCCUUGCAGAUGUGACAUUUCUUUUAUCUUACUUUUUAAAUACAAAAAUUACCCUUAGGGGAGGUAAUAGUAAUCCUAAAAAGUUGUGAAGAUGUUAUUUAAGAACAAUAAAUACUUCGUGUAAAGUUCCCACAGGGUAACUUUUAUUUUUAAAAAGUACCAUAAACAAAUGUUGUGUGCAGGGUAGAAUAUGCAUUUUUCGGGGAAUAUUCCACAUAAUAAAAAAAAUUCCGUGAAAAUUCAUACCGUAAGGGGGUCGAUGUAAGACGAAAACAAACAUCAGGAAAAUUUUGGUAAUUACGAAUAUAAUAUUAAAUUAGUAAGAAAGAUAAACAUAUUCUCUGAUCAUGUUCAUGUAAAAUGUAUAAUAUUAAAUGAUUUAUUCUGCAUUUUUUUUAUAUAUAAAUCCAAGUUUAUGAAUUAAAAUACAAAAUUUUCGUAACACCAUCAAUGAUAAAAUUAUAAUAAGUGAAGAUUUUAAAUUGAAUUUAAAAAAAUUUAAAAUAAAUUAAUUACAAUUAAAACUAAAUUAAAAAAUAAAACUAUUUAGAGUUUCCAAAUAAGUUGAUAUAUUUAGAACAUUUUAUAAAUGGUAUGAUAUAAAUACAUAAUAAAAUAAUUAAAUAUCUUUUUAAUUUUGGAAAAUGGUGACAUGUUUUUUGAUGAUUUAUUUUCACCAAUCAAUUUGGCACAUGGGAUGAAAUUGAAUACAUGUCACCAAUUAAAAUUGACAAAUGUCAAUCAAUUAGGUGUGGAAUUCAACUUUUAUAUAUUAUAUAGAUUCCAAGAUUAAUGUGAUAUUGAUAUACCUAAAUGGGCUGGCCCAAUGGGCCCUCAAAUUUAUCUACUAAUUAGGCCCACUACCCAAUCACAUACAAGUGGGCCCAUUACACGAAAGCCCAAUCUCCUUCAAAGUAAGGCUUGGGCCCAACAAAGUAAGCCCAACUCAUUCAACGAUAUAUAAAUAGAUGUUUUACUCAUUUAUUAAGGUACGUUCUAAUUAUUCACAAUCAAUCUCGAGUUUUAUUCUCUCCACUAUCUCUACGAUCCAUACAUCUGACUUGAGCGUCGGAGGGGUUUCCGCCGGAUCAACCCCCGGCUUAGUUCACGUGUGCUCAUUUUGUAGGGACCUCAGGAUCAUCGAGUUGACUAGCUACUGAUCAGCUUUGCUCUCCCAGCUCGUUUUCUAUACUACUCCGGUGAGCUAUAUUUUAGCAUCAUCAUUUUGGCGCCGUCUGUGGGAACGAUGCAAACCAGAUCACGUAGCCAACAAGAUCCUCCUGAGGCGUCAGCUCGGAGAGAAAAUGACACAGCUAACAACCUUCCAGUCCGUGGAGGAUCUGGCAUACGACCUCCUCCACGCGCCGCGGAACCACUUCCCCCACGUGCCGCGGAGCCAGCUCCUCCACGUGUAGCAGAUCCACCUCGCGAGGUUCAGGUGAUCCCUCCUCGGGACCCACCACUCGCCGAUCCACCACUCCCUGCUCCUCGAACGGUUCAAAUAACCGAGGACGCGCUCCAACGCAUGAUAGCAGAAGCCUCAACUCGCGCCGCCACGGAGGCUGUAACUCAAUAUAUCGCCACGAUAGGAGCAAACGCUCCCAAUGCGAUACCAGCGCCAGCUCCACCUAUAGCGCCACCUGUGGCCCCACCGCCAAUCCAGAAUCAAAUAAGUGUCUCCUCCUCUACCUCGGACCCACGAUCCCGAGUACAGCUAUUUACUAAUCACAGAGAGGCACAACCCAGACAGCAGCGUCGGCGCUCACCCCCACGGGGGAAUGCAUCACCACAGAGGGUCCCUCUCUUUAAUGAGGGAGAAGACGAGGUAAACAGCAGAAUGUCUCGCCAAAAUCUUUUUCCCCAACCAAAUAAUCUAAUGGGUGAAAGAAUGCCUGUCCCAACAAGACGCAGUCCCUUCACCAUAGACAUUCUCAACGAGGUAUUACCUCAAGGAGUAAAGAUCUCAGGGUUACCUCAAUUUGAAGGAACCACCGACCCACAUGAGCAUAUAGAGAAAUUCAGUGCCAUGGCAGAUUUAUAUGGCCCGACGGAUGCUGCGAUGUGUAAAAUGUUCCGCACCACUCUCUCCAAGAGGGCAAUGAAUUGGUUCAACUCUCUACCCAUAGGGUCGAUUGACACCUUCGCUCGGCUGUCAACCCGGUUCACCAACCAGUUCGCCAUCAACAAAAAAUAUGCCAAGAUCCCAGCUCAUCUUUUCUCUGUAGUACAAAGAGAUAACGAAACACUCCGCAACUACAUUAAGCGUUUCGUAGAAGCCGUCCAUGAAGUCCCCAGUGUAGGGCAAGACAUGCUCUCCGGGAUUAUGCAGCAAAACUUGAAACCGGGAAGAUUCAAGGAGUCUAUCGCCGGGAGACCCCCAGGCAACCUAGAGGAGUUGCUGAAUCGAGCCGAAAAAUACGUCCGGAUAGAGGAAGCCUCUACCCAUGCUCCUCCAAAAAGGAAAAGGGAAGAUGACCGUCAGGACAACAGGAGGCGCGAUGAUCGACGUCCACCACUUCCACCUCAAGGCCAACCCUCUACCUCCUACAAUAGGUUCACUCCGCUAAACGCUCGUCUCACUGAAAUCCUUCACGUGAUAGAACAUAAAGGUUUAGCAGAGCCUCCACGUUCUAUGCAGCCAAAUGCAAAGCGAGAAAAGUCGGAUCGUUAUUGUCGAUUCCAUAAGGACAGAGGGCAUACUACGGAGGAAUGUGCACAACUCAAAGUGGCAAUUGAGAGGCUGAUCAAACAGGGCCAUUUAGGCGAAUACAUUGAUAAGCCUCGAAAUAAGCGCCGUGAUGAUCCUCCACGCCGAGAUAAUAAUCGAGAUCAACAGCAAAGGCGAGAGGAUGGGGGUCACCGACGUGACCUAGAUAACAACGAUAACCAACCCACUCGGGGAAUCAUCUCCUUUAUCUCCGGAGGACCGGCGGGCGGCGAUUCGCAAAAUGCAAGGCGCACCCUCGCUCGAUCAGCACGCAUGAAUCAAGAACGUGCUUCUCCAUCCGCACGCAUCUAUCAAAUACGAAGACCUGAUCAUAGCAUAGUCUUCAACUCCUCCGACCUUGAAGGUCCAGAUGAAGAUCAUGUCGAUGCAUUGGUAGUAACAACAACGGUGGCCAACUUCUUGGUCAAGAAGAUAUUGGUGGACGGUGGGAGCUCAGCUGACAUCAUGUAUCUCCACGCUUUUAAGCAGCUGGGCAUAGAUAAUGCCCGGUUUAGUCCCAUCUCCACACCCCUGAAAGGAUUCACAGGAGAAAGCAUUUUAUCCAUGGGAGAAGUGGAGCUGCCCGUUUCACUAGGGGAAGACCCUUGUCGAAUCACAAAAUUAAUCAAAUUUCUCGUCGUCGACAAGCCAUCCCCCUACAACAUCAUUCUAGGGAGGCCAGCAAUCCAUACCUUCAAAUCAGUGCCUUCGUCCUACCAUCAGAAGUGGAAGUUCCCUACUCCCUAUGGAAUGGGGGAAGUACUUGGAGAUAGACGUCUCGCCCGAGAGUGCUAUGCAAGGGCCCUACGAGAACCUUCCAAGAAGCCUAAACCACCCGGAAGGGGAGACGACACCCAAAAAUCCGACAAACGGAAGUGGGUCAACGCGAUCAUUGAGGAUAAUAAAGAAAUCCUCCUCAGUGUACCAGAUGACAGCAUCAAGCUAGCAGCUGUCGAAGAGCUUAAGCUCAUAGAGCUCAUUCCCGGAGAUACUUCCAAGAUCAUACAAAUAGGAUCCGAUUUAGAUCCAACCACGGAGCAGCAGCUAAUCAACUUCCUGCGACACAAUGGAGAUGUGUUCGCAUGGAAAGCCCAAGAUUUGCCGGGUAUUCCUCCUCAGGUAGCUCUACAUCGGCUCAACGUCGACAAGAGGUUGAAGCCAGUCAAACAAAGAAAGUGGACAUUUGGUCCUGAGCGCAACAAGCAUAUCAAAGCGGAAGUGGCAAAACUCCUUGAAGCGGGCCACAUACGACCAGUCCAGUAUCCUGAAUGGCUGUCGAACGUAGUACUCGUUCCCAAGCCGGGUGGCAAGUGGAGAUUAUGCGUAGACUUCACUGACCUCAACAAAGCUUGUCCUAAGGACCCAUUUCCUCUACCCAGAAUCGAUCAGCUCAUCGAUUCGACCUCGGGGUGCAAACUCCUCAGCUUCCUCGAUGCAUACCAAGGGUAUAACGAGAUCUUACUUGCGCCAGAAGAUCAAGAGAGGGCUAGUUUCAUCACUGACCAAGGCAUCUACUGCUAUCAAGUCAUGCCCUUCGGGUUAAAAAACGCAUGAGCCACCUACCAGCGUCUAGUGAACAAAAUGUUCGCAGAUCAGAUAGGUAAAAAUAUGGAGGUGUACAUCGACGACAUGCUCGUCAAAAGUGUCAAGGUCUCGGACCACCUAACUGAUCUAGAUCAGUGUUCCGCCUCCCUGCGAAAAUAUAAGAUGAAGAUCAACCCCCUCAAAUGUUCAUUCGGAGUUCGGGGAGGCAAAUUUUUGGGUUAUAUGAUUUCUCAGCGAGGAAUCGAAGCUAAUCCCGCGAAAAUCGAAGCAAUCACCUCCAUGGCUCCGCCAACAUCGAUCAAGAAAGUUCAGCAGCUCAACGGCUGUUUGGCAUCCCUGAACAGGUUCAUUUCAAGAUCAGCGGACAAGGCUCUCCCAUUUUUCAAGAUUUUAAGGGGAGGAAAAAAGUUCGAGUGGAAUGAGGCAUGUCAAAAAGCCUUCACUGAGCUAAAGUCAUAUCUCGCAUCACCACCCUUGCUUACAAAACCUCAGCCGGGAGACACCCUCAUGCUGUACUUAGCUACCUCGGUGGAUGCCAUCAGCGUAGUCCUCAUCCGAGAUGGAGGAAAAGGUCAUCAACCCAUAUACUACAUAAGUCGCGCCCUCCAAGGAGCCGAACAACGCUAUACCAAUAUGGAGAAGCUCGCUCUCGCCCUCAUCAACGCAGCUCGGAAGCUUCGACCCUACUUCCAGUCGCAUCAAGUGGUGGUUCUCACCAAUUAUCCUCUGAAACAGAUACUGAGAAGUCCCGAGACAUCCGGGCGAUUAGCAAAAUGGGCAAUAGAGCUAAGCGAAUAUGGAGUGGAAUUCAAACCUCGCCCCGCUAUCAAAGCGCAAAUAUUGGCUGACUUUCUAGUCGAAAUGACUUCAGUAGAAGAAAGCACCUCUCUACCAACUUGGUCCGUUAGCGUCGAUGGAUCUUCCACUGCCACAGGAGGUGGAGCGGGUAUCGUCCUAACGAACCCCGACGGAAACGAAUUCGAAUAUGCUCAACGAUUCGAAUUCACAGCCUCAAACAACGUAGCUGAAUACGAAGCACUGAUAGCGGGAAUCCGCCUUGCCCUAGCAGCCGGAGCGCGCUAGCUCCUAAUCCAAAGCGACUCUCAGCUCGUCGUCAACCAAGUACUCGGAGCUUAUGAGGCUAAAGAAGACACCAUGGCCAAAUACUUAGCUCUCGCGCACACUCUCUUAUCUAAAUUCGAGAGCUACGAGACAAGUACCUCGCUCCAAUAACGUCCAUGCUGACAAAUUAGCUAGGCUUGGAAGCUCCAUGGCUAGCAUCGGAAGCCGGAAGGUGACGCUCCUUACCUCACCUCAGCCAGAGAUAACUUCACCCACUGAAAUACAGUACACCGAGGAGGAUGAACCAUGCUGGUUCACUCCAAUCAUGAAGUAUCUCAAGAAGGGAGAACUUCCAGCGGAUCCCACCGAAGCACGAAAGUUAAAAACAAGAGCCGCUCGCUUCGUCAUAGUGGGAGAAGAGUUGUACAAACGAGGGUUCUCAUUCCCCUACCUCAAGUGCCUCGAACCGACCAUAGCGGAUUACGUACUUAGAGAAGUACACGAAUGCAUCUGCGGAAAUCACUUGAGCGGGAGAACUUUAGCUCUCAAACUACUGAGGCAAGGCUACUAUUGGCCAACGAUGCAUGAAGACGCGAAGAAGUUAGUCCGGAAGUGUAAGCCCUGCCAAGAGCAUGCAAAUAUUCCUCACCUGCCAGCGGCAUUAAUGCAACCAAUUGACAGCCCCAUCCCUUUCGCCCAAUGGGGAAUGGAUUUAGUUGGACCAUUCCCGCCCGCCACAGGAGGACGUAAAUACCUCAUUGUAGCAGUGGACUACUUCACCAAAUGGGUGGAAGCUGAACCCUUAGCACGCAUCCGAGAAGAAGAAGUCAUCCAAUUCCUAUGGAAGAACAUCGUGUGUCGCUUUGGGAUCCCACGCUCCAUUAUCUCAGAUAACGGAACCCAAUUUUGUGGUGACAAAGUAAAGAAUUGGUGCCUCGACUUGGACAUCAAACAGUUCUUCACAUCCGUAGCCAAUCCACAGGCUAACGGCCAGACAUAGGUCACGAAUCGCAUCAUACUCCAACACCUUAAGACAAGGCUUGGAAGUGCCAAAGGGAAGUGGGUGGACGAGUUGCCUAACGCACUAUGGGCUUAUCGCACAACCCCACGAGCAGCAACCGGAGAGUCACCUUUCAAUCUAGCUUUCGGAACAGAGGCUCUCGCACCAGUCGAAAUCGGAGAACCAUCUUGGCGAAUCACCAAUUAUGACCCAGCGGCUAACGAAGAGGCUAUGCGGGGAAGCCUAGACCUCGUAGAUGAAUUACGUGAGAUUGCAUACAUCCGACAACAGAUGUAUAAAUCACGCAUGGCCAAGGCCUAUAACUCAAAGGUCCGCCCUCGCUCCUUUCAAGUUGGAGAUUUAGUCCUCCGAAAAGCUGAAGCCUCUCACCCCAUCGGUAAGCUCGACCCAAAGUGGGAAGGACCAUAUAAAAUCACCAAAGUGGUCAACACUGGAGCAUAUCGCCUCGAGAACACUGACGGACACCCUAUACCCAGAACUUGGAAUAUAGGGAACCUCAAACGGUUCUACGCGUAAGGUACACAUCCACCUCAAUUAAGAGAGCAGUUGAAGUCAUCACCUAUACCAUUCCUAUAUAAAAAUUACUUACAAAUCAUUACCCCUGCAGGCUCCGCGACCUUAUACGUCACUCGUCUCGCGAAACUGUGUCUACAUGCUUGGAAAUUUUCUGCUAUAUAACUAGGUGCGUGAACGUCCCACCUAAACUGGGGGGCUAAUAGUUUUUACUUACAUCAGCAAUUCAUAAUCGCAUCCCAUCGUCUUCUUACAGGUUGAGAACUUAUUACGAGAGGAUGUAUAUUACUCAAUCAAUGGUCCAAAGAGCGAAGACGCUCCAUACCACAUCGCCAAGGGUAACUAUACUUCCACUAGCAUUCAACACACGGAUGAUCUUACUUACUCUUACUAACGUGAAAAAAUAAUUCCACUAGCAGGCAUAAUCGCAUAACAACUCGCAGCAACUCACGAGUUGAUUUCAUAUCUCAGAGUAUGAGGAAGAAAAACAAUCCCCGUAAUAGGGUACGUAAAAGUGCAACAUACAUCGCCACAACUUCAAUUACUGAAUAUCCCACAAGUGUUUAAACAAAAUUCUUUUUUUUCUCAGUUAUACUUGACAGGAAUAGAGACGCCAAAGAAAUUCAGUUUACCAUCAGCACAGCGAAACGAACGAGUACAAGGAAGACGUGGAAGAAGAACAAGUGUAGUAUAAUCUCUUAGAAUUUUUUUUUAUCAAAUCAGUUUACUUGCUUUUAUAGCAGAUAUUUACCUUCGCCUCACGUAGGCAUAUCGCAUUAACUAUUUAUCUACAUUCGCCUCACAUAGGCUUCUAUCAGUGCACUUUUGCUAUCAUCGAAUUAAUCAAAUUUAUUUUUGCUUUACUCUCUGGAUGUUACAUCUACACAAAUUACCUAGUACCACGAGUUCAAUUCAAAACAACCUUAAAAACACUUAGAGAGACUUAGAUAAUCCAUAUAGCCUGGCCAGCUGGAUUGUUUAAGUCCCUUUAUUUGGUUCACGAGGUGUUAAUUUUAAAACGUGGCCACGGAAAAAUAUAUUUAAGACCUAAGCGGUCCGAACAAAGGGCACGACCCUUAACAAAAACCUUGGGAGACUGAUCCCCUCCUCAAGUACAUCGCGUAUAAUGCUAGUGUAAACACACAUAAGCAACGCAUUAAUUCUUGACAAUGUCAAAAUAAAUAAAUCGAAAUAUUAAACUUCAAAGUCAAACAAGGAAGAAAUUCAAACGAAGUAGUAGUGGACAUACCCAUCUACAUCAGCGAUAAAAACAAACUAAGAAAUCCAUAGCAAAAAAAAAAAAAAAAAAAAAAAAGGGGAAAUUUAACUAUCCUAACAGAUAAGUCUAAACUCCCCUACCACGAGCGGAAGACGUACCCACAGUGGAGUCAUCCGCUACCAUGUCAUUCACAAGCUCUGUGCCCGUCCCAUUGACAUCUAUCUCAUCCUCCUCUUCAUCGGAUAUGCCGGCUUCCAUCCCACGAAUCACUUCCUCGCUGAUCCCACCCGCAUCGCGCAGAUAUUUGCGACAAGCACGCACUAAGGGCUUAUAAACCACACCCAAUGCAUGCUCCUCAAUCAUAGCAGCACACUCAUCACUACCUCGGAAGCUAAGCUUGGUUUCCUCCACAAUGGACUCCCUAUAAGCCGCACCACCUGACGUCGCGAGGAACCUCUUCCCCGUUGCCUUCUCGACUUCGUAUUUCUCCUUGAGCUGGUCAUAGCACUCGUUUAACUUAUGAACAUCAUCCUUAUACGCCUUCGCGUCACCUCGGAUAACCUCGAGCUCUUCUGUCCUUUGAGCAAGCUCCUCUGUCCUUUGAGCAAGCUCUUCCGUCCGUUGAGCAAGAUCGGACCGUGCUAUCUCCAACCAGCUUAGAAGUUCGUCCUCACGCGCCUGACUUCGAACUCGCUCCUCUUCCUUCAUAGCUUCAACAUUCCUACCAUGCUCCAUGAGAUAUCUCCAAGUCGCUACCAACUAAAAAAAAAAAAAAGAAAAAAUAAAAUAUUUUUCACGCAAGGAAGAGAGGAAGUAACAUUUAACCUGGUUUUAAAUAAACAAGGACUUACCCGACAUAUAUCCCCACCGGCUAACUCCAACAUGUGAGAAGGGCCCUUACCAGACAUCCGAGCACGGUCAUACUCCCGAACGAACCCUUCGGUACUCAACAUAGGCAGAUCAUGGUCCGACACAUCCCAAUACGACUCCUUACCUUCGCGAUUCACGCCAUAGGUAAACAACUGUUUCCCCGCCCCACCACGGAAAGCAUAGGUCUCCUCGGGCUCUACCCGUGGACGUUUGAGUACAGCCACAUACUCGGUAUCCACCCUCUUUCCCUUGCCACGGUCCCUCAUCGAUGGACGCCUCUCCACUUCACCAGCACUGCUACGGUCAUCUUCAAUAACUCGAGGAGUUUCUACAUGGACCAUCUCACGAGACAAACCGCCCGAAGAACCUCCCAGCGUAGCGGGAACCUUCCUCGAUGCCUUCUUCGACGUCCCAUUCGCCUUAGCUCGAAGUGCCGCAAAUGUGAUACCUCCAUCUACAAAAAGUAACAACCACAUAAGAGACAUGAGGUAUACACUACCAAAGAACUACCAAAAAAAAAAAAAAAAAAAAAAAAACCAACAAUUCAUCAAAAGGAUAUACAGUGCUGACCCUUCGCCUUCGGUAUCAAACACCUCGGAUCAAACUCCAUAUCACACAACCCAGAUUCUUCAAUCCUCUUCGCCAUAUUGGCGGUAAUCUUGAAACUCUCGCAUGUAGGGUUCCAAACUACGGGGACGUCAAAAGUAGGAGCCCUCACAUAAAAAAAAUGGGUCUUCCAUUCCCCCAAGGAUAACUUCACACUCUUCACGAAUUGGUAGGGAACGCGAGGAUGAAAACAAAAGAAAGGCAUCUUAGUGGGCCGAUGUAACGUAAAUAACGCCUUAAACAAACUCACAGUAACUGGAAGACCUACUCGAACCACCCUAUAGUGAAACGCCUCGAACAUCAGAACAGCAGUGGGAGUGAGCUGACUAUACCCUAUCUUGAAUUCCUCGCAAACCUUCAACAAGGUCGGAUGCGGAGUAAUCUGAGAUGUACACGUCAAGUACCCCAAAAAUACCGUAUGAAACCCAUCGGGUGGCGAGUACAAACGGUCACCCUUCUGAGGCAACAACAACUCGACAUUACUUGGCGCUCCAGAUAAACGACAGAUAGAAUUCAAAUGCUCGUCCGUCAAUACACUAUCAAAAUCAAUUAAGUCCAAAUUAAUUGGCUUAAUUUUCUUUUGCCUCCUCGUAUCAAUCUCAACAUCACCCCGCGGAAUAUCAUCUUCCUCCUCCUCUUCAUCCGUCAGCUCAACUUCACUACUUGGCACCGCAUGAUCACUCGCCGAAGGUGCUUGAAUCGAAUCAUCGCUGUCACUACCAAAAUCCACGAUUUGGCGCCGAGAAUUACGACUACUAGCUACAACUCCAUCAACUUGCUCACGAGCUUUAUUAAUCGGACCUACGUCGUCGCUCCAAGAUUCAAUAACUUCUCGCCGUCCUAAACUACCCCCGUUUAAACCACCAAGUGCAACAUCACUCUCGACACUUCGCCCAUCGAUUUCACCCGAAACGGGCCCAAAAACGUGUUCUAACGCGCCCUCACGCGCGCGCGUGACCCCAAAAGGGGCUGAUUCACGCGCGCGCGUGUGAUCAACCUUCUCCGUAACACGUGCCGCCUCCCUGCUGGCCGAACCGCGCGCGUCACCUUCAAACAACGCGCCCUCACGCGCGCGCGUGACCCCAAAAGGGGCUGAUUCACGCGCGCGCGUGUCAUCCGAAACACGUGCCGCCUCCCUAAUGGCCGAACCGCGCGCGUCAUCUUCAAACGGCCCAUCCGACGCGCGCGCGCGUCGCUUGGGAAGCGCGCCCGACCUCAGCCGAUUAACGGCCACGCGCGCGCGUCUCUCAAUCUCAGCGCCCGACGCGCGCGCGCGUGCCUCUUCUUCCGUACCCGACGCGCGCACGUGGCUUCCUCCCAUUGGACCACGUGCGCUGGAAUCUCUCUCUCUCCUCCCCCCAGCAGUCGAGCCAGCCUCCAACUCCUUGGCUCGGCUCGGCUCCUCUCUCACCUCGAAGCGCGCACUCUCACGCGUUCGAAGCCGGCUAGAAGCACGGCUAGAGCCGAUCUCUGCGUCUGAGCCACCUACCAGGCCAAUCUCACGGAUAUUCGAGCACCACCUACCGCAGAUCCGAUUUCCCCACCUGAUACCACUACCUUCUCGCGCUCCAUGCCCACGGAACCAAAAGUUUUCUCGCCCCCUUCAACCGGAUCUCGGAGUCUAAUUCGCAAAGGUUUCGACUGACCCAAGAAACAAAAAAUUUUCUACUCUACCGCUAUAGAAUAAAAUAAGAAGAGCACAGAAGAAGACCUAGAGUUAAAAAUACAUACCCAUAUUUAUUACGCAGGAGUUGAAGUUUAAUUAUUUCCACCGCAAAAGGACUCUAUUUAUCUGGCCCUGGUAUAUUAUUUAAAACCUUAAAUAUAUACCUCGCUGCCAAACACAUACAAUUAUUCCUUAUUUAAAUUAAGGAAUUAUUUCACCACCAACGGAAACAAUUCAAUCAACGACGCAAUUAACUCUCGACACGACCCGGAUCCCGCCACACAAAUCCCCGUCCCGAAUCGAGAGUUGGGGGGCUUAAUGAUAUACCUAAAUGGGCUGGCCCAAUGGGCCCUCAAAUUUAUCUACUAAUGAGGCCCACUACCCAAUCACAUACAAGUGGGCCCAUUACACGAAAGCCCAAUCUCCUUCAAAGUAAGGCUUGGGCCCAACAAAGUAAGCCCAACUCAUUCAACGAUAUAUAAAUAGAUGUUUUACUCAUUUAUUAAGGUACGUUCUAAUUAUUCACAAUCAAUCUCGAGUUUUAUUCUCUCCACUAUCUCUACGAUCCAUACAUCUGACUUGAGCGUCGGAGGGGUUUCCGCCGGAUCAACCCCCGACUUAGUUCACGUGUGCUCAUUUUGUAGGGACCUCAGGAUCAUCGAGUUGACUAGCUACUGAUCAGCUUUGCUCUCCCAGCUCGUUUUCUAUACUACUCCGGUGAGCUAUAUUUUAGCAUCAUCAGAUAUCUAUAUCUAUCUAUAUCUAUAUCUAUACUACUUAUAAAAGUGGGAAUGUUAGGGGAGUUUUCUUCCCUUUUUUGUGAGGACCAAAAUGCCCCCAUCAAAAUUAAAAUAAUUAAUAUUAAUUUAUAAUUAGUCUUUUAAUGUAUGUUUAUGAAAAUAAUUGAUAUUUUUUAGACUUUAAUGUACAAAGGCACUGGAAAAGAGGAACUAUGUAUCUAUUAAAUGUUAGUCAUACAAGAAAUUCAAAGAAACUCAAUGGUUUCCAUAAUUCAAUAUGGAUUUCAAUUUUGCAUCAGUUAAACCAAAGAAAGAAAAGAAAAUGAUCGCAACUUUCAUUUUCAAGUUCUCUUUCAUCUUUUCUUUCUCUUCUCGAUUUCUUUUUCGUCUUCUUCUUCUUUUUUUUUUUUUUUUUGUUUUCAGUUCUAUGUUUAAUAGUUUGAAUAUUUUCUCAACUACGUCCCUCAUUUUUCCUUCUCUAUCUUCCGUCCAUCUUUGAACCCUAAAUUUUGAGAAAUUGAUUAAGUUUUCUAGAUUAAUGAAGGAAUAAAUCCUCCAUAUCAAGACUGGAUUGAGCAUCUGUUAAUAAAGUUCGUAAGUUAUUUUGCAUAUUUUUCCCACUUCUAUGUACUAAGUUAAUUUUUUUAUUCAUUUGAAUUAAUUGACUUAAUGAAACAUGUAUGGGUCAUAUCUAUCAUUGACUUUGAAUCUUUCUGAUCAGAUCUUACAUGUUAAAAUUAUUUCUACUCAGGUAAUUCAAAAUACGUGUCUGUUUCAUAAAAUCAAAGGUCUAUGCAUGGGAUUAUUGAUUUAACUUUUAUCUACUAAAUUUACUUGAUUACUUGCAAUUAUAUUUUAUUUUUCCAUUCAAUUCUUUAUUUAUGUAUUGGCAGGUAAGACUCAUUGUAAUAUAGUUUGUGACUAAAAAUAUUAUGCGUGAAGUUUUUAAGGACUUUCGAUUUCAAUUGGCUUAUUCUUGUCAUCAAAGUUGUUAGUCUUUCUCCUACAAGACUUUACUAUACAUUUUCUGGAAACCAUAAUUUAAUUUUAGUUUUCGUGGCUUUUGGUAUUCCACAUUUCGUUUACGAAAAUAGGAAGUUAAACUGACAUGUUAUUAAUCUUUGUUAAUGUUAUGAAUUGUGAGUGGAUAAAUAGGAAAUAAUCUGUUAAAUGGGCUUUAUAUUGCUAUCGGUAGUUUUGCAUUAGAUGGUUAUAUUGGCUUGUCAUGUUUUAGUUACUCCGAGACUUCACUUUAGGUGGCUUGACUACAUCUAUUGGUUAGUGAUAUAAAUUUAAGGGGAAAUUUCACUUUCCCCCUUGUACUUUGGUUCGGUGUCACUUUACCCCCUUCUACUCUCGAUUGCAUCGAUUUGCCCCCUAUACUUGAAAAACUGUCUCUCGCUAUUAGUUGUCACACAUUUGACAUUAACACCGUUUGAUCUAAGCUCUGAAAUUACAAAAUCGCCACCCCCAAAUUUAAAUAAUUAUGAAUAAACGAAAAAACAAAAAAUAAAAUAAUAAAAAUUCAAGACAACGAGAAAAUAUAGUCCACGACGCCUGUCACAAUUUUUUUUAAUAAUUAUUUAAACUAGGAGGGUGGUUUUUUUAUUUAUUUUCAGACUUAGAUCAAAUGGUGUAAGGUCAAAGGUCUGAAAACUAACGGCGAGGGCCACAUUGAGACAAUUUUUCAAGUACCGAAGGGCAAAUCGAUGCAAUUGAGAGCAUAAGGGGUAAAGUCAUAUUCAGCCAAAGUAUAAGGGGGGAAAGUGAAAUUUACCCUAAAUUUUAUGCACUGGACUGAUGGUUUUAUGUUGUCUAACGGUAGAGAAACAUAACUUGGAAUUAAAAGUUAUUUCUCAUGUAAUUUAUUUCUAUAAACUUGUUUCCUUGAUUUUUAUUUUGAUGGCGAAAAUUUUAAUGCCUCUUGUUCGUUUUAUCUUCUAUAUUAUUUGAAUUUUUAAUGAAUUUAUUUGUUCAUGAACUUCUUAUAUUUUUCAAUUCAUAUUUUUUCCCUCUAAAUGUUAGGGUCCAAUGGCUAUAGAUAGUUUCCUUUUUAAGUUAGUAAGUUUUGUGUUUACUCCAAAUUAAAAAUCAUGAGUUAAGCUUUAGACUCUGGUUGAAUCAUCCAUCUCCUUCAUGCAGGCAAUACCUCACACCUUAUGUAAAACACUUGUAAUCGAUGUCGUGCUCUCAUAAUUUUUUUUAAAGUUAUUAGAUAUUAAAUUCCUUUAACACAACUCUGAACUUGGCAAGCAUGCUGUUUUCUAUAAUUUCUUCGAUCUGGUUCCCGUUACCAUUUAGGUGAGUUUCAGGGAGAUAUUAUUAUAGAAAAUCUACGAGCCAUUCAAAGGGAUACUGGAGUGAAUUAUGCCCGUAUACUUUAUAUGCUUUAUCACUGUUAUUAUUGGAGAUAUUAGUAUUAAAUGAUACACUUCACUAAUAACUUAAGCUUUUGGUUGAGGUAGUCAUUCAACAUGGUAUCAGAGUUAGACCAACUGAAAGGUCAUGAGUUCGAAUCCCACCGCCACCCAUUUCAAAUAUUUCAAGUGCAAGGCUUCAAAUGUAAUUCGCUUGAACUUUAGGGGGCGAAUUGGAGAUAUUAGUAUUAAAUAAUAAUAGCUUAAGUUUUUAGUUGAGGUGGUCAUUCAACAAUUAUAUUUGUUUUUUUCUUUUGUUUUUUUUUCCCUUUAUAGAAAGUCGAUGUGAUCCGUCAAAACUACAAGAUAAGAUGUUGGAUGUACACCAUAUUUCUUAGACAUAGCAGGUAGGGGAGGUACAACCAUACAGAUGAAGUCAACAACAAAUGGAUUCUCCAUGGUGUAGUCACAUGAUGAUGAAACUCAUAGCUGAAGGACAAAAUGAAGCCACCCAAAAUGCAUAAGCAAAAAUUUCAGCUCAAUCUUGUAUUCUCGAAUGCUUUUACUCAAUAGUUAUUUUAUAGGAAGCUAAAUGAAGAAAUGGUUGUACAUGUAGUCCGUUCUUUGUUUUGAUAUUUCAUGGCAUACCAAUGGCCGAAGACAAACUGUUUUAGUUUCAUUAAUAUAUUUCAUUGUUUUAUUUAGAAUUGUAGAAGAUUUUACUGUAUAAAGGUCAAGAUUAUGCUCUUGCUAUGCUCUUUUAGAAUGCAUUCAAAUAGAAAAUCAACUUCGUGCUCUAGAAGAAAUUUGAACUUUUGGAUAAUAAUUUUCAUGGAAUGCUCAAGUUUAAAUGUUUUAUUGGCCAUAAUUUUUAUCUCUAUGAUACACUAUUUUUGCUCAAUAUAGUUUGACUGAUUGUUGGAUAGUGUGGCCACUUGAUUCCAUUCUUUAUUUUUUUUAGGUUUUGCAUUUAGAAGCUAGACAUUUUACGAAACAUGCAAGAUAUAUCUUUCAAUCUUUGUACCAUAUAAAAGAUAUCAUUGUAUGCAAACUUAUGGACAAUAUCUAAAGUUCUUCCAUGAAUUAUUUAUUCUUUAUAAUUAGACUUAGUUUUACUUUGUGAAAUCAUUAUGUCAUUACUUCAUGAUGAUGGCCUGGUACAUAGUCUGUCAAACUCAAAAUGCCCUGAGGUAUGUUAUUAAAAUAUGCAAGUCUCUUUUUUGUUUGUCUCUUCUUCUAUGUUUCGAAUUUAUCUAAAUUCUCUAAAUCUUAAACGAUCGAGACUAUUAUAGAGCUACUCCAGACUUGCGUUCAUGUGGAGUGAUACUUUUUGUAAAGGUUGCACGAACCUAACCUUCUCUUUAUACUACUGUGAAGCAUAUAGACCAAUUAAAUUUGUGUAGAGUAUGUGUUGGGAAAAUUGGUUAAAAAUUGAGACAUGAACAAUUUUUAUCAAUGUUAUUGUAUGGACUAAUUGAUUAUAUAAAUCAAUGUUUGGAUUAGAUUAAUAUAAAACCAAUUUUGUGGUGAAUGAAAAAUUACUAGUCCAAAAUAUAAGGAAAGUGGGAUUUUGAGCUAUCCCACAUUGGAAAAGUAGAGAAGUACUGAGCUGUAUAUAUAUCUAAAUGUUGGGACAAAGGGUCACGCCCUUUGGGCAUUCAACUUUGUUUGGGAGAAAUGCCUAUAUGUUAUGUGUUUCGAAUCGUGCCCACACGCGCGCGCCGCCAUCCGACCGGCUCGCUCGUUCGUACGUAUUGGAUUUGGGCUUGGGCUUGGGCCCAAAUCACUACAUUUUUUUUGGGCCAAAAAAAAACAUUAGGUCAUGGGCGUCAACUCGCCUCGGCAAAUAUUCUUUACUAGCAGAUUAAUUAUUCCAACAGUAUGUUGGAACAUAAUUUACAUUCAUGCUCAUUGCUAGCUGGAAAUUAUGUUAAUGCACCUAGCUCCUGAUUUUUUUGUUUAUUUUUCUGAUGUAUGUUUCAUCGUUCAAUAAGGAAAAAAAAAUGUAAUUGGUUAAAGAGCGGGUAAUCCACAAUAAACAGAAUCUGUUGCAUAAGGAUUAGAUGUGCCAUGAGGGACAUUGCAAUUGGAUGAUGCAUUUUGGUUAUCAGGAAAACAUUUGCUGUCCCACCACGAGUUAUAUGAGUUGUAUUAGUUUUUAAUGAUUUUACAUAAACAUCAUUAACUAAACAAAAUCUCGUAAUUGACUGCAAAUUUGCUAUUCAAUCUCGAAAAAUAUGUUUUCCUAGGAUUCACCUGAAUCUCCAAUACAAAGAAGAUAAAGAUAAGUUUGAUUUGAUGUAGUUUACAUUUCUCCAAUAUUUACAGAAGUAGCAAUAUAUUUUUAAUCUAAAACUAAUUGACUCAUAUUUUAUGAAAGGCAUCUUGCAAUCUAAUGUAUACAUAAAAAUUAGGGUAAAUAGCAUGAAUCCACCUGAACUUUUUAAGUUUUUGCGGAUCACCACAUGAAAUUUUUUUUUUUGCACGAGUUCAUCUGUACUCAAUUAAUUGUGUCACUUUGCCCUCUUGUGCCCGUUUCCAGGUCAAAAUGACCGGUUAUGAACGCAUGUGCGUUGCACGUGCUAAAUCCAAGGCUAUUUUUGUCUUUUCCAAUUAAAAAUCCCUAAUUCCUUUAAUUUUCUCUCCAUUUCUCUCUUAUCUCCAUUAUUUUCCCUCUUUAAUUAGCUAGAAAUGGUGUUAUUUUCUUAAUGUGAAGAUGGGCGAUUGUUUAGGAUGAAGCAGUCGCUAGAAAAAUGGUGAAGUUCAUCGAAGUUAGCACAAUCUGAGUGUCGAAAGAGGCGCAAAACAGAGCAGCCACCGUUCUUGAAAUCAUUUCCCUUAGCUGCUGCAAAAGUGAUGACAACAAACUCGAGAAUUUCUUCGAAUACAUCCAUAAUCCAAUGGCCGAAAGGUGGAAGAAACUCAGAGAAGCUAUCAAGAACAACAAACUCUUUCACGUCGCCAAAUUUCUGAACCUGCACUGCAAUUUCGCCAAAGACUACACCAAAACAUAUCCCGGUAAUUACUUACACGUAUACAUAUAUAUUUUGCUCGUAUUUAUUAAAAAAAUACCGAUGCUUAUACGAUUUUUUUGACAGCUUUUGCGUGGAUGAAAUGCAACGAGAGCGAACUUUGACUGGUCAUUUGCUGUAGGUUCUGUAAAAAAUCUUGAUUCCAUUGCUGUUAAUUGAUGCAUCCCCAUCUCCGUUCUGAUAAGCUCCCACGUUUAAACAACGGCAUUGUGGGUUGGGAUUUGGGAUUGUAGAGAGAGAGAAAGAGGGGAACUAAGGAAGAUGAAACUCGAAAGGGACGACUUUUACAAGUGUUCUUUUUUCCGGCAACGUAAUUUGAAAUGCUCGAAAAUGCAAAUAUUUUGCGAAUGAGGGAAUUCAUUUCUUUCUUAUAGAAGAAGAAAACUAAUGGAGAUAAGAGAAAAAUGGAGAGAAAAUUAAAGGAAUUAGGGAUUUUAAAUGGAAAAGACAAAAAUAGCCUUGGAUUUCACAUGUGCAGCGCACAUGGUUUCAUAACCGGUCAUUUUGACCUGAAAACGGGCAAAAGAGGGCAAAGUGUCGCAAUUAAUUGAGUACAGGUGAACUCGUGCAAAAAAAAAUUGUUCAGGAGGUGAUCCGCAAAAACUUAAAAAGUUCAGGUGGUUUAAUGCUAUUUACCCUAAAAAUUAUUUUCACCGUAUAAUAAUAUUACGACACGUGCAACGCACGUGCACCUUGCUAGUACCAUAAAAAAGUUGAAACUUGGAAUUAGGUUGGGCCAAAUGAAUGUAACAUUAAUAUAGAAAUAGUUAAUAUACUAGAAUAUUUAGUGUAGCAUAAUUAAAAUACUGGGAAAAAGAAAACCAUGAAUAGCAUAUAUAAUAAAAAUAAGGGGCUAUAUGCCAAACACCCUUCAUUGGGAUUUUAAUUCUUGAUAAAUCCUUUAUUUAUAAAUGAUAUUUGAGUUAAAUCCAAUGGGCCUGGAAAAUCAUUUAUGCCCCCACUAAUUAUUAAUUAGUAUAAUUAUUUAAUUUUAAUAAAAUUAUACUCAUAAUCUACACCCAAAUCUUCUCCAAAAGUUAUUCCCCUCAUCACGCCAAUUCAGUUUUUUUUUUCCUUUUCUUUUUUAUUUUGUUUAAUAGUUUUCUUUAUUUCUAUUUAAAAGAAAUUUUUUUAAUUAUUUUAUCUUUUUUAUUUUUAUUUUAUUUUCGGUUUUUUAUUUUAAAUUAUUUUUUUUCUUAUUUAUAUUUUUCAUGUUUUUUAUUUUAAUUUAAAAAAAUAGUGUGAUUUUUAUUUUCGUUUUUUCAUGGUUUUUCUUUUUUCUUAAUUUCAAUUUUUUUAAUGGUUUUUUUUUUCUUUCCAUUUUUUUAAAUAAAAACCACUCUAUAUAAAAAUGAAAACCACUCUGUAUAAACAACUACAUAAACAUGAAAACCACUCUGUAUAACAACUAUAUAACAUGAAAACCACUUUGUAUAACAACUAUGUAAACUUGAAAACCACUCUGUAUAACAACUAUGUCAACAUAAACACCACUUUGUAUAUACACUUUGUAUAUACAGUUAUAUACAAAUAUGUACAAAAGUUAUUGAAAACCACUAUAAUUUUUUUUAAAACUAUUAUAAAUUUAUCAAAAACAAAGCCUGACAUUAUGAAAACCACUCCGUAUAAACCGCUAUAUAAACAUGAAAACCACUAUGUAUAAAAAAACUAUAUAAACAUGAAAACCACAUUAUAUACACAACUAUAUAAACAUCGAAAAUCACUAUGAAUUCUAACAAGAAAACAUAAAAAAAUCUGCGAAAAAGAAGCUAUAAAACCACUAUAAAGGACAUCAUCUUCUCUCCAAUGAACCCUAGAGCAUAGUCCGUGUAAUCAUCUUCUCGUUAUUUGAAACGUAAACUACUAUUUGAAAAAAUCAUCAUCUUCUUCCUCCCAUCAGCAAUUUCGUCAAAAAAAUCAUCAAGAUAAAAAACAUUACCAAAAUUAAAAGAAAAAAAAUCAGCCGGUAAAAAAAUAUUAAAAAAAAAUAUUUCCCACCGGAGGAAAAUGCAACAAAAAUUUGCCGAGUUUUAAUAAAAUUCAUAAUGUUUUUUUAUUGUAUAACUAUUAACUACACAAUCAAUUGUAUGAGAUUACCUCAGAUGUAAGUAUUCGUUGGCUUCAUAUUUGAAAAAAUUAGAUCUGACGAGACGGUGAUGCGGUGGCGAUGGAUUAAAAAGAAACGGCGUGCAGAGGAAAAGUUUGUGAGUACCAGCGGUUUGUUGCCGAAUAAUUCCUCAGAUCUCGCAUGAGGGAGAGAGAGACUAGGAGCGGCGUAUAUUUGAGAGAAACAAAAAUUAAACAAAAUUAGGGUAAUACCGGCGUAUAUUUGUGAGUACCAGCGGUCAGGGGCGUGCGUACCCAUGCUUGUGGCUGGGGUGGCCCCUGCCCCCCCAAGAAUUUUUUUUUAAGCUGUUUUUGUUUUUUUUUUUUGGUUAUUUAUGUAUUUGUUAAUGCAUUUUCGCCCCCCCAAACUUUUAUUUUUUUACACUUUAGUCCCCAAAAACAAAAAAAAAAAAAUAUCUCUUAAACUACCCCUAUAUUUCAGCCCCCCCAAGAAACCCCCCCUGGGUCCGCCCCUGCCAGCGGUAUAUUUGUAGUAAUACCGCCGAUGAUUCUUCAAAGCAUGUUUGGGAGAAACAAAAAUUAAACAGUAGGUUUUUUUUUUUCAGAUAACAGUGCCCAAACCAAAAAACUGAAAAUCAGAACGAAUUUGUGGUAAAUACCAAAAAAAAAACAGAACGAGGAAAAAGAUUGUAAGAAAAAAAACCUCCGUGGUGGUGGUGGCGGUGGUGGUGCUACCAUUUGCGCUGAUUGUGCUGGUAUCUGAGAAAACGCAACCCCUUGGGCCGAACAUUCUGCUUCUCUGAUGUCUUUCCUCUUCACUCUCUGUUCUUCCUGUGAUUUUUAUUUUUUAUUUUUGAGUAAGACGGGGUGAUUAUUGUACGCGAUAAAAUUAGGGUUGAAUAAAUAAUUAAAGGGUAUAAUGGUGAAACUUAACUUUUUUUAAUUAAUAAAAGAUGUUUUGGAUUUAUCUUAAAAUUGAGAAUUUUUUUUGGACUUAAUGUAACUAGACUUGUCUAAUGGGGGACUUUUGUGAAAUACCAUAGUAUAAUUUUUAAUGUUUGAAUAAAGUAGUAAUAAAAAGGGUGUUUCUACUGUGAGAUCCCAAGAACACAACUUAUAUGAGAUACCCUCUUCAAAUUGCGACACGUGUCCCAGCAAAAAAACCUAUUUUUUCCUCAUUUAUGUAUUGUCGCAAAUACCCUUUGUACAAUUAUUAUUAUAAAAAAAUCGGCAAUUAUAAAUCAAUUAUAUCAUUAUUCGUAAAAAACAUUAAAACACCCAUCUAAAAUUGCAUCAACCUGAAUUUGAACUUGUGACCAUCUAAAAACAUACAAGAAUACUUACCAUUAAGACACAUCACAUAAUUGACAAUAAACUAACAAUACGGAUAUAUAUAUCACAAAGCUACAAUUUAUAAUGGUUAUAAAACUUAUAUAAAUAAUGUUAAAUAAAUUAUUAAUUCUCAUAUAAUUAUUAUUAUAUAUUAAAAAUAUCCCAUACUAACAAAUCUUUAUAUAAUAUAAUUUAAAAAUCUAAGGAAAUGCUGAUCAACUCGUGUAAUUUAAAAAUGAAUUUCGAAAGAAUUUGAAGUUUGAAUUGAAUCGUAAAUUGUAAGAUUCAAUUAAAUCGUAAUAUUUGAAUCAAUUAAACUCAUGUGUUUUCAAUUCAAAAACAAUAUUCAAAGAUUUGAUCGAUUAAGCUCAACUCAUUUCAAUUCGUAGACAAUAUUCAAAUAUUUGAAUCGGUUAAACUCAAUAAUUUACAAUAGCGUAUUAAUCAAACUAUGCAUAGUUAAAUUUUAGUAUCUUUUUUUUUUUAUUGAAUUUUAUCAUAAAAACUAAUAAAAUUUAAUUCGUAAAAAUCGAAAGAUUUAAUCGGUUCAUGGUUAGAUUAAAUUUUACGAUUUACGAUUUAAUUCUUACGAUUUUACGAAUUAAAUUAUUAUUUCUUUGUUAAAAUUGAAUUAAAAGGAUAGUAGACUUUAAUUAUAAAUAGUUAACUCGAUUAAUACGUUCUUGUCAGUGGUUGAACUUAAUCGAUUAAAUUUUUUGAAUAAUAUUUACAAAUUAAAAGGAUUUGCGCUUAAUUGAUUCAAAUCAUACGCUUUAAUUAAUCUUAUGAUUCGAUUCUUACUUAUUUUAGGAAUUAUUUUUUGAUUUUUUUAUGAUAAUAUUGAAUUAAAAAUAUAUUACACAUUAAUUAAUAAUAGUUAAUUUGAUUAAGACGUUCUUGUCAAUAGUUGAGCGCGCUAAUUAAUCGAUUCAAAUAUUUGAAUAAUGUUUACGAAUUGAAAGGACUUGAGCUUAAUUGAUUCAAAUAUUACGCUUUGAUAAAAUAUUACGAUUUACGAUUAGGUUCUUACAUGUGUUAGGAAUUAAAUUUAUUAUUUUUUAUGACAAAAUUAAAUUAAAAAGAUAUUAGACAUUACUUAUAAAUAGUUAAAUCAAUUAUGUAACACGUUAUGUCAAAAUAGUUAAGAACUUGUGCUCAUAUUGGAUGGUUGGAUGUGGUUCGGAACAGUGACAUCUCUGAAAAUUUUCAAAAAUAUUUGCCAAAAAGUGGAGUUCGUCUUGUAAAUAGCACAAGUGCUCAUUUGUCUGUCCAAUUCCAUUUUCUGGGUUCAACCUUCGAUGUCUUUCAGUAUCCUCCAACUCUUGUUGAAUGUAAUCGGCUCUGAAUUGAUGCUGGCAAAUAGAGAGGUCAUAAAACGAGGCCAUCAAUGUAUACAAAAAAAAAUAAUAAAUAAUAAAUAAAUUAAAGAAAAAAAGAUGUAAAGAAAGGAUAGUUGGUAACGAUAAGUAAGUUCAAGAUAACUAAUUCCCCGGCAACGGCGCCAAAAACUUGAUACGCGUAAAACCUACGUAUGAAAAACCGCAAGUGUUCAGUAUCGCGUUUUAUAGAAUAGUGAAUUCCAGACAUCGAUCCACAGGGAAUUAAGUUCCUAAAUUUACCAAGUACCGUAGUUAUAGUGUCCUAAACUUUAUCUAGACGAUCAUGAAUGGAUGGGAGAAAUGAAACUAAAAAGAAAUAAUAAUUAAAAACAACGGUCCACCAGUACAAGCGAGAAAUUCCGACAUGAUGGCUUCUAGGGUAAAAUCCACCAGUGUACUAUCGAUAAAGAUCUACAAAUCCGAAUCUAAUGUCAAUUAUAUAUUCGCUAACCCAUACACUAAAAUGCCCUAACCCCCUUCUCCAGUGUAGUUAGAGUCUACCCACAGGUCCGACGUCUCCGUUCAGAACCUGAUAUUAAGAGAGCACUUAGGUCAAGUCCUUGAGGGCUACCCGAGGUGCAUCACGUCUCCGUUUCCACAACCCGAGCUAUAUUAUCCUACAAUCAAACGAGAAAUCCUCUCUCGAGUUCAUUCCCAUUUACAAUCAAUUCAACUGUUGGCCAAACAAUCGAAAGCAUUUAAUACAGGAAAACAUAAAUAGAAUCAAAGAACGACAAAUAGAUCACAUAUCUGGAAAUCAAAAUCAAUAUAUACAAGGUUUCAUUUCCCUAAAAGAAAAUUCUCAGUUCAUUACAAACAUAGCAUCAAAAUGAAGAACACGAUACAUCAUAAAGUAAACGUUAAGAAAAGCUUAUGAAAAACCCGAGUCGAAACCCUCGUCGAAGCUUCACGCGUAGAACUGGCAAAAACCGAAGAAAAAUUGAAGAAGUCAAUAGAUUGUCCAGCCGUUGAAAAAUGAAAAAGAGACUUCUAUUUAUAGAAAGAAAUCAAAGAAAAUAUAUGGUCUCGAUUUCUGUGCCCAGAUCGCGAUCUGGACUUCUUGGGUUGUAAUCUGGCAGCCUUGGAAACUGCGCACCAUCUUCCCAGAUCGCGAUCCAGGAGGUGUUGAUCGCGAUCUGGCCUAAUUUUUCGCUGCUACUGGAAUUUGCCACCAGAUCGCGAUCCGGUGGUGCUGGAUCGCGAUCUGGCCUCUGCAUCAACUUCAAACAAUGUUUUGACCAUUUUUUUGCCCGAAUUUGACAAAUAUGCAUUUCACAAAAGUUGUAGCCCUUGAAGUUGGCUUUCUAGAUCCAUGUGAAUCAGCUCAAUUAGAGGUUGUGUGCGAGAGUUAUGCUUAAAAUACCAAAAACUGUCACAACCCGCUAGAAUGCACUUUUGCACUUGAUUGGUUUGAGUCUCGGCUUCGCUUCCAAAAUCGUCUCGAAUCGGCGAAAAAUAGCUUCUCUUUACAUAAAAUAGAAACAAAACAAGAAAUGCAAAAUAUGUACAAAUAAAGCCGAAAUCUCGGACGAACGAAGACCAAAACUCGAAGGUUCGAUAAGUAAUAAUCGUGCAAAACGAACACUUAUCACCAGGCUCGUCAGGUUGUGGGUAGCUGAAGGUUUUAUUAGACAUUGUAGUCAUAAAAGCUUAGAAGAAAUCGGGGAGGAAUAUUUGGAGGAACUUAUAGAUAGAAAUCUCGUUUUGGUUGGUAUAAGAUCAAUUACGGGAGGCGUGAGUAUCUGCCGUAUUCAUGAUCUUUUAAGUGAUGUGUGCAGGAAACAAGCUCAAAAAGAAAAUUUUUAAAGAUCAAAAUUGGCGAAUCCAAAAUUUCAUUGGAUGUGGAGAGCAUACGCCGCCUCAGCAUUAUAUUACCAGUGCCAAAUAGGAAACGAUGAUAUAUUGUCCCUCUAGACCAGUGAUACCUACACAAUCUUUCUUAUAUGCUUCUCUUACGUGAAUUUCUAUGAUUAUACUGCUUGGUAUUUUAGGUUACUACGCGUAUUGGAUGUGAUUGAUAGAUAUCCUGUAGAUGAGAUUCUACAGCUUAUUAACUCAAGAUAUGUUGCUUGUAAAGGUUCGAUGUUGCUGUCAUCUUCUAUAUCCCGACUAUGGAGUUUACAAACCUUAGUUGUCGAUGAAGAGUUGACUCUAACAAUUGAGACAUGGCAAAAACAAUUUCUCCCCCCGAUCCUCCUCUAGAUAAUGGCCAAACGAUCAUAGUUCUUGAAAGUCUACAAACACUAUCAACAGUCGAAGAUUUGAAACAGACGGAAAAUGUUAUUAAAAGAAUCCCAACUUGCUUAAAUCUCGACCUUCUCUCUAAGCUCGAAUCACUUAGCCUAACAUUUACCCGUGCUUGUGGUGGAGAAAUUGUGUUCCCAUGUUCACUUAGAGAGUUGAGAUUAAGCGAAUGCAAGAUUCCUUGGGAAGAUAUGUCGUUGCCCAAACUUCAAGUUCUCGAGUUGCGCCAAAAUGCUGCUGCGGGCGGAAAGUGGGUUCCAAACGAAGAUGAAUUCGUUCGACUGAAGCUCCUCUUGAUUGAAGAGUGUGAGUUGGAGAUAUGGGAAGCAGAGGAUGUUAGUUUUUAAUUUUAACGUUUUAAUUUCAAUGGCACAUUAACCUUUGAAUUUAAUUUAUUAAAUGCGGGUAAUUCAGUUAUGGAAUUAAUGCUGAUUUAUGGUAAUUAAUUUGUAAUGUAUGAUGACAAUAAAAGACCAUGAUGAAUGAGAUUUGUCUUCUGCAGUUACAAAUCAAUCGUGGCCCUCUUCUCUCGUCUAUAAAAGAAUCCACAACUCUUCUCCUCAACCACAUACGCAAUUUGAGAAUUCCAUCAAUUAGAGAACACUAGUGAGUUGUGAUAGUGGAGAGAUAGAGAGAAGAAGGUGUGCCUACGAAUAAAGUUCUCACAAGGAGAUUCGAAGGAGGCUUGGCUUGUAGAUUGAUAUCAUCCUAGUUCAUUAUGUUUAUCGGAAUCCAUGGCGAACGGUAUGUCGAUAAUCUCAAUUAUGUGAUUAUGUUCUUAAGAUUAAUUUGAUAUCAAGAUUCUGGAGUAAAUUGCAAAUACCACCCCUGUGAAAUCUCUAAUUGUCAAAUACCCCCCGGUCAAAAAAUAAUUCACUCAUACCCCCCUGUGUAAACAAAGUCAAGGCAUUGAGGCCCCUGAGAGCAAAUCGUGUCUCUCACGCGCUGCUACUGCGAUUUUUCCUUAAUUUUCAAUUGUGAAAUGUCAAAAAUGUCCCCAUCUCCCUCCCUGUUCUUCAUUCUCCAUCGUCCCCAACAUUUACCAUUCUGCAUUCUCCAUCAUCCCAACAUGUAGCAGUAUCCACGGCCGCAAGAUGAAGAUAGUGUAACAAAACUCCAUCUUGACGGUCGCGAAAUUACUCCGCUACACCUCCUUUAUGGGCCUCCAUUUUCGCCGCCCCAGUCGUCAUAAUUUUCGUCCCUCCGCCGCCCAGUACCUCCACCGCGAAAUGAGCUGCCCUCAAUCGGGAGAAGCGAGUCCAAACCUCGGCCCAUCCCCUCUCCAAUUCUCCCUUCUAUUUUCACAACAACAUCGCCGGACCCGCCGCCAUUUUUAGACCUGCAAAAACGCAUUCCAUAGCCAUCUACAGACCCUUCAUCGUAAAUCGACAAAAUCGAUCAAGCCCCGAGCUUAUACACCGCCACCAAAAAAUUCCGAGCUUGAAGAAGCCUAAACAAUUGAUGGAUGUGGUGGUGCGUGGUGGGCGGCGGCGGUGAAUGAUAAGUAUGAUUGGAAAUUGAGAGGAAGGUGAAGAAUUGGGCUGCCGCUGGUAAAAAUGGUAGAAAAUUGGGAGAUGGAUUUUGGAAAAUUUCAAUUUAGUCCCCAAAUUUAAGUUUUAGAAGUUUUACAAAAUUCCAAUUUGGCCUCUUAAAUUAUUAUAAUUUUAUGUUAUUCCACUUAGGGGUAUACUUGUCUUUUUACCUUCAGUCAACCAUUAAAAUGAUAAUGGGUGAUGUGAGCUUCGAAAAAUAUUACAUAGGGGGGUAUGAGCGAAUUUUUUUUUGACAGGGGGGUAUUUGACAAUUAGAGAUUUCACAGGGGUGGUAUUUGCAAUUUACUCCAAGAUUCUGUUAUUAGAGUUUUCCGCAUAAAAUUAAAUAAAUGUCUUUCAAUUAGUAUCAGAGCAGGGUUUUGAAAUCAAUUCAUCUUAGAACUCAAAAUUUGUUAUACGUCAAUCUUACGGCUGUGUGAUUUCAUUGAAUUAAAUUUUGAGAUAAAAUUAUUGUUUUGGUGUCUGAUUAUAAAUUAGAUAUAUGUAAAUUAGAUAAUAAGAUAAUCUUGAUUGAUAUACGUGUUUUAAUAAUACAGCUAAAUUUUGUGUACUUACCUGUAUUCGACUGAUGAGUGGUAAAGAAUCUAACACGGGCCUGUUAGUAUAUGUGAGUCUUGAUUAAAUUAAAGGUUAAAUACAAAAACACCCUUGUACUAUGGAUUUCGUAUCCUUUACCCCUUUGUAUUACACAUAAAUACAAAAACCCCCCUCACAUUGCAUUUUUUCUAGAAUAUGACGAAAAUACCCCUACUCUAGCGUAUAUAUAUAUAUAUAUAUAUAUAUAUAUAUAUAUAUAUAUAUAUAUAUAUAUAUAUAUAUAUAUAUAUAUAUAUAUAUAUAUAUAUAUAUAUAUAUAUAUAUAUAUAUAUAUAUAUAUAUAUAUAUAUAUAUAUAUAUAUAUAUAUAUAUAUAUAUAUAUAUAUAUAUAUAUAUAUAUAUAUAUAUAUAUAUAUAUAUAUAUAUAUAUAUAUGUGUGUGUGUGUGUGUGUGUGUGUUGAGUUAUCUCACGAGUCUACUAGAUCAGCUCACAGUAAUAGAGUAACUCGUUAGGACUAUAUCUAUGCUGCUUGCAUGGGAUAAGAGAUAUAGAAUGCAAAAAGUAUUUUACCCUUAGUAUGAAAUAGAUUNNNNNNNNNNNNNNNNNNNNNNNNNNNNNNNNNNNNNNNNNNNNNNNNNNNNNNNNNNNNNNNNNNNNNNNNNNNNNNNNNNNNNNNNNNNNNNNNNNNNUCUUCCGGUAGUUCAAACAUUCUAAAAUUACGAACAUCAUUGCAAUCCUAUUAUUGUUGAGAAUUUGAACUACCGGAAGACAUUUAAGAAAAAAAAUGACGAAAUUCAAAAUGACAAAAAUAAAAGGUUUUAUUCAGAAAAAAAAAAUCUUAGUAAUUAAAUGUUUUGAAGGAAAAAAAAUAAAAAUUUCCCAAGUAAAAUUGACUGAAAAUGUUAAAAAAUAUAGUGGAAAAUGGCUCAAACAAUCCCUUAUAUUUAUAAGUUUAGCAGGGGUAUUUUCGUCAGAUUUUGGAAAAAAUAUAAUAGCAGGGGGGUUUUUGUAUUUAUGUGUAGUACAGGGGGAUAAAUGAUACAAAGUCCAUAGUACAUGGGUGUUUUUGUAUUUUUGUAGUUAACCCUUAAAUUAAUUAUUAUAUGCAAUUGUGUGUUUCAAAGUUUGUCUUUGGGAAAAUCAAUGUGUUGUACUGUGGAUAUUACCUUUGGACGUGAUACUGCACACACACACUCGUGAUAUUGCACGCACACAUAAAAAGUAUAUUUCAAAAAAAAAAAAAAAAAAGUGGGUUUAAUAUGUUACGGCAUAUUGCAUGUAUUUGUUAUUUCUUGUGGUGUUUACUUUUCAAUUCAGUAUGCAUAAUAUAUAUAUAUAUAUAUAUGUGAUAUAUCUAAAUGGGACGGCCUAAUGGGCCCUCAAAAUUAUCUACUAAUUAGGUCCAUUACACGAAAGCCCAAACACCUUUAAAAUAAGGCUUGGGCCCAGCAAAGUAAGCCCAACCCAAUCACCGAUAUAUAUAUAUAUAGAUGUUUUACUCAUUUAUUGAGGUACGUUCUAAUUAUUCACAAUCAAUCUCGAGUUUUAUUCUCUCCACUAUCUCUACGAUCCGUACAUCUGACUUGAGCGUCGGAGGGGUUUCCGCCGGAUCAACCCCCGGCUUAGUUCACGUGUGCUCAUUUCGCAUGGACCUCAGGAUCAUCAAGUUGACUAGCUACUGAUCAGCUUUGCUCUCCCAGCUCGUUUUCUAUACUAUCCCAGGUGAGCUAUAUUUUGGCAUCAUCAUUUUGGCGCCGUCUGUGGGAACGAUGCAAACCAGAUCACGUAGCCAACAAGAUCCUCCUGAGGCGUCAGCUCGGAGAGAAAACGACACAGCUAAUAAUCUCCCAGUCCGUGGAGGAUCUGGCAUGCCACCUCCUCCACGUACCGUGGAGCCACUUCCUCCACGUACCGCGGAGCCAGCUCCUCCACGUGCUGCAGAUCCACCUCGCGAGGUUCAGGUGAUCCCUCCUCGGGACCCACCACUCGCCGAUCCACCACUCCCUGCUCCUCGAACGGUUCAAAUAACCGAGGAUGCGCUCCAACGCAUGAUAGCGGAAGCCUCAACUCGCGCCGCCACGGAGGCCGUAACUCAAUAUAUCGCCACGAUGGGAGCAAACGCUCCCAAUGCGAUACCAGUGCUAGCUCCACCUGUAGCGCCACCUGUGGCCCCACCGCCAAUCCAUAAUCAAAUAAGUGUCUCCUCCUCUACCUCGGACCCACGGUCCCGAGUGCAACUAUCUACUAAUCACAGAGGGGCACAGCCCAGACAGCAGCGUCGGCGCUCACCCCCACGGGGGAAUGCGUCACCACAGAGAGUCCCUCUCUUUAAUGAGGGAGAAGGCGAGGUAAACAGCAGAAUGUCUCGCCAGAAUCUUUUCCCCCAACCAAAUUAUCUAAUGGGUGAAAGAAUGCCUGUACCGACAAGACGCAGUCCUUUCACCAUAGACAUUCUCAACGAGGUAUUGCCUCAAGGAGUAAAGAUCUCGGGGUUACCUCAAUUUGAAGGGACCACCGACCCACAGGAGCAUAUAGAGAAAUUCUGUGCCAUGGCAGAUUUAUAUGGCCCGACGGAUGCUGCGAUGUGCAAAAUGUUCCGCACCACUCUCUCCAAGAGGGCAAUGAAUUGGUUCAACUCUCUACCCAUAGGGUCCAUUGACACCUUCGCUCGGUUGUCGACCCGGUUCACCAACUAAUUUGCCAUCAACAAACAAUAUGCCAAGACCCCAGCUCAUCUUUUCUCUGUAGUACAGAGAGAUAACGAAACACUCCGCAACUACAUUAAGCAUUUAGUAGAAGUCGUCCAUGAAGUCCCCAGUGUAGGGCAAGACAUGCUCUCCGGGAUUAUGCAGCAGAACUUGAAACCGGGUAGAUUCAAGGAAUCUAUCGCCGGUAGACCCUCAGGAAACCUAGAGGAGUUGCUGAAUCGAGCCGAAAAGUACGUCCGGAUAGAGGAAGCCUCUACCCUUUGCUCCUCCUAAAAGGAAAAGGGAAGAUGACCGUCAGGACAUUAGGAGACGCGAUGACCGACGUCCACCACUUCCACCUCAAGGCCAACCCUCCUCCUCCUACAAUAGGUUCACUCCAUUAAACGCUCGCCUCACUGAAAUCCUUCACGUGAUAGAACAGAGAGGUUUAGCGGAGCCUCCACGUCUGAUGCAGCCGAAUGUAAAGCGAGAAAAGUCGGAUCGUUAUUGUCGAUUCCAUAAGGACAGAGGGCAUACUACGGAGGAAUGUGCACAACUCAAAGCGGCAAUUGAGAAGUUGAUCAAACAGGGCCAUUUAGGCGAAUACAUUGAUAAGCCUCGAAGUAAGCGCCGUGAUGAUCCUCCACGCCGAGAUAAUAAUCGAGAUCAACAGCAAAGGCGAGAGGAUGGAGGUCAUCGACGUGACCCAGAUAACAACGAUAACCAACCUACCCGGGGAACCAUCUCCUUUAUCUCCGGAGGACCGGCGGGUGGCGAUUCACAAAAUGCAAGACGCACCGUCGCUCGAUCAGCACGCAUGAAUCAAGAACGUGCUUCUCCAUCCGCACGCAUCUACCAAAUACGAAGACCUGAUCAUAGCAUAGUCUUCAACUCCUCCGACCUUGAAGGUCCAGAUGAAGAUCAUGUCGAUGCGUUGGUAGUAACAACAACGGUGGCCAACUUCUUGGUCAAGAAGAUAUUAGUGGACGGUGGGAGCUCAGCUGACAUCAUGUAUCUCCACGCUUUUAAGCAGCUGGGCAUAGAUAAUGCCCGGUUUAAUCCCGUCUCCACACCCCUGAAAGGAUUCACAGGGGAAGGCAUUUUAUCCAUGGGAGAAGUAGAGCUGCCCGUCUCUUUAGGGGAAGACCCUUGUCGAAUCACCAAGCUAAUCAAAUUCUUCAUCGUCGACAAGCCAUCUCCCUACAACGUCAUUUUAGGGAGGCCAGCCAUCCAUACAUUCAAGUCCGUACCUUCCUCCUACCAUCAGAAGUGGAAAUUCCCUACUCCCUAUGGAAUGGGGGAAAUACUUGGAGAUAGACGUCUCGCCCGAGAGUGCUAUGCAAGGGCCUUACGAGAACCUUCCAAGAAGCCUAAACCAUCCGGAAGGGGAGACGACACCCAAAAAUCCGACAAACGGAAGUGGGUCAAUGCGAUCAUUGAGGACAAUAAAGAAUCCUCAUCAAUGUACCAGACAAUAGCAUCAAGCUAGCAGCUGUCGAAGAGCUUAAGCUCAUAGAGCUCACACCUGGAGAUGAAUCCAAACUCCUACGCAUAUGAUCCGAUUUAGAUCCUGAGAUGGAGAAGCAAUUAGUCAAAUUCUUGCGGCACAAUGGAGACGUGUUCGCUUGGAAAGCUCAAGAUUUGUUGGGCAUUCCCCCUCAUGUAGCUCUACAUCGGCUUAACGUCGACAAAAGGUUGAAGCCGACCAAACAAAGGAAACGAACAUUUGGACCCGAACGCAACAAGCACAUCAAAGCAGAAGUGGCGAAACUUCUAGAGGUGGGUCAUAUACGACCAGUUCAGUAUCCUGAAUGGUUGUCGAACGUAGUACUCGUUCCCAAACCUGGGGGAAAGUGGAGGUUAUGCGUGGAUUUCACUGACCUCAACAAAGCUUGCCCUAAGGACCCAUUUCCUUUACCUAGAAUCGACCAACUCAUCGAUUCAACUUCAGGAUGUGAGCUCCUUAGUUUCCUUGACGCUUAUCAAGGGUAUAACCAAAUCUUGCUCGCACCAGAAAAUCAAGAGAGGGCUAGCUUCAUCACCGACCAGGGCAUCUACUGCUAUCAAGUCAUGCCCUUCGGGUUAAAAAACGCAGGAGCCACCUACCAGCGUCUAGUGAACAAAAUGUUCGCAGAUCAGAUCGGUAAAAAUAUGGAGGUGUACAUCGAUGACAUGCUCGUCAAAAGUGUCAAGGUCUCGAACCACCUAACUGAUCUGGAUCAGUGUUUCGCCACCCUGCGAAAAUAUAAGAUGAAGCUCAACCCCCUCAAAUGUUUAUUCGGAGUUCGGGGAGGCAAAUUUUUGGGUUAUAUGAUUUCACAGCGAGGAAUCGAAGCUAACCCCGCGAAAAUCGAAGCAAUCACCUCCAUGGCUCCGCCAACAUCGAUCAAGAAAGUUCAACAGCUCAACGGCUGUUUGGCAUCCUUGAACAGAUUCAUUUCAAGAUCAGCGGACAAGGCUCUCCCCUUUUUCAAGAUUUUAAGGGGAGGAAAAAAGUUCGAGUGGGAUGAGGCAUGUCAAAAGGCCUUCACGGAGUUAAAGUCAUAUCUCGCAUCACCACCCUUGCUUACAAAACCUCAACCGGGAGACAUCCUCAUGCUUUACUUAGCUACCUCGGCUGAUGCCAUCAGCGCAGUCCUCAUCCGAGAUGGAGGAAAAGGUCAUCAACCCGUAUACUACAUAAGUCGCGCCCUCCAAGGAGCCGAACAACGCUAUACCAACAUGGAGAAGCUCGCUCUCGCCCUCAUUAACGCAGCUCGGAAGCUUCGACCCUACUUCCAGUCGCAUCAAGUGGUGGUUCUCACCAAUUAUCCUCUGAAGCAAAUACUAAGAAGUCCCGAGACAUCUGGGCGAUUAGCAAAAUGGGCAAUAGAGCUAAGCGAAUAUGGAGUGGAAUUCAAACCACGCCCAGCUAUCAAAGCGCAAAUAUUGGCUGACUUUCUAGUAGAAAUGACCUCAGUAGAAGAAAACACAUCUCUACCAACUUGGUCCGUCAGCGUCGAUGGAUCUUCCACGGCCACAGGAGGUGGAGCGGGUAUCGUCCUAACGAACCCCGACGGAGACGAAUUCGAAUAUGCUCAACGAUUCGAAUUCACAGCCUCAAACAACGUAGCUGAAUACGAAGCACUGAUAGCGGGAAUCCGCCUCGCCCUAGCAGCCGGAGCGCGCAAGCUCCUAAUCCAAAGCGACUCUCAGCUCGUCGUCAACCAAAUACUCGGAGCUUACGAGGCUAAAGAAGACACCAUGGCCAAAUACUUAGCUCUCGCGCACACUCUCUUAUCUAAAUUCGAGAUCUACGAAAUAAGACAAGUACCUCGCUCCAAUAACGUCCACGCUGACAAAUUAGCUAGGCUUGGAAGCUCCAUAGAUAGCAUCGGAAGUCGGAAGGUGACGCUCCUCACCUCACCUCAGCCGGAGAUAACUUCACCCACUGAAGUACAGUACACCGAGGAGGAUGAACCAUGCUGGUUCACUCCAAUCGUGAAGUAUCUCAAGAAAAGAGAACUUCCAACGGAUCCCACCGAAGCACAAAAAUUAAAAACGAGAGCCGCUCGCUUCGUCAUAGUGGGAGAAGAAUUAUACAAACGAGGCUUCUCAUUCCCCUAUCUCAAGUGCCUCGACCCGACCACAGCGGAUUACGUACUUAGAGAAGUACACGAAGGUAUCUGCGGCAAUCACUUGAGCGGGAGGACCUUAGCUCUCAAACUACUGAGGCAAGGAUACUAUUGGCCAAUGAUGCAUGAAUACGCGAAGAAGUUAGUCCGCAAGUGUAAGGCUUGCCAAGAGCAUGCAAAUAUUCCUCAUCUGCCAGCGGCAUUAAUGCAACCAAUUGACAGCCCCAUCCCCUUCGCUCAAUGGGGAAUGGAUUUAGUUGGACCAUUCCCGCCCGCCACAGGAGGACGUAAAUACCUCAUUGUAGCAGUGGACUACUUCACCAAAUGGGUGGAAGCUGAACCCUUAGCACGCAUCCGAGAAGAAGAAGUCAUCCAAUUCCUAUGGAAGUACAUUGUGUGUCGUUUUGGGAUCCCACGCUCCAUUAUCUCUGAUAACGGAACCCAAUUUUGUGGUGACAAAGUAAAGAAUUGGUGCAUCGGCUUGGACAUCAAACAGUUCUUCACAUCCGAUCCGUAGCCAAUCCACAGGCUAACGGCCAGAUGGAGGUCACGAAUCGCACCAUACUCCAACACCUUAAGACAAGGCUUGGAAGUGCCAAAGGGAAGUGGGUGGACGAAUUUCCUAACGCACUAUGGGCUUAUCGCACAACCCCACGAGCAGCAACCGGAGAGUCGCCCUUCAAUCUAGCUUUCAGAACAGAGGCUAUCGCACCCGUCAAAAUCGGAGAACCAUCUUGGCGAAUCACCAACUAUGACCCAGCAGCUAAUGAAGAGGCUAUGCGGGGAAGCCUAGACCUCGUAGAUGAGUUACGUGAGAUUGCAUACAUCCGACAACAGAUGUAUAAAUCACGCAUGGCCAAGGCAUAUAACUCAAAGGUCCGCCCUCGCUCCUUUCAAGUUGGAGAUUUAGUCCUCCAAAAAGCUGAAGCCUCUCACCCCAUCGGUAAGCUCGACCCAAAGUGGGAAGGACCGUAUAAAAUCACAAAGGUGGUCAACACUGGAGCAUAUCGCCUCGAGAACAUUGACGGACACCCUAUACCCAGAACAUGGAAUAUAGGGAACCUCAAACGGUUCUACGCCUAAGGUAUACAUCUACCUUACUUCAGAUCCGGUGAAGUCACCACCUAUACCCCCCCAUAUGAAAAUUACUUACAAAACAUUACCCGUGCAGGCUCCGCGGUCUUCCACGUCACUCGUCUCGCAAAACCGUCUCUACAUGCUUUGGAAACUUUCUACUACAUAAUGAGGUGCGUGAACGUCCCACCUAAACUGGGGGGCUAGUAAAUUUACUUACAUCAGCAAUUCGUAUUCACAUCUCACCAUCUUAUUACAGAGUAGGAGUCAAUUACGAGAGGAUGCAUAUUACUCAAUCAAUGGCCCAAAGAGCGAAGCCACCCCAUACCACAUCGCAAGGGUAACAAUACUUCCACUAGACUACAACACACGCAUGCUCUUGUUUACUCUUACUAACGUGACAAAAUCAUUCCAUCUAACAGGCACAAUCACACAACAAAUCACAGCAACUCACGAGUUGAUUCCAUAUCUCCAAGUUCGAGGAAGAGAAACCAUCCCCGUAUUAGGGUACGUGAAUUUGCAAUGCACAUCACCUCAGCUUCAAUUACUAAGUCUUCGAUACAAAUGCUUAAACAAAUUCUCUUUUUCUCAAUUAUACUUGACAGGCAUAGAGACACCAAAAGAAGACAGCCUACCAUCAGCACAGCGAAACGAACAAGUACAAGGAAGACGUGGAAGAAGAACAAGUAUAGUACAAUCACUUAGAAAAUUUUUGUUAUCAAGUCAAUUUAUUUGCUUCAGCAGUAGUUAUUUACCUUCGCCUCACGUAGGCCUAUCGCAUUACCUAUUUACUUACAUUCGCCUCACAUGGGUCUGUAACAAUUCUCCUUUGCUAUCAUUGAAUAAAUCAUACUUUUCGCUUUACUAUCUGUGCCUUUACAACGAUACAAACUACCUCUCAUCAUGAGUCUAAUUCAAUACCACCCUAUAAACACUUAGAGAGAUUUAGAUAAUCCAUAUAGCCUGGCCAGCUGGAUUAUCUAAGUCCCUUUACUUGUUUCACGAGGUGUUAAUUUUAAAACGUGGCCACGAACAAAUAUAUUUAAGACCCAAGCGGUCCGAACAAAGGGCACGACCCUUAACAAAAACCUUGGGAGACUGAUCCCCUCCUCAAGUACAUCGCGUACAAUGCUAAUGUAAAUACAUAUAAGCAGCGCAUUAACUCUUGACAAUGUCAAAAUAAAUAAUUCAAGAUAUCAAACUUCAAAUGUCAAACAAAGAAGAAAUUCAAACGAAAUAGUAUAGGACAUACCCAUCUACAUCAGCGAUAAAAAUAAAACUAAGAAUCCAACAAAUAAAAAAGAGUUGAACUAUCCUAGCAAAAAUAUCUAAACUCUACCACCACGGGCAGAAGACGCCCUCACAGUGGGGUCAUCAGCAACCAUGUCAUCCACGAGCUCUGUGCCCGUUUCGUCGCCACCGACCUCAUCCUCCUCUUCAUCAGAUAUACCAGCCUCCAUCCCGCGAAUAACCUUCUCACUGAUACCACCCGCAUCGCGAAGAUAUUUGCGACAAGCACGAACUAAUGGCUUAUAGACCACAGCCAAAGCAUGCUCUUCAAUCAUAGCAGCACACUCAUCACUACCUUGGAAGCUAAGCUUGGUUUCCUCCACGAUGGACUCUCUAUAAGCAGCACCACCUGACGUCGUCAGGAACCUCUUCCCCGUCGCCUUCUCGACUUCGUAUUUCUCCUUGAGUUGAUCAUAGCACUCGUUCAACUUAUGAACAUCAUCCUUAUACGCCUUCGCGUCACCUCGGAUAACCUCGAGCUCUUCUGUCCUUUGAGCAAGCUCCUCUGUCCUUUGAGCAAGCUCUUCCGUCCGUUGAGCAAGAUCGGACCGCACUAUCUCCAACUGGCUUAGAAGUUCAUCCUCACGCGUCUGACCUCGAACUCGCUCCUCUUCCUUCCUAGCUUCCACAUUCCUACCAUGCUCCACGAGAUAUCUCCAAGUCGCUACCAACUAAAAAAAAAAAAAAAAAAAAAAAAAAUUUACACAAGGAAGAGAAGAAGUAACAUUUAAUCUGGUUUUAAAUAAACAAGGACUCACCCGACAUAUGUCCCCACCGGCUAACUCCAACAUGUGAGAAGGGCCCUUACCAGACAUCCGAGCACGGUCAUACUCCCGAACGAAUCCCUCGGUACUCAACAUAGGCAGAUCAUGGUCCGACACAUCCCAAUACGACUCCUUACCGUCGCGAUUCACACCAUAGGUAAACAAUUGUUUCCCUCCCCCACCAUGGAAAGCAUAGGUCUCCUCUGGGUCUACCCGUGGACGCUUAGGCACAACCACAAACUCGGUAUCCACCCUCUUUCCCUUGCCACGAUCCCUCGUCGGUAGACGCCCCUCCACUUCACCAGCACUGCUACGGUCAUCUGCGACUACUCGAGGAGUUUCCACAUGGACCUCCUCACGAGGCAAACCACUUGAAGAACCUCCCAACGUAGAGGGUACCUUCUUCGAUGCCUUCUUCGACGUCCCAUUCGCCUUAGCUCGAAGUUCCGCAAAGGUGAUACCCCCAUCUACAAAAGAUAACAAACACAUAAGAAACAUGAGGUAUACACUACCAAAGAACUACAAAAAAAAAAAAAAAAAAAAAAAAACACAAGUCAAGGCAACAAAAGGAUAUACGGUGCUGACCCUUCGCCUUUGGUAUCAAAACCCUCGGGUCAAAUUCCACAUCACACAAUCCCGACUCUUCAAUCCUUUUCGCCAUAUUCGCAGUUAUCGUGAAACUCUCGCACGUAGGAUUCCAAACUACGGGAACGUCAAAAGUGGGAGCCCUCAUAUAAAAAAAAUGGGUCUUCCAUUCCCCCAAAGAUAACUUCACACUCUUCACGAAUUGGUAAGGAACGCGAGGAUGAAAACAAAAGAAAGGCGUCUUAUUGGGCCGAUGUAACGUAAAUAACGCCUUGAACAAACUCACAGUCACAGGCAAACCCACUAGAGACACCCUAUGGUGAAACGCCUCAAACAUAAGAAUUGCAGUCGGAGUUAACUGACUGUACCCUAUCUUGAAUUCCUCACAAACCUUCAACAAGGUCGGAUGUGGUGUAAUCUGAGAUGUACACGUCAAGUACGCCAAAAACACCGUAUGAAAUCCAUCGGGUGGCGAGUACAAACGGUUGCCCUUCUGAGGCAACAACAACUCGACAUUACUUGGCGCUCCAGAUAAACGACGAAUAGAGUGCAAAUGCUCUUCCGUCAACACACUAUCAAAAUUAACUAAGUCCAAAUUAAUUGGCUUCUUUUUCUUUUGCCUCCUCUUAUCAAUCUCAAUAUCAACCGGCGGAAUAUCAUCUUCCUCCUCCUCUUCAUCCGUCAGCUCAACUUCACUCGCACGAUCACUCGCCAAAGGUCCUUCAUUCGAAUCAUCGCUAUCACUCCCAAAAUCCACGACCCCACGCCCAUAACGACGUCUACUAGAACCCACUUCGUCAACAAUAGGGCAAAUAUCAACAUUAUUACUCGCUUCUACAUCGUCACUCCAAGAUUCAAUAAUCUCUCGCGGACCAAAACUCCUCCGAUGCACAUCAACUUCGUCAUCAACUGCCAACUCCAUCCCGCGAACCGCGUCGAAAACGGGACCCAGACGCGCCCUCACGCGCGCGCGUCGCAUCCGGAGACUACCUCCCACGCGCGCCCCCCCCCCCAAUUACAGCGCAUUCACGCGCCCCAGCCCCCUCCGGUGACGCGCGCGCGUCUGCCAGCAAACCCUCCCCCAUUGACUCGCGCGGACGCGCGCCUUUAUUGGGCAGCGCGCGCGCGCGUCAGCACUGCCCCCCCUACCUACCGGCACGCGCGCGUCGGGACACGGCCCAAUCCCGAGCGCGCGUUCCCCCAACCGUGACGCGCGGUCGACAGCAGCAGGCCCCCGUGGCCUGCUCUCUCUCUCUCUCCCCUCCUCGGUCCGGGUGCAAGCCGGCGGCUCCAAGGCUUCACUCGGCUCCGUCUCUGCAUGAAAACUCGCGCCCCUAGACUGGUUUUGACGCCCGGCUACACGGCUCGAGCCGACUCCGGUCUCCGAGCCACCUACUUUGCACCCCUUCCCCAUAGUUUGUGAACCUACUACUGCAGAUCCGAUUUUCGCACCGGAAGCUACAGGCUUUUCGCGUUCCAUACCCAUGGUACCAAAAGUUUUCUCGCCCCCUUCAACCGAAUCUCGAAGUUUAAUUCGUAAAGAUUUCGAAUUACCCGGAUUCGACAUUACUAAAAUUUUUCUCAGCACAAAAAAUCAAAAAACAAAAAAUUUUCUACUCUACCGCAAAAAAAUUCUUCAAGAGAAGAAUAGCACAGAAGAAGACUUAGAAUCAAAAGUACAUGCCCAUAUUUAUUACGCAGGAGAGGAAGUUUAUCUCUUUCUACCGCACAAGGAGUCUAUUUAUUUAGCCCUGGUAUAUUAUUUAAAACCCUUAAAUAUAUACUGCGCUGCCAAAUAAAUACAAUUAUCCCUGAUUUAAUUAAGGAACUAAUUCACCGCUAACGGAUACUACGCAAUCCACGACGCAAUUAACUCUCGACACGACCCGAAUCCCUCUACACAAGUCCCCGUCUCGAAUCGAGAGUUGGGGGGCUUAAUGAUAUACCUAAAUGGGCCGGCCCAAUGGGCCCUCAAAGUUAUCUACUAAUUAGGACCAUUACACGAAAGCCCAAACACCUUCAAAGUAAGGCUUGGGCCCAGCAAAGUAAGCCCAACCCAAUCACCGAUAUAUAUAUAUAUAUAUAUAUAUAUAUAUAUAUAUAUAUAUAUAUAUAUAUAUAUAUAUAUAUAUAUAUAUAGAUGUUUUACUCAUUUAUUGAGGUACGUUCUAAUUAUUCACAAUCAAUCUCGAGUUUUAUUCUCUCCACUAUCUCUACGAUCCGUACAUCUGACUAGAGCGUCGGACGGGUAUCCGCCGGAUCAACCCCCGGCUUAGUACAUGUGUGCUCAUUUCGCAGGGACCUCAGGAUCAUCAAGUUGACUAGCUACUGAUCAGCUUUGCUCUCCCAGCUCGUUUUCUAUACUAUCCCAGGUGAGCUAUAUUUUAGCAUCAUCAAUAUGCACCACAAAUUACAUGAGAUAAUAAGAUGUACAACAUGCAAUAUGUGUGUGUUCAAUUAUAUGCUAUUGUUAAUACUCAUAUAUUUUAUGAUUAUUUUGCAUUAUUAAAGUUAUCCUUAAAUAAAAAUUACGAGAAUAGCAUUAGUUUUAUAUUUAUGAAAUUAAUUUUGUAGUUGCUAAAGUGAUCUAGAUUAGUAAAAUCUUAUAAAUAUAAGAACUAUAUGAAGGUUUAAUCAUUUAGAUGAUAUUAAAGAUUAUAAUAUUCUCUUGCAUUGAUAAUUAAGAAAUUGAGACUAGCUCAAAGGAUAGUCGAUUUUAAUUAAUUAUGAACUCGGUAGGGUAUCAUAAUUUGUAUUACUUAGCAAUUAGAAUUGUUUACGUAAAGGUAAUAUGACUAAUUGACGAGUGAAAUAAAUUAUGUUUGACCCUACUUAGGUGUUAUAAAAGAUUAUUUACACCAACAUAGAGUGAACAAUAGGUAUACUAUAUUUCACCCAAAUGAGAACUUGUAGUGAUAUCGACAGUUCAUCUUAUUUGACUCAAGAUCUUAUGUGAGCAUCCUUUUAUCUUUACCUUAUUAUAUUUGCUAUAUUCAUUUCAGUUGCUAUUCCUACUUCGUUGUAUUCGCAUGCUUCUGGUAUUAAGACUCUUAGUGGGUCAAAUUUCUCCGAAUGUUAUGAACAAAUUCAGUUUACCUUGGGUGUUAUGGAUUUGGACAUAGCAUUGCUUACUGAAAAACCUGGGGAAUUAGUGAAUGCUGAUAGUGAGGAAUAAGUUAGCCUAAUUGAAGCGUGGACCAAGUCCAAUAGGCUUAGUCUUAUGCUUAUUAGAAUGACCAUUGCUGAUAACAUUAAGACUUCUCUUCCCGAGGUUGAUAGUGCUAUGGAACUGUUAACGGCUAUUAAAGAACGCUUUAAAUCAGCGGACAAGUCGAUAGCAGGGACACUCAUGGCUAAAUUGACUACCAUGAAAUAUGGUGGUGAUAAAGGAAUUCAAGAACACAUCCUGAAUAUGACUGACAAGCCUGCCAAACUUGGAGCUCUUGGCAUGAAAGUGGAAUAGUCCUUCCUUGUGUAAUUUAUCCUUAACUCACUUCCAUCAAAGUUUGGUCCGUUCAAAAUCCACAAUAAUACUCAAAAAGACAAGUGGAAUUUGAAUGAGCUGACUAGUAUGUGUAUUCAAGAGGAAGUGAGAUUAAAGCAAGAAGGAAAUCACUUUGCACUGGCUGUAACUCAUGGACUAUGAAGAAGAAAAGAAAAUUUGUGAAGAGUGGAAAUAAAUUUGCACCAAACAAAACAUAUGAACCUAGUGAAAGUAGUCAGGAUCAUGGAAACGGUUUUGUUGUCACCUGUUACUUUUUUAAUAAAAAAAGGACACGUAAAGAAGGAUUGUGAGAAACGUAAGGCUUGGUUCGAAAAGAAAGGUAUUCAUCUUUCUUUUGUAUGUUAUGAAUCAAAUCUUAUUGAAGUUGCUUCUUACACUUGGUGGCUUGAUUCUGGUGCUACAACUCAUAUCACGAAUUCAUUACAGGGAUUCCUUACAACUUGGAAACCGGAGGAAAGUGAAAAGUACAUCUAUAUGGGAAAUCGUCUCAAAUCUAAAGUGGCGAGUGUUGGCACUUAUCGCCUCAUAUUAGAGACGGGUCAUAAGAUGGAUCUUGAAAACACUUUUUAUGUACCUUCGUAUUCUAGGAAUUUGGUUUCUUUGUCAAAACUCGAUGUUUGUGGUUAUUCAACUUUAAUUGAUUGUGGAAAACUCAGUUUUAAUUUUAAUUCGAUAAUAAUUGGUUCCGGUAUUUUAUGUGAUAGUUUAUAUAAAAUAUCUUCGAAUAUUGAGUUUGAACAAUCAUUUUUAACCACUCAUUCGGAACUUGGCGUAAAGCGAAGCCUAAAUAACGAAAUUCUUCUAUCUUGUGGCAUAAACGUUUGGGGCAUAUCACCAAGGAAAGAAUCGAAAGAUUGGUAAAAACUGGAAUUUUGGAAAAUCUAAACUUCACUGAUUUUCCAGUUUGUGUGGAUUGCAUUAAGGGUAAGAAAACCAAACACAAUAAAAGAGGUGCCGUGCCACAAGAUGUAAAGAGCUUCUUCUGUUAAUCCAUACAGAUAUCUGCUCACUACCUAUUCCAUAUUUUAGUGGAGAAAAGUAUUUUAUCACCUUAAUUGAUGAUCUAUCUCGUUAUGGUUAUCUCUAUCUAAUUCAUGAAAAAUCUUAACCUGUUGACAUGCUUGAGGUGUUUGUUACGAAAGUCGAGAGACAAUUAGAUAGAAAAAUUAAAGUUAUACGAUCAGAUCGGGGUGGGGAAUACUAUGGUAGAUAUGAUGAGUCAGGACAAAAUCCUGGCCCAUUUGUUAAAUUCUUAGAAAAGUGUGGUAUUUGUGCUCAAUAUACAAUGCCUGGAACACCACAGCAGAAUGGAGUUGUUGAACGCCGUAAUCGUACUCUUAUGGAUAUGGUUAGGAGUAUGUUAAGUAAUUCAAUUGUACCCAUUUCACUUUGGAAUGAAGCCUUGAAAACCGCUAUGUAUAUCUUAAACCGUUUCCCAGUAAGGCAGUCCCAACAACCCCUACGAGUUGUGGACUUGUAGGAAACCUAGUUUAAGACAUUUACAUAUUUGGGGUUGUCCAGUAGAGGCUAUAAUAUACAAUCCAAGUGAAAAGAAAUUGGACCCCAGAAUAAUUUAUGGUUAUUUUAUUGGUUAUCCACUAAAGUCAAAAGGGUACAAAUUUUAUUGUCCAAACCAUACUACGAGGAUAGUUGAAACUGAAAACGCCAAAUUCUUAGAGAAUAGUGAAGUUGGUGGGAGUGUUGAAUCAAGAAAGGUAGAACUUGAGAGGAUUAGGGUGGAUAUUUUACCAUCUUAUUUCCCUCAAGAUAAAGUUACUCUUCAACCUAUACAGCAGGUUGAAACAAAUGAUUUACCACUCCAUUCACCACUUCAUGAAGAUGUCAUCAUUGGCAAUGCUGUGGAACCACCACGACUGGUAGCCUUGAGGAAAUCUCAAAGGGAAAGGAAAUCUGUCAUAUCCGAUGAUUAUGUGGUGUAUCUACAAGAAUAUGAUUUUGAUAUUGGUAUUCAAAAUGAUCCAGCUUCAUAUUCACAAGCCAUGAAAAGUAAAGAUUCUAGUAAAUGGAUUGAUGCUAUGAAUGAAGAGUUGAAAUCAAUGAACUAUAACGGUGGCUAGGAUGUCGUCGAAUUUCCUAAGAACAGUAAGAAAGUCGGUUGUAGAUGGGUCUUCAAGACCAAACGUGACUCUAAGGGCAAUAUCGAAAGAUUUAAAGCCAGACUAGUGGCCAAAGGUUUCACUAAAAAAGAAGGCAUUGAUUAUAGAGGGACUUUCUCUCCAGUAUGUAAGAAAGACUCUCUUAGAAUCGUUAUGACUCUUGUAGCUCAUUAUGAUUUGGAGUUGCACCAAAUGGACGUGAAAACCGCUUUACUGAAUGGGGAUUUAGUUGAGGAUAUCUAUAUGGACCAGGCUGAAGGAUUUGCAAAACAAGGAAAAUAACACUUGGCUUGUAAAUUAAAGAAAUCCAUAUAUGGACUUAAACAAGCUUCUAGACAAUGGUAUAUAAAAUUCAAUGAUACCAUUACUUCCUUUGGAUUUAAGGAAAACACUGUUGACCGGUGUAUAUAUCUAAAGGUCAGUGGGAGCAAGUUUAUCUUUUAAAUUUUGUAUGUGGAUGAUAUUUUACUACUAAGUAGUGAUCUUGGUUUGCUUCAAGAAACCAAGAAUUAUCUUUCAAAGUAUUUUAAGAUGGUUGAUAUGGGUGAGGAAAAUUAUGUUAUUGGGAUAUAGAUCCUUAGAGAUCGAUCUCGAGGAUUGUUAGACAUGUCUCAAAAAGGACAUAUCAAUCAAGUUCUUGAAAGAUUUAAUAUGCAGUUUUGUUCAACCAUUAAUGCACCUCUCACGAAAGGUGAUAAUUUAAUGAAAAGCAAUGUCCAAAGAAUGAUUUGGAAAAUAAGAGAAUGAAAUUGAUUCCAUAUGCAUCAGCAGUUGGAAGUCUGAUGUAUGCACAGACUUGUACUAGACCAGAUAUUAGUUAUGCAGUGGGAGUACAUGGUAGAUAUGAAAGUAAUCCUGGAAUAGAACAUUGGAAAGCAACAAAGAAGGUUAUGAGGUAUCUUCAAGGAACAAAGGAUUACAUGCUUACUUAUAGGAGAUCGGACCAAUUAGAGGUUAUUGGUUAUUCGGACUCCGAUUUUGCUGGUUGUUUAGAUAGUAGAAAGUCCACAUUGGGCUUUGUAUUUCUACUAGCUGGUGGAGCAAUCUCUCGGAAGAGUGUUUUCUAAUCAAAGUAUUAUUGUUUCUUCCACAUUGGAUGCCGAGUUUGUAGAAUGUUUUGAGGCCUCGAGUCAUGCACUAUGGUUGCGAAAUUCUAUCUUAGGGCUUAAGGGUGUUGACUCAAUUGCUAAGCCUUUGAAGAUAUAUUGUGAUAACACCGCAGCCGUUUUCUUCUCUAUGAAUGGAAAAUAUUAAGUGGAUCAAAGCACAUGGAUCUUAAGUACUUGGUUUUUAAAGAAAUAGUCCAUAAACAACAAGUGUCAAUAGAAAAUUUAAGUACAACUCUCAUGGUUGCUGAUCCAUUAACUAAGGGAUUGCCUAUAAAGACAUAUGAGGAACAUGUUAUUAGAAUGGGUCUUUGAGCAAUCCUUGAUUUGAUGAGUUGUGAUUGUAAUUGAAACUUAAUUUAUUAAAUCAAAUAUUUUUGUUUUCAUGUUUCCAAUUAUGUGUGCACAUAUUAUAUUUGGAAUUAAUUUCACAGGAUUUGUCCUAACAAGACAAAAUUAAAGGGGCUAUGAUGGAUUAGAAUAGUAAGGGUUAUUAGUGGUGUGAUACAUAGAAGGGAAUAUGAUGAAUGAAUCAUAUGACCGCUAUGAUUCACAUUAAUAACUCAAACUAGUUCUAGUAUUAAAGUACUUUAUUUACCAAUUAUGGUAAUCAGCUAAAUUUUCUUUUAAAAUCGUGAUCACGUGUCAAAUGUUUUGUACGAAGAACCCACCGAGUCAAAUAUUUUUUAACCUUAUUUUUCUUAAUCGGUUCAAUUGGCCAAGUGUAAGAAUGUUAGUUUUUAAUUUUAACGUUUUAAUUUCAAUAGCCCGUUAACCUUUAAAUUUAAUUUAUUAAAUGUGAUUAAUUCAAUUAUGGAAUUAAUAUUGAUUUAUGGUAAUUGAUUUGUGUUGAUUUAAAUGCCUAUCAAAAUCCACUCGUUCUGUUGAGUCAGAUUAUUUGUUACGACAUUAGAUGUGGUAACAAGAUUCUUGUGAGUCUACAAAAUUAAUCUACUAAAAGCAGAAUAAAAGAACACAAGAAUUUUAAUGUGGUUCGGAUACAAAUGUACCCUACAUCCACGAGGACUUGCAAACUAGUUCAUAUUUAAGUGUACAAUAUUGGACUUAAUAAAAACACUAAAGUCUCCAUCUUUAUGUUAUAUGCCGUUUUUGCAUACGACUCAAACUUGUUGAUAUUCAAAGCAAUUCCUCCAUCCACACACUUGGACUCCCUCCAAUGCUUAACUCCCUUUAGACGGCGGAUCGACCUAUCCCGAGAUCUUUUAAGCACUUCUCCCGAAACGCCGAUCUUCUUUAUGGCCUGGUAGAAGAAACCCGUCAUGUUGCCACACCUGACGUGCAGACUCCGUCUUGUUGCCACACCUGAUGUGCAGACAGGGCUGCAGCACCGGCUGCAUCCUUCAAAGCCUUUAUGAUGGGAUUUUUCGACUAAAGCUCCAUAGAGACUCAUAUGAGGUUGAGGGCCUUAUAUAUGCACGGAAUUCACCACCCUAAACCUAACUUGAGCCCUAAGAAAUCGAUUUAACUAGGUAAUAGAGUCCUAGUCGAUUUCUACUUCUAUUCUAGAUAAGUAUAAAAGAUACCUAACUAGAAUAUAAUACAUGGAAAUAAAUCUAAGUCCUAUAUAACAAUAUUAGAAGAAUAGGACUCAAAUAUUUGGCAAUCUUUAAUUUCCAUGUAUGCCGGAUUUCCUCAAUCUUCACUAACAGAAAUCUGGCGCCAACAAUUUGUAAGCGUAUGAUGGCAAUAAAAGACCAUAAUGGUGGGAUUUGUCUUAUGUCGGUACAAAUCAAUUGUGGCCCUCUUCUCUCAUCUAUAAAAGAAUCCACAACUCUUCUCCACAACAACAGACGCAAUUUGAGAAUUCCAUCAAUUACAGAACACUAGUGAGUUGUGAUAGUGGAGAGAUAGAGAGAAGAAGGUGUGCCUACGAAUAAAGUUCUCACAAGGAGAUUCAAAGGAGGUUUGGCUUGUAGAUUGCUAUCAUCCUCGUUCAUUAUCUCUAUCGGAAUCCAUGGCGUACAGUAUGUCGAUAAUCCCAAUUAUGUGAUUACGUUCUUAAGAUAAAUUUGAUUUCAAGAUUAUGUUAUUAGAGUUUUCCGCAUAAAGUUAAAUAAAAGUCUUUCAGAGGAUACACAUUUCCCAUGUCUUGAACAAUAACUACAUCUUUCAAAAAUUGGGCUGAAGGAGAUUCCCUUGGAAUUUGAUAAAAUAAUGCCGCUUCAGUUAAUCGACAUAGGACAAUCCUGCAAAAUUUCCGUUUUGGUAUAAGCAAAGGAAAUAUCAUAGCGACGAGAGGACCUAGGAUAUGAUGGUGUUCAAAUUCGAAAUAGUAAUUCCGGAGAGCUCAAAAUUCGGGUUAGGAGAGCAAUUAAUCUUGAUGUUCAUGAUCGCCGCAGCAGAUCUUAUGUUCAUUUCGACAUAGGCUAAUAGGUUUUCCACACAUCUCUGCCAUAUUUUUUUUUUGUGUUUCCCGCCUUUUUACUUGAGAAGAAUUUCAAGUAAAACAGCUUUUAUAUUGAAAAUAAAUUCAAAUGGAAAGAACUGAUCAUUUAUUUUGACUUGACUUGUUUGACUGAAUAGUAGCAGCCUAUGAUAUGUUAUUUUCAAGUAUUUAUAAAUGCAUUUUGGUAUGAUGUGACCCUUUUAUCAUCCAGGUAAGGACUUUAACAAUAAAAGACGAUGUUAAUCCCGAACGGAAUGAAGAGAUUACGUUUCACGCCUAAUCUUCCAGUUUAUGUGGUGAGGCUCUUUACAUUAAUCAAAAUUGCCUUUAGUUGAUUCAUUUAAAUAUAUGUCCAUGUUGAUUAACUGUGUAUGUAUCUAUGUACGUAUGGGUUUCGACAGUGUAUGACCAUGACAUAGAAGACAAGAUGAGACAAUUUACAUUAAUGUAUGACCAUAUGACAUCGAUGAAAAGGUGGGACUAUUUACAAUGUAUUACGAUAAAAUUGAUGAAAAGAAGGGAACUGCGGAGUUUGAUAUGCGACCAAUAGUAGAAAACUACUGGAUAAAUCAUCCGGAUGAUACAAUAAGCGCAUCGAUACCGCUUGCAGACUCCAAUUGUUUAGCCGAAUAGAGUUCCGUUUUCUAGAAACACGGCAUCAUGUGCCUCCAAAUGAAAAAUGCUGAAUUCGGCCAACUCCAACUUUAUAUCCAAUACUCUUCUGGGGAUCAACACACACACACUCACACACACACACACACAUAUAUAUAUAUAUAUAUAUAUAUAUAUAUAUAUAUGAUAUGCCUAAUUGGCCCAACCCAAUGGUCCUACAAAUUAUUUACCUACUGGGCCACGAGCCCAAUAUCGAAGACCACUAUCACCGAGGCCCAAUCACCUUCAAGCAAGGUUUGGGCCUGACAAUCUCAAUUAAGCUAUAAAUACACCUUUUAACUCAUUCCAUAAGGUACGUCCUAUUAACUGAGCAAUACUACAAUACGUAUUCUCUGGACUAUUUCUACUAUCAGCACGUCUGACUUGAGCGUCGGAGGGGUUUUUGCCGGAUCAACCCCCGGCUUAGUUCAUGUGUUCUAUGAUCGCAGGUACCUCAGGAUCAUCAAGUUGUCAAGCUAUUGAUCUGCUUUGCUCUCCCAGCUCAUUUUCUACACCACCCUAGGUGAGCUAUAUUUUAGCAUCAUCAUUUUGGCGCCGUCUGUGGGAACGAUGCAAACCAGAUCACGUAGCCAAUAAGAUCCUCCUGAGGCGUCUGCUCGGAGAGAAAAUGACACAGCUAACGACCUCCCACCUCGUGGAGGCUCUGGCUUGCCACCUCCUCCACGUCCCAUGGAUCCGCCUCGCGAGGUUCAGGUGAUCCCCCCUCGGGACCCACCACUCGUAGAUCCACCACUCUCUGCUCCUCGAAUGGUUCAAAUAACCGAGGAUCUGCUUCAACGCAUGAUAGCAGAAGCUUCAACUCGCGCUGCCACAGAGGCCGUGACCCAAUAUAUCGCCACGAUGGGAGCAAAUGCUCCGAACGCGAUACCAGCACCUGCUCCACAUGUGGAGCCACCUAUGGCACCACCGCCAUCGACUCCCUGGGGGCUUACAUCUGCCCCCAAAAUAUUUCGUUCGCCAAAGGUUAUCGACUCCCUGGGGGCUUACAUCUGCCCCCAAAAUAUUUCGCUCGCCAAGGGUUAUCGACUCCCUGGGGGCUUACAUCUGCCCCCAAAAUAUUUCGCUCGCCAAGGGUUAUCGACUCCCUAGGGGUACUGUUGGGUGCUAAAUACCCACACGCAAGUGUACGUAUCGCAAACAAGUAGUAAAAGUGGACUCGUGAGAGUCGGAUGUCGAUCCCACAGGGAAUACGCAAAUUAUUUAAUCCUAAGUACCAAAUUGUAACAAUUACGAUUUUUAUCCAGCCUACGCAAGGUUGUCAAAUUAAUUAACUAAAUAAAUUAAACUAAUUAAUAAAACAAUUAAUUACGAGAAAAUAUCAAUAUGAAACGGAUCUAGGAUUUUAUCUUCCCCCUAUGCAAGAAUUGCUCACCCAAAACCCCUCAAUUAUGAAAUAUAUGAUUCAUGAUUAUUAACCCGAGACACUAAUUUACUCAUAACCCGCUGUCGCGUGUAUUAUGAGUCUAUUAUUCAUAAACGAUUCACUAUAUGUCUAUGCAAACCAAUUAUAAAUAAAGCAUUAACUAACAAGUCUCGUAAGUGGCUACCUAAGGUGAUAUCUGUAUGUCUACGACACCACAUGCAAUUGACACACUCAUCCGGUGAAAACUACUCGAAGGCUCUUAUACUUACCGUCUAAUUAUCAAAAUAGCUCUGUCAAGUCAAUCCCAAUAAUCACAGAUAAAGCACAUAAAUUGAUCAAGUUCAUGCACUAACAAUCAUAACAAGUAUAAGAAAUAAUCAUAAAAUCAUAAUUGCAUAAUCUCAAGAAAACGGGUUCACAAUCCCCACAUAGGGUUCCAACAAAAUCCUAGAUUAAAAACUUAGCUACUCAUAACGAAAAACAUAAUAAAAGUAAUAAAAAUCAUAAAAGCUAUAAAUAAAAGUCAAAGAGGGGAACUAGGAUGAAGAUUCGUCAAGUCUUCGUCUUCGUUCUUGUGCUCCUUGAUCGCGUGUAGAAAGAUGAAAAAUAAAAACCUAAAGAUUAAAGAUAAAAGGUAAAAGAUCCAAGAUAGGUCUAAUUGUGUGCUUGUGGCCUUUAAAUAGGGUGCAAAAAUAUAAUAGGGCGGGUUUCCUUGUGUAAUUAAACUUCCUUCACUGCGCCCCUACGCCCAUCCGGACGGCCGUGUGAGAUUAAGAUCUAAAACCCGCACGGCCGCGCGGCCUUCUGUUCUUCAGAAUUCUGAUUAUUUCACUUUUGGCCCACUUUUUCUCUGAAUUUGCAGUUUUCACCCCAAAAGUUGCCAAUUCUUCAAUUUGCACCUAAAAUACAAAUAAUAACCAUAUUAAGCACCAAUUAUCGUAAAAACACAUCAAAAGCUCCAAUUAAAAGGUACAAUUAAGUGUAUAAAUAUACACUUAACACACCCCCAAACUUGAACUUUUGCUUGUCCUCAAGUAAAAUCAAAUUAAGAACACAAAACACGACUAUACAUAUCAUUACAUAGAUCGAUUGGUCAACUUCGUGUUUUCAGAACUUGCAAUUAUGGUGAUAAUUCCUAGGCAUUCGCAAGCUUAACAUUCAACGGCACUUAGUCAAUCACUAUUACCAAAAACCACAAAUCAUACAAUUGCUUCAAGUAUCCAAUAUUUGCAAGUUAAAAAUAGAGAAAAUUUAUACUUACAUGCAUAUAUUUGACUCCAAAUACUUACCAAAUUAUUUUACUCAACUAAUAUUGAACAAUAAGCUAUUGGGAUCAUUGGGACUUUGUGGCUUUCAAUUGUUAGGCUCUUUGGUCCGAGGUAGGUAAUAUGGGAAUGUGUGGCUAAUUUUCUUGAAUUGAGGUGAUUACGCCAAAAUUUGAAAGCUAGGCGUUUGAAACAAUAAAUUCACCUCUAGGGACUUUAGUAAACUCGACUCUCCAAAAUUCACACGUCAACACUUUUGCCCUGAGGCAAUGGAUCGAGUUUUCAACACAAUUCAACCACUAGUCCUUAUUUCUCCCUUCUAAUCUAUUCUUCUUCUUCUUUUUCUUUUUUUUUUUUUUUUUUUUUUUUUUUUUUCGAAUCGAAUUUAGAUAUAUAUAUAAAUAAAGAUGCACGUAUAUAUAUAUCUAUUUUUUUUUCUUUUUUUUUUCUUUUUUUUUUUCGAAGAAGAAGAAAGAUCUAAUAAAACAUUUCGACCGAACUCCAAGGGAUAAUUAUUCAAAAAUCUCCACUUUUCCACCUUUUACAUAUUGGCUAAAAGAAAGAACACCUUUUUUCUCCGAGGCUCAAAUCAAGGUUCUAAGGAUAAAAAUUUAAAGGUAGGCUUGAAAGGCUCAAACGGUUCAAAGAAUGCCCAAAUCAUAUCCCAAAUCACUUACUACCCAACACUUCGUUUCAUAAAUGUCCUAAGGUGAGAUUUAAAACCGAACAAAGCAUGAUUUAGCACAAAUAAAUUCCAAAUUUAAAAUACAAAACAUUCAACCAAAGCAAUGCAUAAAGCGUGAUUCCUAGCAAUAAUUCACUUCUACGUUCAGUUGAAUCGAAAGCUAAACAAAUACCAACUCCUUAUCACAUAAAGCAAGCAAUUUCAUCAUCAAACAUUGGCCAUCUCCCAUCAUCAUAAUUCAUCGAUGCGUCGAACCAAUUUUUUUUUUUUUUUUUUUUUUCGAAUAAUAAAACGAUAACUAAAACAAAAAAAAAUAGCGCAAGCAAACUAACAAAUAUAACCACCCCCAAACUUAAAAUUCACAUUGCCCUCAAUGUGAUUCGCCCAAAGUUUAAGGAUAGAAAACACCUGUUUAAACGGCGUUUUUCUUGCCCUUCCCCUUGCCUUUAGAAGUGCUUUCGCCUUGUGAGGUGCCCUCCCCGUCACGUCCUCGUUUCCCCAUGACUUGAGACUGCGUGUGGAAGGGAUUAGGAGUGAAUUGAUGUGCAAAAUUUCCCCCAAACUUGAUUUGGGCAAUUCGUCGAACACCUUGUGGGCGUUAUUGAUGGAAUGGGUUUGUGGAGAAAUUUGCACCUUUCUUGAAGCCUCCCUGCGCAAAUCAACAAGAAACCACCAAGAUUAAGUAGUAUGUGUGUGUAGUUGGUGAAUUUCUGGUGAAAUUUGUCAAAGAAAAGUGAAAUUUUUGAAAGAGGAAGGCUAGGGUUCGAAGUGGGGGAGAGAGGGGAUUUGAAAUUAUGAUUUUUUUUUUUUUUUUUUCGCACGGCCGUGCGAGAUUUAGGUGAAAAAUCCGCACGGCCGUGCCAUUUCUCAUAAUUGGGCAGUAGCCUCUUCAAAUUUCGCACGGCCGUGCGAGAUUUAGGUGUAAAAUCCGCACGGCCGUGCCCUUUUCCUAUUUUGGGCAGUAGCUUCCCCGAAAUCUCACACGGCCGUGCGAGAUUCCUGCCCUUUUCUUGCACGGCCGUGUGAAUAAUUGCAAUUAGGUCCCUGCAAAAUAAAAACUUCCUAUUAGUGCCCCCAAAACUUUUUUUUUUUUUUUUUUUUUAAAUAAAAUAAAAACAAACUAAAAAUCUAAAAUAACAUAAAAUAAGAAAAACGAAAGCUCGGGUUGCCUCCCGAGAAGCGCUAAGUUUAUAGUCUUCAGCCAGACUUUGUUCUUGCUCUUCAAUUCCUUAGCUUUUGAACCCAUCUCCUUACUUCCUUUCGGAGAAAGUCUUGAAUAAAUGGGUUGAUCCGAUUCUUCUUUCGACUGGUUCGCUUAGGAUUGCCCUUGAAUUUAUUCUUCUUGAUGUCAUGAGGCUUGCCAACAUCGUCUUUUAUCACGGUGUUUUGAGUAGGUGUUGUAACCAACUCAACCUUUUUCUUUUGUUCUCCUACAUGCACAUUAGUAUCCACAAAAAAAUUUAAAUCAUGUAAUUUAACAGGAAAAAGUUUAGAAUCACUUACCUCAUCAAGAAGAUAACAUCCAUUAGCUGUAAUAGGCUUUUCAUCUACCCGGUAUACCUUGAAGAUCACUGUUUCUUCCCCCACACUCAUUCUUAGCUCUCUCUUUCCUACAUCAAUAAUUGACCUACCGGUUGCUAAGAAGGGGCGUCCUAAGAUAAGGGGAAUAUUUUCAUCUUCCUCUAUGUCUAGUACUAGAAAAUCGGCCGGGAGUAUGAACUUAUCUACCUUGACCAAUACAUCCUCCACUAUACCUAAAGGGUGAGUAAAAGAUCUAUCGGCUAGCUGCAAGGUCACGGAAGUGGGCUUAAUUUCUCCUAAAUUCAAUUUCUCAUAAAUUGAUAAAGGCAUUAAAUUUACGCUCGCCCCUUGAUCACACAACGCCCUCCCAAAAUACCUAGUACCUAUUGUGCAUGGAAUGGUACAACUGCCCGGAUCUCUAAGCUUCGGUGGAAUUUUAUUUGCAAGGAUAGCACUACUUUGCUCAUUGAGGUCUAUGAUUGCUGCACACUCCGGAAGCCUCAUCUUCUUCGAUACAAGUUCCUUUAUAAACUUAACCCAAUUCGGCAUAUGCUUAAGUGCCUCAACAAAAGGAAUAUUAACAUGCAAUUUUUUAAGAUAAUCCAAAAAUGACUGAAAUUGCAUAUCAAGCUUAGAGUUUUGAAAACGUUGAGGGAAAGGUACCUUGGGAGUAGGUUCACUUACUGUGAUCUUUGUGUUGCUUGGCCCGACCUCGGUUUUUUCCUUGGGCUCCUCUACAAUAGGCGGUGGUGCAACGGACUUUUUAGGAACUUCCUCUAAUUGCCUCCCAUUUCGCAAACUCACUGCAUUGCACUGCUCGAUGUUGCUCUUUCGAGGAUCUUCCGUAUUCGACGGCAGUGCUCCCGACGGCCUCGCGUUUAGUUGGGUUGCAAGUUGCCCCAUUUGUGUCUCAAGGUUCCGAAUGGAUGCUUGAGUCGCCGUCAUGAAUUUUGCUAAGAUGUCAGCGAGGUCAACUCCUUGGGGUGGAGCUUGAGGUGGUGCUUGCCUUUGUCCUUGCUGAUUUCCUCCCCAUCCAAAGUUGGGGUGAUCCUUCCAUCCGGGAUUGUACGUGUUGGAGUACGGGUUCCUCUGUUGUCGGUUGGUGUCAUGCACAUAAUUCAGAGACUCCGUUUCUUCUAUGCGUUGGUCGGGAACUUGGACUGCGUGGACUUGCUGAGCUUGCAAAGCCGCUACUUGCUUCGAUAGCUUCUCCAAUUGGGCCGUGAUUGCAGUGACUCCGUCUAACUCCAAAAUUCCUCCCGUCUUGACUGCUCCGCUAUUCGACCGGUCCGAUGCUUGCAUGUAUUUAUUUCUAGCGAUUCGUUCCAAGAGCUCGUAUGCUUCGUCGUAGGUCAAACUCAUGAACAUACCUCCAGCUGCAGAGUCGAGCACUGUCCUCGAGUUGUCUUGCAGUCCAUCGUAAAAUAUUUGCAGUUGGCGCCACUCUUGUAGUCCGUGAUUCGGGCACCUCCUUACUAACUGUUUGAACCGCUCCCACGUCUCGAAUAAUGCUUCACCGGCUUCUUGUAUGAAGUUUUGAAUUUCUCGCCGGAUUCUCUCAGUUUUUGUUGGGGAAUUGUAUGUGUUCAUGAAGAGUUGCGCUAGUUGGGCCCAAGACGAGAUGGAAUGCGGUGCGCGAGUUUGUAACCAUUCUCGGGCUGCUCCUUGUAGGGAGUGCUUGAACAGGCGGAGUUGCAAUGCUUCGGGCGUUACUCCGUUCAUCUUGUGCGAGUCACACGUUUCGAGAAAGUUGACCAAGUGAAGAUGUGGAUCUUCAUGAGCUAAUCCGCUGAAUAGACCAUUGUUUUGGAGCAUCGUGAGGAGUCCCGCUCGAAUCUCGAAAUUGUUGGCUUCAAUGGGGGGCUGCUGGAUGCUUGAUUGGAACCCAUUGAGUGUCGGAACGGUGUACUCGUGCAAGGCUCGUUGACGCGGUGGUGGAUUAAUUAUCUGGCGUUGGUUUUGCUCGUUGACGAUUUCUCUCGCCACAUUAGGUGGUUGCCUUUGGUCACCUUCCCCACGAUUAUUCUCGUCUUCCAUCGAUGCUGGAGUGUUUUGGGCUAACCGUUGAUUUCUCCUGGCUUGCCUAAACGUUCGCUCAAUUUCGGUAUCAAGAGGUAGCAAGCUCGUGUCGUGUCCUCUUCGCAUAAAAAGUACCUAAAACAAAAUAAAAAAAAUAAUUAAAUAAAAUAAAAAAAUUGGCUGAAGUAAGAAAAAUUGCUCAAAUUUAAUAUUAGGAUAAAUAAAUAAUUUAGCCGUAUUCCCCGGCAACGGCGCCAAAAAAUUGUUGGGUGCUAAAUACCCACACGCAAGUGUACGUAUCGCAAACAAGUAGUAAAAGUGGACUCGUGAGAGUCGGAUGUCGAUCCCACAGGGAAUACGCAAAUUAUUUAAUCCUAAGUACCAAAUUGUAACAAUUACGAUUUUUAUCCAGCCUACGCAAGGUUGUCAAAUUAAUUAACUAAAUAAAUUAAACUAAUUAAGAAAACAAUUAAUUACGAGAAAAUAUCAAUAUGAAACGGAUCUAGGAUUUUAUCUUCCCCCUAUGCAAGAAUUGCUCACCCAAAACCCCUCAAUUAUGAAAUAUAUGAUUCAUGAUUAUUAACCCGAGACACUAAUUUACUCAUAACCCGCUGUCGCGUGUAUUAUGAGUCUAUUAUUCAUAAACGAUUCACUAUAUGUCUAUGCAAACCAAUUAUAAAUAAAGCAUUAACUAACAAGUCUCGUAAGUGGCUACCUAAGGUGAUAUCUGUAUGUCUACGACACCACAUGCAAUUGACACACUCAUCCGGUGAAAACUACUCGAAGGCUCUUAUACUUACCGUCUAAUUAUCAAAAUAGCUCUGUCAAGUCAAUCCCAAUAAUCACAGAUAAAGCACAUAAAUUGAUCAAGUUCAUGCACUAACAAUCAUAACAAGUAUAAGAAAUAAUCAUAAAAUCAUAAUUGCAUAAUCUCAAGAAAACGGGUUCACAAUCCCCACAUAGGGUUCCAACAAAAUCCUAGAUUAAAAACUUAGCUACUCAUAACGAAAAACAUAAUAAAAGUAAUAAAAAUCAUAAAAGCUAUAAAUAAAAGUCAAAGAGGGGAACUAGGAUGAAGAUUCGUCAAGUCUUCGUCUUCGUUCUUGUGCUCCUUGAUCGCGUGUAGAAAGAUGAAAAAUAAAAACCUAAAGAUUAAAGAUAAAAGGUAAAAGAUCCAAGAUAGGUCUAAUUGUGUGCUUGUGGCCUUUAAAUAGGGUGCAAAAAUAUAAUAGGGCGGGUUUCCUUGUGUAAUUAAACUUCCUUCACUGCGCCCCUACGCCCAUCCGGACGGCCGUGUGAGAUUAAGAUCUAAAACCCGCACGGCCGCGCGGCCUUCUGUUCUUCAGAAUUCUGAUUAUUUCACUUUUGGCCCACUUUUUCUCUGAAUUUGCAGUUUUCACCCCAAAAGUUGCCAAUUCUUCAAUUUGCACCUAAAAUACAAAUAAUAACCAUAUUAAGCACCAAUUAUCGUAAAAACACAUCAAAAGCUCCAAUUAAAAGGUACAAUUAAGUGUAUAAAUAUACACUUAACAGGUACACAGUGCCCCCAAAACAUUUCGCUCGCCAAGGGUUAUCGACUCCCUGGGGGCUUACAUCUGCCCCCAAAAUAUUUCGUUCGCCAAGGGUUAUCGACUCCCUGGGGGUUUAUAGUGCCCCCAAAAUAUUUCGUUCGCCAUGGGUCAUCGACUCUCUGGGGGCCUACUUCCGCCCCCCCUCGAACGGUUCAGAUAACCGAAGAGGACAUUCAGCGUAUGAUCGCCGAAACUUCAACAAUAUCAACUUCUACUUGCUCCUCUAACGGUUCAGAUAACCAAUAAGGACCUUCAGCAUACGACAGCGAAAACUUUAACUCGUGUUGUCACUGAAGCAACGACACAACCGUGUGCAUCCACCUCAGACCAUAGGUCUCGAGCGCCUCAUCCUAUAGUGGGUAGUUAACCCAUCCCAAGGUUGGGCAUCACCCUUACCUUUCAACCCCAAGUGGGUUCACAUCACAUCUCAAGAGACGAGUAUAAUCUCCCAACUCAAAAAAUAGAAUAUCCCAAGGGGUGAACAUCAACCACCAACAAAAAAAAAAAAAAAAGAAGAAGAAGAUGAAAAAAUAGAAGAAAAAAAGAAGAAGAUGAAAAAAAGAAAGAAGAAAAAAAAAUAGAAGAAAAAAAGAAGCAGAUGAAAAAAAAGAAAGACAAAGACAAAAUAGAAGAAAAAAGAAGAAGAAGCAACAAUAGAAGAAACACGCACAACGACUGAAAAAAUAGAAGAACACACAAGAAGAUCAAAAAAGAGAAGAAGAAAGAAGAAGAAAAAAGAAAAGUAAAAAAAAAANNNNNNNNNNNNNNNNNNNNNNNNNNNNNNNNNNNNNNNNNNNNNNNNNNNNNNNNNNNNNNNNNNNNNNNNNNNNNNNNNNNNNNNNNNNNNNNNNNNNAUGAUAACACUGGUCGUUACAGAUGCCUAUUGCGCCUAGUUUUGUCCUCACCAGUAUUCAUAAGUGGUUGUUGUUGGGUAUUACAAGCACAUAAAUAAUGAUGGUCAUUAUUCUUAUUAUUGUUAGAACGAUGGUUCUCCCUCAGUUACAUUUCCUGAAUAUGACAAAAAAAAUCCUCGGGCACGAACCUUGAAAACAAAAAAAAAAAAACCCGGGCAUGUAUCCCGACAAAAAAAAAAAAAAAAAUUUGGGCACGGUUCCCGAGGCGCGCACGUGCACGAUUCCCGAGGCGCACACGGGCACGCUUCCCGAGGCAAAAAAAGGCACGAUUCCCGAGAAACAAAUUUGGGCCCGAUUCCCGAGGCGCACACGGGCACGCUUCCCGAGACAAAAAAAAAACAAAGGAAAAAGGGAAUAAAGCAACAUGAUGCGUCACUCUCGAGGAAGUCCCAUAUCAGCUCCUCAUAAAAUGUUUAACAGCUCUACACUCUCUCCCCCCAUGCACUACAUGCGCGCGUGCACCCCCAUAUGGGCUAGUGCGCACACGGACCCCAAGUGCGCGCGAACUCUAGCACAUCAGCGUCCUACAAUGCGUGUCGCCUCUCCUACCUCGUAGCACGCGCAUACCUGAGGUCGAGCGCAACUCUCAAAAUUCUACAUCAAAUCACGUGAAAAUUUUGACGUACUUUACUAAAUCGCGCAAGAAUUUAUGUGCGCUCCACCAAAUCGCUUGAUAGUUUCAUCUCGCUUAACCAAAUUGCGCGAGCUCUUCAACGUGCCUACCAAAUCGUGCUCGCUAUCAAACGGAUAAAAAGAAUAUAUAUAUUUCUCCACGCCACGCCAACGAUAAAAAAAAAAAAAAACACUACAACACCGAUCUACUCUCGACACGAUCCGGUACCCUCUUCGACGUGGCUCCCACAUCGUCUCGAGAGUGGGGGGCUUGCGAGACAACUCCCACGAGGAGCCAACUCGCUCAGUACUACCACCCGCAGCGAGACAACUCCCACGAGGAGACAACUCGCUCGGACCUACAACCAGCAGCGAGACAACACCCACGAGGAGCAAACUCGCUCUGUCCUACAUCCAGCAGCGAGACAACUACCACAAGGAGCAAACUCGCUCUGUCCUACAUCCCGCAGUGAGAUAACUCCCAUGAGGAGCCAACUCGCUCGGUACUACAACCCGUAGCGAGACAACUCCCAUGAGGAGCAAACUCGCCCGGUCCUACAACCAACAGCGAGACAACUCCCACGAGGAGACAACUCGCUCGGUACUACGAACCCUCAGCGAGAUAACUCCCACGAGGAGACAACUCGCUCGGUACUACGAACCCUCAGCGAGAUAACUCCCACGAGGAGCCAACUCGCUCGGACCUACAACCCCUUGCGAGGAAAAUCCCACGAGGAGACCACUCGCUCCGUCCUACAACCCGCAGCGAGACAACUCCCACGAGGAGCCAACUCGCUCGGUACUACGAACCCGCUGCGAGACAACUCCCACGAGGAGACAACUCGCUCGGUACUACUACAUUAUCAGCGAGAUAACUCCCACGAGGAGCCAACUCGCUCGACACUACAAAUCCGUUGCAAGGCAACUCCCACGUGCAGCCAUCUCGCUCGAUAAUAAGACUCGCUGCGAGACAACUCCCACGAGGAGAAAGAUCGCUCAGAGCGACAUCAAUCCGCACACUCGUCAGUCGCGCGUCAUCCAAUGAUUCUACAACUUCGCUGCGAGACAACUCUCAUGAGGAGACAACUCGCCCGAAACUCACUAUAUAAUCGCAAGCUCAAGUUAGCACGAUUACAACCCUAGAAACACUUAGAAAUAUUAUGGGAAUCUAUAUAGCCUGGCCAGCUUGAUUACUCAAAUUUAUCUACUUGUUUUCGAUGGGUCCUUCAUUAAAACGUGGCCACGGUCCAAACAUAUUUACGACCCACGAGGUCUAACAAAGGGCACGAUCCCCAUAUAAAAAUAUUAAGAGCCUGAUCCCCUCCUCAAGUACAUCACGUACAAAGCUAUAUGUAAACACAUACAAGCAACGCGUCACAACAUUGACAAUGUCGAUAAAUAACAACUCCCACGAGGAGAAUACUCGCUCUGUGCUACUACAUUAUCACGAGACAACUCCCACGAGGAGAUAACUCGAUCAACUCUAUUACCCCACGACGAGACAACUCCCACGAGGAGAUAACUUGAUCCGAGCUAUUACAUCAUCGCGGGACAACACCGACGACUCAAAUAACUUACAUCGCGACAACUUGGUUGCGCUACGCGCCAACGCACCUUCACGCCCCUCCGACACACGCUCCGAUGCGUUUUCGCACACCAUCGACUACUACAAUUUUUACUCUUGACACGAUAUGUCGCCCAUUUCAACAUGGCCCCCACAUCGACUCGAGAGUGGGGGGCUUAAUGAUAUGCCUAAUUGGCCCAACCCAAUGGGCCUACAAAUUAUUUACGUACUGGGCCACGAGCCCAAUAUCGAAGACCACUAUCACCGAGGCCCAAUUACCUUCAAGCAAGGUUUGGGCCUGACAAUCUCAACUAAGCUAUAAAUACACCUUUUAACUCAUUCCAUAAGGUACGUCCUAUUAACUGAGCAAUACUACAAUACGUAUUCUCUGGACUAUUUCUACUAUCAGCACGUCUGACUUGAGCGUCGGAGGGGUUUCCGCCGGAUCAACCCCCGGCUUAGUUCAUGUGUUCUAUGAUCGCAGGUACCUCAGGAUCAUCAAGUUGUCAAGCUAUUGAUCUGCUUUGCUCUCCCAGCUCAUUUUCUACACCACCCUAGGUGAGCUAUAUUUUAGCAUCAUCAAUAUAUAUAUAUAUAUAUAUAGGUCAUUUUUGUUGUUAUCAGUGAACAUUGAUGUUGUCAAGUUACAUAUGAAUCAUAAGUGUCGAAUUUAUUGUCAAGUUGAUAGUUCAGGGGAAGUGAAUGCCAAAAUUUUAAAUGUUUCGGUGAGGGUGCCUGAAAUUUAUCCAACGAAUAAUACGUAUAGAAUUUAACAGUGUAAAUAGGCAAUGGAAAGUGUACCGUUGGAGCUGGUCCGCACAAUGUGAGAGAUACUUCAACAAGGUAACUAUCUUAUUAAGUCGGAUCCCAACAAAAUGGACCAAUAACUGGUUCUCGAAACUCACAAUUCUAUUUUUUCUAUAAAUAUAUGAUAAUUCUCGUAUUCGUGAUCAGAGUUAUAUUAGAUGCUUGGGGAGACAACAUAAGCAGUCAGAUAUGUUCGCGACUCUGCUUUUUUACAUUUAGUAUUUGCAUCAAAUAAUGUUACAUUGGAUCGAUAUUUUAUACGUUAGAUACUAUUAACAAUUGCAUAUAACAUCAAGAGUUACUGGGCGUGUUACAAGGGGAAAACGCCUUUGAAUCCAUUCCUUUUUUCUUCUUCAUUUUUUUUUCUUUUUUUUUUCCCCUUUUUCUAGUAGCUUUAUAUCAGGCAAUUGCAUCCUUUUUUUUUCAAAACGAAAAAAAAGAAAUGUUCUUGUAAUUAAUUGGCCAUUACAAUACAGUUACACAUCUAUAAAUUAAUACAGUCGGGACUAGGGAAAUUCUAUUAAUUCAUCGAAUUAUUAAAUUAUCGAGUUGAUAAUUUAACACGUUUUCACCCAGUCGGGACCGAGAGAAACUAUUAUUUAAUCAGGAUUAUUAAUUUAUCGAGGUUCUAUUGUAUACUCAUUCGAAGAGAUUCAGACAUUCGACCGCAGUGGGAAAAGCCUCAAUACCACAAUUAGAUUAAGCAUUGAUAGUUAACAGACACAUGCGAAUACAUAUUCACCGUCGUAGACACUACAUUUGGUCCCGGCGGGGAGGAAAUGUAAAAUAAAAGGAAACAUAUUGAAAAAUAUACACAAAGUUGUAUCAGUUACUACAAACAAAAGUUAAGCUCAAUGUUUUCAAAUUCCGAUGUAAUUAUUGAAAAGUUAGAAAACCAACUUUUAUAUUCGUGCAAAUAAUCAAUCUCUCCGAAUUACAAUAAUAUUGAAGAUAUAUACAAUUGCAAUUUGCAAGCUAACCUGACAAACAUAUUUGUUUGACUUUUGUUUUGUAGCUGAUACAUCUCGUGCUGAUUGCUAUAAACGCGGCUCUUUCACAUGUACAAACAUUAAUAAUAUGUGUGUGCAUGUAUUUUAAAAUGUCUGAAAGGGCAUAUUGGUAGGUGUUUAUGAUGAAGACCUUAUUGUUAUCAAAUGCCAAUUGCUGACUAAGUCGCUAAUUAGACAACUUAAUUCACACCACAUUUAAUCAUUCCAGCUUAAUUAUCAUUUUGACUUUGCUCUUCUUGUUUGUCUCCAAGAAAUCACCAAAUUUUCUUUCACCAUAAUCUGCUAAUCGAUUAUGUGAAAAUUGUUUAUCGAAAAAAGAUGGCUGCAGCUUAUGCAGCUUUAGUUUCUCUCACUCAUACUCUUGAUCAGAUCCUCCUCCACCCACCUCCUACCCUUGAUAUCAUUUUUGAUAAAGAUCAGAUUCAAUCUCUACGAGAUAAGGCCGAGUACAUUUUGGUAGAUUUUUUCGAAGAUUAUACAAGUAGUGGAGGCAACAAAGAGAUGGAAGGCUUGGAGACGAUGAUCGGUGAUGCAGCAUAUGCAGCAGAAUAUAUCAUUGAGUUCAAUGUGAUGAACCAAAUUCUUGGAAGAUCUGCAGCCGAUAGAGAAGAAAGCUCCAAUCUCUUGUUUGAAGGUGUAGACAUUUCAAUACAAGAGUUCCUUUUCAUUGAGAAAGAGUUGGUGAGAUUCAAGAAAGAUAUGCAACGACCUAAUAACUACUACUUAACGACAACAAAAGCUAGUUCUUCUUCUUCAUCAAGGCCUCUUCUUCUGGCCGGUGGCAAAAACAACAUGGUGGGAUUCGACAACCACAUGGAUGAAAUUAUGGGCGCUCUCUCCACCAACGAAUCUAAUCUUCGGAUCAUCUCUAUUGUUGGAAUGGGAGGCAUAGGUAAGACUACCCUUGCCACUAAUGUUUUCAACAAUCCCUUUAUUGUGGAGCACUUUCAGCUACGUGCUUGGUUUACGGUAUCCCAGGAAUAUACUGAUAAGAAGAUUCUCCUAGGCCUUUUGCAUCAGAUCAACAAUACAUAUCGAAAUGCACAUGAGAUCGUUGAUGAUGAUGAUGCAAUAGGAGACAGACUGCACAAAACUCUAUUUGGGAGGAAGUAUUUGAUAGUAAUGGAUGACAUGUGGGAUAUCAAAGCAUGUGAUAUGGUAAAAAGGUUCCUUCCUGAUAAUAAUAAUGGAAGUCGAAUCUUGGUAACUACUAGGCUGAUGAAGUUGGCUGUAGAUAUUGGAUCUUGUAGCCCUUAUCAACUGAAUCUUCUAGAAAAAUCACAGAGUUGGGAUUUACUCCGUGAAAAGAUAUUUGCAGAAGAACGUUGCCCCGAUGAAUUGGAGGGAAUUGGAAAAAGUAUUGCGACAAAAUGCAGAGGACUUCCAUUAGCCCUUGUUGUGAUUGCUGGGGUUCUUGCAAAGUCCAAGACGGAAGAACAUUGGGUGUCAAUUGAAAAAGAUGUAACUUCAGCAGUAAACAAUCAAGAUGAUGAGUCCUGCAUGAAGAUACUAUUGUUGAGCUAUAAUAACUUGCCUAUACAUCUAAAGCCUUGUUUCCUUUACUUUGCCGUGUUUCCUGAAGAUCAUAUCAUCAAAGUGGAAAGGCUGGUCAGGUUGUGGGUUGCUGAAGGAUUUAUUAGGCAGUAUGGGCAUAAAAGCUUAGAAGACAUUGGAAAGGAGUACUUGAAGGAUCUUAUUGAUCGAAAUCUCAUUUCCGUCAAUUGGAGGUCAGUUACGGGAGAAGUGACCGGCUGCAACAUUCAUGAUGUUUUAAGUAACCUAUGCAAGAGAGAAGCUCAGAAAGACAAUUUUAUUCUCUCGUUCGCAAGAAAGCUUUAUAACCCCGAUAUUUUAACUUUCAUGAAGUUCACACCACGUCUCAGCAUUAAUGAUGGAAAAUGGAAAGGGACGAAACAUAAGCCAUAUACAUCACAGAUACCUACACGGUCUUUGUUUUGCUUCUCUAAAGGGGCUUCAACUGAUUACACGGCUCGUCGGUUUCCAUUACUACGAGUAUUGGAUGUAGUUGAUAUAUAUCCCAAAGGUGAGAUUCUACAGCUGAUUAACUCAAGGUAUGUUUCUCGCAUGGGUCCGAUGAUGUUGCCGUCUUCAAUAUCCCGACUUUGGAGCCUACAAACAUUAUUUGUUGAUGGAGAGUUGAUACUGCCAGGUGAGAUAUGGCAGAUGCCCCAACUUCGACAUGUUGUGGCCAACUCUAUUAUCUUGCCCGAUCCUCCGCCUCCAGAUAAUGUCCAGAAAAUCAUACUUCUUGAAAAUUUACAAACACUUUCAGGAGUCGUAGAUUUUGAAUGCACUGAAGCGGUCAUUAAUAGAAUCCCUAAUGUGAAGAAGUUGGAAAUUGUUUGUGGGACAAUUGGGUCUAAUUGUUUAAGGAAUCUUGGACUUCUCCAUAAACUUGAAUACCUUAAUCUGAAAUUAAAUACUGGUACUAGUUGCUGUGGAGAAAUUGUCUUCCCAAGUUCACUUAAAGUGUUGGUGUUAAGUGAAUGCAAGAUUCCUUGGGAAGAUAUGUCUGUUGUUGGUUCACUACCCAACCUUGAAGCUCUCACGUUGUGGACAAAUGCUGUUGUAGGCCAAAAGUGGAUUUCAAAAGAAGGGGAAUUCACUAGACAAUACACAUUUCCCAUGUCUAGAGGAGCUACAUCUUGGAUGCUUAAACCUCAAGGAGAUCCCUUCGGAUUUUGCCGAAAUAAUACCACUUCAAGUAAUUGACUUACAUCACUAUAGCAGCAAUGACCUUUUGGCAUCUGCAAAUGAAAUAUCAAAGCAACGAGAGAACCUAGGUUACGAUGCUCUUUAUGUUACAAAUAUUAUAUUUGGAGUGCUCAAAAUUUGGGUGAAGAGAGGUAUUAAUCUUGUUGUUGGUGGUGGAGAUCCUUAUGUUGUUAUCACGAUGGGCGAUCAGGUUUCGUGUUCCUACUUUUGAUGUUUUUUUUUGUUCAUUAAUGUUAUUUUCACCCUCUUCAUAAUAUUCUUUUAGAUAAAAAGGAUAACAAAUUUGCAUUAAAUAUUUUGUCGUCCGAAUUUUCAAAAACAAAUUUGCAAUUUAGUAUAAAUCUUUAUGAUGCAGAGUGUGGAGACUCGUAUUGUGACAAAUGAUGUUCAUCCUAUAUGGGAUGAGGUACUCACAAUUUACGUUUUAGAUCCUAGCCGUCCAGUUUCUCUGGUGAGAUUCUCUAAUUUAAGAUAAAAAUAAAUUUGGCAACUAGUUUUGCAAUAUUUAUUUCUCACCAUUUUUCUUCGUAGAUCCAAAAUCUGUAGUUUCAAAUAUGUGAUGUGUAUAUGCUGAUUCAUAGUUUGUGUAUAAUGGUUGUAGACAGUGCAUGAUCGCAACAAGUUGAGCAACAUGGAUAACAAGAUGGGUAAUGCAGUGAUUGAUAUUAAACCAUUAGUAGAAGCCAGUUGGGUGCAUCAAAAUGACCUUCCAAACGGUACAACAAUCACAAGAAUAUUGCCUUCAAGCUCCAAUUGCCUGUCUAAAGAAAGUUUCAUUGUCUUGAAAAAUGGGAGAGUAAUGCAGGACAUGUGCCUGAAAUUGGAAAAUGCCGAAUGUGGCCAAGUCGAACUUCAGCUCUGGUGGAUUGCUUAAAUAGAAUCUGGUGAAAUCAAACUUCACUCGAGUGGUUGAAGUUCCUACUACCACUAAUUUACGGGUGUGAUUGGAUCAAAUUAAACAUUGAGUAAAAUAGUGAAAUUGCAAUGUAAACUAAUUUAUACGUUUAACGAAAUCAUAAAUUUAAAUGGAAAUUUUGUUUUAUUGUAAUUUCGGACAUGUAUAGUAAAUUUUUUUAAUUCAUAGGAGGUAUAGAAGAAGAAGAAAUAAAUGUAACAUCAAUUUGAUUAAUAAAAUUGAAAUGGCUAGUCCAAAUAAUUGGAGAAGAAUGUAGUAGAAGGUGACUCGUUGGAGGUUAUAUUGCCGCAGUUAGUGAAUCUUCAAGUUCCAAAGCUCCAUACAUAUGAAUAUCAUAGAGGAUAUAUAUCGAGCGGGCGAGUGAGUGGUUUGAGCAUUUUUGGACGCAACACGUUUCAGGGGAGGCCAAAUAAGUAGCUCAUGAAGUAACAACUUUGUCGAAGACGGAUUAUUUCUCUAUUUAAGUGAUCUAUGUAGGAGAGAAGCUCAGAAACAUAAUUUUAUAAUCCCUUCAAAACUGGUAACCACAAUGCUUAACCAGAUCCGCCUCAGAAUUAAUGGUGGCCAAUGGAAAGAUAUGACACUAACGGCAUCUAUUCGGUCUUUCUUAACCUUCUUUUCUGUGAAUUUGUCUACUUAUACUGCUCGUGGGUCUCCGUUACUACGGGUAUUGGAUGUGGUUGAUAGAUAUGUCUCUUGCACGGGUUUGAUCUUUAUGUCGUCGUUUAUAUUAUCCCGACUUUGGAGCCUACAAACCUUAGUUGUUGGUGGAGAGUUGACUCUCCCUAUUGAGAUAUGGCAGAUCCUCCUUCACGUGGCGAAACAAUCACAAUGCUUGAAAAUCUAAAAACACAUUCAAUAGUCAAAGAUUUCAAAUGUACUAAAGAGGUAACUAAACGAAUCCCGAAUCUGAAGAAGUUGGGAAUUGUUUAUCCGACAAUUGGAUCACUUAGUCUAGCAUUUUUUGGUACGCUUGGUCUUUCCAAGUUCACUUAAAAAAUUGGUCUUAAGUGAAUGCAAGAUUCCAUGGGAAGAUAUGUCCAUUGUUGGUUCCUUACCGAAUCUUGAAGUUCUCAAACUGCGGUCGAAUGCUUCUGUAGGGCAAAAGUGGAUUUCAAAUGAAGGGGAAUUCGCUCGACUCAAGUACUUGUUGAUUCAUGAGUGUGAGUUGGAGAUUUGGGAAUCAGACAAUACACAUUUCCCAUGUCUUGAGCAAAUACAUCUCGGAAUCGUGAGCCUGAUUGAGUUCCCUUCAUAUUUUGCUGAAAUAUUAUCGCUUCAAGUGAUCGACUUACACCGCUGCGAAAAUUCCCUUUUGACAUUGGCAAAGGAAGUAUCAGAGCAACGAGAGAACGUAGGAUACGAUGCUCUUCAAAUUCGAGCUUUAAUGCCUGGACUGCUCAGAAUUUCUGUGCAGAGAGGUAUCAAUCUUGCUGCUCGCAAUCACCCCAAUAGAAGUCCUUAUGCUGCUGUCAGAAUAGCCAUUCGGUGCUCUUUUUCGUAUGGAUUUUCGAUCUUUUAUGCUUUCCUUUUUUACAAAAACGAAUUGCAAUUUAAUAUAUAUAAAUGAUUGCUGCUGUCAGAAUAUCCAAACAAAUUUAAUCCCGAAUGGCAUGAGAAUUUGACAGUUGCUGUUUUAGAUCCUAGUCAACAAGUUUCUGUGGUGAGCCGCCUCUUUCGUUAGCGAUAAAAUUAAAACAAAUUAUUAGGUUGUGCUAUUGAUCCUUCUGGUUCUAGACUAGAUACAAGUUUAAAAAAAAAAAUCAGUUUGAUAUAUCAAGAACAAAUUUGAGCUUUCUAAAAUCAGAUUUUUUGUUUUUCAAUUGUUUUGAGUUUGAAUACUAACUAAUGCAGUUUUACUGAUCUCAAGAUUUGAAUCUUCUGCCUUUUUCUUAAUGAAAAUUCGGUUCGGUGUUUGGUAAUUUUUUUUUUUGAAUUCCGAGAUUCGGUACGGUAUACGGUAUUGGUGUCCGGUAUACCGUACCGUACCAAAUACCGAAAUAUUUAAUAUAUAUUUAUUUUUUUCUUUUAUUUUAAAUACUUUAAGGUUAUAAAAAUAUUCUAAAAUACUUAUAGAUUGAAAAUGUUUUUCAUUAUUUACAAAUUAGCCUCUAUUCAUAAUCACUUUAUGUUUUUAGGGCAGGCUAUUGAAAUUUGAAUGUCAAAUUCAAGAAUUAUUUAGUUUAAAUUGUUAUUGUACCUUUUCUAAAAUAAGAAAAUAUAUUUCGGUUUUACCGGUACCGAACCGUACCGAACCGAAUAAUUCGGUAAAAAACCAUACGUAACCGAAAUAUAUUUUCUUAUUAGAAACCGCAAUACCUAUAUGUUGAUUCUAUGUGUACGUAUGGUUGUAGACAGUGUACGACAAAAACGUGUUCAUUGCGGAUGAGAAGAUGGGAGACGCAGAGUUUGAUAUUAGACCAUUUGUACAAGCGUCGAAGAUGCAUCCAAAUGCCCUACCAAACGGUACAAUAACCACUAGAAUAUUGCCUUCAAGCUUCAAUUGCCUGUCUGAAAAGAGUUUCAUUUUCUGGAAGGAUGACAAUCUAAUGCAGGAUAUGUGCCUCGGAUUGAGAAAUAUCGAAUCCGGCCAAGUCAAACUUCAGCUGCGGUGGAUUGAUAUUCCUGGCUACGAAGAUUUAUAGACCACAUCUUGUUGUCGCUUCUCGUUUCUUCGUAUCGUGGAUUUUUUUUUAAUUGUUUUAUUUUUUCUUUCUUUUGUUUGGUUUUUCGUAUUUAAAGUUCUCUGGGAAUGAAAACUUCACGUUUAAAUCCGACAAAAUAUUGACUUCUGCAAUCCAUUUUGGACUUCCGAAAAAAAUAGGAAUUUUUACGAAAGGGCUAAUUCCAAUAAGUUUACACCCCUAAAUUAUAUACAUAUAAAUUGUACUCACCUCACCGAACUAUUGCCAUUUCACAACUACAUCCCUGAAAUAUGGAUUUUGUCAACCACUCCCUCAAUUAUUUAAAAUUUUGGCAUCUAUGUAUGUAUAUUAAUCCGCAGAAGAAUAUCUGAUAUGAAGUUGGAGUUGGCUAGAACCGACAUUUUUCAAUCCGAGGCACAUGUCCUGCAUAUAAACUGGAAGAUUAGGAUCAUCAAAGUGGAAUGUAAUCUCUUCAUUCCAUUCAGGAUUAACAUCGUUUUUUUUACUGCAGAAGUCUUUCUCACCUAGUGCACGUGCGUUGCACGUGUCGUAAUAAAUAUAUAUUGUGUUAACAUCCUAUUAUUUGGCAGUCUUAAGAAUGGUGUGAGCCAGAAGUAAUUUUGACCAAUAUUACUUAACACACAGAACAAAUAGUUUUAUACAGAAUAUUGUGAAUAUGUGAAUACUAUGCUCGUAAAUAGGCGUUAGAUUCUAUUAAAAAUUCAUUGCCCCACAUGCAUGCAUCAUGAAAAUGUAAGUAAUGUGCAACUAAUACAUUGGGUAUCCCUCCACAACUUAAAAAAAAAAAAUCACUCCACAUUGUUACAAAUUUGCCCUGAACUGUAUAAUGGUGUGGUUGUUAGUAUCCGGCUUGAUUAGAACUUUGGUUGUCGAUCAUGAAGUUCCUCUUGAUAGUGUUACAUAUAGUUGGCCAUGAGAGAACACCGGUUGAGGCAGAUAGACUCCUAUAUUAAGAAUUGUUGGGUAUGUGCUUUAUUGAUUGUCAUAGCGAAGCAAAGUCUAAUAGGAAAUAGCUUACGCUUGAAUUUGAAAGGAUAGCCCUCAUUUUCAACUGGGGAAAGUGGUAUUCUACGAAUGAAAACAUAUUUGCCGACGUGUUCGCCAAAUACUAUUUCCGCAUCAAUAACAUUGGACUUGAAAUUCCUACACACCAUUCUUGUACCAUUUCACAAUCCAUUUGAUGCGUCCAAAUUCCUUAGGAGGAUUAUUGGACAGUUUCUCUUCAAGACUAACUUAUGCAGGGGCAAGCCAUUUGAAGUCAAAGAAUUGAGAAAAUCCUCUUCAUAUUUAUUAUUUAUAACAUCGAUGGCUUCAUCAAAACUCUGAAAUGUUCUUGCUUCUCCAGGAAACAUAGAAAUUAACUUUUCAUUCAAUUUAUCAACUUCCUCAUUUUUAGAUGCUAGUAUUGCUCGAGUUGUCUUGUAAGUAGAGGAUUCAACAUUACUACUCAAGCUCGGGAAAGUUGAAUCAAUAAGCCGUGCCAUGGAAUCCUCUUCAUUGUCAUACUUGACAAUCAUCUCUUCAAGAAUUCUAAUGUUGCCUUCAAUAUCAGAGGUUUCCUCUCCAUUUCCAACUCGAAGUAAGAAAUAACCGAAUUCAUGAUCUUUUUGUGCACUCAUACUCUUCGACAAAGAAAAUUUUAUCAUGUUAUGCCAUAGCGCUGAUUUCACCAAGAUGGCAUAAAUAGUUUGAUGAAUUGUACCCCUUGAAACCACGGGUAGUACUUGCCUAAAAUCACCACGAAAGACCACUACUUUACCCCCAAAAUGCUCAUCGUUUCCCAUUAUGUCCUUAAAUAACUUAUCCACAUUCUCAAUAGCCCAUCUUUUUGCCAUUGGAGCUUCAUCCCAUAUAAUUAAUUUUGUUGUAUACAAUAGAUUAGCCACACCACUUUGCUUCGAUAUAUUGCAGUCACUGGACUCAUUUGCAACGAUUGGUAUUUUAAAGUGUGAAUGAGCUGUAUUUCCGCCAGGCAUUAUUGCAGCGCCAACUCCAGAUGUCGUUGUUGCAAUUAUAACUUUUUUUCUAGAUCUUAAAUGAGCUAGUGAAGUUAACAUCUCCUUCCAUAAUUUUACUACCUUAUUAAAAUGAUGUACAUAAUCCAUUAUGAAAGAAAAGAUUCUAGCUAAACAAAUUGAUUCGAUCUUCCUAUAUUCGAAUAUUUAAAACAACUGUUAAGUUUACAUCACCUGUAAUAGUUAUGCAUAUUAAAAAUUAAAAAAGCUAUGACGACAAAGAUGUUUAUAGGAACCAGGGAAAAAUGAAGAUAUGUUUCUGAGUAAUUAGAAUUUUUCAUGGUCUUUCAAUGGCCUAUAAUCGAAGGAAAUUAUGAGGGAUAGUUUUUCGAACACACUUACACCGUAUAAUGGACGUAUAAUUUUUCGUCAAAUUGGGAAACUCUAUCAGCUGUAGUGACUCGGGUAAGAACGAUUUAUUUUCGUCGUUGUCAAGAAGAAUUUGGCCUACGUGGAAAAUCUACACCAUUUUCCCAACUAAUACGCACAAAUUGUAUUUUUAGACCCCCAACGUUCAAAAAUCAUGUAACAGACUCUUUUACUGUUGAUUCUAUAUAUUUUCUAUGAUUUUAUAUAAAAAAUUAUUCUUCUGUAAAACUCUGAACAAAACACAAUCUGAAUAUAUUUUGUAUACAUGAAUCGUUAUAAUGGAGAGUUAAUGCAUAAUUACUUCUUUUUAUGACUUAUUAUGACUUAAGUUACAAAUACAAACUUGAAUAAGCCGUCCAAUCUAAAUUCAAACCUAUAAUAAUGAAAUGACAAACUUUCGUAUUCUUUUAUUUGGGGAUGGUAAUGCAUUACAGAUGAACAUAAUAUGUUAUAAAAUAGUAUAUCUAUUCAAAAUGUUACAAUUUUUGGAGAGUAUUAUUUAAGUUGGGGGAUUUGGUAAGAAUUUUAUAUCUUAUAUUUUCCACGAGUAAAGUGCAAAACAAAGUUAUUUCGGCAAUCUUCGAACAAUUGGACAUCUCUCUGUAAAACAUGAUACGCGUAAAACCUACGCAUAAAUUACCGCAAGUGUACAAUAUCGCGUUUUGUAGAAUAGUGAAUUCCAGAUAUCGAUCAACAGGGAAUUAAGUUCCUAAACUUACCAAGUACCAUAAUUAUACUAUCCUAAACUUUAUCUAGACAUACGAAAGAAUGGGGGAUGAAAUGAAGCUAAAACGAAACAAAAAUAAAAACAACGGCCCGCCAGGACAAGCAAGGAAUUUCGACGUGUGAUGGCUUCUAGGGUAAAAUCCACCGGUGUACUAUCGAUAAAGAUCUAUAAAUCCGAAUCUAUUGUCAAUUCUAUGUUCGCUAACCCAGACACUAAAGUACCCUAACCCCCGUCUCCUCCAAUGUAGUUAGAGUCUACCCAUAGGUCCGACGUCUCCGUUCAGAACCUGAUAUUAAGAGAGCAUUUAGGUCAAGUCCUUAAGGGCUACCCGAGGUGCAUCACGUCUCCGUUUUCACAACCCGAGCUAUGUUUUCCUAAAAUCAAACGAAAAAUCCUCUCUCGAGUUCAUUCCCAUUUAGAAUCAAUUCAACUGUUGGCCUAACAAUCGAAAGCAUUUAAUACAGGAAAACAUAAACAUAAUCCAAAAACGACAAAUAGAUCACAGAUCUGGGAAUCAAAAUCUAUAUAUACAAGGUUUCAUUUCCCUAAAAGAAAAUGCUCAGUUCAUUACAAACAUAGCAUCAAAAUGAAGAACACGAGAAAUCAUAAACUAAAUGUAAAGAAAAGCGUAUGAAAAACCCGAGUCGAAACCCUCGUCGAAGCUUCCCGCGAAGAACUGGCAAAAACCGAAGAAAAAUCGAAGAACAGGUCGAGAUAUAUGUCUUGAUAUCGAAAAAUGAAAAAGAGACCUUCUAUUUAUAGUAAGAUAUCAAACAAAAAUAUCUUGUCUCGAUUUCUGUGCCCAGAUCGCGAUCUGGGCUUCUUGGAUCGCGAUCUGCCAGCCUCGAAAACUGCGCACCGCCUUCCCACAUCGCGAUCUAGGAGGUGCGGAUCGCAAUCUGCCCCAAUUUUUCGCUGCUACUGGAAUUUGCCACCAGAUCGCGAUCCGGUGUUUCUGGAUCGCGAUCUGGCCUCUACAUUAACUUCAAACAUUUUUUUCACGCUUUUUAAGCCCGAAUUGACAAAUAUGCAUUCCACAAAAGUUGUAGCCCUUGAAGUUUUCUUUCUAGAUCCACUUGAAUCAGCUCAAUCGGAGGUUGUAUGCGAGAGUUAUGCUUGGAAUACCAAACACUGCCACAAUCCGCGAGAAUGCACUUUUGGUUUGGUUCUUGGCUUCGCUUCCAAAAUCGCUUCGAAUCGGCAAAAAUAGCUUCUCUUUACCUAAAAUACAAAUAAAACAAGAAACGCAUAAUAUAUACAAAUAAAGCCGAAAACUCGGAUGAACGAAGACCAAAACUCGAAGAAUUGAUAAGUGAAAAUCAUGCAAAAUGAACACUUAUCAAAACACGCAUAACUCUAUCGUCCCACCUCCAAAUUCGAAGUGUAAAUAUGCCUUGGAAAAAGAGAAGAACGCUCUACAACUUUCAUGUUUGGAGUUUUAGAAAAUUUUGUCUGUAUUGGGAGAUACUUAACUCGACUUGCAUACUUUGAUAAUUUCUCCAAGGCCCACUUAAGUAAAGUAAUUUGGGAGAGUGCUUGAAAAAAAAAAUGUCUUUAACAAAAAGGGUUAAAUAGACUUUAGACCCAUAAUGUAUACCAUACAUAUCACUUACCCCUUCAAGUAUCAUUUGUAAUACUUACCCCUCAAACACUAUUAUUUUGCAUUUUAAAUAUUAAUACAUACAAAAUUUCUCUUUUAUUGGAUGGAAUAACCCAAAAGAACAAUUAAACUAUAUUAUAAAAAUAUCUAUUAACAAAAAUUUCAUAUUUUAAUAUUUAAAAUAAAAAUAGGGUAAAUUACACUUGCAACCCCGAGGUCUGCUAAAAUAAUUUUAAGGUCUUUGUGGUAUUUGUAACUACAAUGACACCCCCCCCUGUUGGUACAAGUAAUAAAGUGGACAAUUAAGUCCGGAUAUCGAACCCACAGUGAAUAUUUAAUUAUCUAAUCCUAGACGCUAAAUUCUACCAAUUGUUAUCAAGCCCACCCUACACAGUCGAAAGAUGAUUAAUAAGCUAAAUUAAACUAAAGCAAUUAAAAAGACAAAAACAAGAAAGCAAUUAAAACGAAGAUUUAAUCAAUGAAAACAAGCCUAGGAUUUUAUUCUCCCCCCUAUGAGAUUAUUAUUCCCCCAAUUCCUUCAAUUAUGCAAGCAAUUAACCCAGAUUAUUAACCUGAGAUGCUAAAAUAAUCAUAACCCGCUUCCGCGUGUAUUACGAUUCUAAUACCCUAGAUUCAAUUACUAUAUUCCUAUGCAAUCAAUUCUAGAACACAUCAUUAAGCACAAAUCUCAAUAAUGGCUACCUAAGAGAUUAACUAUAUUCCUAUGUUAAUACCACAAAGGCUCUUCUACCACAGUUCUAAUUAUUAACCCGAUCUUCCGAUUCAUGCGAUUAACAAUAACAUAAAAGCGCAUAAAGUGGCCAGUUUCAUGAACUUAAUAAAACAAGUAGAAGAAAUAAUCCGGAAUUAAAACUUGCAUAAAAUCAUAGAAAAGGGUUCAUAAAUCCCACAUAGGGUACCAAAUAAAAUCCUAGAAAUAAGAAAAUUAGCUACUCAUGAUUAAAAGAAAAACACAAAUAAAAUAAGUCAUAAACGAUAAAUCUAUGCUUAGAGUCUUCGAAUUCUUCGUCUUCGUUAUUGCUUUGUUGCUCUUGAAAUUGCGUCAAAAGAUUCCAAUUGAGUGCUUGGCUUGGUCUAAUAUAGGGUGAAGAACUUGGGGAAAAAGGCAGUUUCCUUGUGCAAUUAAAAUCCCUUUACUGCGCAGCUUCGGAGUCUCGGACGGGGGUCCCACAAUUUGAACUAAAACUCGGACGGGGUCCGAGCUUUAAAUAUUCAGAAUUUUGAUUUUUUUCACUUUUGGCCCAUAUUUUCUCCAAAAUUUCAGUUUUGACCCCAUACUUUUCCAAUUCUUCAAUUUGUACCUAAAAUACAAUAAAUCAACUUUUUACGCACCAAUUAUCGUUAAAACACACCAAAAGCUCAAAUAAAAAGGUACGAUAAAGUGUAAAAAUAUACACUUAACACACCCCCAAACUUGAACUUUUCCUUGUCCUCAAGCAAAAUCUACCAAUAAGCAAAUAACUCAACUAUAACAUCUCAUCACAUAGAUCAAUGAUCAACUUCACGUUUUCAGAACUUGUAAUUAUAAUGACAAUUCUUAGGCAUUCGCAAGCUCAAAAUUCAACAACACUUAGUCACUCACCAUUACUAAAAACCACAAUUCAUACAAAUGCUUCAAGCAUCCAAUAUUUGCAAAUUAAAGAUAGAAAUAAUUUAUACUUACAUGCAUAUGCUUGACUCCAAAUACUCACCAAAUUAUUCUAGUCUACUAAUAUCGAACAUUAAGCUAUUGGGAUCAUUGGGGCUUUGUGGCUUUCAAUUGUUAGGCUCUUUGGUUCGAGGUAGGAAAUAUUAUGGGUAUAUGUGGCUAUUUUUCUUUAAUUCAGGUGAUUACGCCAAAAAUUGAAAGAUAGGCGUUUGAAACAAUGAAUUCACCUCUACGGACUUUAAUAAACUCGAUUCUCAAAAGUUCAAAAGUCUCCACUUUUGCUUUUGAGACAAUGGAUCGAGUUUUCAAAAAUAAUUCAACAACUAGUCCUUAUUUCUCCCUUCUAGUCUCUUCUUCUUCUCUUUUUCUUUUUUAUUUUUUUUAUUUUUAUUUUUUUAUUUUUAUUUUUUAUUUUUUUUUUUUGUUUUUUUUGUUUUUUUUUAAUAUAUAUAUAGAAGCAUAUAUAUUUGUCUUCUUUUUUUUUUCUUUUUUUUUUUCUCCUUUUUUUUUCGAAGAAGAAGAAGGACCUUAUAAAAUUUCUCGACCGAACUCCAAGGGGUAAUUUUCAAGAAUCUCCACCUAUUCUACCUUACUCAUUGGCUAAAAGAAAGAACACCUUUUCUCCGAGGCUCAAAUCAAGGUUCUAAGGAUAAUUUCGAUAAAAAUGUCGGCUUGAAAGGCUCAAACGGUUCAAAUAAGUCCCAAAUCAUAUCCCAAAUCACUCACUACUCAAUACUUCGUAUCAUAAAUUUCCUAAGUUGAGUUUUAAAACCGAACAUAGCAUGAUCUAGCACAAAUUAAUUCCAAAUUUAAAAUACAAAACAUUCAACCAAAGCAAUGCACAAAAUGUGAUUCCUAGCAAUAAUUCGCUUCUAAGUUCCGUUGAAUCGAAAGCUAAACAAACAUCAAAUCCUUGUCACACAAAACAAGCAAUUUCAUCAUCAAACAUUGAUCAUCUCUCAUCAUCAUAACUCAUCGAUGCAUUCGACUCAAACAAAUUUUUUUUAUUUUUUUUAUUUUUUAUUUUCCGGAAAAACGAGAAAAACAAUAAAAACGAAUAAAACCUAAUGCAUGCAAACUAAAACAAAUAAGCACAAAAAUAACGGUUUUUUCACCCCCAAACUUAAAAUUUUCGUUGCCCUCAACGAAUUUAGCCCAAAGUUUAAGGAUAGAAAACACCUGAUUCAGUCGGAGUCGAUGUGAUCGGGGUGCUCCUCCCUAGCUCUCUCAAAUAAGUAUAUUUUGGAGAAUUUGAUUCGAUUCUCUAACGUCCCUGUCAACACCAACAAAAGAAAAAAAAAUUGUGAAUUUUGGAAGAAAAAUUCGAAACAAAUUCAAAAAUUUGUGUGUGGGAGUUUGAGAGAAGAAAAGAGGAGGGUUUAGGAAAUAAUGAGGGAGAAAAUAUAAUUUUAUAAAUUUAAAACACCCUAUUUUUAACUCGGACGGCCGUCCCGGUUUUUGUGCUCUUUUUCGGACGGCUGUCCGGUUUUUUUUUUUUUUUUUUUUUUUUUUUUUGCCCUCACUGGUUGUGGGACGGCCGUCCCACUUUUUAGGCUAUUUUUCGGACGGCCGUCCCACAGGCAGAGCUGCAAAUUGCGGCCUUCUCUUUCCCAGACGGCCGUCUGGGAUUUUGCUUGCAAUUUCGGACGGCCGUCUGGACCCCCUGACCAUGUUUUCGACCCUGAAAAUUAAAAUUCAAAUAAAUUAAUUAGAAUGCAUGCCUAUGACAAUAAAAACGAAACGAAAAAUUAAAGAAAACUACGAAAAACAAUUAAAGCUCGGGUUGCCUCCCGAGAAGCGCUAAGUUUAAAGUCUUCAGCCGGACGUUGCUUCUUUAAUUUCAAGCAAAAGUGACCGAAGUCACUUGGAAAUCUUCACUCGCUUCCCAAUACGGUUUGAGUUGGCUCCGCUUCACGUUGAACGUACGGUUUGAAUCUCGCUCUUUUAUUUUGACCACUUCGUGAGGAAGAAUCUCUUGGACAAUACAUGGUACCGACCACUUUGAUUUGCGCUUCCUUGGGAAUAACCACAGCCGUGAUUUGCACAAUAACACCAAUUGUCCUUUGUGCAAUUUCCUUUUGACUUUCUCCUUACGACCACAAUAGCUUGACUCAUCCUUCUCUCGUGACUUGCUCGAGCCUUUGGGUGGCAACAUCUUCCUUGCACUCUCAUCGCCGUUAAGACUCAAACUCGUAUGAAUUUCUCUCGGAGAAGUUGAAAUUGAGUCCAUGACGUAAACUUGCUCCGUCCGAUUCCCGUUUCUGCCAUCAUCUCCUGCACUCAAAGAUACUUUCCCAUUGUCCAAGUUCAAAACAUCAAAUUUUUCAUGAGUUGUAAAAUCCAUAAGAUCAAUAGCAAAACAAUCAUUAUUAUCACAUGGAUUUUUAUUAGCACUAAAAACAUUGAAUUUGAUUGUUUGAUCAUGAACAGUCAUUGUAAGAUCACCACUAGCACAAUCAAUUAGCGUUUUUGACGUGGCUAAAAAAGGUCUCCCUACGAUAAGAGGUAUCUCCCUAUCCUCAUCUAUAUCAAGUAUAACGAAAUCGACAGGGAAGAUAAAUUUAUUGACUUUCACUAGCACAUUCUCUAAAAUACCUUUUGGGUAAACUAAAGAUCUAUCGGCUAAUUGAAGAGUUAUAGCUGUCGGUUCAAUUUCUCCUAACCCAAGAUUUUUAAAAGUAGAGUACGGCAUAAGAUUAAUGCUAGCACCUAAAUCAAUGAGCGGUCUAAAUUUUUUACCUCCUAUAGUACAAGGAAUAGUAAACUUACCUGGAUCGCCGAGUUUUUGUGGAAGAGGCCGAGUAAGAAUUGCACUAAUUUGCUCCGUGAGUUGGAUCAUCUCGUUCCCUUGCAAUUUCUUACUUUUCUUCACGAGGUCCUUUAGGAAAUUCACCCACUUUGGCAUCUUUUGAAGUGCUUCAAUGAAAGGAAUAUUUAUUCGAAUUUCCUUCAACUUGUCCAAAAAUCUUUGAUAUUCGGCAUGGAGCUUCUUCUUUAUAAACUUUUGAGGAUAAGGAAUUGGAGGGACUUGUGAAGGAACCGUCGAUGGUGGCUCUCCAUGAGUUGAUUCUUUUUCCUCAUUCUUUUUCGGCUUCUCGAUUACCGUGUUUCUCUUCUCUUUUCGUGGAGCUUCCUCCAAUUUCUUGCCGUUCUUCAAGGUGACUGCUUGGCAUGUCUCGACCUCGAUCUUUUUCGUUAGCCAUCUUUGUGGAUAUGGGAUUGGCUCGAUCCAUUCGGCUACAGUGACUUGCGGCUUGACUUGAAUUUCUUCCUUUUUCUCGAUCUUGAAAUCGAUAGCUUGGCACGUCUCGAACUUUUGCUUUCGAGGAUCUUCCGUAUUUGAUGGCAAUGCUCCCGCCGGACGUUUCUCUUGGUUCACAACGAAUUGAGCGAAUUGAUUCUCCAAAUUCCGCAGCGAGGCUUGAGUAGCAGUCAUGAAUUGGGCCAAUAUCUCCUCCGUGUUUGAUUUUUGGGCCGGUGGAUUGUUGCCUUGAUAGCUUUGUUGAGGAGGGGCUUGAUUUUGGAAUUGACCUUGAGGUCUUUGAUAUCCUUGGCCUUGUUGAUUUCCUCCAUAUUGCCCUUGUGAUCUCCACCCUUGAUUUUGGAAUUGGCGAGGUGCAUUGUUGACGUAGUUGAGUGACUCCAGAUCUUGAUGGCAUUGGAGCGUGUAAUGAUUUCCACCGCAAAUUUCACAACAUGGAGAAUCAAUUGCUUGGACUUGUUGUGGUGGACUUGCUUUGAUGUGCUGCAGAAGGAGUUGAUUUUGUUGAGCAAUUUGGGUCACUUGGGCUUGAAGGGACGUAAUUGCAUCUAACUCUAACACUCCGGGAAUUUUCUUGGCUCCACUAAUCGUCCUCUCGCUUGACUUGGCAAACCGAUUUUGUGCAAUUUGAUCCAGCAUGAUAAAUGCAUCCGGUAUCGAUUGACUCAUAAAAUUACCUCCGGUUGAGGCAUCUAAAACGGUUCGUGCAUUCUCGUUGAUCCCUUGGUAGAAGAUGUGGAUUUGCCGCCAUUGUUCGACUCCAUGUGUUGGACAUUGCGUCAAAAGGGUCUUAAAUCUCUCCCAUGCCUCGUACAAUUGCUCGCCUUGCUCUUGGACGAAAUUAUGAAUUUCUCGUCGGAUUCUCUCGUCCUUCUCGGGUGAGCUAUAAACUUUCAUGAAAAAGUUGAGGAGUUGAGGCCACGACGAGAUAGAGUGGGGGGCUUGGGACAUCAACCACUGGCGAGCUCUUCCUUGUAGGGAGUGCUUGAAGUGAAUUAAUUGAAGCGCCUCUUGGGAAAUGCCGUUUUGACGGUGGGAGUUACAGGUAUCUAGAAAAUUGACAAUGUGAAGAUGGGGAUCUUCACCUGCCAAUCCACUAAAUAACCCGUUAUUUUGGAGCAUCGUCAAGAGGCCUUGCUUGAUCUCAAAAUUGUGCGCCUCAAUGGGUGGAUAUUGGAUGCUCGGGCGGAAUCCGUCUAGAGUUCGGAUUAUGUAAUCUUGAAGUGCUCGUGGACGAACUGCUGGCUGUGCUGGAAGUUGAGGGGGUGGGUCUUGGACUUGGUUUCCGUUGGCCUCGAGUAAAUUGCCCGCGGCCCUGCGUUCUUCGUCCUCCAUUAUAUUGUUUUCGCGUUGAAGUCUCCUAGCCGCUCGAAAAGUACGUUCGAUUUCGGGAUCAAACGGUUCUCUAGCAAGAUCGGGUCUUCUACGCAUACACAGUACCUAAAAAAAUAAAACAAAAAUUAAAUGGGUGAAUCGUGAAAAUUGUUCAAAUCUAGAGCUAGAAUAAAAUAAAUAAUUAAAAUAAUCCCCGGCAACGGCGCCAAAAACUUGUUGGUACAAGUAAUAAAGUGGACAAUUAAGUCCGGAUAUCGAACCCACAGGGAAUAUUUAAUUAUCUAAUCCUAGACGCUAAAUUCUACCAAUUGUUAUCAAGCCCACCCUACACAGUCGAAAGAUGAUUAAUAAGCUAAAUUAAACUAAAGCAAUUAAAAAGACAAAAACAAGAAAGCAAUUAAAACGAAGAUUUAAUCAAUGAAAACAAGCCUGGGAUUUUAUUCUUCCCCCUAUGAGAUUAUUAUUCCCCCAAUUCCUUCAAUUAUGCAAGCAAUUAACCCAGAUUAUUAACCUGAGAUGCUAAAAUAAUCAUAACCCGCUUCCGCGUGUAUUACGAUUCUAAUACCCUAGAUUCAAUUACUAUAUUCCUAUGCAAUUAAUUCUAGAACACAACAUUAAGCACAAAUCUCAAUAAUGGCUACCUAAGAGAUUAACUAUAUUCCUAUGUUAAUACCACAAAGGCUCUUCUACCACAGUUCUAAUUAUUAACCCGAUCUUCCGAUUCAUGCGAUUAACAAUAACAUAAAAGCGCAUAAAGUGGCCAGUUUCAUGAACUUAAUAAAACAAGUAGAAGAAAUAAUCCGGAAUUAAAACUUGCAUAAAAUCAUAGAAAGGGGUUCAUAAAUCCCACAUAGGGUUCCAAAUAAAAUCCUAGAAAUAAGAAAAUUAGCUACUCAUGAUUAAAGGAAAAACACAAAUAAAAUAAGUCAUAAACGAUAAAUCUAUGCUUGAAAAGAGAGAAACAAAGAUUAAUUUUCAUAAGAAAGAAUAAUAUUAAAAAAGCUUUUCUUUAUUGCUGUAUGUUUUUUUCACCGUAAACAAAUAGGCUUUAGAUAUGGUAUUUAAAUACAAUAGACAGGAAUCCUAGAUAACUAUGAAUCCUUGAUUUGCCUUAUCUAAGUGAGUUAUCAUCUUGGGUUGAAGUUGUUGCCGUAAGGUCUCCAAGUUCACCCAACUUCUCUCCUCUUAUUGUGGGUAAAUCACGAGAGUCUUCAUCCUUAUCUCUCCAAGAGUUUUGAUCUUCCUUAUCUCUCCAUCGACUCCCGUGAUUAUUAGAUACGUUGCUAAUAUCCUCCCGCAAAGUUUGCCGGGGCUGAAGGCAAAGUUUGUUGCGGAAAGAACGAAGAGCGAUUUUUGACAUUGGCUUUGUGAAUAGGUCAGCAACUUGAUUUUCAGAGGAAAUAUGUUGAGUGACAAGUAGCCCACGGGCAACGCGUUCGCGCACAAAAUGAUAAUCCAGCUCGAUAUGUUUGCUACGUGCAUGGAAUACAUGAUUCACUGUCAUAUAAAGAGCACUAAGGUUGUCGCAAUAGAGUACCGGAGGUGAUGACAAUGGAACUCGAAGGUCUUUCAGAAUAAAAGAUAUCCAUGUGAGUUCAGCCGCCGUGUUUGCCAUGGCACGAUAUUCGGCUUCUGUGCUGGAGCGAGAAAUUGUAUGUUGCUUCUUGGCACACCAUGAGAUAAGAUUUUUCCCAAGGAAUGUACAAUAACCGGUAGUUGAGCGCCGUGUAGUAGGACACCCUGCCCAAUCUGUAUCAGAGAAGGCAAAAAGAUCAAGUGUAGUGCGUGAAGAAAAGUGUAAUCCUAUUUGAAUGGUCCCUUUAAUAUAUGUAAAAUGCGUCGAACCAUUUUUAAAUGUGUGAACGUCGGAGCAUGCAUGAAUUGAGAGACAUAAUUAACACUGUAAGAAAGAUCAGGACGAGUUAGUGUAAGAUAUUGUAGAGCUCCAACAAGUCCUCGAUAAAAGCUUGGAUCUGUCAAAAGUAUAUCUUUAGAGGAUGUUUUCGUUUUAGCUUCAAGAGGUGUACUCAUUGGCUUGCAAUCCACCAUAUUGGAACGUUCAAGUAUAGUCAGUGCAUAGUGUGAUUGAGACAAAUGAAGUCCACUCGUUGUUGACGUAAUUUCCAUUCCAAGAAAAUGAUGAAUAGGCCCCAAGUCUUUCAUUGCAAACUCAUUGCUUAACACCUGGACAAAGUCGGAAACAAGUUUUAAAGUGGAUCCAGUGAGCAACAUAUCAUCUACAUAAAGUAAUAAAUAUAAUGAUCCGUAAACGGAGUGAAAAAUAAAUAGUGACGGAUCAGCUAAGCUACAAAAGAAACCAUAUUUAAUAAGAAACGAACUAAAUCGGUCAAACCAGGCACGCGGUGCUUGUUUUAGACCAUAGAGGGCCUUUUGAAGUUUACAAACAUGGGACGGAUAUUGAGGAUCUUUCAUCCCUGGUGGUUGUUGCAUGUAAAGAUCUUCGGAAAUCAAACCAUGCAAAAACGCAUUUUUAACAUCUAACUGACGAAUAGGCCACUUUUGAACAAGAGCUAUGGUAACUAUCAUGCGUAUUGUCCCUGGUUUAAUAACCGGAGAAAAUGUUUCAGUGUAAUCAACUCCAUCAAUUUGAUGAUACCCUUUUGCAAUCAAACGUGCCUUGAGACGAUCUAAAGAGCCAUCAGGUUUAAGUUUUGACUUGAACACCCAUUUUGAACCAAUGACAUGCAUGUUUGGUGUGCGGGGAACAAGAGACCAAGUCUCGUUCUUAUGUAGUGCAUCUAAUUCCUCAUACAUGGCUGCUCUCCAACCAGGAUUUGCCAAGGCAAUUUUGACAUUAUGGGGCUCACGAGGUAUACUGGAAGAUGUGAUGGUGGUUAAGGCGUACUUCGGGUUUGGUUUUAUCACUCCUAAUUUAGACCGAGUGACCAUUGAAUGACUCACUGGUGCAAGAUUGGUGUGAGACAAUUCGGGUGCUUCAAUUAUUUCGGGAAAAUUAUCAGACACAUGAGGCUCUGGCGAUGAAGUUGUUACAGACGGAGCAGAAAUAUUUGGGGACUCGAAUAACUCCCUAUUUUCAUCAGAGAUGUGUGGCUCGAUGGGAGUGGGAUCAGCUGUAGCAGUGGGCAGUAGAGGACUUACACAAGGAGGUAAUGAAGCGGCCGUAGAUAUACCUGGUGAAGAAGAAACAGUAGCAUGUGGCAACCAUGAGUCAAAAAUACUCAUUGUAUGCGGUUGUUCUGUUGCAAUACAAGACGUGUUAGUAGGUCUAUAUGGAAAAAUCAAUUCAUCAAAUACAACAUGACCGUGAUAUAAAUUUUUUUUUGCUUGAAGGAUGAAAACAUUUAUAUGCCUUAUACGUGUCGCUAUAUCCUACAAAAAUACAGAGAACCGUUUUUGGGUCAAAUUUAUUUUUUCUUGUAUCCCAAGUGUAUGGAAAACAUUUAGACCCAAAAACUCGAAGUGACGAAUAAACUGGAUGCGUUCCAUGAAGCAUGAAAUAAGGUGUUUGAAAGUUAAGAGCAGAUGAUGGUAGACGAUUCAUAAGAUAUACGGCCGUAGUAAAAGCUUCUGUCCAUAAAAAUAAAGGUGCACCACAGUGAAAUAACAUGGUCAUUCCUAAUUCUCGUAUAGUCCUAUGACGUCUUUCAACCACACCAGUUUGUUCGGGAGUAUAAGGAGAAGAUACCUGAUGAACAAUACCUGAAGAGCGAAAGUGAGUCGAUUAUUUGGAAUUGAUGAAUUCACCACCUCCGUCGGAAUGAAAGAUUUUGAUUUUUUUAUUAAACUGCCUAAAGACAUACUUUUCAAAAGCAAUAUAUGCAACAAAAAAAUCAGAUUUAUUUCGUAAGGGGAUAAUCCACGUAUAUUUGGAAAAAUCAUCAACUAAACAAGCAUAAUAUCGAAACUUUCCAAUCGAUAAAACAGGGGCAGGUCCCCAUAAGUCACAAUGAAUUUUUUCAAAAAUACUAAUGCUUGAAUGUUUUGAACAAGAAAAAGGUAAACGACUAAGCUUUCCUAGUUGACAACUAUCACACAAAUUUUGUGAUUUUGUUGUCCCUACGACAUCAAUAAGUCCUUUAUUUUUAAGCAUACUUAAAACUGAAUAUUGGGGAUGGCCUAGGCGUUGGUGCCAAACUUCUGCAGUACUGGAUCUAAAACGAUGAGAGAAAUACAGUUCCGGAAAAGUGGGCAAGACAUAAAGAUCACCCUUGCGUUUCCCAGUGAUCAUUGGUCGACCUGUUGCCCGAUCCUUAACACAAAAAUCAACAUUAAAAAACUCACAAUUAACUGGAAAUUGAGUUGUUAUUUGGCUGACUGACAAUAAAUUUUUUGUUAAGUUUGGAACCAACAAAACAUCAUUGAGAGGCAAGGUAAUAUUUUUUUGCCGUAAAGAAGAAUCACCAGUUGCAAGAAUUGGCAUAGAAGAACCAUCUCCUAUUAACACAGAAUCAGCACCAAAAUGUGUACGGAUAUUUGUUAACAUACCUGGUUUACCUGUCAUAUGGUUGGAGGCUCCGGUGUCCGUGGUCCAUUCCGUGUCUGCAAUGGUAUUAUCCAAUGUAAGAGCUGCAAGUGCCUGUGGAAUUUCAUUCCUUUGAGUGGAAUUCUUUGGCACCCACCAAAAUAUCUUAGCAAUGUGGCCCAUCGCCCCACAGUAUUGGCAUUGUUGAUCGCGGAAUUUUUCCCUUUCCACAGAUGUCAUUCGGCGUUCCCCUGGUGGUGGAGGUCGUCGUUGGAGAUUUGCAGAAGACGAAUUGCCAUGGUUGGAGUCUCUUUGUUGUUGUGCCUGAAAACCACGUCCAUUGGAAGUGAAUUUCCGUGAUGAGCCACGAUAGCCUGAUGAAUUUGAUUUUGAGUAUCGCUGUUGUUGUCCAUAAAAAGCCAUUUGAGGGUGGACAGUAGGAGUUGGGCCAUCCGUCUGGUUGGAGAACCAACUACGCCUUUGAUCAAAAUUCUGGAGUUGAGAUACCAAUUCUGAGUAUGCAGGCCUCGGAGGUUUCAACAUAGUUGUGGUAAAAACUUCAUAUUGUGGGCCAAGACUUGUGAGAAGGCAAAAAACCUUUUCUUGAUCUGGAACAGGUUUUCCGAUAGCCGCUAAGUUGUCACAGAGAACUUUGAAUUUGCUAAUGUGUUCGGUGAUUGUUGUGUGAUCCUCCUUUCGAGAAUACGUUAUUUGUUGCCGUAGUGUGAAUUCACGUUCCUGUGAUUCUUGGGCAUAUGCAUUUUUUAGGGCCUCCCACACUGUAUAAGCUGUGUCGAGACCAACAACAAGUCCAAGACUUUCCUCUGUGAGUGUUCCGAUAAUCCACCCUCGAAGCAAACGGUCAGAUUUUUGCCAGGCUAUGAAGGCUUCCGUUAACUGUGGAGUGGACGGAGGUGUGGACUUUUCUGCAUCUUUUCCAACCCUUCAAUUUGUACCUAAAAUACAAUAAAUCAACUUUUUACGCACCAAUUAUCGUUAAAACACACCAAAAGCUCAAAUAAAAAGGUAUGAUAAAGUGUAAACAUAUACACUUAACACCCCCCCCCCCCCCCCCCGAAAUAAUGCAUUGGAUAAUUUAUUACUUUAGGAUUCUAACGGAUUAUUAGUUUAAGAAAGUGGUUGAGACAACACAUAGCUCCUGCAACAUUUCUUAAAUCCUUAUUAUUUUAUACAAUAUUUAUAAACUUUCUUCUAUAGUAGCAUUAACGGCCCCGCGAAAAGCAAAUAAAGUGCAUAUCGCUCCCCAUGACAUGAAAUCUUGGCUCCGUAAUUGUUUCAGGGGUGUGGUUGUAAUUACCAAACCCACAGGGACUUUAAAGUUAUUUUAGCAUACUUCCGGGGUGUAGGUGUAAUUUAUCCUUAAAAAUAUUAUCUUAAAUUGGGUACAUAUUUAAUAGGGUAAGUAGCACUUAACACCCGUGUGGUUUCAAUUUUUUGCAGAUGACCCUCUUGUGCUUGUAAUAUCAUCACAUAAUCCCCCUGUGAUUAAUGGAGGGUAGCUUCCGUUAGUUUUUCCGUCAAAUAUAACCUAGUGUGUCAAACUUAAAGAGGGUAUCUGCAAAAAUGAAAGCACAAUGGGGUCAUCUGCAAAAAAAAAAAUACUAUGAAAACAUUUUAAAAAAUCAAUGAAUUCCAAACAACUAAUUAUUCUUUAAUUUCUACAUCGUUUCAUAAAAUGUAUGUGCAAUAUAUUUGUAAUAAAUUUGUAGAAAUCAAUCAAUAAUUAAUUUCUUAAAAUAAUUAAUUUUAGUGACUUUUAAAUUUAUUUUAAUUCAUUAAUUUCUUAAAAAAAAUUUCAUUCAUUAUUAUACAAUAUAUAUUAUUAUCAAUAUUUUUCCAAUAGUUUAAGUUUAGUUACUUUUAGAUACAAAAGAAAUAUAAAAUUUUACAAUUGGCAUUGACUUUUCAAUUGAAAUUUUUAAUAAAUUAUUUGAUUUUUUUUUAAUUAUUCCAUCCAAUAAAAGUGGAAAUAUAUUAAGAUUAUUAUUAUUUUUUAAAACUUAAGAUACAAAAUAUUUAAUAUCGAGAGGUAAGUGUUAUAUACACUAUAUAUCAGGGAUACAAAACGUAUUUAACCUAUUUUCUUCAAAAGAAAAGUAUCGAAUAAAAUUAUAUUUUCAAAAAUUAAAACAUGUUAACUCUAAAUAAAUGAAGAAUAUUACAUGACUAUGACUGUUAACAUUAAAUAAAUCAAAAAAACUAUACAAUAAAAAUUUAUUUAUUGAAAGUUCGCAAAUACCAUCACUAGAAUUGACGAAUAAUCAAAAACCCCAAUAUGUAGCAGAGUACUGCAAAAAAGAAGAAAAAUAAUAUUGUGGCAGAGUUUUGCAAGAAUUUGGGAAGAUUUCUGCCAAUGUAUUGAUAUUUCGGUGUUUUUAUAGAUUUGUUGACCGGGGUUGGGCUUUGGUGGGAGACCCUGGUGGGAUAUUGGUGGGAUAUUGAAUACUGUCCCGCAACUUUGUAAUGAAGUCUGUCCCGUAGCUUAUCUCACUCCCAACUCGUAAAGCUUUUAGUUUAAGCGUUCCAAGUUUUGCGUUACUUGUAAGUCUCUUAAGCGAAAAAUAGAAGCAAGAGACAUGGUUGGUUCAUUUUCUGUAUUGUAAGAAACAAAUAUUAAGGUUCGAAUUAACAAUUAAAGAUGUAACAUAAAAAAAAUGUAAAUGAAGACAUAUUGGUGGGAAGUGGAUUAUAUCUAUUUGCUUCCUAGGUAUGUACCUGAUAAACAAAAUCAAAUUUAGGGCCUCCUCUUUGUGUUAUAUGGAUGUUCGGUGUGGAAAUUGAGUUAUAGCGUGAAUAUAUAUACAUGGACUAUAAUUUGUUGACAUAUGUGAUCGUUGGUAAUAUAGCAACUGUUACUAAUUCAAUGAAAUUUAUUUUGUGUUUGUGUGAAUCGUUCGUUGAGAAUGUUUAUUAUUUGAUUUAAUUUCGCGAGCAUGCUAUGAUGAUUUAAUUUAUGUUAUUUAAAUUAAUUAUAUAUGCGAGUAUGUUUGUCGGUGAUUGGAAGCAAAAAGGUAUGCAAUUAAUUGUUAUUAUUGUGUGUGUGUUUGUUUAUAUAAAUAAAAUAAAAAAAAAAAAAAUUGUUUUCCGCUGCAGCAGCACACAUGCCUGAUCCCCAACAUUUAUGAGGCAGCUACAACACGACUCUAAGAAAAAAGUAAAUGUGGCUUAUUUUUCUAUUUUUUUUUUAAUUUUGACGUAUUAAGAACUUUUGACAUACACAAAAUUUAGCAAAUAAAAGAAAUAAACCCUUAUUUUCUAGUAUGACAUUUCAUUUUUCCAUCUUUUAAUAGAAUAAAAAUUCUGGAAAUUAAUAAUAAAAAAAUCGAGUAACUUUGUUUUUUCUACUUAAUGUAAUUUAUUAUUUUAAUAUAUUACUUUUUGUUGGUAGUUUAAUGAGGAAAUUAUUUUUUUUUUAAAGAAAGAAAAAAAAAAUUAGUAUAAUUUUUCCCAAACAUGCUUAGGGCCCCGAAAGUUACAGGAACGGUCUGGUGGUGAGAAGCGGCGGAGGUGUUUUUGGGAUUUUUUUGGUUAGCAAUUCAGUCCCUGACUUUGGAGAAGAGGGUUUUUCUGAAACUUGAAGGGAUUGAAUUGAAAAAAUUAAAAUUUUAUUUGGGGCUUAUUUUUGAAAUUUAUAAUGUAAAGGGUAUUUGGGUCUUUUCACAUCAAAAAGUCGAACCCCAUUCGCAUAUUUGGCGAGUGUAUCACACGAUCAGCUCGUAGGGGCCUUUUGUAACACCGGGGGUACGUGCUAAUUGUUUUAACCUAGUGCUUUUUUUAGGCAUUAGACAUUACACAGGGGUGCCGGAUGCUAAAACCUCUGUGUCUUUUGAUCUGAAAAGUCAAAAAUAUCCUUCAAAUAAAAAUUAUAAAAAACUUCGAUUUUUUCCCAAAAAUACAGUCUAUAAAUAAUAUAUAUUCUAUAAUACAUAUUUUAAGUUUUUAUUUUAUUUUAUUUUUCUCUGAAACAUUAAUUUGAUUUAAGUUUUGUUUUGGGAUUUUGACAGAUUGAAUUGUUGUUAGAAGUUUUAUUGGAUAUUUGGUUUAUUUUUAUUUAUUUAUUUUUAACUGAAAUUUAGCAGUUAUUAGUUUUACUUUUAUCGACCUUGAUGUUCUUAUUUUUGAAAAAUUAUGGAAAUUUCCGUUAUGCUUUGAAAUUUUAAAAUUUAUGAGAUUUCCGAAUAAAAUUCAAAAUCCCAAAAUUUCCGGGAUUUUUGGAAUUGGAAUGGAUUUUAAAAUUCCGAUUUUUUUUAAAAUCGAAAUUGGAAUUAAUUUUGUACUUCCAAAUUUUUUGCGAAAUUUUUCAUAAAUGUUAUUUCUGAUCCAAUCCACCCGACUCUUACCCCUAGCUAGCGCAAUUACAUCAAAGAACAAAAUUAAUAUCUCUUAAUUAUUGUUUGCCCCUCAUUAAUUUGGUGGCCUACAUAUGGAGCCACAGAUCCUGAAAUCACUUGACCCAAGUUUGAAUGCACAUUAAAAAAAAUUAUUAAGAUAUUGUUGAGAAACUAAUAAAGAAGAACAAAGCAAAGAUGAAUUGACAUAGUAAUAUAGAGAGAAUCAAAUAUAUUAUUCUCUUCUUCUUCUUGUGUAUCCAACUCAAUACAAUGGAGCACUAUAUAUAGUACAAGUAAGACCAUGAAAGGUCAUGAGUUACAAGGAGUUAUGGACCUAUAAUGGUGAGUAAAUGGUGGGAGUAAGGGUGCUUGAUGAUGGUGAGUAAUGGUGGUCAUCCACACUUAAGAAAUUCAUAACACUCCCCCUUGGAUGUCUACCAUAUAUGGAGUAUGCCUCGUUAAAAACCUUGUUAGGAAAACCCAAUGGGACAAAACCUAAACGAAGGAGAAAAGAGUACAUAUCCAUUUAAAUCUUGCCAAGAAAAACCCAUUAGGAUAAAAACUUGGACGAAGGAAAAAGAGUACAGUGUUGAAAUUGUUGAUCACGCUCCCCCUUAUUUCAGCAUGAGACAUUAUAUUGGAGUAAGAUCGCCGACGUAUGGAUUUGCAAACUCGUUAUUUGUUUGUCAUCAAUAACUGUCAAUGUCGUCUUUCUUCUUUAACUCUCGAGUAAUUCAGAAAUCUUCAAUAAUUCUUCGGCCACCUCCCUUGAUAUAGCCACACUCUCGUUAGUGCAAUCCGACAUCAUUAUCCUCAUAUAUUAAGACCAAGGUCUUCAUUAUCUUCUCGAGGGCUUAAAAUAUCUUCAAUUAUAUCCAAUGAUUGGACAAACAUAAUAUCACUCAAUAGAUCUUCUUUUCGAGAUGCAUUUUGCACUUCCAAUAUUUUUUCAUCUCAAAUUAUGUCACCAAAUAAUUGACCAUUUUUGUGAGCUCUUCAUGAGUCUCCACAGAUUUAAUUCGCACCAAAUGAUAAUGGAAAUCAAUUUAUUUGAUUAUUCCUUCUGUAAACAAUGUAUUAACUAAGGUGACAAUACCAUAUUCUUGAAUGGAUCAUUCGUAGAGUCUAACUCAUGAGACCUCUUAUUAUAUGCUUCAAGAAUUUUCAAUUCUUUGAAAUAAAAAUUUAUGAUCCAUAUAAAUAUGCGGUAAUUGCAUCCAUAUGGUGCAUGUCAAAUAAUUUUGAAUACCAUCAUAAAGUGAUUGCAUCAUAAAAGUAUAUUUUCAAAAGGCAUUGAAAUUUACCGCAAUGAUUUUACCCACUUUGGCACUAAAGACUUUCACAACUUUAUAUGUAAUGACCGCAAGUCAAUGUAAAAUUCAUGUCAUCAAUAAUUUCAAAUAAUCAUGGUCAAUUGCAUUUGUGAAUGCAUAUACUAAUGACCAAUUAGAUGUCGACAUCUAUUAAGAUUUAUGAGCUUCAAGCUCUUCACAUUAUAGAAAUAAUUGUACAUAUAGUUAUUCGAUAACAUCUUAAGUACUCCCCAUAUUUCUUUAUAAUCAAUCAAGAGCUCACUAUUUCACAAUCCGGUACCGGAUUCUCCUUAAAGAAUUAUAUUAAUAUAAAUGGGGAUUGUAGCCUUUGUGGGUACGAUCUCUUGUAGAGAUCCAUAUCUUUUCAUGUACCAUGUCUUUUUCUCUUAUAGAGAAUUCUAUAUUGCAUCAAUAAAGUUUGUCAUAAUACUUUAUGUGCUUGAACUCAUUAUUUAUUUCAAUAUAAAUGUCCUACAUGGACAAAAUGCGCGCUUUUGAGUUUCACAAUGUGGAGGGGGUAUUGAGGACUACAUGUCCACUUUAUUUUCAAACUCAAUAUUAACAUUCAAUUUGGUACAUGAAUAUUCGUUCGAAAAGAAUUUUCAAUUCUUUAAGAUAUUAUAUCGGUACAACAACAACGUUGAGAACUAAUAGUCUCAAAUGCCUCUCUAUUCACUUAGAGAGCAAGCUAACCAUGAUUUAUUUGCCAAUCAAUUCUUUAUUGGCACAUAAUGGUUCGAUUUAUAAUGGUCUUGGUAGCUACCAUAUAAUCAUCAAUGAUUUUCUCAUCCAAAUAUGUAUUUCAUUUAUGCCACCACAACUGGCAAAAAUUCUCAAAUCAUAGUAAUGGAUACUAGUGUUGAGGCGUCCCCCAACAUCGUCUUUAAGACGAAUCCUUUCAUCGAAUGAGAUAAGUAAUAUGAUGAGAGUAUGAUGCUACUAGCGCUAGUAGACUUGAAUUGAACGGUAUUCACACCACUUAUAAGGGUGUCAAUCAUUCGAACCAACAUUUAUAUAUCUCCCCCUCUUAUAUGUAUAAAGUAUAAUUGGUUAGCUGUGUAUCGUAAUCAUUUUUCACCCAUUUAGGGAUUCACGAUGCAAUCACAAUGUAAAAUUUGUCCUACGAGGACAUUCGUUUAUUAAGACGUUCAUGAAAAAAUCUAAUGUGCAAUGUGUCCUUCUUUAGACAUUUUCUCUUGCACUCAUUUGCAACAUAUAUUAUAAUAUCAAGUUGCUAUUUUGUCGAUAAAUGCAUCUAGCAUUUUACACAUUAAAAUUGUUGCAAAUAAAUUCUUUUUUCUUUUGUUCUUAAAUAUUUCCAUGCACAAAUUUAGAUGAGACAAAUAUCAUUUCAUAUAAUUCACGCCGUUAUACAAGAACCGGCUUCUUAUCUCCCCCUUAACGGCGGGAAAAUUGUCUCAUUAAAAUGGCAAUUGACAAUGUAUGCCAUAGAAAUAUCACCCAUUAGGGGUGCAAAAGAUUGCAUAGCAUAAAUAAUAAACAAACCACAUGAUAUCAUGUUAUGUGGCUGAAUAUAACUUCGUUUGAGAAUCUAACAGAUUCUGAACAUAAAUGGUUAAAUUUCAAAACUUUGAAAAUUCAGGGACCAAACUGUAUAUUUUGAAAAUUUAGGGACCAAAUUGUAAAUUUUGAAAACUUCAGGAACUAGGCUGCAAUUUUAAAAAAAUCUGUGAAAGUUGAAAAUGUUGAAAUAGAUUCAGAAUUUCGGAUGAUGAAAGGAACGAGCUGCAUAUUCUGAAAAACAUUUGGACUGAAUCGUAAAUUUUUUUAAAUCUAGGGGACUAAAAUGAAAUUUUUGAAAAUUUUGAAGGACUAAACUGUAAAUUUUUAAAAAUCAGAAUUUGCAGAGGUUUCGAAUUUUAACAAGAAAAUGAGAUCCCACCUUUUAUCGUUUGGUUUGAAAUUUCAUCUCAUCUCAUCUUGACUAAGUAUAAAAAAUCAUGCACAUACAUCCAUCCAUAGAUAUGGAUUUUGAAUAAAAUUUGCAUCACUAAACUUUUGUGAUUCAAAAUCUUUAAUUGAAUUGGUCAAUACUGUGACACCAAAAUCAACACAAUUUCUUUUGCUCUUCUAUUGGUGUUUGAUAAAGCUUAUCAACAUGCUUUAUCAUAAAAUGGAUAUGACCAAUCAUUUUUCAUAUUUCUCAUCUCUCUUCCACUUGUAAUGUUGAGAUAAAAUUUAUAGUAAAUAAGCUUUAGCACCAUGAUAGCUUUUCAUGUCAACAUAUCUCUUUGAAUUUUUUUAAUAUUGUUGUUUUCACUUUCAAAGAAUAACAACAAUUGAACGAGUUUUGUAUUAGCUCACAACUCGUAUUAUAGUACGAUAUGCUAUUAAAAAUCUUUAUUUUGCUAUUACGAGUGCAACUUGAGUUUUUAUGUUGUCACUUCAUGAUCAUAAUAUAGAUCCAUAAAUUAGAGAAUAUUUUCUCUUACAAUUCUUCAUUAUAUGUAUCUUCAAGACACAUAUAUCAAUAUGAAAUAUUUUACUUGUCGUUUGCAAAACAACAAGUCAAGAUUUAAAGAGAGCAAAUUAUAGAGGAUCAAAUAUCUAUCUAUGUUCUUCUUCAUAAGUAACUACAUGUAAUGUUACUUUUACUUAUGUGUUCAAGACACAUACCCCAAAUUAAGUACUUGUUUCUUGAAAAAUGAAACAAUAAUAUUUUGCUCGGUGUCUUAUAGACACAUUUUCAUUAUGAAAUAUUUGGCUUGUGUCCUCAAGGCACAUAACAAUAACACGAAUAUUUUGUGAUAUCAUGAGACAUAAAUGGAUUUUUAACUUCAAUGAUCCAACGCUCAUAGUUACAUUUCUUCUUGAGCUAUCAAAAAUAAUUUCGAAUUGUGUGAUAUGUCUCAUAUCAUUGAAUUACAAAGGAAUAGUCCUUUCGAGUGCAUAUAUAUAUAAUCUCAAAAUUUGAAUUUUAUUGCUUAAAAGUACGUACUCAAUUUGAGCCUCAAGGCUUCAUAUAAAUCAUUAUAUAGUACUUGUCAUGAAAUAAUAGUACUAUAAUUAACUCAAAUCUUCAUAUACAUCAUUGAACAACAAACUCAAUAGUUCUUUCGAGUACAAUAUAUUAUUCAAAUAUCAAGGUUUGAGUUUUAUACCUUGAAUUUAUGUACUCGGUUUAGGCCUCAAACCUUUAUAAUUGGUACGUAAUCGUAAAUUAAUAAUAGUACCUUGAGUGGGAAAUACUCAUUAACUCAAAUAUUCAAUGAUGAUUAUCAUCGCUUAGACCUUGAGUCUAAUGUAUUCAAUUGAGACUUAUAGUCUUCAAAUUUAUUCAGGGCCUCAAGCAUUUAUAUUUAAUAUUCCUCCACAUAAGCUUUCAAGCUUUCAUAUUUAAACUAGGCUUCGAGCCUAAAAUUUAGGAACUUCGAGGUCUUUUUCGAUUGAUCGAGCUUUUCAAGUCGCACAAAUUAGAGAGCAAGUGGCUUUUGUUUUUUAAUAUAUCAUUAAAAUCUUUGAGUCACUUGAUUGCACGUGCUCGAUUUGGGCCUCAAGCCUCAAUAUAUAAUAAAAUUGUUAUAGUACGUUGAUCAUGAACGAAUAGUACUAUAAAUGGGGAAUACCCUCUAACUCAAAUGUUCAAGAGUCUUAUCAUUUAGACUUAAAGUCUAAUAUACUCAAUCGAGAAUUUUAAUCUCGUAUGUAAUAUAGGCUAUAGGCCUAUAAUCGUCCCUUUUAUUUUUAGAACAUCAUGUUCAAAAUUCGCACAAGGGACAGCUCUGGCAGAACUGAGUAUUUUAAGCAUAUCUCUCUUGAUCGAGAUCCGAUUUCGAUGAUUUAAAAUGUUCCGAAAAUCCAACAGAAAAUUUUACAAGUUUCGUAUUUUGAAUUUUCUGAAAUUCGGACAGUAUCAGGUCCAAAACAGACAUCGAAGUACAGACUCGUGAAUUGCACGAAAAUUCACCUACAACAAAAUUAAGAUGAUUAAUAUUUAAUCAAUUUAAAACAACAAUAAAAUAUUUGAAAUCAACUCCCUUUUCAUCUUCUAUGGUUGAGAAGUAAUUAUCUUCUUUGGAUCAUCUUUACUCGAAAAUGGAAAUAGAACAUUCGUGCUGAUAACGUGUUGAGAAACUAAUAAAGAAGAACAAAGCAAAGAUGAAUUGACAUAGUAAUAUAGAGAGAAUCAAAUAUAUUAUUCUCUUCUUCUUCUUGUGUAUCCAACUCAAUACAAUGGAACACUAUAUAUAGUACAAGUAAGACCAUGAAAGGUCAUGAGUUACAAGGAGUUAUGGACCUAUAAUGGUGAGUAAAUGGUGGGAGUAAUGGUGCUUGAUGAUGGUGAGUAAUUGUGGUCAUCCACACUUAAGAAUUCAUAACAGAUAUAACUACUAAUUAAUCUUUAAUAAUAAAAUAAAUAGUCACUACAAGAAAAUGCAAAAUAGGCAACGAUUUUUUUAUUGACGAAAUUAAUUUCGUUGCCAAUAGUUAUAUUUUAGCAACGAAAUAUAGUAUUUGUGGCUAAAGAUUAACGUUUUUGUAACAAGAUAUUUUUGUUGCCUUUGAAUCUCAUAGGCAACGAAAUAUAUUGUUGUGAAUAGUAUCAUAUAUAUUUUGCAACGAAUUUCAUGAAAGACAACAAUUUUGUUUGUUGCAAAAGAGCAUUUCUUUUUGCUACGAUAUAAAAUUGUAGUAAAUACAUUUACAACGGCAACAAAUUUAUUUUGUCACCAAUAAGUGACGAACGACGACAAAAUCUUUUGUUGUAAAUGCUCCAAGAGAUUUGGCAACAAAAUAUAUUCGUUGCAAAUUUAAAAACCAACUAUUUUUUCUUGAUUUUAAUUUACUUUAUAUGUUAUUAAAUCGAUAUAAAUAUUUUAAUAAAAUAUUGAAUUUAUUAAUUAAUUUUAGAAUUUCAUCAAUCUCAAAUUUAUUAGAAUACAUUAACUAUAUAUAUACAUAUUAUAUAUAAUAAAAUAUGACAAGAAAAAUCUUAUUUGUUUUAUUGUAAAUUUUAUUUUUUUUGAACAUAAAAUAAAUAUAGUUUUCGUUAUGACACUAAUAUUAUUUAUUUAUAUAAUUUAUUUUACAUUAUUUAUAUAACUAUUUUAAUUAUUUUACCUUGUCUAUUUAAUUAUUAUAAAUUUAUUUGAAGUCUAUUUACACAACUGCACUAUUGGCCCAGCGGUUGGAGAGGUCUAUAACUUGCAAUCAACCAGGGUUCAAAUCCUUCUACUAUCAUGUCUCUAUAUAUUUGAAAUUUAUCAAUUGUGGCCCGUUGGGCCAUCCCUGAGUUCGACCCAGCAGUUCCGAUUUCGAACAGGUCGGGGUCGGGGAUGUGCGUCGGGUCGGCACACAUAUUGGUAUAUUUUGUUUUCUAUUUACAUAUCUUUUGCAACGAAAUAAAUUCGUUGUGCAUACAUAUCUUUUGCAAUGAAAUAAAUUCGUUGCGUAUACUAAAUACAUUGGCGACGAAAUAAAAUUGUAUAUAUUUGACAUUUAUCAAUUGUGGCCCGUUGGGCCAGCCCUGAGUUCGACCCAGCAGUUCCGAUUUCGUUGUGCAUACAUAUCUUUUGCCACAUAUUGGUAUAUUUUGUUUUCUAUUUACAUAUAUUUUGCAACGAAAUAAAUUCGUUGUGCAUACAUAUCUUUUGCAAUGAAAAAAAUUUGUUGCGUAUAUUAAAUACAUUGGCGACGAAAUAAAAUUGUAUAUAUUUGACAUUUAUCAAUUGUGGCUCGUUAGGCCAGCCCUGAGUUCGACCCAGCAGUUCCGAUAUCGUUGUGCAUACAUAUCUUUUGCAAUGAAAUAAAUUCGUUAUACUAAAUACAUUGGCGACGAAAUAAAAUUGUAUAUAUUUGACAUUUAUCAAUUGUGGCCCGUUGGGCCAGCCCUGAGUUCGACCCAACAGUUCCGAUUUCGAAUAGGUCGGGGUCGGGGAUGUGAGUCGGGUCGGGGAUGUGCGUCGGGUCGGCACACAUAUUGGUAUAUUUUGUUUUCUAUUUAUAUAUCUUUUGCAACGAAAUAAAUUCGUUGUGCAUACAUAUCUUUUACAAUGAAAUAAAUUCGUUGCGUAUACUAAAUACAUUGGCGACGAAAUAAAAUUGUUGCAUAUAAUAAAUGUAUUGGCAACGAAACAAAUUCGUUCUAGAUUAUAAACGUAUUUGCAACGAUGUAUUUUGGGUGACGAAAUAGAUUCGUUGCCGAUAAUAGUGUAUGCACAACGAUUUUUUAUUUUCGUUGCCAUGAACUUUCAGCAACGAGGAUUUGGCAACGAACAUGGCAACAAAAAAAAAAUCGUUCUGAAUUGUAUUGGCAACGAAAUUUUACCCUUUCAACAACAAAAAACGUCAUUGUGAAAUAUAAAAUUUCUUGUAGUGAGUAUAACAAAUAAGUAAUAACCAAUAUUCCUGGAUGUCGAUUCCCAUUUCAAAAUUAUUUUUUCAAUGUUGUGCAUGUUAUAAAAAUAUGACAGUGGUCCGUGGUUGAAAUUUUACCUUAUCAGAAAUACCAACAUUGAUAUCUACUUGUUUUACUGAGGUACAUAUUAUGCAUGUGUAUGUAUUUUGUAAGUAUGUGUAUGAAUAAAUUGAAUUUCAAAUAUUAAAAUUAAUACAUAGAUAUGCAUAGCUUCAACAGUUAAAUUUAAACAUACAUAUAUAUAUUCCCUGGAUAAUCUACAAUUGGCUUUAUCCAUUAAAAAAAAUGCGACUUAACAAUUUUGAAGAUGCAUAGAUAAUUUAAUUAACUAGACAAACUUCUGUAAUAUAAUAAGCUCGCUACAUAUUCGGAGUACUCCUCGUCUUGUUGUGGUUGGAAGAAACCGAAAAACCCGUCUGAUUGUUGUUGCGGUUGGAAACCUUCGUCUUGUUGUCGUGGUUGGAAGAAACCGUCUUGUUGUUGUUGUGGUUGGAAACCUUUGUCUUGUUGUCGUGGUUGGAAGAAACCGUCUUGUUGUUGUUGCGGUUGGAAACCUUCAUCUUGUUGUUGUUGCGGUUGGAAACCUUCGUCUUGUUGUCGUGGUUGGAAGAAACCUUCUUGUUGUUGUUGCGGUUGGAAACCUUCGUCUUGUUGUCGUGGUUGGAAGAAACCGUCUUGUUGUUGUUGCGGUUGGAAACAUUCGUCUUGUUGUUGUUGCGGUUGGAAACCUUCGUCUUGUUGUCGUGGUUGGAAGAAACCGUCUUGUUGUUGCUGAUAAUGCAUUUGUUGUGGUGGUUGCAAAUCAUACUGGCCGUAGUAUACGUCGUCUUCCGGGAAAAAAUCGUCUACUAGUGGAAAAGGAUUAUAUUGGUGGUGGUGGUGGUGGUGCUGCUGCUGGUGCUGGUGGUGUCGUUGUUCAUCCAUUUCUUGUGGUGGUGGUGGUAACGCAACAUGUGUGUUGUUGUCGUCCAAUUCAGCCUUGUUCGACUUUGUUUCUCUCUUGUGGAUUCGGCAUAUCACCCAACUGUCCAACUGCAAAUAAUUAAUCGGGAAUAAACCGACAAUCAGUAAAUAGCUUCAAAUAUUUAAAUUAAGAGGGAAAAAAAAAAUUACGACUACGCCGGAAAAUAACCAAAAUAUAACACGUACCCUCAUAUCAUUCUCAUCUUCUGGGAGUUUUUCUGUUUUAGGAGUAGGGUCUGCAAUAGGUAACUUGUACUCGUGCAUAAUCCAAUCGGUCUUUCGUGAAUAUUUAUGAUCUCCUUCGUAAUAUACUAAAUUCUUCUUGUAACCAAUGAUUUGUUCCGUCUGAUCAAGGUGUAUAGGCUUAUCUGCUGCGGUGGCCUUCCAAUAGCCAUUGCCAGCCGAUCGAUUAGGCCUCUUUCCGUUCUGAUACUUCUUCUCCCGAAACGUGAAAAAAUACCAUUCCUUUUGCCCGAGUCGAGAAGGAUGUUCAUCUGCAUAAAUAAUAAAUAAUAAAUAAUAAUGUUAAUUUUACAUCUGGUGAGAUACAAGAAUCUAAGUUAGAAUAAAAUUAAACCCUAAAAAAAAGAGCUGGUAUAUUUAUUUCACGUAGCAUCACAUGCAUGUUCAAAAAGAUUAUUCAACCCUAAAAGGAACAUAUGUUCAAAUCAAUUAUAUAUAAUUAAAAACAGAAAAGAAAAAGUACCAAUUAAUUUGAACCCUAAUAUUAAAAAAACAGAAAUCCAGGAAUAAUAUACUAAUAUUUUCAUGCAUGAUCAGAUCAAUAGUUAAUUCAAAUCAAUUAAGAAUAUUUGAUAUCGUAAAAAAGAAACAUAUUUUUAAUUUACCUGCUAGCGUCUGAGGAUCGUACUGGUAAAAAUCGACGAUGUUUAUUUCAGAAGGAGGGACAGGCUGUUCGUCGACCUUUGGCUUCAAGUAGAAAACGAUGAGUUCUUCAUCCUUAGUGUUAGAAUUAUUUCGUGCAAAUUAAUUAUAAAUUUGUGUCCGAUAAAUCCCAGAUUCAGUUUUAGCUACUGUUCUACUGUUUUACGAAGAGUUGCAACAGUUAAUGGAACAGUAAUAAAAAGACACAAAUUUUAAAGUGGUUCGGAUACAAUUGUACCUACAUCCACGGGGACCUGCAAAUGAAAUUCACUAAUUUUUAGUUUUACGAAUACAGUAAUAGGACUUAAUCGAAAAUGCAAAGACUCCCUCUUUGUCGACGCCGUUCUUGUAUCCUACGCUGAAUUGUGAAUCUUCACUUUGGAGCACGUCCCUUUCCGCACGGUUGAAAUUCCUUCAACGCUGAGUCCCUCAGUCGGCGGAUCGACCUCCUCCCGAGAUCUUCUGAGUUCUCCUCCCGAAGAACCGAUCUUCUUUUCGGUGAAAGAAGCAAACUCCUUUUUCUGUAUUUUCUUCUCGAUUUAAGAUCAGGAAUUCUGGAGCAGCAACGUAAGAGCAGAAAAUAGUUUUCUCUCAAAAUAAAAGGGACAACGUAUAAAAACGUUGAUGCUGCCCUUCUUAUACUUCCUUAGGUGAAUUAGUAGAGCCCUACAAAAUUAAAGCCCAUUAGGUUAGAUAUAAUCUUCACGUAAGGAAAAAAGAGUUAUGUAAACAAGGAAAGUCUUAGACAAAUAAAUUCCUUGUUAAUAAAACACUUAGGCAAUUAAAUAAAUUAAUGACAAAAUAAGAGUUUAAAGAACUAAGGAAACUUCCCUAGUUUUUAUACACGUUUUUCGCACACGUGUUGAAAAACCGAAAUAGAAUCCUCUCGGAUUCUAACAAUCUCCCCCUUUGUCAUCUAUUUAUUAUAAUCAAGUCCUCCCCCUUGAUCAAAUACCUGACAAAACAUUAGACAGCAUAAUAGAGUAACUGUUAGAACAGUUAAAGAAAACAGCAGUUAACAAAACAAGAAAAAAGUUAAGCCUAGCAGACUAUUAGAGGCCGUUGUUCAGAAAAUGAAUUCGACAACCACAAAAAAAACUAAUCCAGAAUAUAUUCAGCAUCAACGAACAACUCCUCGUCAUCAUUCGUAUCAACUUCAGCUGUUGUACCAUCAACUGUUGGAACAGUUGGAGCAACAACAGUUGGAUCAGUAGUAGUUCCAGCAGCUGCAUCAGCUCCCCCUGUAUGCGGUUCCUCCUGGGUUGAUGCUUCGUUGUCAACUCCCCCUCAAGAAUAAUCUCCCCCUUUCUGAGCAAGGGCAGUAAAAUAGUCGAGUUUCUUUUUCGUAAAAACGACUUCGACAAUCAGAGACCCCACUAGAUAGGUUGGCAUAAAAAUCAUGAACCACUUGACAGACGCCACCGGGUUUGAUGCGCUCGGAGAAAGAACCGAGAAUUAAAAGCAUCGACAGCAGAGAUAGGCACCACGGGAUCCGGUGCAGAGUGACCUGCGGUGGUGCGAGUAGCGGAAGGCGAGGCAGAGUGAGUAACGCGUCGACGAGAGCGGCGAGGUGGCGGGUUGCAGGUGAGGCCGGUUUGGGUGGUGCGAUGGCGGUGCACACGGUAGUGGUGACGAUUGGGCAGCCGGCGAGUGUGGCAGUGGAGGAGAUGGUGGAGAAUAGAUGAACGGUGACGGCGGUGAGACUGGCGGCGACAGCGGUGGAGAAAACCUAGGGACCAAAAUGAGUGGCAGAUUGCCAAAAUUCUCGACGAAGGCGGCCGUGAGGACCGUCGUUUGGACGACGAGGAUGAACCACCGAAUUUUUUUUUUUUUUUUUUUUUUUUUUCUUUUGCCCAUGACGAUGUUGUUGAUUCCCUUCGACUGUGUUGAAUUUUUGGGGUUUUGCUGCAAAAGAAGAAGAAGAAGCAAACAGAGCAGUAGGGAAGAAGAAAAAUUGGAGAGAAAAAAAUUGAAUACGGGAUUCUCCAAGGAUGACUGUUGCUCUGCUCAGGGGUAGUUUAGCAAUUAGGAAUAGUCAAGUGAGAGAAUUGCAAAUAUAAUAAUUAUGCUCACAAUAAAUUCAAUUAAUGAAAAUCAAAUUCAGAUACAGCAACUCUCAACUUUCGCAUAUGAAGCCCAACACAGUUCAAAUAAACUUCGAGAAGAAAAAAAUGCUCAGAACAGUGAGUUACUCCGAAGAAAUAUAUUACCGCCAAAAAUUACGAACCCACCCCGGAAUUUUUUUUUUUUUUUUUUUUUUUUUUUAAUAAAUAAAUAAAUAAAUGCCUAACAUGCAGAGGCAAAUAACUAAGACGAAAAAUAAACGUGAGAAAAAAAUGAGUGAAUAAACACAAGUGAAUAGGAUACUAUUAGGACUAUCAAACCAUGGGGUUUAUCUUCAAUUUUAACAAAAAGCAAGCUCCAAGAGAUAGACUAAGGAGACUAACAGCAAAUUUAGUAUCCUCAAAUCAAGCACAAAAACACUCUUAUUAGGCAGCAUACACACACUAUCAAAGGUAGCUUAUUCAUGAAGAGCAGAGCAAUUAAAAUAGCGAGAUAGUUAUGAUCGUGCAAUGUGUAGUCCCCUGGGCUUUCUAAUUGAGUCGUGUAGUGAGUGUUCGGUCAUGUGGUUUACCGGCUCGACUCAAAAAGGCUUCGAACUAUUCACUGACCGCAUAUAAAAUUUAUAAUGGUCGUGCAAUGUGUAGUCCCUUGGGCUUUCUAAUUGAGCCUUGUAGCGAGCUUUCGGCCACGUGAUUUACUGACUCAACUCAAAAAGGCUUCGAACUAUUCACAGACCAAUUGAUUGACAUUUUAUAUAUAGAAUUAACGAAAAUUCAAGAGUAGCUUUCACUCAUUUGGAGCGGCAGCUUUACCUUAUGAGUGUGUUCAACCAUGACAAGACUGUGAAGGGUAGUAAAUAAGCUAAAACCUCUGUAGCUAUCAUUUGGGGAAUGAUGAAGUUCUACCUCACAAGAUUCGAAAGUACAGAUAGUAUCCAAUACACAAGGGGUCUCAUCACAUGCAAUAUGUCUAAUGCAUAACCUAGAUGAACAAAAUGCAGUAUGCGUGAUGUGUCCAUAAAACUUUAAAAGUUGCAAGUCUGGACACAGACUGUUGCAACAGUUUAUGCAACUGCACAGGUCAGACAAUACAAAUUCCAAGCGAAUUUCGCAAGGAAUCAAACCUUUGUGCAUCUAGGGGUUUAGUAAAGAUGUCAGCAAGUUGUUUCUCCAUUGUGACAUACUCUAAUGAGACAGUUCCUUCCUCUACAAGAUUUCUAAUGAAAUGGUAGCGAAUUUCAAUAUGCUUAGUUCGAGAGUGCUGUACUGGAUUCUUGCAAAUAUUAAUCGCACUCAUAUUGUCACAAUAAAUAUGCAAUAAAUCUUGACUAAUACCAUAAUCACAUACCAUUUGUUUCAUCCAUAAGAGUUGGGCACAACAACUACCAGCGGCGAUAUAUUCCGAUUCAGCAGUGGAAAGCGAGAUACUAUUCUGUUUUUUGCUGUACCAGGACACGAGAUUGUUCCCAAGAUAGAAACAUCCUCCAGUUGUGCUUUUUCGAUCGUCUGCAUCACCUGCCCAAUCAGCAUCGCUAAAGCCUCGGGUUUGAAUUCCUUCUUCUACCGGGCCAAUGACUUGAUCCACUGGAUGAUUCUUUUUUACUCUUCUUGAGGGUUCCUUGUGAGUUUGAUCAUCCAAUUCGAGAGGCCUGACUUCUGCUUCGUCUCCUGUUUCAGAAUUGACGUCACUUUCUUCUGAAUUGGUAGAGGCUGCAUCAACUGUUGGAACUGUUGGUGCGACACUGGAGCUGUUUUCCGAUUCCUUUGUUGGUUCCUCUUCCAGUGGUCCUUUCCAAAUUUCGUACGGAGUUUUAGUGGUACCUGGUCGAAGAUAGACUCGAUUUAUAAUAUGACAUGCAGUGUUAACUGCUUCUGCCCAAAAACGAUGAGCGAUCUCCUUUGCGUUCAUCAUGACCCUGACCAUCUCUUGCAGAGUGCGAUUUUUGCGUUCAACCACUCCAUUUUGUUGAGGUGUUUUAGGUGCGGAGAAUUCAUGAGAUAUUCUUUUGUGCCAAAGCACUGUAGAGUCUGACAGACUGUUGAAACAGUUCAUACCAGCAGAGACAAGAAUAUAGCAGUUGUCAGAUGAUCGAGUUCCUUGAAUAACACAAUUCUCGUCUUUGUCUAAUACUCGACAUGCGAAUUUGUUGAAUCUGACUUCAAGAUCUUGAUCACAUAGCUGGCUGAUGCUUAUCAGAUUUGACGUGAGUCCUUCUACAAGUAGUACAUUCUUCAGCUUUGGCAGAUUCUCAUGAUUUAGCGAUCCUUUCCCUAGCACUUCACCCUUUUUUCCGUUUCCAAAGGUAACAGCUCCACCGGUGAUUUGUUGGUAGUUUUUCAGAAACUCUUUAACACCGGUCAUAUGUCGUGAACACCCACUGUCAAAAUACCAAUCAUUAGUAGUACUUGCUUUUAAAGAAGUAAUCGCAGAUAAGCAUUUAAACGUGGACUUUUCAACCCAAAUUUUUUGCUGAGGUCUAUUGGAAAUAUCAAUUUUAUUUUUGGGUUUUUGAGAGGGUGAAGGAAAAUAAUCAGCCCUAGCAGAGUAAAGAGAACGAGCCACAAGCUUUUUCACAAGUUUUAAAUAUUUGAAACAUCUAGGACGUAUGUGACCUGGAUUUUGACAGAAAAAACAAGUGGGAAUAAACCUUUUCUUUGAAUUGUGUUUCGUUGCUUCAACAGUUGCAACUGUUUGUGAGACAGAAGCUUGUUUAACAAAGUUGAUUUUUCUGUUUUGAUCUUCCUUUCGCUUUAGAUCAACUUUGGGUAGCUGACUCCCUCCUAUGGCUAGACGAUUAUAGUUUGGCUUGUUGUUGCUUAAGAUUUCAUCUAGAUUACCUCUACCCAAGUUUAAUUUUGCAAUUGCUUCUUGAGUUUGAGUAAGUUUAGCCUGCAAACUAUUUUUCUCUUGAUCACUAGAUAUGACCCUUUCCUCAAGAGUAGAGAUUCUUACCUUUAGUGUCUUGUUUUCCUCUACAAGCACAAACUUCUCCUUUUCCAGGAAGUUAUUUACCUUAACGACGUCGAGCCAUUUUUGGUACAUUUUUUCAUAUACCUCCUUUACUUCAUCCAAGGUUGGUUCUUCCUCAUCACUGCUGCUGUUCGGAUCCUCUGCAAAAGAAGAAUUUUCGUUUAGAUUUUUUUUAUAAUCAGAACACAUAUUUUCAUACCUGGAUUCUGUUUCACAGUCUGUUGCAACAGUUGAAGCAACAGUUGAUUCUGAGCUGUCCAGAGGAACUUUGCUGCUGAAUGCUACAAAGUUAGUGACUUGAUUGUUGUUUCCUUGGUCAUCAUCAGAUUCUUCUUCAUCGCUCCAACCAGUAGUAAGUGACAUUUUCUUCUUUUUCUUCAGGGUGUUUGCGCAUUCUGAUUGAAUGUGACCAAAGCCUUCGCAUUCUCGACAUUGUAUUCUUCUUGGUUUUGACUCCUCCGAGUUAUCUUGAUUUGAAUUUCUCCUAGAAUUUUGAAAAUUCACGGGUUUCCCUGUGCUUGAAAGAUUUCCCCUUUUUUCGAUCUUUUUGAGAAAUUUCCCAAAAUUUUUCGAUAGUAGUGCCAAGGAUUCUUCAACUGUUUGCUCAUCUUCUUGAGUUGACGAAUUUUGGGGCGUUGCAUAUGAUGUUUCUGCUUGAAAGGCUAUCUUCUUUUCUCUAGACUUUUCACGAUGAUUUUCACCAUGAUUGAGUUCUUGUGCUAGAAGUUUCCCCAUGAGUUCGUCUAGUUUGAGCGUGUCAACGUCUCUGACUUCUUCAAUGGCAGCAAUUCGGUAAGCGAAUCUUUCAGGUAAUGAGCGCAUAGCUUUUCUCACUAAUUUGCUUUCUGAGUAUGGUUCACCGAGUGCGUAUGAUUCAUUUGAGAUAUCACAUAAUUUAGCAUGGAAGUCAGUGAUCGUCUCAUUCUCCUCCAUCUUCAAAUUUUCGAAUUUGGUGGCCAACAUCUGUAACUUGGAUGUCCUUACAGUUGACGUUCCUUCGUAUGUGACUUGAAGAAUUUCCCAAGCUCUCUUUGCAGAUUCACAUGACGCUAUUAGUUUAAAUUGAUUAUCAUCAACACCACUAAAUAUUGCGUUUAGGGCCCUCGAGUUGUAGUUUGCGAGUAGUAUUUCUCCAUCACUCCAAUCUGCUUCUGGUUUGAAUACUUCCUCUUUGUCUUCUCCUUUGAUCAUGGGAGGUGUCCAACCAGUUAUGAUGGCGCGCCAUGCUCUCAAAUCUAUGGAUUUGAUAAACAUCUUCAUUUUUUAUUUCCAGUAUGAGUAGUUGGAGCCGAUUAGAAGAGGUGGACGAGUAGUUGAAGAUCCUUCUCGUUGAGUAUUCAUAUCUGCACAAAAUAAGAGUAAUCAGUUCCCAAAAUCUCACUAGAUAUAUUUAGUGACAGGCUCUUGAUGCCAAUUGUUAGAAUUAUUUCGUGCAAAUUAAUUAUAAAUUUGUGUCCGAUAAAUCCCAGAUUCAGUUUUAGCUACUGUUCUACUGUUUUACGAAGAGUUGCAACAGUUAAUGGAACAGUAAUAAAAAGACACAAAUUUUAAAGUGGUUCGGAUACAAUUGUACCCUACAUCCACGGGGACCUGCAAAUGAAAUUCACUAAUUUUUAGUUUUACGAAUACAGUAAUAGGACUUAAUCGAAAAUGCAAAGACUCCCUCUUUGUCGACGCCGUUCUUGUAUCCUACGCUGAAUUGUGAAUCUUCACUUUGGAGCACGUCCCUUUCCGCACGGUUGAAAUUCCUUCAACGCUGAGUCCCUCAGUCGGCGGAUCGACCUCCUCCCGAGAUCUUCUGAGUUCUCCUCCCGAAGAACCGAUCUUCUUUUCGGUGAAAGAAGCAAACUCCUUUUUCUGUAUUUUCUUCUCGAUUUAAGAUCAGGAAUUCUGGAGCAGCAACGUAAGAGCAGAAAAUAGUUUUCUCUCAAAAUAAAAGGGACAACGUAUAAAAACGUUGAUGCUGCCCUUCUUAUACUUCCUUAGGUGAAUUAGUAGAGCCCUACAAAAUUAGAGCCCAUUAGGUUAGAUAUAAUCUUCACGUAAGGAAAAAAGAGUUAUGUAAACAAGGAAAGUCUUAGACAAAUAAAUUCCUUGUUAAUAAAACACUUAGGCAAUUAAAUAAAUUAAUGACAAAAUAAGAGUUUAAAGAACUAAGGAAACUUCCCUAGUUUUUAUACACGUUUUUCGCACACGUGUUGAAAAACCGAAAUAGAAUCCUCUCGGAUUCUAACACUUAGGCUUGAAACGAAUACCUGGUGGAAACUCCAUCACUUUUCUUUGAAUUUCUGAUAUAUUUUUUUUUUGGAGGGAGUAACAUAUACAUACAUAUAUAUACAUAUACAAUGUCAUUACAAUAUAAUUCUUAUGAGAGUAAAAAACAUAGCGUACUUGUUCAGCGUUAAUAGAGUCCUAAGUUCUUGAAACACACCUGAAGUUUAUCUUGAAUUUUGAUUACAUAGUUUGGUUAAUGAUUUAUUAUUUGUGUGGAAAAUAAAUUAUACUUAUCCAAUUCUAAUUAUGAGUGAAUAUAGAUAUUUUAAAAUCACAAUAAUUAAAUUUUUAAUGGCUUUCAAAUUAAGAAAAUCAAUUCUCUAAAAUCAUGAAAUUGAUCGAAACAUCAAACACUAUGAAAUUGAUCAAACAGACAUGCAAAAUGAGUUCACCAAAAAAACAAUAAUAAUAACAAUAAUAUUAAUAAUAAAAGAAAAAAAUAAACAAUUAAUAAUGUGAAACUAAUAGAAUCUCAAUUCAUUAUCUGUAACAUAGACAAAACCAACUAUAAACAAAAACCAAAACUAUUGAUUACAUCGAUACUGUUGGUGACAAUUGCUCCGGAUUGAAAAUGUGCUCCGGAUCGAAAAUGUCGUCGCUUUUCAUGGAUUUCAAUUUUUUCGGAGUCGGCGUCGAAGAAUCCUCGUUGAAUUUCAUUUUUUUCGGUUUCUUCGUCGAAGGAUCCUGAGGAAGUUUCUUAUAAAUCCGACACAAAACACAAUCAUCCAACUACAAAUAAAUAAAUUAAAACACAUCAAUUAUUUGAUUAAUAUCUUUUCAAUUGAAAAAAAAUAGCUCAAUAGCAAAUAAGUAAAUUAGAACAAAUUGUUAUGAAUCCUAGAAGGUGUGUGAAAGAAUUUAUGGUCCCGAGUUCGUUUAAUACAGAGAUGUUGUCUUAAGUGUUAUGACACUUAAACAAACAUGCAGCGGAAAUAUAACUAUAUAAAGACAAUACUCAGAUAUUUAAAUGUUCACAAGUAAGAACUUGUGAACUUGCUCUUUACAGGACGGAAAAAUUAUAUUAAACAAACAGUAUUCCAAGAAUACAAAUGGAAGAUGUACGAAAACUUCUUCCUUAUGAAUGAAUCAUUCUCAUGAUCAUUCUUACAUUCAAAUCUAGAAACAAAAAGAGAAAUAUUAAAAAUUCUAGAUUUCAAAUAAUGUACUCAUAAGGAGUACGUACAAUAGAUCCUAGAAACACACUAAAACUCUCGUAAAUAAACUUCAGCACUCGGUUUCUUUUGUUUCUUCGAAUCUACAUUUCUUGAGUCUUGAGUUUGGUAUUUAUAGACUUUCCAAGCUUCCACUACUCAGCCCAUGAUCUGCAAGAAAACCAACCACAAGAGCACUCAAGAUAAUGGGUUAGUAGGUUAGUUAUUAAGUUAAAAAGAUAUCCAUAAUUAAACCCACUAAGCACUACUUAGCCCACUAAGUCAUAGCACUUAGUCCACUAAUUCAUAACUAAAAUUUAGUUUGAAAGUAAGAAAGUUCAAAACACUUAUGUGGAAAAAUCCACGUGUGUCAAACUCCCCCUUUUUGACUUUCUGAUCAAAACUAAAUUUUAGCUAAAACUCCCCCUGAGACAUUGCUUGAACUCCCCCCGAAUUUGAUAAUAAACAAAAUAUAGAAAGAAUCAAUUCAAAACAAAUUCAGCAAAAUAGUUCAACACAAUUUAAACAAAAAGAAAAACAACCAAAGUGCAAUCCUAAAAGUUCAGAGGGAAAAUAAAGUCAGAACAAAAUCAAACAAAAUCAACUAUUGUUCAUAACAAUAAUUAAAGUAGAAUAUCUAAAGUCUCCUCAGUAUCAGCUGCUGCUCCUCCAUCAUCAGCACUCGAUCCACUGCUUUCCUCUGCUCCUUGAGUUUCACCUUCAUUCUUUGCUCCUUGCUCUCUGCCUCUGGCAUCCAAAGGAUGAGAAGUCCCUGCUUCAGCUUCAUGAUUAGAUUUUUCUCCCCCUUUUUGAUCAGAAAGAGCUUUGCGAAGCAUUUCCACCAUGGACUGGUGAUAAGUGAUCUGAGCUAGAGAGUGAGUAAGCUGUUGUAACAAGAGAUCUCUAGGUACAAAAACAAGAAUGUCAGGGAUGUUGUCAACAUGAGGAGCAACACAUUCAGUACCAAGAGAAAAUUAUCUCCAUUCCAGGGAAGAUCUUGGACAUGAGGAGCUUUUAGAAAAUUUUGAGAAACAGUGAUCAUGCCAAGUGGAGUGUGAAGAUAUUCUGAUUCAUCUUGAUCCAAAUUUUGAGAAAGUAGAAUUGAGUAGAUGAGAGAAUGAUAAGGAAGAUGAGUGGAGGAUGAAAUUUUCUGGGCAAGCUGACCUAUAUUAUUAAAGAAAAGCUUUCCAAAAUCAACUGGUAAUCCCAUCCCCAAUUUGUACAGGAGUACUGCAUGAGGUUUAGUGACCACAGAGACAUUCUUGGAUGGAAUCCAAUUCAUCACUGUGAGUCUGAACAUGACAGAAUAAAAUGCAGUGAGUUGAGAAACUUUGAAUUUUCUGGGGUGAGCAGGCCAAGAUUUUAGACAAUUUCCAGAAAAAGUCUUACAGACCUCAGUAAAAUCACCAUAAUUAUCCUCAUCAAUCACAGUAGGAGUUUGUAAAUGAGAGUUGAUAAUUUUGGGAGAAAAUGAGAAAAUGGAAUUUCGUACAAAAACUUUGCCAAAGUUUGGAGAAUUUUUCUUUAAAAAUGAGGUUUGCAGAUUGGCAUAAAAUUCCUUAACAACAGAGGGAUCAUAAGGACAGGCAACCUCAACUAGACUAAGGAUUUUUCUUUGAUCAAGAAAAGCAGUGAUCCUAUGUCUAUCAAACUCAUCCUUGGAAAUCUUCUUUUCCUCAAUGAAUUGGCAAUUCAUGAUUCUCACAUUUGAAUCAGAUUCAAAAUAAAAAGUAGGACUGAAGGCAUUGUUUACCUCAAAAGGAGUUGACAGAUCCUUUCCAUCCAAGUCUGGCUCUUGUUCCUCAGAGGAUUCCUCUUCUUCAGUGUCUUCAAGUUCAUCUGGGAUGAAUGCUGGCUCAGGUGAUGCAACACAUGGGGCAGCAUCUUCCUGCAACUGAGAGGAGUCCUCAGAUGAGUCACUGUCUGACUCUGAGGAUGGCAAUUUUUUGCGAAAAGUGGCAAGGGGAACUUCCCAGUUGUCAUCACUUUUCUCUGGUUCAUCAACCUGAGAAGGUGCUGCAUCUGCUUGAACAGCUGCUUCUGCAAGAGUUUCCAGAGGAUCUGCAUGUGGUGCUGAGAGUGUUUCUUCAGUGGUAGUGAAAUCCUGAGCAUCAACAGAGGGAAUGUCAACAUGCUCGGCAGAGGACAUCCCUGAAAAAUCAGGCAUUUCUUCAUCCUGGUAGGGAGCAACAUCCUCAGCAGCACUCUGAGAAACAUUGGCUGAGUCAGUGGGUGCAGUUAGACCUGACCACCGGUUCGGUUAGAACCGGAACCGGAACCGGAACCGAACCGGGGUCAACGGUUUUAGAACCGAACCGGAACCGGUUUGACCGGAACCGGAACCUGAACCGAAAAAACCGGUUCGGUUCCGGUUCCUCAUUUUUGGAACCGGGAACCGACGGUUAGAACCGCGGUUCUAACCAUUUGAACCGGUUUUAAAAAAAAAAAAAAAAAGAAUAUUAAUUCUCUCUCUCUCUCUCUCUAUAUAUAUAUAUAUAUAUAUAUAUAUAUGUAUAUAUAUAUAUAUACACAUAGACAGACAGACAUAUAUAUAUAUAUAUAUAUAUAUAUAUAUAUAUAUAUAUAUAUAUAUAUAUAUAUAUAUAUAUAUAUAUAUAUAUAUAUAUAUAUAUAUAUAUAUAUAUAUAUAUAUAUAUAUAUAUAUAUAUAUAUAUAUAUAUAUAUAUAUAUAUAUAUAUAUAUAUAUAUAUAUAUAUAUAUACGAUAUAUAAAUAUAUAUAUAUACUUCUCUGUAUUUCUAUUUAGGGGGUAAGACAGGGAAGCAUUGGCUUAGGGCCCCACCCCACAAGGGGGCCCCAUAAUAUUUUUCAUAAACCACUAUAUGACCCUGAUAAUUAGUUAUAUAGCACAUUUUAGUCCUUAAAUAUUUUAUUAGAUGUUGUUUUAAACUAUAUGCUAAUGGAUAUUUUAGGGGGUGUUUCGUANNNNNNNNNNNNNNNNNNNNNNNNNNNNNNNNNNNNNNNNNNNNNNNNNNNNNNNNNNNNNNNNNNNNNNNNNNNNNNNNNNNNNNNNNNNNNNNNNNNNCUUCUUUGUUUAUCUAUAUAUAUAUAUAUAUAUAUAUAUAUAUAUAUAUAUAUAUAUAUACAUAUAUAAAUAUAUAUAUAUACUUCUCUCUAUGUGUAUUUAUAUCUAUAUCUGUAUGUAUAUAUAUAUAUAUCUAUCUAUCUGUAUAUAUAUAUGUAUCUCUCUCUCUCUCUCUCUCUCUAUAUAUAUAUAUAUAUAUAUAUAUAUAUAUAUAUAUAUAUAUAUAUAUAUAUAUAUACACACAUUUAAGUAUUAAGAAAAAAAUUGACGUAUUUAAAAAAAAAAUUAAUUUUUUUUAAAUAUUAACAUUUAAAUAAAUAUAUUUUUAAAAGUUUUUUUUUAAGUUUUUUAAAGUAUUUUUUAAGUUAUAUAUAUAUACAUAUAUAAAUAUAUAUAUUUAUAUAAAAUUAAAAAAAAAAAAUUAUUAAGAACCGAACGGUUCUACGGUUCUAACCGGGAACCGAACCGGAACCGGUUAGGAACCGAACCGCAAGGAACCGGAUUUUUUCGGUUCGGUUCCGGUUCCUCCAAAAUCGGAACCGGAACCGGCGGUUCGGAACCGGAAUCGGAACCGAACCGAACCGUGGUCAGGUCUAGGUGCAGUAGCAUCUUCUGGAACAUGUGCAGCAACAUCUUCCGGUUGAGAAGCUGCUGCUGCCAUAUUAGACUGAGAUGUCUCCUCCUGAGUUGACGCUGGUGGAGGUGAGUCGUUUGACGAUGACUCAGUGGAGCUUGAGGAGAGAGCUUGGGCUUCUGGUUCUGCAAAGGUAGGAUCUCCUUCUUCAUCAUCUGUGUCCUCAUCAACCAAAUGGAGACCUCUUGGUGGGUUUGGCCUAACUGGGGUACAGCCACCUCGAUUACCUCUUCUUCCUCCUCUGCCUCCUCUUCUGGGAGAGUUUCCACCCCUCCGGCGUUGUGACCCAACAGUAUUCAGAUCUGGGAAGGGAUUCAUGCGUUUGGAACGGCGAGUUGGAAACCUUCCUGCAGUGGAAGAGGGACCCACAAACUCGAAGUUGUCUGGGUCAAUCGAAUUCAGCUCGUCUCCGGGCUCAAUGUAACUGAUCAACAUAGCUUCAAGAUUGACAGGAUGAACGAUGAUGGCCAGAUUCGGGUCUGCUGGUUCACGUGCUGCAGCAUCGUUGUGGACAUCACCUUUGGCUGGAAGAGGAUUUCUAGGAGGAGAUGCCAUGAUACAAUAGAUAAAAAAAAAUUGCUUCUUGUGCUUUUGAUUUUUGAGUGUGAAUUUUCGAAAAGGAAGCACGAAAUUUAUAAGCCCUAAUUUUUGCAGAAGAAAAAUUGAAGUGGAGAAGGUGAAGAAGUGGUGUGCGUUUUUCUUGGAGAAAGUGUGAUUAAGGAGAAUAAAGGUUUAUUUGGCAGUUGAAGGCAAAACGUGACACAUGGCACAAUAAGGAGUGGACUUAGUGGAAAAUAAAAGACUAACCCAUGUACCCCAUGACCCAUAUAAAUAGUGAUAAUUCAAUAAUAAAUAAAAUAAUAAUAAAAAAUAGUAGCACUCACGAAAUUUUCACAAAAAUAAGAAACACAUUUAUUAAUGAUUAAUAGUGUGAGAAAAAUAAAUUGGCUAGCAGGCAUAGAUUUUAUUAUAUAUAAUUUUUUUUUUUUUUUUGUGUUAAAUAAAACUCUUAUUUUGAAGUCAAACAAUUCACAUGGAACAUGAUCAAGUGUUCAGUUUGAAGGUUCCUCAGUUACUAAGAUAUGACUAUCAAAAUAGAGGAGUUUGACUUAUGUGAUUAUAAUUGUUCUCUGAAUGUUUACAUGAAGCAUGAUCACGUUUCAAGGUGAAAGACUUCCAGUUACUGAUUUAGAGAAUAAUCCAUCACAGUGAAGUCAUUAUUUAAAGAAGCUAAGCUUCAGUAAAUUAUGUUGCAGCUUAAGAUAUUGAAUGAUGUGCUGCAACAUAUUUCAGGACAUGUUUAUUGAGUACACAUCCCGAGAGAUUUUAUAAGUUUAGAAAACCUCUCAUAAUCUAAUGCUUUGUAAAGAUGUCAGCCAGCUGAUCUUCUGUAGGAAUGUACUUUAAGCACACUAUAUUUUUCUCAACUAUAUCACGAAUAAAGUGAUGUUUAAUAUCUAUGUGUUUAGUUCGUGAGUGUUGAACAUGGUUUUUUGAAAUAUCAAUAGCACUUGAAUUAUCACAAUAUAUGGUCAGGGUGUCACUGGUUAACCCAUAAUCCCCCAACAUUUGUUUCAUCCAAAUUAGUUAAACACAACAUCCUCCAGCAGCUACAUAUUCUGAUUCAGCUGUUGAAAGUGAUACACAAUUUUGUUUUCUACUAAACCAAGAGACCAGAUUAUUCCCCAAAAAGAAACAUGCACCUGAUGUGCUUUUUCUUUCACUAAUAUCCCCAGCCCAAUCAAAAUCACUAAAACCUAUCAAAUUCGUAUUAGUGUCUUUGAAAAACUGAAUGCCUAAGUCUACUGUACCUGCAACAUACCUAAUAAUCCUCUUCACGGCUUUAAGAUGAGUGACUUUGGGAUUAGCCUGAUACCUGGCACACACACAAACACUAAACAUAAUGUCAGGCCUGCUUGCUGUUAGAUACAGAAGGCUUCCAAUCAUGCUUCUGUAAAGGGUACUGUCAACAUCUUCAGCAACAUCAUCCUUGGACAGUUUUUGACUUGAACCCAUUGGAGUUUUCAUGUGCUUGGCUGACUCCAACUCAAACCUUUUGACCAGAUUGAGAACAUACUUCUUUUGAUUUACAAAAAUUCCUUCACUUGUAUGUUUGAUUUGGAGUCCUAGGAAGUAAUUUAACUCUCCUACCAUGCUCAUUUCAAAAGUGUGGGACAUAGAAUCUACAAAAGACUGUAAAAGGUUAGCACAAGUAGAACCAAAAACAAUAUCAUCAACAUAUAUUUGUACAAUAAUGAUAUGGUUAUUUGUUCUUCUAACAAAUAGAGUUAUGUCUGCUUCUCCUCUAGUGAAUUGUAUUUCAAGUAAGAAGUCAGUAAGUUUUUGAUACCAAGCUCUAGGAGCUUGUUUAAGACCAUACAGAGCCUUCUUAAGCUUGAACACAUGAUCAGGUUUGGCAGAAUCUUCAAAACCCUUGGGCUGCUCUACAUAUGCUUCUUCAUUUAGAACCCCAUUUAGAAAUGCACUUUUGAUAUCCAUCUGAUACAAUUUGAUUUUAAGAAAGCAGGCUAUAACAAGAAGUAACCUAAUAGAUUCAAUUCUAGCUACUGGAGCAAAGGUUUCAUCAAAAUCUAUACCUUCAAUCUGAGUAUAACCUUGUGCUACUAACCUAGCCUUAUUUUUAACAACUGUACCUUUUUCAUCAGUUUUGUUUUUGAAGAUCCACUUGGUACCUAUUACAUUUACAUGACUUGGUCUGGGAACUAAGUACCAAACAUCAUUCCUGAUGAACUGAUUCAGCUCUUCAUGCAUUGCAUUAAUCCAAAACUCAUCCUUUAGUGCUUCUGCAAUGUUCCUUGGUUCGACUGAAGAUACAAAACAAGUAGUUCCAGUUAGUGCACAUUCAGAAGAUAAAUUAGCAAAUCUUACCAUAUCUCUGUAAUUUACUCUCUCUUUUCUUCUGGUCCUUAACCCAUCAAAGAUAUCUCCCACAACUUGAGUGGAAGGGUGAUUUUUCUGGAUUCUACUUGAUGGUUCCUUUCUGCAGACAUCAUAGGUUGGCUGCAAUUCAACUUCUGUGCUCUCUGUUGGAUGUAUUGAGUCAGAUGUGGCAACACUUGGCUCAACACCUUCUUCUCUUGAGACUGGACUGUUUAUAUCUGGAGCAUCUGUGGCAGUAGUGUCUCCUCCUGUUGUUUCUCCUUCAGCAAUCAAGUCAUCAACUUCAUCUUCAGCUGUUUUACUGCGGAGAUCAGCAAAGUCAUCAAAUACCACAUUUACAGAUUCAAUAAUGGUUCGAGUUCUUAAGUUGUAUACUCUAUAAGCAUGACUGUUAUUAGAGUAUCCCAUAAACAAACUCAAAUAACUUUUUGAAUCAAAUUUAGCAAGAUGAUCUCUAUCAUUUAGGACAUAGCAAACGCAUCCAAACACGUGCAUGUAUUCUAGAUUAGGUUUCUUACCAUAAAGAAUUUCAUAUGAAGUCAUCAUAGACCCUAAUCUUAGAUACACACGAUUUGAGAUGUGACAUGCUGUGUUGACAGCCUCAGCCCAAAACCUUUUAGACAAAUUUUUUGCACUCAUCAUUACCCUAGCCAUCUCCUGGAUAGUUCUGUUUUUUCUUUCAGCAAUACCAUUUUGCUGAGGAGUUUUUGGAGCAGAAAAUUCAUGCUUUAUACCCUUUUUAUUACAAAAAGCAAGAAAUAAAGCAUUCUCAAAUUCUUUUCCAUGAUCAGAUCUUAUUCUACGAAUAGAUACUUGAAAUUGAGUUCUAACAAACCUGUACAAAUUUCUGAAAACUUCAAAAGUAUCAGACUUUUCUCUUAAAAAAUACACCCUAGUAUAUCUUGAAAAAUCAUCAACACACACAAAUACAUAUUUUUUACCACCUAGACUUUCUACCUCUAUAGGACCCAUAAGAUCCAUAUGUACAAGUUCGAAACAAAUGGUGGUACCAACGUGUUGUAACACUUUGUGUGGUACUCUAGUUUGCUUUCCCUUCUGGCACAUUCCACAUAUAGGAAUGUCCUUGAUCUUGAGAUCAGGAAUUCCUCUUAUGGCAUUGUACUUGUUGAGCAGCUUCAGAUUUUUGAAGUUUGUGUGCCCAAGUUUCUGGUGCCACAGCUCUACUUCACUUACUCUUGAGCUCUUGCAUGAGAUGGUAUCACCUGUUUGGUAACAAUUAUCCAUUGACCUGGAACCUGUCAGUACACAAUGAUUUUGAUUAUCAAACACAGAGCAACAAUAUUUAUCAAAUUGAACACGUAGAUCAUCAUCACACAAUUGACUGAUACUGAUGAGAUUUGACCCCAAUCCUUCAACAUGUAGGACAUUUGAAAGUUUUGGAAGUCCCUCAAUACUGAGUGUUCCACGUCCAACCACUUUGCCUUUAGCUCCUCCUCCAUAGGUUACACGUCCUCCAUUGAGUGUAUGGUAGUUUGAUAGGAAUUCUUUUGUUCCACUCAUGUGCCUAGAGCAUCCACUAUCAAAGUACCAUGAACCUGAAAUGUUAGCAUUUAAGGAAGUGUAUACUGCUUUGCACAUAAGUUUACCUUUGGGAGUCCAUACUCUACACUCCUUUUUGGUAGAUUCUAGCUUUUUCUUGGAGAUGUUCCCUAGAGUGUUGUGACUCAUCCUGUACAACAUUUUGUCAGUACUUAGUUUCUCACAGAAUGGACGAAUAUGUCCUGGUGAGAAACAGUAAUGACAAAUGUAUCCCCUUAUUCUGGACUCUGGAGUGGUGACUGUGGAGUUUCUGCAUUCUUUUUCUUUUGAACCCUUCUCCUUUACAAAAGCAAUUUCCUUCUUCUUUGCUGACAUGUGUUUCUUCACUUGUUUUUUGAACCCUAGACCUUCAUUUUUGUUGUACUUUACCAGUGACACAAUCUCUUCGAGUUUAGUUGUGCCGGUAUUCAUCCUUUUGAUUGCUAGAGUUGCUUCUUUGAGUUCAUCUUUCACCUUUGCCAGUUCAAGAUCUUUCUUGGUGAUACCAACCUCCAAAUGUGUGAUUGUAUCUUUAAGGGAAGAAUUUUCCUUGUUGGCUGCAUCUAGAGCUUGAGUCUUCUUCUCCAAGUCACUGAACAACUUCUUGCACAUUUCUUCCUCAUUUCUAACUGCUUCUUUACUUGAUUCUGCUGCAUUCAAGGAAAUAGAGUUUAAACAUGUAUAAUAGUUAUCAUCUAACUCAUAAAUUUCAGUUACUGAAAGUGUUUCAGAAAGUGUUGCAGCAUAUAGAGAAACUCCUUGUGAUUCUGUUUCAGAAGAAUUUUCAGUGAUAUAUCUGACAGAAAGAGCAUGUUUAGUAGAUUGUUGCUCCUGUGUCUGUUCAGGUUGCUCUUCCUCCUCAUCACUGACAGCACAAAUCAGACUCAUUCCUCUUCUUCUCAAGGUUUUUGCACAUUCAUUAGCAUAAUGUCCAAAUCCUGAACAUGCCCUGCAUUUAAUAUGAUCCAAGUUAGGUGGUUCCGAAUUUGAACGAAUAAAUGAAGAAUUUUUUAAAGUAUUUUGAGAAGAUGUUUGAGGAAAUGUUCUCUGUGGAAUAGAUGUGUUCCGGGGCUGAGUUUGUCGAUUUUGUGGAGAGCCGUCUGGAAAUAACUGUCUGGGCUUGAUUCCACUUCGUUUGUACGCCCUAUUGAAUUUCUGAAUCUGAAAUGCCACAUUGUUGAGACAUUCCUCUGCAUCAUCAUCAUAUUCCGGAGCAACAUCUUCCUUCUCUAAUUCUGCCUGGAGUGCAUUUGAGAUAGCCUUUCCUUUCUCCUUUCUUUGAUCUUCAAAGUUCAUCUCUCUAGACUUUAGACUACCAAUUAAGUCGUCCAGCCGUAGAGAUGAUGUGUCUUUGGCCUCCUCAAUAGCACUAACCGCCAUGCUGAUCUUUCUGGAAGAGUUCUCAAUACCUUAUUUACCAGUGUCUCGUUGCUCAAAGGACCACCUAAGGAUUGAAAUUCAUUAGCAAAAUCAAUCAAUUUCUCAUUAUACUGAGAAAUUGUUUCAGUUUCUUCCAUCCUUAGUCUCUCAAAUUUGGAAGAAAGUAAUGUAACACCCCACAUUUUCGAAACCCUAAUCCCUAACCAAAAUUCCAUAACUCGGAAAUUCUCACGUAGGAAUUUUUAGUAAUUUAUUUACCUUAUUAAUUUAAUUUCUCUAAGUGCCUUAUUUGCUUAGACUAUUAAUCCUUAUAUGCCGAUUUGAUUAUAUGCCUUAUGUGCUAGGAAUUUAUUGAAUAAUUAUGUGCCAACUUUAUUUCGAAAAUUAUGUGCUUAAGUAGAUUAAUUAUGGAUAAUUGUGUGCUAGAUUAAUUUAUGUGACUUAUGUGUAUAAUUAAUUUAAUUAUGUGAUUUCAUGAUUUAAUCAUAAUUACAUGCAUAAUACAUGCAUAUAUACGUACAUGUAUGCAUACAUAUAUGCAUAUGCUAUAACCUACUCUAGACUAUAGGCAAUAUAGGUACAUGUAUAUGUAUAUGUGUGUGUUCGGUUUUAUGUGUAUGAGAGAGAUUAACUAUUUUAUUAAUUAUGAAAUAAAAUUAGAAAAGAUGCAUGCUUGUACACUUGGCAAAGAGUGAGGAUUUACACUAAUCCUACACUCAAGCAUGCUAAGUCAUCCCAAGAGACACCCAUCUAUCUUCAUCAUUUUACACCUACACUCCCACUUGUCUUCUCUUCACCAUCACCACCGAAGCACCACCUCCUCCAUCGGCCAACACCUCAAAAUUCUUCAAGAAAAAAAUAGAGAAAUCAAAAUGCAAAUCCCCUAUAUAAGCUUCACCCUUGAAUAUGCCAAGAACACCAUCAAAAACACUUGCCCUCUUACGGGAGAUUUAAACUCCUCCCAACUUGAUAUCAAAGCUCUUACCUUCUCCAUUCAAAUAGCUUGGUUCAAUCUUGGAGCCACUUCUUAAAGGAGGUAACAUUGUAUCUUCGUGUUCUUCAUCUUCUUCAUCCUCCUUUUCUUUCUUUCUCUAAAAACCCUCUUUUCUUUUGAAGGUUUUUCUUUCUUCGGCCAACACUCUAUAAUAGGUAAAAAAUCUCGAAUUUCUUGCUGCAAUCGAAGGGUAUCAUAGUAUGAAAAAGGAUUUUUGAAACUACCUAAAAGAUUUCCUCACUUUUCGAAAAAUUAGGGCUUUUUGUGUAAAAUCCGAAAUUUUGUGCUAAUCUUGAUAUUUGUGUUAUUGCAUGUCUAAUCCAUGUUAUAAUCUGUGAAUCUAAGCAUUUUGUGUUUAAAGAGUUAAUAUUUCGAAUUUUUGGAAAUUUGGAGAAAGAAAAUGAGUUUUCAAGAUUUUUGGGGUUGCAUGUGUAGAUCUAUGAAUCUUUAGGGCUAAUCUGCAAUUUCUUGAAAUUUCAACAUGAAAAAUGUUUUCACCUUUAAAAUCUCAGUAGGAGAAAGUGGAAUUUUGUUAUUUUCUAUUUGGUCAUAAUUUGGGAUUAACAUUUGUUGGAAAAAUCAUUUUUUAGCUUCAAACACUACUUGCCGAGUAUUUUAAUUUUUAUAAAUCCGAUUUUCAAGGAAACUGCAAAAUUCUUUUUGCAUCUGUUCAUUUAGUCAGUUAGGUAGCAUAUAAUUAAAUUUGAAAAUUUUUAGAUGCUAUUUGCUAUUAUUUCGAAAUAUUGCUUGUGCAUGUGUCUUGAGUAUAAUUGUGAGAAUGAGAAUUGAUGGUUAAAAAUCUGCAGCUGAACUAUGUUAAGGGGCUGUAAGAAUUUUAAUUCAUUUAAUGAAUAAAAUUGGGAGAAAUCCCAUUAAUGAAAAGAUAAGAAUGUUGGUGCUUUAAGGGCAUAAUUUGCUAAUUUAAUGCCAUUUAAAGUAUGUUUUGGGGGCUGCAUGUUUAUGUGUGUGUAUGUGUCGUGUGUGUGUUGUGUGUGUGUGUGAUUUAUGAUAUAUGGAUAUAUAAUAUAUUGUGAUAGUGGUUUUGUGAAUUAUGUGCUAUGCUUAAGUGUUUAUAUAUAUGUAUGUGUGUAUUAUGUGUGUGUGAUUGCCGUGGAUAUAUGUAUAUAUUAUGUGGAUAAUUGGAUUUUGUUGGCAUGCUCGUUGAUUGAUAUUUGUGAUGUCGUAAAUGGUCAUUUUCGUAUUAGAGUCUCAUUCGUCUCAUGGUCUUGCAUAAAAAGAGAUUUCAUUUUUACGAAAGGAAAGGUUAAUGGAAUGCUUGGGUUGGAUAAGUCGGGAUACGAGGGGCCGGUAUUCCAACCAUAGUUACUAUAGAAAAAGGGGUGGUUUGAUUCCACCAAAAGAACGGGCUCAGAAUAAUAUGCUUAUCAUCCAAGUAAAGAAGUUAAUUUUUCACGGAUCCGAACAACAGAAAAUGUUUUCAUUCAUGCAUUUGCACGAAAAGGGUAAUUCGGUAAUUUUCAGUAAUUGAGUCGAUUUAUGUGCUUAAAUGAGAUUAAGUGUUUGUGUGUGCGUUUGUUUGCCGACGAAUGGUAAGAUGUGAUACUUAUGUGUAUAUAUUAUAUAAAUACGUAAAACCAUAUUUUAAAACCUCGUUAUCCAUUCGGAUUUCUUACUGGGCCUAAUAGCUCAUAUAGAUACUUCUUUGAUUGCAGGUAAUAGUAGUGUAGUAAUCCCUCGCCGGAAUGGACCGAGUAGUGGAUCGGAGUAUUGGCCGGAGGUUUUUGGAGGAUCGUACGAGGGGUCUAUAAAUUAUGCUUAUUUUAUUUUGGUGAUGUAAACUAUAGAAAAUUUCCGUAUUUCUGUUUUCUUUAAACUCUAAUAUUUCCUUGUUAGGGGAAUUAAACUCUUACCCUAGUACGGGCCUUAUUUUGGUAUUAAUAUAGUUGGUCCGCUUAUUUUGAUAAUUGCAUUUCUUACCCGGAAAUCCCUAUUCACCAAAUAGCUUUAAACUCUGAUUUCUUUUCGAACCAAAAGUGAAACCGAUAGUUAGAUAAAUGUAGCACUCGAAUAAUAAUCUCCCUUUUUAAAGUUAUUUUUAAAACGAAAAAAUUUAAACGACCAAAAUAACCCUAAGAAGUUUUCGAAAUUCUUAAGGUUCCCAAAAAGUUUUCAUAUGUCCCAAAAAGAGAUUUUCAGAAAUUACAUUUUGGUCCUGUUCGAAAGUUUUAAAAUUACAAAGAGAUCCCUUUUUGCUUCCGCUAUCAAACCACCCAUUUUGAUAAGUCGGGAUACGAGGGGCCGGUAUUCCAACCAUAGUUACUAUAGAAAAAUGGGUGGUUUGAUUCCACCAAAAGAACGGGCUCAGAAUAAUAUGCUUAUCAUCCAAGUAAAGAAGUUAAUUUUUCACGGAUCCGAACAACAGAAAAUGUUUUCAUUCAUGCAUUUGCACGAAAAGGGUAAUUCGGUAAUUUUCAGUAAUUGAGUCGAUUUAUGUGCUUAAAUGAGAUUAAGUGUUUGUGUGUGCGUUUGUUUGCCGACGAAUGGUAAGAUGUGAUACUUAUGUGUAUAUAUUAUAUAAAUACGUAAAACCAUAUUUUAAAACCUCGUUAUCCAUUCGGAUUUCUUACUGGGCUUAAUAGCUCAUAUAGAUACUUCUUUGAUUGCAGGUAAUAGUAGUAAUCCCUCGCCGGAAUGGACCGAGUAGUGGAUCGGAGUCUUGGCCGGAGGUUUUUGGAGGAUCGUACGAGGGGUCUAUAAAUUAUGCUUAUUUUAUUUUGGUGAUGUAAACUAUAGAAAAUUUCCGUAUUUCCGUUUUCUUUAAACUCUAAUAUUUCCUUGUUAGGGGAAUUAAACUCUUACCCUAGUACGGGCCUUAUUUUGGUAUUAAUAUAGUUGGUCCGCUUAUUUUGAUAAUUGCAUUUCUUACCCGGAAAUCCCUAUUCACCAAAUAGCUUUAAACUCUGAUUUCUUUUCGAACCAAAAGUGAAACCGAUAGUUAGAUAAAUGUAGCACUCGAAUAAUAAUCUCCCUUUUUAAAGUUAUUUCUAAAACGAAAAAAUUUAAACGACCAAAAUAACCCUAAGAAGUUUUCGAAAUUCUUAAGGUUCCCAAAAAGUUUUCAUAUGUCCCAAAAAGAGAUUUUCAGAAAUUACAUUUUGGUCCUGUUCGAAAGUUUUAAAAUUACAAAGAGAUCCCUUUUUGCUUCCGCUAUCUAAAGUUUUCCGAUAAACCGGUUCCAUUUAUCGCCCGACCCGAGGGGGGUGCUACAAGUAAUCUGAGCUUAGUUCUCCUGACAUUGUCUGAUCCUUCACAAUGCAGCUGAAGAACCUCCCAUGCAUCCUUCGCAGAAGUGCACACUGAAAUCAAUUUAAACAUUGUUAAAUCUACUGAAUUAAAGAUUGCAUUUAGUGCCUUUGAGUUUUGAUUGGCAUUUGCUAUAUCAUCUGCUGUCCAUCGUAAUUCUGGUGUUGGAGAUACAUCUCCAUCCGCAUCUAUUGUAGUCGGUGGCUUCCAUCCAGUAAGAAUAGAUCUCCAGGCUCUCUCAUCAAUGGCUUUGAUGUACGCCCUCAUCUUGACUUUCCAGUAGGUGUAGUUUGUGCCAUCAAGUACAGGAGGUCGCAUAGAAGCAGUCAUCUGAGUAUCCAUCACGAAUUCGUUUCUGUAAAGAAAAUAGGAACAAACACUUAGGCUGUGUUUGAUAACACUAAGCGCUGAAUGCUGAAUGCUGAAUACAUAUCUGAAUGACUAAGAGUUAUGCCUGGAUACUGAAUGUUGAAUCAUUAAGCUCAUUUGAUAGCUAAAAUUCUGUCGUCUGAAUAAUAACAUUUUACCGUUAUAUCCUUGGUCAAAUACUGUAGUAUUUGUUAAUGAGCAACAUAUAUGAUAUAUGUAUAAAUAUAAUUCUUUUAGCAUGAUUAACUUAAUCAACAAAUUAUGAAAUUUGGGCAGACAUUAACAUCUCUAUGUGUUUUAAAUAUCAAGUAUUUAACAUUAUUAUAAUAUAAAUAUGAAAUAUAAAAGUCAAACAAAUUUAAAAAGUAAUCUCUAAGCAACUAAAGGUAGUAAUAGUAAAACUUAUUAACUUAAAAUAUGAAAAUAUACUAAAUUCACUAAAAUUGACACGAAUAAAAUAUAUUUUAAUUACCUUUUAUUUUAAUACAUAUAUAAUUAGACUUUAUUAAGAUAAAUGAAAGAAAAAAGGAUAGAACUUAUUUAUGGAGUAAAAAAAGUUGGAAGUUGCGCAGAAAAGUGAUAGUGUGUUGGGAUAUUACCUGAGAUUAAUGUGGAAUAUAUGAGUUUUCUAAAGGAUAAUUAUGUGUAAAUUUGAUUCAGAUGUAGCACUUGUUCGGUCAGCACCAACUUUUGGACUGAAUAGUUAAGAGCAUCAUGGAACCAUUCAGUCAUUAAUAUCAAACGCACUUAACAUUCCAAUUGCUUACCGAUUCAGCAAAUUAGUGAUUAAGAGGGUCAUUAAGAGCAAUCAAACAAGGCCUUAGUAUACGUCAAGUGUUGGCUCUUGAUGCCAAUUGAAAGAAUUUAUGGUCCCGAAUUCGUUUAAUACAGAGAUGUUGUCUUAAGUGUUAUGACACUUAAACAAACAUGCAGCGGAAAAAUAACUAUAUAAAGACAAUACUCAGAUAUUAAAAUGUUCACAAGUAAGAACUUGUGAACUUGCCCUUUACAGGACGGAAAAAUUAUAUUAAACAAACAGUAUUCCAAGAAUACAAAUGGAAGAUGUACGAAAACUUCUUCCUUAUGAAUGAAUCAUUCUCAUGAUCAUUCUUACAUUCAAAUCUAGAAACAAAAAGAGAAAUAUUAAAAAUUCUAGAUUUCAAAUAAUGUACUCAUAAGGAGUACGUUCAAUAGAUCCUAGAAACACACUAAAACUCUCGUAAAUAAACUUCAGCACUCGGUUUCUUUUGUUUCUUCGAAUCUACAUUUCUUGAGUCUUGAGUUUGGUAUUUAUAGACUUUCCAAGCUUCCACUACUCAGCCCAUGAUCUGCAAGAAAACCAACCACAAGAGCACUCAAGAUAAUGGGUUAGUGGGUUAGUUAUUAAGUUAGAAGAUAUCCAUAAUUAAACCCACUAAGCACUACUUAGCCCACUAAGUCAUAGCACUUAGUCCACUAAUUCAUAACUAAAAUUUAGUUUGAAAGUAAGAAAGUUCAAAACACUUAUGUGGAAAAAUCCACGUGUUUCAGUGUGGAUGACCACCAUUACUCACCAUCAUCAAAUAGAAUCUGGUGCAAUCGAACUUCGGUCGAGUGGUUGAAGUUCCUACUUCCACUAAUUUAACGGUGUGAUUGGAUCGGAUCAAAUUAAACAUUGAGUAAAAUAGUGAAAUUGCAUUGUAAAAUAAUUGAUACGUUUAACGAAAUCAAAAAUUUAAAUGGAAAUUUUGUUUUAUUGUAAUUUCGGACAGGUAUAGUAUUUUUUUUAAUUCAGAGGAGGUAUAGAAGAAGAAGAAAUAAAUGUAACAUCAAUUUGAUUAGUAAAAUGGAAAUGGCUAGUCCAAAUAAUUGGAGAAGAAUGUAGUAGAAGGUGACUCGUUGGAGGUUAUAUUGCCGCAGUUAGUAAAUCUUCAAGUUCCCAAGCUCCAUACAUGAAUAUCAUAGAGGAUAUCGAGCGGCCGAGAAAGUGGUUUGAGCAUUUUGGAUACAAAAUAAGUAGCUCAUGAAGUAACAACUUUGUCGAAGAUUGAUAAUUUCUCUAUUUAAGUGAUCUAUGUAGAAGAGAAGCUCAGAAAAAUAAUUUUAUAAUCCCUUCAAAACUGGUAACGACAAUGCUUCACCAGAUCAGCCUCAGAAUUAAUGGUGGCCAAUGGAAAGAUAUGACACUAACAGCAUCUCUUCGGUCUUUCUUAACCUUAUUUUCUGUGAAUUUGUCUACUUAUACUGCUCGUCGGUCUCCGUUAAUACGGGUACUGGAUGUGGUUGAUAGAUAUGUCUCUUGCACGAGUUUGAUCUUUAUGUCGCCGUUUAUAUUAUCCCGACUUUGGAGCCUACAGACCUUAGUUGAUGGUGGAGAGUUGACUCUACCUAUUGAGAUAUGGCAGAUCCUCCUUCACGUGGCGAAAAAAUCACAAUGCUUGAAAAUCUAAAAACACAUUCAAUAGUCAAAGAUUUCAAAUGUACUAAAGAGGUAACUAAAGGAAUCCCGAAUCUGAAGAAGUUGGGAAUUGUUUAUCCGGCAAUUGGAUCUUAUUAUUUAAGCAAUCUCGGCUUUCUCCAUAAACUUGAAUCACUUAGUCUAGCAUUUGUUGGUACGCUUGGUCUUUCCAAGUUCACUUAAAAAGUUGGCCUUAAGUGAAUGCAAGAGAAGAUAUGUCCAUUGUUGGUUCAUUACCAAAUCUUGAACUUCUCAAACAGCGGUCGAAUUCCGCUGUAGGGAAAAAGUGGAUUUCAAAUGAAGGGGAAUUCGCUCGACUAAAGUACUUGUUGAUUCAUAUGUGUGAGUUGGAGAUUUGGGAAUCAGAAAAUACACAUUUCCCAUGUCUUGAGCAAAUACAUCUCGGAAUCGUGAGCCUGAAUGAGUUCCCUUCAGAUUUUGCUGAAAUAUUACCGCUUCAAGUGAUCGACUUACACCGCUGUGAAAAUUCCCUCUUGACAUCGGCAAAGGAAGUAUCAGAGCAACGAGAGAACCUAGGAUACGAUGCUCUUCAAAUUCGAGCUUUAAUGCCUGGACUGCUCAGAAUAUCUGUGCAAAGAGGUAUCAAUCUUGCUGCUCGCAAUCACCCCAAGAGAAGUCCUUAUGCUGCUGUCAGAAUAUCCAAACAGGUUGUGUUUUUACUAAAAACAUUUGGUGUUCUUCUUCGUAUGGGUUUUAGAUCUUUUAUGCUUUCCUUUUUUUACAAAAACGAAUUGCAAUUCACUAUAUAUAAAUGAUUGCGCUGCAGAUUCUGAGGACUCAUGUUGUCAGAAAGACUGUUAAUCCCGAAUGGCAUGACGAUUUGACAAUUGCUGUUUUAGAUCCUAGCCAACCAAUUUCUGUUAACAAAUGUGAUAACAACUAUAAACUAUUUUUGUAAAGUAAUUACUUUUUGACGCAGAACGGAAGCACGGUAAAGAAUUAAUUUCUACGAAUUAAUUCUAUAGAACAAAAUAACAUUCGGAAUCCACCGAAAACUCUGGAAUCCACCAGAAAAAUAGAGAAAACUCUAAAUAUUUUAUGAAAAUUCGAAAAUUCUUCUCAAAAUAAAGUCCUAACGCAGCUAUUUAUACUAAAAAACUGAAAACCCUAAUUAAACUAAGAAACUACUAAAAAUUAUCAAAAACGGAACGAGUUAGAGUCUGAUUCUAGUAGAUCUCGUAAUUUUGGGAACAACCCAAUUUACGGAAUCCUAAUCCGAUUUUUCUAUGAUUUGAUAUUAAUUUUCUAGUACUUGCCUAAAAUAGCAAAAACGAACUUUUGGGAGUCUAAACGACGUUGGAUUGCUGAAAUUUGACGUGAUUCAUGAGCUUUGCUAAUGAGUUUUGUUGCUUGCGCCGUUUCACUUGAGAUAGAGUUCGUUUCGUACUCAAAUACAAUUUGAGUUCGUCGAAAACCCUUAUUUUUCCAUAAUUUCUUGCGAUAUUUCCACCAAUGCCCAUUAAUAACCCUUCUACGAAUUAAAUAGUUAUUUUGCAACUCAAUUCCAAUUUGACGUUCUUUAUCAAUCUCCUCUUCUUCAAAAGAGAAGACCUCGAGCUAUGAUCAAAAUAUUGCGAUGCAUAUUUCUUUGCAAACAACUUCAAGUACUCCACCAAUAUUCCCCACUCAAAAGUCUCGCUUACUAAAUCUUCCUCUAAACGAGGCAUUAGAAAUAUUGGCUUCUGAAUCGAAAAUUCCAAUGGCUCCACCAAUUUCUCCGAUACAACAACUUCACAGCAAACACUAUCUACAAUUAGAUCACAUACCUCAACGCAGUUCACUUGUCCAUUCUCUUCUCGUGCACCUUCCUCUUCUUGAACAAAUUUCACAACUUCCAAUUCUUCCUCAAAUUUGUUUUUAACACCCUCUUUAAACUCGUCGACUUCUUCUUCUAGCUUGCUAAUAUUCUCUUCUACUCCAUUGUCGCUCUCUUCAACUUUGUUGAUGCUCGCUUCAAGCUCGUUGACUGUUCCUUCAACUUCGUCGACGUUCACUUUGACUUCGUUAAUAUCAUCGUUAAUAAUAGCUACGCUAAUUUUAACUUUUGAAUCAACAAUUUCGUCUUCAACUUCGUUAAAUCCUACGCCAUGAUCCUCCACCAAACUAGGUGCUUGAAUAACGAACGAAGUAUCUUCUACCUCCUUAACUUUGACAACGGGUGGAACAUCUUUGGUUUUUCUAGAAGAACUAUUUCGCUUCUCAUAAUAUUCCUCCCUCCAUGCUAACUCUUGAGCCUCUUAAAGGGUGUAGAAUGUAUGCCACACCAUCCUGAGACGUAUUGAAAUAUUCAAUCCUGUCAAGUACCGUGAAAUUUCCGUACUUUCGGAUUCUUGCAGGUUAUUUAAGUUUGCUAGUCUCAUAAACUCAGUAGUAUACUUGUUAACAGAUCUACUCCCUUGUAUAUAGUUGAAAUAGACGUUGCUCAUAACCUAGGGGUAAAAAACGAUCCAUCAACAUUUUUCUCAUCCUUCUCCAUGAUUGGAUUGGAACUUUUUCUUGUCUAGCUCUCUUCCACUUUAUCCCAUCCCACCAUGCGGUUGCACUACCUUUUAACUCACACCUCACCAAUUUUACCAUCUUAUUCGGCAAAAUAUCCAUCAAUUCAAAAUACCUUUCCACUUCUGAGACCCAAUCGAUAAAGUCCUCAACUUCAAGAAAAUUUGCACUAAAAGAAGGAAUUUCAGCUCUUACCUGAUAUUUAUCACGAUCCUUUUGCCUCCCUCUAGGCGGGUUUUCUUCAAACUCAGAGUUGCCGCUUACCUUUGAAUAGUCGUCAUACCUUGAUUGAAGUUGAAUAGGUCCAUGAUAAUUGUGUCUAACAUAUUCACCUCGGGCUACACCGUCGGCAAUCAUCGUGUUAGAUUCAAUCCUUCUGUUGUUGUUGUCAAGCGCAAAUCCCUCGCGCACCAACCGCAGAUUUUGCAGUUUUUCAACCCCGCGGUCAUCGCCAACGUAGUUGUUGUCUGCAUGUUUCGCACCUUUCGCCAUCUAACCAGGAAAAACCUCGCUACUGAUGCCAACUGACGCAGAACGGAAGCACGGUAAAGAAUUAAUUUCUACGAAUUAAUUCUACAGAACAAAAUAACAUUCGGAAUCCACCGAAAACUCUGGAAUCCACCAGAAAAAUAGAGAAAACUCUAAAUAUUUUAUUAGAAUUCGAAAGUUCUUCUCAAAAUAAAGUCCUAAGGCAGCUAUUUAUACUAAAAAAAUGAAAACCCUAAUUAAACUAAGAAAAUACUAAAAAUUAUCAAAAACGGCAAAAACGAGUUAGAGACUGAUUCUAGUAGAUAUCGUAAUUUUGGGAACAACCCAAUUUACGGAAUCCUAAUCCGAUUUUUCUAUGAUUUGAUAUUAAUUUUCUAAAACAUGCCUAAAAUAGCGAAAACAAACUUUUGGGAGUCUAAACGACGUUGGAUUGCUGAAAUUUGACGUGAUUCAUGAGCUUUGCUCAUGAGUUUUGUUCCUUGCGCCGUUUCACUUGAGAUAGAGUUCGUUUCGUGUUCAAAUACAAUUUGAGUUCGUCGAAAACCCUUAUUUUUCCAUAAUUUCUAGCGAUAUUUCCACCAAUGCCCAUUAAUAACUCUUCUACGAAUUAAAUAGUUAUUUUGCAACUCAAUUCCAAUUUGACGUUCCUUAUCACUUUUUUACCUAGCAUUUUAACAAUCUUACUCGUUUUUUUCUUGAUCCAGUCAGCUUAUUAGAAACCGUAAUACCUAUAUGCUGAUUCUAUGUGUACGUAUGGUUGUAGACGGUGUACGACAUAAACAUGUUCAGUGUGGAUGAGAAGAUAGGAGACGCAGAGUUUGAUAUUAGACCAUUUGUACAAGCGUUUAAGAUGCAUCCAAAUGCCCUACCUAACGGUACAAUAACCACAAGAAUAUUGCCUUCAAGCUCGAAUUGCCUGUCUGAAGAGAGUUUCAUUUUCUGGAAGGAUGACAAUCUAAUGCAGGAUAUGUGCCUCGGAUUGAGAAAUUUCGAAUCUGGCCAAGUCAAACUUCAGCUGCGGUGGAUUGAUAUUCUUCAAGGCUUCGAAUAAUUUUAUUUUUCUUUAUUUCCUUCUUUCUUUUGUAUUUAUGUUGUCAUUACCAGUUUCAUAUUGUGAAAUGGCUAAUCCAGUUACAAAAUUUUGACUUCUGCAGUCCAUUUGGACUUCUGAAAAAUUUAAAAUAAAAAAUUCUGAAAGGGCUAAUCCCCAUCCGAUCGGUCCGGUUUACACCCUUAAAUUCUAUAUGUAUUAAUGGGAUAAAUUUCAGGCACCCUCACCGAACCAUUGCCAUAUUCACAAUUACACCCCAAACAUUUAAAUUUUUGACGUUCACUUCCCUGAACUAUCAACUUGACAAUAAAUUCGACAACUUAUGAUUCAUAUGUAACUCGACAACAUCAAUGUUCACUGAUAACAACAAAAAUGGGCAAUGAAAUAUAUAUACAUACACACAUACAUCUAUAUCUAUACUUCUUAUAAAAUGAUGAAUCUUAGUAUGAUUUCUUCCAUUUUUUUUGGACUAAAAUGCCCCUACGGCCUCUUUUGGUUGGGCCGAUCUGGGUGGAUUGAUCCUCUAAUCCACUCAGAUCUUUGAUUUGGUUCACAACUAGCGGGCUACAGAUUGAUCUUGGGCCCGGGUACCCAUCCGGCAAAUGGCGGAUCGCACAUCAGGCCAAGGGAGGUGAGUUUAGGUGAUCCGUCUAAAUGUCAGCCCAAACCACCAUGUUCUUUUACUAUUUUGUCCUCACUUAUUUCAUGUAUUUACAAAAGUACCCCAUAUAAAUAUCAAUUCUCAUCCCCAAACCGAAGACUGAUACCCUAGAACACAAAUCCCGUAUUUGCGAUUUCACCGGCGUUAAACCUAAUUCCACUCCGUUUCUCGAUUGUGUGGAGAUUGCAAUGGUUUGUAGGUAAUCGAUUGAUCGUUUAUGUUUUAUUAGGGCCCCCUAUUCUGGAAUAUACGCGCAGCAGCUUUUCCGAUCGUCGGUGGAUCGGUGAGCCCUGCCAGAGUUACACCUUCUGGAAAACGGACAAUUUCCGGCUUCCACUACACUAUCUUCGUUGUCAGGUUAGUGAACAAAUUUCCCGACCUUUUUUUGGCAAAAUUGAUUGAACAAUUCCUUGUCAUUACCAAUAUAAAUGAAUGAGGGAGGAGUUAUAUUUUCAAAUGGGAGGUAGGGCCUGGUUAUGACAAAGGUGAAAAGUGCAACUGAUUUUUGUCGAUUGAGUGAGAAGGUUGAAUUCUCACCACCAAGCACUUUGGAAGAAUUGGUGAAAUGUGAAAUAAUUUUGCCAACCAACAACAACUAAUUUCAAACAAGUAGAAAAUAAAUUUGUAGUAUUUGAAAUUGAAAAUUGACCCAUCUAAAACUGUGAUUUUAAAUGGUCAUAUUUAUAAUAUUUUCAAAUUGACCCGUAAGUGCAAAUCACUAAAUAGUUUGACCUUAUAUUUUUGCCGUUUACAAUUAGAACAAGGCGGAACAUGCAUUGCACAAUUUCUUCGUUGCUAACGGGUUUCCAUACUACGACACUUGUGAGUUGGUGUUUGUGGAGAAAGAAGCGGGGGCGAUUGAGUUAAGUGUCGACACAGACUCGCGAUUGACGAAGGAGUUGGAUCGGGCAUUGAGACAGAUAUAUGAAGAUGAUGGGCCGUUUGAGUUUGCCCCACUAGACGAGGCAUAUGCAAUGGUUCCGUAUGAGGGGGGCUCGGAACGAGAACUGCCCUAUUGUGCCGUAUGAGGGUCUGAAUGAAGUUGAACCGAGGGUUAUUAUAGCGACGAGACCGAGGGGUUCUUGGAUUUUACGGAUCGUUGAUAUCGAGCCAAGUAACUCGGUCAUUGUGUUUUCCAACAUUGCUAUGCAUUUAUUUUUCGUUUAAGCACAUUUGAACCCUUGUAUUUGUUUUAUCGUCUUUAUGUUUUUGUGAUUCUGUACUAGUUUGUUUUUCAAUUAUCGAACUUCUGUUAUUAUUCAACUUUAAUUUUCGUGUGAUUCCGUACGACUUUAAUUUCCAAUUAUCAAACAUCUCUAUCACUCCAACUUUGGUUUUUAUAUUUUCACUUUAACAUUUGUAUGUUUAAUAUUAAGUGUAUCUUCAAAAUGCAUAAGAAAAAUUUAAGCAUAUAUUUCCAAAAUUCUGGACAGUAGAAAAUUCAUUAAAAUUAAUGUUGCUAAGUUAAACAAACAAACAUAUGUUGUUAAGUUAUAUAUUCAAUAUAAGUUUAUAAACCUAAAUACGUGAAAAUAUUUAUAAGUAUUUAUAAACCAAAAUACAAUAGAACAUGUAAACUUAAAAAACAAUAUUUAUAAACAUUAUUGAGUGGCGGCGACGAAACAUGAAAAAUAAUAUUACAAACCGAAAUACAAAGGCGAGAAAAUUUAAUACUAACACAGAAAAACUAGUCGACUACAUGGAGGUGGAAAAAUACUACGGUAAAUACUAAUAUUAAUAGUAUGGAAAAAUAUUAGGAAAAACUAGCCGAAAACAUGGCGAUUGGAAAAUUUGGACUGCCGUUGUUCAAUCCUAAACGAUACACUCUUAGAAUGAUGCCUAGUAAUCGUUUGCCCCGUCGAUUGGCCCCUUGCCGUUAUCUCUCUUUGAGGGGCGGUUUGACCCGGACGAGCGAACAAAAUUGGAGGGGCGAUUUUAUAAAACAAGAAAAAUGGUUGUCGUAAGAAGUGGUGGGUUCAAACAGUGUUUUUCAUUAUUUUGGGGUAUAUAAUAUAAUAAUACAAAAAAGAGAGAAAGGGUGGCAUGGUAAAUAACCACAUUAUCUGUCCCAAUCAACCCAACCAUUUGUGAGAUUAGCACACCUAGUUUCAAUCCCAUGGACCCGAAUCCCACCAACCAAAACCGAGAUCCCAUCCAACUAACAUCAAUCCAUACAGUAGAAUUUCAAAAAGAACCCCAAAUCCCAUCCUAUCCCAUCAACCCAACCAAAAGAGGCCUACGAGUAUAUUAGAAUAAGUACAAUUGAAAGGUAACUAAGUCACAGUAAUUUAUAAUAAUUUAACUUAUUAAUAUUUGUGAAUAUUAAAUUACUGUUUCAUUAGUAAAUUGGCAUGUAUAUGAAUAUUUUAUUAAUCCCAUCAUAAUAAUGACGGCUGGUUUUCUCGAUGGUCCGGGAAGUUUCUUUUCUUUUUCCACCAUAUUGAUGCAGACAUUCAAAUGCUACUUAAUUUAGAAUUUUCGGGGUCUUAGUUACAAGUUAAAUUUAGAAUUCAUAAUUUAGAAUUCAUAAUUUAGAAUUUAAGUGCAGACAUUUAAAUGUUACAAGUUAGAGUAAGGUUGUGUUUUAUAGCUCUUAAUAACCUCUUAAGCCACAUUUAUUCAGCAUGUUUGAUGCAAGCCUCUGAAUUGAACAAUUUAGUGCUAACCGAUUCAGCUAAAAAAUUGGAGCUUAUUCAUUAAGUGGCAAUAUUUUGUACCAAUUUAUUCUCAUAAUUAAAGUUUGAUAUCUCCUACCACUUUUUUCUCUUCCCUCAAAUGUUAAAGGAUGCACACAGCUGCAGGCGAAUGGUCCGAAAAAUUUGUCCUUCAAUUAAAAAUUCAAUUUUCUUUUCUUUUAUCUAAAAGAUAUUUUUAGUUAAAUAUAAUGAAUUAUAUUCAAAAAUUACACUUUUAUAUAUUUUUCAUAAUUAGGACUAGAUUUAUUCAGACAUAUUUAUUUUUAUCAAAACAAGUUGAUCACAUUUUGAGGCCUAUAUAAAUAUGAUUUCUCACGGACUUGUCCUACUGUUGGUAUAGUGAAACUUAAUUUUCAUACUUUUUAACUAAUUUUAUCGAUUAUGUGUUUUUAGUGAAAUUUUAAAAUUAGAAGUUUACUUUAAUAUAUUUUUCAGAAAUACAUAUUUUAGAUUUACACUAUUUAAUUUUUUUCAAAGUAAAUUUAACAAAAUAAUAAUUACAAGGGUCAUAAUUAAAAUUUUAUUUAGGUAGUAUUGAUAAUUUUGUUAAAUAUAAAUAUAUGUUCAACAAUUAUGAGGACUAAUAUAGUCAAAUUACAUUAUUCAAAUACAAUAUUUUUCAGUUAUCAAACAAACUUAAACGUUCAACAUUCAACAUUUCGACACUGAUUUUAAUCAUCCAGACAUGUAUUCAGCAUUCGGUGUUCAGUGCUUAAUUUUGUCAAACACAACAUAAUAUUAAGUGGAAAUGUACAAGCCAUGGUCAAGAUACUCACAAUUGUUGGAAUAAAAAUCGUUUUUCUUUUGUGUAAAAACAAAAUCGCCUCUCUUUGUGUAAAAUAACCUAGAUUCCACCCAAUUUUUUUUACAUAUCUACCAGACCUACUCAGAAGAAAUGUCGUCCCAAGAACACGAAGGGCACGGUCAAAAUCUUGAAUGUUUUCAUCGCUUCUAAGAAGCCACCAAUACAUUAAAAAGUUUUGGAAUGUUUGCAAAGUUCAACAGUGUGUGUGAUAUCAAUGGUAAGGAUAAUUUGAAGUAUUGAAUAUCUCAUUCGAAGUUGUCAUAUUAUUAUCUUUUAUGUGACUUUGCAUACUAUGUGCAGGAUAGUGUGGAAGAUUAAUAGAAAAUAUUUUACGUCUAUAUAUUAUAGAAAUAUACAUAAUUGAAAAAAUAUACAAUGUUAAAUUUUCAAAGAAUAUCGGUUUUUGGAUGACUUUUAAUAUUUUCUACAAUGAUACAUGCAUAUUUGGUUGAUAUAUUUUGAUAUUUCUGAAUCCUUCGAGUAUAUCCAUGAUGCAGGUCAUAUGUUAGAGAGACAAGAUCAACAAAGACGCGAAAUGGGAAAUAAGAAGGAAGUGUAACUAUGGGGUGGUAAACGAUGAGCCGGCUCGAAAAAAACUCGAAUUCGGACUCGAGUCGAGCUCGAACUCGAGCUCGUGAGCUUUCUGACGAGUCGAACUCGAGCUAGGUUUUAGUUGUUCGUGAGCUCACGAGCCGGCUCGCGAGCAAUAUUUAUUAUUUUUCUUAAAUUAUUAGUUUUAUAUAUUUAUUUUUUAUUUAAAUAAUGUAUAAAAAUAUAAAAUAUUAUAAAAUAAAAUAAAAAUAUUAAAAAAUAUAUAUAAUUACAAUUUAUUGUUUAUUUUGUAAUUUUUUUAAAAUAAUUUUUAAUAAUAAUAAUAAUAAAAAAAAAAUGAGCUUGGGCUCGAGCUCGAGCCUGCCAAAAGAGGCGAGCUCAGCUCGUUCACACCCCUAAGUGUAACCUUCGUAAUCGGUUGCUCUUCAGAAGGAAGCCGUAUCAAAAUGUCAAAACGUGGUAAGAUUGAUGACUAAUUUCAUGAACUUCAAAGUUUAAGGACUAAAAUCAUUUUCGAUGCCAAUAGGGAUCAAAAGGGUAAUUAUCCGUAUUUAUAACCAUUAACUUAUGGAUUAAUCUCAAAAAAGCCCAUGAAAAAGACACUUAACUAAAAGAGGGACAUCCAACUUUUUUGUCUUUCAAAUAAAUCCAGCUCAUUCAAAUUUAUUUGCAAAUAAGGGAAAUCCUUUUAUAUAUACCAAAAUUACCAUCAAUUUAUUGAAACCCAAUUCAACUCCAAUUUCAUGAUUUACACCACAAUUUAGCCCAAUUUCACCAAUUAACAUAUUUUAACCAUAAUUUCAAUUUUGACCCUAAUUUUGACCUGCAACCAUUGGAGACCGCCGGUCUCCGACGUUGACCUUUUUUUUUUUGAUAAUUUUUUUUUUCAGAUUUUUUUUCCGGUAGGUCAACUGCCGUUGAGCGCCUGGUCUCCGGCGUUGACUUUCUUUUUUUAUUUUUAAUCCUAUAUUUUUUUUCCUUAAAAAAUAUAUUUUAAUUAAUAUUACUGUCUUGGCUGCUAAAUUACUGUCUCCAACAGUUAUUUAACUGUCGGAGACAGUAAUUUAAUUGUUAAUUGACUUUAUUCUUAAUUUUUUUUAAUUAAUAUUACUGUCUUGGUUGCUAAAUAAAUGUCUCCAGUAGUUAUUUAACUGUCGCAGACAGUAAUUUAACUGUUAAUUGACUUUUUUUUCUCUCAAAAAAUAUUUUAAUUAAUAUUACUGUCUUGGCAGCUAAAUUACUGUCUCCAGGAGUUAUUUAACUGUUAGGGACAUUUAACUGUUAGGGACAAUAACUUAACUGUUAAUUGACUUUGUUUUUCUUAAAAAAAUAUUUUAAUUAAUAUUACUGUCUUGGCUGCUAAAUUACUGUCUCCAGCAGUUAUUUAACUGUCGGAGACAGUAAUUUAACUGUUAAUUGACCUUUUUUUUCUUACAAAAAUAUUUUCAUUAAUAUUACUGUCUUGACUGAUAAAUUACUGUCUCCAGCAGUUAUUUAACUGUUGGAGACAGUAAUUUAACUGUUAAUUGAACUUUUUUUUCUUAAAAAAAUAUUUUAAUUGAUUUUUUUUUUCAAAUUUCUUUUUUUCUUAAAAUAAGUUAUUUUAAUUAAUAUUACUGUCUUGGCUGCUAAUUACUGUCUUAGACAGUAAUAUUAUUGUUUGGAACAAUAAUAUUAGUAAUAGUACUGUUCGGAAAUAUAAUAUUCAUAAUAUUAUUGUCCCAAACAGUAAUAUUACUGUUUGAGACAGUAAUUUAGCAGCCAAGACAGUAAUAUUAAUUAAAAUAAUUUUUUCGAAGAAAAAACAAAUUUAAAAAAAAAAAGUCAACGGUGGUUGACCGGCCGGAAAAGAAUUUUAGAAAAAAAAAGGGUUUUCUCAAAAAAAAAAUCAACGCCGGAAUCUGGCCGGAAAAAAAAAAUUCAGAAAAAAAAUUAUUUUUUGAAAAAAAAAAUUCAAAAAAUUAUUAUUUUGGGGGUUAAUGUGAUAUAUUUAUUUAAAUUCGGGAUCAAUGUGUAAUAUUAAGGAAGUUAGAGCAUAAUGGAUGGAAUUGAUAAGAAUCAUAUUAUGGAGGGUAUUUUAGACUAAAGACACGGGGAUGAAUUUAUUUGAAAGACUGUUUUAUUUGUGGACCAAUAUGCAUUUACGCCUCUUGUGAUGGACCUUUUUGCCUUUCGCCCUUAACUUAUUUUGUUAGAGCUAAUUGCACAGAACCCCUGUGCAAUCUUGAAUGACUAAAAAAUUCCCUAUGUUAAAACAAUUAACACAAAUCCCCUACGUUAUUUUAUAUGAAGCACACUGCCGCUUCGUUAAAAUUAGGUGUUGACUUUUAUACAAUGACUAAUUUGCCCUACAAAAGAAACAUGAAAUUGUAGAAGAAAAAAAAUGACACAAAAGAAAUUCGAACAAAACCCAAUGCCAUCUUCUCCAACACACAGAAAAAUCUUAUUAAAAGAAAACUCUUGAAAAAAAAUGGUGUGAAAAAAGGAGGAGCAAUUGCUCUUUUUCCCUUUUUUUUUAAUAAUUCUUCACUCAAAUCCUCCCCAAAACAUUCAUCUCCUUAGAUUAUUAUAAUUUUCAGUAAUCAUUCCUCACAAGUCGCCAGAAUCGAAGUGUUACUGUUCAAUUUGUCCGAAAAAUGAUUUCCCGCGUCGAAUCUACAUCGAACCAAACCCCACAUUUAGAAAUUGCCAACCAUCGAUUUCGCCGGAAAAUGUUUGCCCCAUAGAAUUACCUUUAAACAGGCCCCCACCCUUAUUUCUUGUCGGAAUAACUCCCCGUAGUCGGAGGGCGGUGGUGGGAGGCAGGGGCGGACCCAGGGGGGUUUUCUUGGGGCUGAAAUAUAGGAGUAAUUUAAGAGAAGUUUUUUUUUGGUUUUGGGGACUAAAGUGUAAAAAAAUUAAAAAUUUGGGGGGAGGGGGCGAAAGUGCAUUAAUUAAUCCAUAAAUACCAAAAAAAAAAAAAAAAAAAAAAAAAACAGCAUAGAAAAAAAACUUGGGGGGGGGGGGGGGGGGGGGGGGGGGGGGCCCCCCAGCCUUAGGCAUGGGUACGCCCCUGGUGGGAGGAAAGGGGCGGCUGUAGGAGGAGGAAAUUCGGGGAAAAAGACGAUUUUUUAAGAGUUGGAUCGUGAAGCAUGGUCAAAUAUACUUUUUUGUACGUACCCUCAAAUUUUUAGACCUCUUGUAAUUUUUUGGUUUAUCUUCCAUAUAUUAAAGUUAUCAUAUAUGAUGCAACAUUACAUAUAUGAGUUCAUAUAAAUGGGAUGCACAUUUCCUGUAUGCAGCAAAUGAAGAACAAGAAAAAGAGAAACAGAGGAUCAAGUGUGCACUGCAACAAUAUCGGAAACUACUUAAAGAAUAUUGCGGGGAAGUUGCUGCCGCUGUGGGGUAAUUUGCUAUCUGGCUUUGUUUCUUUUCAAAGUGUAAGUAAUUUCGUUACGAAAUGAGUAUCAAAUUUUUCAUGUUAAAAAUAUACUAUAUAUUAUUUUAUAUAAGUUAUUGUUGUAUAUGUUAUUAAUUAAUGUUUACAAUAUAAAGUAUUGGUAAUUGAUCUAAUUCUAGGUAGUGGUAUAUCGUCCAUGCUAUACAAGAAGGACAAGUGCAACAUGAUUAACUCAAUAAGUAUUUUAAAUUAGGGUUUAUUAGGGAUAACCCCUUGUUCACAUUUUCUAAUGAGGUAGAUCCAAUUUUUUUUCCCCUUUUUGAGAUAGACCCAAUUUUGACAACUUGGCAAAAUUUAUUAUGUAAUUUUCCUUUAACACCCCUGUUUUAUUUUUAAUCCGCAUUUAUUUCCUUUACUACGUGAUUUGAGAUUUGCUAAUACGUUGCCUAAAAUCACGGAAUAAAACAGCGUGAGAUCAUUGGCCGUUAUAUCAAAUCGUGUCUAUCAAAUCGUGUAGAAUUUUUUUUUGAAGAUUUAUCCAGCGUUUCAUCGUUUUAAUCGCUUUUUAAUGUCUACGGUGGUCAGAAGUUUUUAAGAGUUGUGUUGAUACUUGAUUAUAUAUACAUCGUUAUUUUCGCCGGAUGAUGUUUGUUUGGAAGAGGAUUGACAUAGUUAGAAGAGGAUGGUUCACGCAGAUCGGACCAGAGUUGUUUUAUAUGAGCUUCGUAGUUGGUUUAUGCAAUAAUCGGAAUAAUUGUCCGCUGUGGUCGAGUGAGUUUUUCAUCCCAAUCGAUAGUUGCUUUAUUUGUUUAUAGCAGCCGAUUUAAGUGUGCUGGGUAGUACAUUAAAAAAUCGUUCGUAGUCUUGUUUAAUUCAGUUUCCAUAUUUAUUAUUAUUUUUCCAAUAGUCAAUCAACUAAACCCAUAGUCGCAUUAGAUACAUGGGAUAGUCUAUUAAAAGAUAUGGGAUAGUCUAUUAAUUUUAAAAGACCCAUCCGCCGCCGUCACUUCUCAAAUCUAGGGUUUUGUUCAUUCUUAGGCCCAUAGUCGAUUAACGAGAUCCAUAGUAAAACUAUACUAGUGUGCUAGUAUAUUAAAUGAUAUGAGACAGUCUAUUAAGAAAAACCCUAGUCCCACAACAUAAAAACCCGAACCCCCUAAAACCCUCCUCUCUUCUCGCGACAACUCUGCCUCAAUCGGCGUUCACUCCAUCCCGAUGACAAUGUUAGCUAUUCGGAGAAUGUUUGGAAUCUCAUCUCCCUACAUCCGUCAUUACUCCGCCAAGAUCUCCCCCGAAGCUCCGAUCUCCUCCGGCAACCCUCCGCUCCAUCCUUCCGAGCCCGCCCCCAAGGUUCUCUUUUUCUGUAUUCAUCCCCACCGCAUUUCAUCAGCUCAGGUUUUGAUUUGUUUAUUCAUUUUUAUUUUGAAUAAAAAUUGAUUAAAAUUUUUAUGUUUUUAUUCUUGCUAUUGGGUCUCAAGUGGGAAGCCCCACCGAUGGGAAAACUCAAAAUAUCGACGGAUUAUUCAGCCAAGUUUGUGGAGAUUAAGGAUAAAUCAAAGUCUACAAGUCAGGGCCGUAUCGUAAAAAAAUCAAUUCUUACGGGUGAGGGCAGUGGUGCCGUAAUCAGAAACCACCUCGGGGAGGUGCUUCAUAAACAAGUUUGGAAAAACACAUCGGGCAAAACCAAUGUAGGAGAGCUACAGGCCUUUUUGAAUAGUUUGGUGUGGUGCUUAAAACUUUUUCCGAAGAAAGAAGACAGAGAGAAAUUAAUUUUUGAGACAGAUUCCAAAAACUUGGCUUAUGUAAUCAACAAUGGGAGUGGCUACAGGGAUGCGGAUGCUCAAGAGAUAUUAGACACUGUGCGAACUGAUAUGACAAAGUUCAAUAUUACUAGUAUUCUCCACGUCGUAAAGGCGAAAAAUCAAACAGCAGACGCUUUGGCCAAUCUAGGCCAACUUGGUGCAGAUAUCACAGAUAGCACGAACAUGGAGGUCGAUGAGACCUCUAAAUUUGAAUUUGAUGAGAUAGAUCACUAUAAAAAAAAAUAUACCAAACAUGUUGAAGAAGACAAAAAGGGCUUGUCGCUUCUCUUUUGAAAUUAUGAGAUUAUUAAUGUACUAUUUUAUUGGUUAUGUUGGAAUACUUUACGUUUGUGUUGUUCUCAAUGUUCUUGUCAUUUCAGUGCUAUAUUGUUUGUAACACAAUUUCAUGUCACUACUAUAACCGUAAUAUACUAUCAUAUAAGAUUAAUGUACUAUAUUGUAAUUAUUAAUAUACUAGGUGGAUGAAUAAUACGGGAUACAUAGUCGAUUAUCGAGAUCCAUAGUCGAAUUAGCUCAAUAACACAGUCUAUUACAUGAUAUAAGGAAAAUUACCCUAAUUGAUUAGUAUUUCAAACAAACAUAUUAUUCAGUUUCCAUAUAUAUUAUUAUUUUUCAUAUAUAUUAUUACUUACCCUAAUCGUUUUCAUAUAAUAAGGAAAAUUACCCUAAUUGAUUAGUAUUUCAAUCAAACAUAUUAUUCAGUUUCCAUAUAUAUUAUUAUUUUUCCAAUAGUCAAUUAACUAAAAACAUAGUCGAAUUAGAUACAUGGGAUAGUCUAUGAUAAGAUAUGAGAUAUUCUAUUAUAUUUAAAACACAAAUCCGACGCCGUCACCGCUCAAAUCUAGGGUUUUGAUGAUUCUUCGGCCCAUAGACGAUUAACGAUACCCAUAGCAAAAUUAUAUCUGUUGUAUAGUGUAUUAAGUGAUAUGGGAUAGUAUAUUAAUACAGAUGUAAUUCGACUAUGCAUCUCGUUAAUCAACUAUGGGCCGAAGAAUCAUCAAAACCCUAGAUUUCAGUAAUCCUACAUUUGAGAAACCCUAGAUUGGAGCAGUGACGGCGACGGCGACGGCGGCCAACGACGCUAUCACUUCGGUAUGCGAUUAUAACAUAUCUGCAAUUACACAAACGUGAUAGUCGAUUUAGCCAAAACAUAUCAACAAAUCGAUGGACGAUAGCGACCGGCGAAGACGUACCUACGGCGGCUUGCUCGGAGUCCACGAAAAUCAUCGUUUCACGGCAGUGCAAAUUUCGCCGGUCGGGAGGUUUUGCAGCUUUUUUGAUAGUGGGUUUGUGGUGAUAACGUUUUAACGGGAAAAUAGGGAGAUAUUUGAUAUUAUUUCAAAAGGUAAAGUAACGGGAUUUGUGGGAUUUGAUUGAGGGUAAUUAUGUAAUUUACAAACGUUUGGGUUUUUAUCAAAAUGGCAAGGUUAAGUUUGGGUCUACCCCUAUUAUUUGAAUGUUUAAGGGGGUUAUGUCUAAUAGACCCUUUAAAUUAAUAGAAUGUUUGAAAUUUUAUGUAAUGUUAUUGCCUUACUAAUACCAAAGUAUUAUACAAAUCCGUGUGUAUAGUAUAUUUAAUGUUUAUAUACUACUUAUUAAAUAAGAAUAUUUAAUGUUAAUGGUAUUAACUAGGGGUGCAAGUUGGAACGAAAUUUCCAAUUUCCGCCGGUUCCAAUCCGAAUAGUUCCGAUUUUGGAACAACUUUUUUCAUUCCGACUUCCGAAAAUCCGGUUUCCGGUUUUUUCCGAUUUUUUUGGAUUGGAAUUGGAAUUAUAUAAAAUAUAUAUGGAAUUUCCGAUUUCCGGUCCGAUUUAAUUCUGAAAUUAAUUCCGGAAAAUUCCGAUUUUUUUCCGAAAAAUACACUUAUAAAUAUAUAUAUAUAUAUAUAUAUAUAUAUAUAUAUAUAUAUAUAUAUAUAUAUAUAUAUAUAUAUAUAUAUAUAUAUAUAUAUAUAUAUAUAUAUAUAUAUAUAUAUAUAUAUAUAUAUAUAUAUAUAUAUAUAUAUAUAUAUACUUUUGAACUGAAAUUUAGUAGUUAUUAUUUUUACUUUUAUCGACAUGGAUGUUCUUAUUUUUUAAAAAUUAUGAACAUUUUAGAAAAUUUCGGCUAAGUUUUGAAAUUUUAAAGCUUAUGUGAUUUCCGAUUUUUUUCCGAAAUUCCGAAAUUUCCGGGGCUUUUGGAAUUGGAAUGAAUUUUUAGAUUACGAAAAUUUUGGAAUUGGAAUUGGAAUUGAUUUUGUACUUCCGAAUUUUUUUGGAAUUUUUCCGAAAAGGCUAAUUCCGAUCCGAUUCAUCCGACUUUCACCCCUAGUAUUAACUAAUAACUAUAUAAUUUAUAGAGCAAACUUCAUUUUGCACCCCCGUACUAUGCGAAAUAUAUCAUUUACCCCAUCCCCUUAUGUAUGGAAAACAUCAAACACCCCAUGUCGUUAGCAUGUUUCCUAAUUUCCGUUAGUCAAACCCUUUGACCGACUAUUACAAAGAAAUGUUGGCUUUUUUUUUUUUUUUUUACGAAAAUACCCCAAAAAAUUUCUAUAUAUCUUCUUAAUUUUGAUAAAUGUUCAUCUGAUUAAUUAUUUUUUAGCAUUUUUUUCACUUUAUUCAGUCAUUUUCUUUCUUUACUAUUUUCAGCCAUUUUUCUUUAAAUUUUUUUGAUAAGUCGAAUAAAUAAGAAUGAAGCUUUGUAGAUUAUGAAUGUAAAACCCACAAAAGAUAAAACUAAAAGUCCUGAAAUCUAAAAAAACCCCUAAAAUUAGAAUAAAACCAUAUGAAAGAAUUACAAAUUAAACUCAAAGCUUUUCAUAUUAUUAUAGGAAACUUCUUCGAGAAAGAAAACUGAAAAUCUCUAAAAUCAAACACUAAAAUUGACAAAAAUCUACAAUUUGAACUUACGCUAAAAAUCGUCAACAAUCCACAAAAAGUACGCCUAAAAAAGUUAGCAAUUAUAUAAGACAUAAAGCAGGGUAAAGAAGUCAUUGCAUAUACUCAGAUUUAAUACCGUUAAAGAUUUGACCAUUGACCGUUAAAAAUAGGGAGGUAUUUGAUGUUUUCUAUACAUCUUGGGGUAAAUGAUACCGUUGACAUAGUACAGGAGUGCAAAAUGAAUUUUACCUAGAUUUAUAUUCGGGAGGUGAUAAAUGUCGUUUCAGUUUUCAUAAUGUCGUUUUGACUUCAAACGUGAUUUUGACCAUUUUCGAGUUUGAAUUUGGCAAAAUUCAGAACAUGGAAUUUGUAAUUCUUUGAGUUAGCAUUCUAAUCUAAUUUUAAUCGCCAAGAUUGGAUGUCGGUUGAGAAAGUUAUGCAUGAAUUAAUGAACACUGCCCACAACUUUGAUGUUUUAAAUUAUGUAAAAUUUAAAACGUAACUCAUGCAUGCAUAACUUUGUCACCCGACAUCCAAUCCAGGUGAUUCAUGUUGUAUUGGAAAGUUAUCUCAAAGGACUACGGUUUCCGUCUUUCGAACUUUGCCAAAUUCAAAAUAGAAAAUAGUCAAAAUCACUUUCGAAGUCAGAACGACAUUAGUAAAAUUAAAACGACAUUUAUCAUUUCAGUUUAUAUUCAUAUAGUGAACACCAAUCAAAUAAUCGGAGAAAUACAUAAACUUAUAACAUUCAGUGAACUUUUUUUUUCUUAGACUAUCAAAAAACAAAUAUUAUAUGAAGGCCAGUAAGGGAAAUAUACAUUAAAAAUCUAUGCACGAAAAUGUGAUAGGGUUCCAAAAGAAAAAAAAAGGUGGUUGCAAGGGAAAAAAAAAACUAAAAAGAAAAGGAAAGAAAAUAAUAAGUAUAAGAAGAAGCAAAGUAAAUAACAUUUUUUAUUGAUAACUAUGAGCACAUCAAAUUUUGGGAAAAGAUAGAAAAAGAUACCCAAAUUAUAAAGAUAUAAUAAAACAAAAUAAAAUAAAAUAAAAAUUAUUAGACUUAUGAAUGAAAAUAUAAGUAGAAUGUAUGAGUCUAAACAUAUUGCAAUCUUAAAUUAAGAGGGUGUUUGGCUAGUCUUAUAAGUUAUUAAAAAUAACUUGUAAGACGUUUAAGAGUAUAAACUUUUCUAAAGUAUUUGGUAAUUUAAAAAAAAAUCUAAAAAAAUUCAAAAAAUAAGCGGCUAAAGAACAAAUAAGAUUUUAAUUUUUUUUUAGCUCUACCUCACCUUUUUAUUUAAGAUAUUACAUUGAGUAAAAAUAGUUAUAAGAAGAUAAUAUCAUUAUCCAAACACUUUAAAAAUUAAUUUAAGAAAUAAGGCGUAACAUCAUCAACGUUUAGAAGGUGUUUGACUAAGCUUUUAAGCUGUUAAAAAGAAGUUAUAUAUGUUUAAGAGCUGAUAAGCUCUUCCAAAGUGUUUGUUAAUUUAAAAAAAAAAAAGAUCUUAAGAAUUCAAAAAAUAAGCUAUUAAAGAGCAAAUAAAUGAACUCAAGACGUGCAACGCACGUCCACUUUCCUAGUAUUUUAAAAUAUCUCAAAGGGAAUAUUGGUAGGGUGUUUAUGAUGAAGACCUUAUUGUUAUCAAAUGUCAAAUGUUGACAGAGUCGCUAAUUAGACAACUUAAUUAUGACUUUGCUCUUCUUGUUAGUGUCUAAGAAAUCAACAAGUUUUUUUCUUAGCACUGCUACUUCAAUAGUUUGCUAAUCAAUCUCUGAAAUUGUUUGUAAAAACAAGAUGGCUGCAGCUUAUGCAGCUUUAGUUUCUCUCACUCAUACUAUUGAUCAGAUCCUCGAUACACCUCCCACCCUUCAUAUCAUUGUUGAUAGAAAACAGAUUGAAAUUCUACAAAAAAAGGCAGACUUGUUGUUAGAUUUUCUCGAAAAUUAUACAAGCACUAGAGGCGACCAAGAGAUUGAACAUUUGGAGAUGAUGAUCGGCGAUGCAGCAUAUGCAGCAGAAUAUAUUAUCGAAUUCAAUGUGAUGAACCAAAUUCUUGCAGCACGAUCUAGAUCAGAUAGAGAAGAAAGCUCCAAUCUCUUGUUUGAAGGUGUAGAAAUUUCAAUACAAGAGUUCCUUUUCAUUGAGAAAGAGUUGGUGAAAUUCAAGAAAGAUAUGCAACGACCUAAUAACUACUACUUAACAACAACAAAAGCUAGUUCUUCUUCUUCUUCAUCAAGGCCUCUUCUUCCGGCCGGUGGCAAAAACAAGAUGGUGGGAUUCAACGACCACAUGGAUGAAAUUAUGGGCGCUCUCUCCACCAACGAAUCUAAUCUUCGGAUCAUCUCUAUUGUUGGAAUGGGAGGCAUAGGUAAGACUACCCUUGCCAUUAAUGUUUCUAACAAUCCCUAUAUUGUGGAGCACUUUCAGCUACGUGCUUGGUUUACGGUAUCCCAGGAAUAUACUGACAAGAAGAUUCUCCUAGGCCUUUUGCAUCAGAUCAACAAUACAUAUAGAAAUGCACAUGAGAUCGAUGAUGAUGAUGAUGAUUAUGCAAUAGGAGACAUACUGCACAAAACUCUAUUUGGGAGGAAGUAUUUGAUAGUAAUGGAUGACAUGUGGGAUAUCAAAGCAUGUGAUAUGGUAAAAAGGUUCCUUCCUGAUAAUAAUAAUGGAAGUCGAAUCUUGGUAACUACUAGGCUGAUGAAGUUGGCUGUAGAUAUUGGAUCUCGUGGCCCUUAUCAACUGAAUCUUUUAGAAAAAUCACAGAGUUGGGAUUUACUCCGUGAAAAGAUAUUUGCAGAAGAACGUUGCCCCGAUGAAUUGGAGGGAACUGGAAAAAGUAUUGCAAAAAAAUGCAACGGACUUCCAUUAGCCCUUGUUGUGAUUGCUGGGGUUCUUGCAAAGUCCAAGACAAAAGAACAUUGGGUGUCAAUUGAAAAAGAUGUAACUUCAGCAGUAAACAAUCAAGAUGAUGAGUCAUGCAUGAAGAUACUAUUGUUGAGCUAUAAUAACUUGCCUAUACAUCUAAAGCCUUGUUUCCUUUACUUUGCCGUGUUUCCUGAAGAUCAUAUCAUCAAAGUGGAAAGGCUGGUCAGGUUGUGGGUUGCUGAAGGAUUUAUUAGGCAGUGUGGGCAUAAAAGCUUAGAAGAAAUUGGAGAGGAGUACUUGGAGGAUCUUAUUGAUCGAAAUCUCAUUUUGGUCGAUUGGCGGUCAGUUACGGGAGAAGUGACCGACUGCCACAUUCAUGAUGUUUUAAGUAACCUAUGCAGAAGAGAAGCUCAGAAAGACAAUUUUAUUUUCUCGUUCGCUAGAAAGCUUUAUAACCCCGAUAUAUUAACUUUCAUGAAGAUCACACCACGUCUCAGCAUUAAUGGUGGAAAAUGGAAAGGGACGAAACAUAAGCCAUAUACAUCACAGAUACCUACACGGUCUUUGUUAUGCUUCUCUAAAGGGGCUUCAACUGAUUACACGACUCGUCGGUUUCCAUUACUACGAGUAUUGGAUGUAGUUGAUAUAUAUCCCAAAGAUGAGAUUCUACAGCUAAUUUACUCAAGGUAUGUUUCUUGCAUGGGUCUGAUGAUGUUGCCGUCUUCAAUAUCCCGACUUUGGAGCCUACAAACAUUAUUUGUUGAUGGAGCGUUGAUUCUGCCAGGUGAGAUAUGGCAGAUGCCCCAACUUCGACAUGUUGAGGCCAACUCUAUUAUCUUGCCCGAUCCUCCGCCUCCAGAUAAUGUCCAGAAAAUCAUACUUCUUGAAAAUUUACAAACACUUUCAGGAGUCGUAGAUUUUGAAUGCAGUGAAGCGGUAAUUAAUAGAAUCCCUAAUGUGAAGAAGUUGGAAAUUGUUUGUGGGACAAUUGGGUCUAAUUGUUUAAGGAAUCUUGGACUUCUCCAUAAACUCGAACAACUUUAUCUGAAAUUAAAUACUGGUACUAGUUGCUGUGGAGAAAUUGUCUUCCCAAGUUCACUUAAAGAGUUGAUGUUAAGUGAAUGCAAGAUUCCUUGGGAAGAUAUGUCAGUUGUUGGUUCUUUGCCCAACCUUCAAGUUCUCGAGUUGCGUAAAAAUGCUGCUAUAGGGCAAAAGUGGAUUCCAAAAGAAGGGGAGUUCACUCGACUGAAGUUCCUAUGGAUUCACGAGUGUGAAUUGGAGAUAUGGGAAGCAGACAACACACAUUUCCCAUGUCUAGAGCAGCUACAUCUUGGAUGCUUAAACCUCAUCGAGAUCCCUUUAGAUUUUGCCGAAAUAUUACCACUUCGAGGGAUUAACUUACAUCACUAUAGCAGCAAUGACCUUUUGGCAUCUGCAAAUGAAAUAUCAGAGCGACGAGAGAACCUAGAUUACGAUGCUCUUUAUGUUAAUAAUAUUACAUUUGGAGUGCUCAAUAUUUGGGUGAAGAGAGGUAUUAAUCUUGCUGUUGGUGGUGGAAAUCCUUAUGUUGUUAUCACAAUGGCCAAUCAGGUUUCGUGUUCCUACUUUUUGAUGGUUUUUUUUUGUUCAUUAAUGUUAUUUUUACCUUCGUCAUAAUAUUCUUUUAGACAAAAAGGAUAACUCAUUCGCAUUAAAUAUGUUGUCUUUCGAAUUUUCAAAAACAAAUUUGCAAUUUAGUAUAAAUCUUGAUGAUGCAGAGUGUGGAGACUCGUGUUGUGGCAAAUGAUGUUCAUCCUAUAUGGGAUGAGGCACUCACAAUUUACGUUUUAGAUCCUAGCCGUCCAGUUUCUCUGGUGAGAUUCUCUAAUUUAAGAUAAAAAUAAAUUUCGCAACUAGUUUUGCAAUAUUUAUUCUCACCAUUUUUCUUCGUAGAUCCAAAAUCUGUAGUUUCAAAUAUGUUAUGUGUAUAUGCUGAUUCAUAGUUUGUGAUUCUUACCAUUUUUCUUCGUAGACAGUGCGAGACCAUAACAAGUUUAGCAACAUGGAUAACAAGAUGGGUAAUGCAGUGAUUGAUAUUAAACCAUUACUAGAAGCCGGUUGGGUGCAUCAAAAUGGCCUUCCAAACGGUACAAUAAUCACAAGAAUAUUGCCUUCAAGCUCCAAUUGCCUGUCUAAAGAAAGUUCCAUUGUCUGGGAAAAUGGGAGAGUAAUACAGGACAUGUGCUUGAGAUUGGAAAAUUCCGAAUGUGGCCAAGUCGAACUUCAACUCCGGUGGAUUGAUUAAAUAGUAUCUGGUGAAAUCGAACUUCGGUCGAAUGGUUGAAGUUCCUACUUCCACUAAUUUAAGGGUGUGAUUGGAUCAAAUUAACCAUCGAGUAAAAUAGUGAAAUUGCAAUGUAAAAUAAUUUAUAUGUUAAACGAAAUCAUAAAUUUAAAUGGAAAUUUUGUUUUAUUGUAAUUUCGGACAUGUAUAGUAAUUUUUUUAAUUCAUAGGAGGUAUAGAAGAAGAAGAAAUAAAUGUAACAUCAAUUUGAUUCAUAAAAUCGAAAUGGCUAGUCCAAAUAAUUGGAGAAGAAUGUAGUAGAAGGUGACUCGUUGGAGGUUAUAUUGCCGCAGUUAGUGAAUCUUCAAGUUCCGAAGCUCCAUACAUGAAUAACAUAGAGGAUAUCGAGCGGGCGAGUGAGUAGUUUGAGAAUUUUUUGAUACAACACGUUUCAGGGGAGGCCAAAUAAGUAGCUCAUGAAGUAAAACAACUUUGUCGGAAGACCGAUAAUUUCUCUAUUUAAGUGAUCUAUGUAGGAGAGAAGCUCAGAAACAUAAUUUUAUAAUCCCUUCCAAACUAGUAACCAGAUCCUCCUCAGAAUUAAUGGUGGCCAAUGUAAAGAUAUGACACUAACGACAUCUAUUCGGUCUUUCUUAACCUUUUAUUCUGCGAAUUUGUCUACUUAUACUGCUCCUCGGUCUCCGUUAAUACGGGUAUUGGAUGUGGUUGAUAGAUAUGUCUCUUGCACGGGUUUGAUCUUUAUGUCGCCGUUUAUAUUAUCCCGACUUUGGAGCCUACAAACCCUAGUUGUUGGUGGAGAGUUGACUCUCGCUAUUGAGAUAUUGCAGAUCCUCCUUCACGUGGCGAAAAAAUCACAAUGCUUGAAAAUCUAAAAACACAUUCAAUAGUCAAAGAUUUCAAAUGUACUAAAGAGGUAACUAAACAAAUCCCGAAUCUGAAGAAGUUGGGAAUUGUUUAUCCGGCAAUUGGAUCUUAUUGUUUAAGCAAUCUCGGCUUUCUCCAUAAACUUGAAUCACUUAGUCUCGCAUUUGUUGGUACGCUUGGUCUUUCCAAGUUCACUUAAAAAGUUGGCCUUAAGUGAAUGCAAGAGAAGAUAUGCCCAUUGUUGGUUCAUUACCAAAUCUUGAAUUUCUCAAAUUGUGGUCGAAUUCCGCCGUAGGGAAAAAGUUGAUUUUGAAAUGAAGGGGAAUUCGCUCGACUAAAGUACUUGUUGAUUCAUGAGUGUGAGUUGGAGAUUUGGGAAUCAGACAAUACACAUUUCCCAUGUCUUGAGCAAAUACAUCUCGGAAUCGUGAGACUGAAUGAGUUCCCUUCAGAUUUUGCUGAAAUAUUACCGCUUCAAGUGAUCGACUUACACCGCUGUGAAAAUUCCCUUUUGACAUCGGCAAAGGAAGUAUCAAAGCAACGAGAGAACCUAGGAUACGAUGCUCUUCAAAUUCGAGCUUUAAUGCCUGGACUGCUCAGAAUUUCUGUG
rnacentral:lncRNA from 1 species